UAAUUAAGAAAUUGGAAAGUUAUCAUUGCUUGAAUGAAAGCACCAUCUUCUUUUGUCAAGGCUUUCCCCACACGAUGAGAUUAUGUGCUUGUUAUCGGCCGCUUAAUUAUUUAUUAAAUCAGGUUUUUGUUAUCAAGUACAUCAUCUUAUUCACCAUUUUGGCUAUAUAUAAAGAUUAAAAUUUCUAACAGUUGUUUCAGAUUCUUGUGCACUCAGGUUAAUAGUGCAAAUGUCAGAAUGAAGAUUGUUCAGUGCAACCGGUAUAGCAAGGAUGAUAGUGGUGAGGAAGAUUGUAACACCCCAGUUCGAAAUCCAAGGGCAAAUAUGUCCACAACUCACAUAUGAUUUAAAUAACUCUUUACAAACAAUAAAAUUCGAGCCUCAAAUACAAAAGCCAGCAGAAUAACUUAAAAAUUUAGCCAAACCAUCUACUAUCUUCAACUUGUCACUCAUCACGAAAUAAUCCUGACUUCUGGAAACUGAAUCACAAUAAACUAUAAUGAGUACAAAACUCAGUAAGAAACUAGUUUUUCUUAUAGAAAAUACAUACAUACUUAUACAUAAUGCAAUGGAUGAUAUGCCAUGAUCUUUUGGAAAUAUUGUAAAAUAAAUUCAUAAAAAUCUCUUUCUGUCGCCUUCAAACUUUCUCAUUUUCUUUCGAUGAAAUACGUAUCCUGCAAUGUCGCACUUUGUGCUGUGCGUGGCACUUUGCGGCACUCUGGCCCUCAAGAGGUGGCCCCUGCAUAGUCUCAAGAGGUGGCCCCCCCACAACUUCAAGAGGUGGCCCCCAAUGUAAAAAUCUCAUAAAACAGAAAUUCCGUUUGCUAAAAUCCACUUUCUCAUUCAUAGAAAAUUCAAUGCAUUUUCGUGCUCAUGCCAAUGAACCAUCACACAUACAUAUGCCCAUGUACAUAAUCACGCCCAUUACAUAACAACACAUCACAUAAACACAUGAGCAGAGACAUAUAAAUCCAUAUUCGUACAUAUCAAAAUAGGCUUUUCAUACAAGUCAAACAUAUAUAUUAUUUAUUGUGAUUCGUUUUAAAGUCUAGUUCACUUACCUCUUGGCAUCCUCAUGUAACAAAUGUGUACUGAUACCAUCAACCUAAAAUCAUCAAUAAAUUCUCAUAAGAUAUAAUCAAAUCUCAAUCAUAAACUCUAAUGUCCUCAAAUAUCUCAAUUUAAACAACUCUUAAGCUCAACCUCAAAUGUCCUCAAUAAUCGGCCCUCAAAACAUAACAGUCCAUACUUCUCCGAUUUUUAAUAAAUUAUUCUCUUAUUGGAAGAAUCUCAAAUUUUACAGACCAUAUGCUGACACAUUGAAAGUUCAUUGAUAAAAAUUUCAUAACAUAAUUCCUUCCAAAACGAUUGAAAAUAAUUCACGUUUCAGACAUCAUCAAUACUGUCAAACAGUUUUCUGUUUUGAACACACUUGCUUUAAAAAUACAAAACAAUUUAUUUCUUUAUCAUAAAAUCAUGAAAAUUUCCAGAAUCAUACUAGACUUAUAUAAAACUCAUUGGUCCAAAUUUCAUAAGUUUGAAGAAGUCUAGAUAUGGUAGAAAUAAUUUCGUAAUUCACUGAAAUCAUAAAUUUCCAGGUUUUCAGACUUGACUUUGAAAAAUCAUAAUUAAUUGAAAUCUUAUCUGAUUAACUUGAAACAAGUUUCAAAACAUAUUAGACGAUGUCUAGUUUAACAUACCCAAAAAUCAGAAUCAAAAUCAAUUUUUACAAAUUACUAUGAUUUUCGUAAUAAUUCACUGUCAGCAUAUUUAUGUAAAAUCUUUGAUUUCUACUUCUAUUGCAAUCAUGCUUCUCCACAACAAUUUAAUAGAAACCAAUAAUUAAAACAUACCUCCAAAAAUUCUCCCAACAAUAACAACUUGAUCCAAUGUGUUGUCUAUGGCAAAACUAAGAAGAAGAAGAAGAGCUUCUUUUUUUUUUCUUUUCUCUCUUGUCUCUCCAUCUCUCUUUUUUAACCGAUCCCUCUUUUUCUCUCUCUUAUAAUGAAAAAGACAUCUUGUUCUAUUUAUACUAGGGUAAAAAGGAUCACUAAAAAUUAAAAAGACUUAAAUACCCUUAGGAGAUUUGGGGUAUUACAAAGAUUGUUGGCAAGCCAAAUAGAUCCCUCCAUUUUGAGAAAUAUCAUCCUCAAAUUUGAAUUGCUGAGCAUGUGAAGUGAAGCUAAAGCCUUAAUAAUGAGACCUUCCUGUGAAAGUUUCAUUUGAGUGAAUUGAACGUUCUUGGAGUGAGUGAGAAAUUAAGCAUAUAUCAGCGAUUAGUGAAUUUUUUUCUUUAACAUUAGUACACUCUUAUUUCUUAGUAAAAUUCUCUUCCCGUCUCUGACUGUGACGUAGACCAAAAGCUUAACAAUGUAAAAUUAUAUUGUUAUUUCCUUAUGCUUGUUUUGCUAUAUAUCAUUUCUGUGCAAUCAAGAAUGUAAUUUUGUAAUUAUUUAAUUCUGCUUCCGCAAACAUGCCGUAUUACAAGUGAUAUCUUGCAGAAUUUUCCCCCCCUUUUUUCUUUCUGCAUUAAAACUGCAACAAAUGGAAGUGACUGGCUUGAUUUUAGCUCCUGUAAAAAAGUGCUUGCGGCAAUGUCUUUUGUAUCAGCAAGUCAUCAAACAUCAUUUUACGCUUGAAGUUGGGCCUUCUGAAGAUUUACCCCAUAUGGAACAAAAUAUUGGUUUCGCUACUAAAAUUGCGAACUAUGUUUUUCUUUGUAUUUUCCGCUCAACUGUUGUGCUGAAUAUGUUGCGAACAUAUGACAAUUUAAUCUUUGGCUGAGACUUGUUUAAAAUAAAAAAUGACACUUUAAAGCAAUAGGAGACUUUUAUAUAUUAAAAUGGUAAACGGGUGGAUAAAACUCAAAAUAAAUUUUUGACAUUUUAUCUAUUUUGACAUUCGAAUUUUAAACUUUAGAAGUCAAGCAAUGAAUAAACCUUUUUGAGAGGCUAAUUAAAUUCUUAGUAAUUUCACAUAAUUUCAUUUCAUCAGAACAGUUUUAUCAAAAGCAAUUUUAUAAAUCGUUGUUGAAAGCUUUAUUCCUUAAUUAUCUUUCACAUAGUUUCUUUGUAAUGUGGGUAAGUCAUAGACCAUGGUAUGAUAUUUAUUAAAUAUCAAAAGAUACCUCUUCUAUGGCAAAGUUAAUUAGACAUGUCUUUAUAAUAAAACAUCAUUUAUUUUGAAAUUGAUCCAACACUAAGAUUAUUGUAGAUCAAAUUAGUCUAUUACAGAUAACUUCAGAAGGUUCAUCAGUAGAUUGUUCCAACCUUUUUGUCGUAGUUUACAAGUAUUUUGUUACUUAUAAUACAAGAAAUUUUACAAGUGCUGAUGCUGAGUAGUCUGAAUAAUUAUUAUGAAUCAUAAAAACAGGGCAGAUGCUGUACAAAUUUUACAAAUAUUUUGUUACUUAUAAUGUAAGAAAUUUUACAAGUGCUGAUGCUGAGUAGUCUGCAUAAUUAUUGAGGUGGUGGAGCAAAUGCUCAGUAGUCUGAAUAAUAAUUAUGAAUCGGAAAAAUAGGGCAGAUGCUGUACAAUUAUUGAGGUGGUGGAGCAGAUGCUCAGUAGUUUGAAUAAUUAUUAUGAAUCGGACAAACAGGGCAGAUGCUGUACAAUUAUUGACGUGGUUGAACAGAAAGCUAGCCCCAGACGGUGACUCCUGUGGGGACUCCUUUAAUUUGCAGCACAAAAGAACGCUCACAUUGACAUUGACUCACGGGUAAAAAUUAAAUAUCUCAUAUGGUAUAAGAAGAAUGCAAACAUGCUUGAAUCAACAUUCUCUCAGAAUACAUAAAAGCUACUUUCCUCUGAGCAUUUUAUCAAGAAAAGCAAUUGCUGCAUUUACCAUUUGAUCUGAUAUCAGAAUGGCUCAUGCGAUCGUUUCCUCUCUCUUAGACCAGCUGAUCUCUGUUGCGGCUGAUGAAGUGAAACAGCAGGUGAGGCUUGUGACGGGUGUCGAACAUGAAGUGGGAAAGCUUACCACCAACCUUCAAGCCUUUCAAGCUGUACUGGAAGAUGCAGAGCAGAGGCAACUGGAGAAGGAAAAGGCUGUUACUAUUUGGCUGGAUCAGCUCAGAGACGCAUCCUACGACAUGGAAGAUGUGUUGGAUGAGUGGAUCACUGCAAGGCUCAAAUUGCAGAUUGAGGGCAUUGAUGAUGACAAUGCUCUUGCUCUUGCUCCUCAUAAGAAGAAGGUACGCUCCUUCUUUUGUGCUGUAUCAAAUUGUUUUGGUAGUUUCAAACAACUUAGUCUUCGUCAUGACAUUGCCGUCAAGAUUAGGGAAAUCAAUGGAAAGCUAGAUGAUAUUGCCUCCCAAAAAGAUACGUUUAAAUUUGUUGAGAAUGUGAGUAACAAUGUUAAGAAACCAGAGCGAGUGCGAACCACCUCCUUGAUUGAUGAGGGAGGGGUUUGUGGUAGAGUUGAUGAGAAAAAUGAGCUCUUAAGCAAGUUGCUGUGUGGAAGUAGUGAACAACAAAAAGGCCUUCAUGUCAUUUCACUAGUUGGGUUAGGGGGUAUAGGUAAAACCACUCUUGCACAACUGGCGUAUAAUAAUGAUGAGGUGAAAAGAAAUUUUGAAAAAGUUAUAUGGGUGUGUGUAUCAGACACUUUUGAGGAGAUUAGGGUCGCCAAAGCAAUCAUUGAAGGUCUAGGCGUGUCAGCUUCUGGUUUAAGCGAAUUCGAAUCUCUUAUGAAACAGAUUCAGGAAUAUAUUACGGGGAAUAAAUUUUUUCUUGUUUUAGAUGAUGUGUGGGAUGGAGAUUACAAAAAAUGGGACCUAUUCUUUUCUUGUCUAAAGAAUGGCCACCAUGAAAGUAAAAUUCUAAUUACCACACGUGAUAGGUCAGUUGCACUACAGUUGGGAUCAAUAGAUAUUAUCCCUGUCAAGGAGUUGGGUGAAGGGGAAUGUUGGUUACUGUUUAAGCAUAUAGCAUUUCUACGUAGGUCCUUUGAGGAUUGUGAAAAAUUAGAACCAAUCGGGAGAAAAAUAGCAUGUAAGUGCAAAGGCCUGCCUCUUGCUGCAAAGGUAAUAGGGAAUCUCUUGCGCUCUAAAAGUACAGAAAAAGAGUGGCAAAGAAUUUUAGAUAGUGAAAUGUGGAAAGUAGAAGAGAUUGGGCAAGGUCUUUUAGCUCCUUUGUUGUUGAGUUAUAACGAUUUGCCCUCCAAUUCUAUGGUAAAACGGUGUUUCUCAUAUUGUGCUGUCUUUCCAAAAGACUACGAGAUGGAUAAAGAGGAGUUGAUUGAUCUGUGGAUGGCUCAAGGUUACCUUAAUGCAGAAGAAGACGAAGAAAUGGAGAUGAUUGGAGAAGAGUAUUUCAACAUCUUAGCAACACGCUCUUUCUUUCAAGAAUUUCAGAAAAAUGAUGAUGAUGAUUUUACGAGUUGUAAGAUGCAUGACAUAGUACAUGAUUUUGCCCAAUUUGUAAGUAGCAAAGAAUGUUUGUGGCUAGAAAUUAAUGGUACCAAGGAAUCAGUCAUAAACUUUUUUGGUGACAAAGUCCGUCACUUAGGGUUAAAUUUUGGAGGAGGAGCUUCAUUUCCUAUGACCAUUUAUGGACUUAAUAGAUUGCGUACCCUCCUAAUUUAUGACCAAAGUUUUGUCAAUUUAUCUCUUAACAGUAGCAUCCUUCGGGAGUUAUUUAGUAAAUUGGCAUGUUUAAGGGCAUUAGUUAUAAGCCAAUCGACCAAGCUUUUGUAUGAAGACACAAAUUGGAUUACGGAAAUUCCAGAUAAUGUUGGAAAAUUGAUACAUUUAAAAUAUCUUAAGUUGUCUGAAUUACACAUAGAGAGACUGCCUGAGACUUUGUGUGAAUUAUAUAAUUUACAAAAGCUAGAUAUUAGGCGGUGCCCAAAUCUUAGGGAAUUACCUGCGGGGAUUGGGAAGUUAAUGAACAUGAGGAGUUUACUGAAUGGUAAAACUUAUUCGUUGAAAUACAUGCCAGUAGGGAUUUCCAAAUUAACCAGUCUUCGAACAUUAGAAAAGUUUGUUGUGGGUGGAGGUGUUGAUGGUAGCAAUACGUGUAGGCUUGAAUCUCUGAAAAAUCUUCAACUCCUUCGAGAAUGUGGAAUAGAAGGGCUGGGUAAUGUGUCCCAUUUAGAUGAGGCCGAGAGAUUACAACUUUACAAUCAGCAAAACCUCCUUCGUUUGCGUCUUCGGUUUGGUGGAGUCGUAGAUGGGGAAGAUGAAGAAAGGAGGAGGAAGAAUGAUAAAGACAAACAACUUCUUGAAGCUUUACAACCGCCUUUGAGUGUAGAGGAAUUAGGGAUUGAAUCCUAUGGAGGCGACAUUUUUCCCAAAUGGUUGACUUCACUAACCAAUCUAAGGAAUUUAACACUUUCCUCGUGCGCUAACUGUGAGCAUUUGCCUCCUUUGGGAAAAUUGCCUCUGAAAAAACUCGAACUACUCGACUUGGAAAGUGUAAAAAGAGUGGGUAAUGAGUUUUUGGGAAUAGAAGAAAGCAGUGAGGAUGACCCAUCUUCAUCUUCAUCGUCACCAUCAGUUAUUGCCUUCCCCAAAUUGAAAUCACUCGAAAUUGACGGAAUGAAAGAACUGGAAGAGUGGAAUUACAGGAUUACGAGGAAGGAAAACAUCUCCAUCAUGCCCCGUCUUUCUUCCUUGCAAAUUAUGAAUUGCCGCAAAUUAAAGGCGCUGCCGGAUUACCUUCUUCAAACGAUAGCACUGCAGAAACUGGGUAUUUAUUAUUGUGAUCUUCUAGAAGAACUGCCCAUUCUAGAAGAUCGCAGGACAACAGACAUACCACGUCUUUCUUCCUUGGCGAUUUGGUAUUGCCCCAAAUUAAAGGUGCUGCCGGAUUACCUCCUUCGAACGACGACGCUGCAGGUAUUGAGUAUUAUGGAAUGUCCUCUUCUAGAAGGACAUUAUAGAGAGGGCAAAGGAGAAGACUGGCAUAAGGUAUCUCACAUUCCCUGCAUCAUGUGGUUGCCGUCGUUGUAAGAUAUCACUCGCUGGUAAUUUCUCCUCCUCCUCUGAUUUACUUCGUUGUUGCUUGCAAUGAAAUUAAUAAAAAUAAUUAUAUUUUGAAUUAAAAUUCUAUAUAGAAUCAAUCAUGGUAUAAAUAUGUAAAACUUCCUAGUUAUUAAAUCUGUUUAACUUGUUUUCUAAAGAUUAAAUUAAAAAAAAGUGUAGUCUGUUGAAAUUUCUAUAUUUACUUCUAAAAAAUAUGUGCUCUUUUGUAAAAUUUCAUACCACAUCAUAGAAAAUCCCAAUGUAAUUUAUUUUUUAAUGUACAAAAAUUUGUUAUGUGUAACUUCCUGAGAGGCAAAAUCUCUGGGAUACAUUUGCAAUAAUGUUGAAAAAUAAAUUAUCAAUUUUAUCUUGUAUAAUGAUAAUCAUAUUUUUUUAUAUAUAAUUUAUGUGACAUUAAUUCUUUAAAGUAAUUGUGUAAUUGUUUUUAGUAGUACAUUAGCCCACUUUAUUUUAUUUCAUAUGAGUUUAAUUAUGUUCACCAGGGAUUCGAGGAAAUGUCAGAACUACACUAGCAAUUCACAGGUCCAAUCUAAUUUGGUUUUAAUGAUGCAGGCAGGAGAGCAAGACUAUGAAAAUGAAAAGUUUAGCCAAAGGAUUGCUAAAAUGUUCUGCUGGUAAUUCACUUGCUUUAUUUUAUAGAAUUUCAUUUCCAUCUUCUUCUAUUGAUAUCUUGUUGUGAAUAAACAAGAACAGAGAAGUAAAUGAUUGAACCACAGAGAAGUAAAGAUAUAUCCAAAUUCGAUUAUUAUGAUGAUUAAAGCAAGCUCAAGCUCAAGCAUUGCAUUUUUUAUUUUAUUUAGUUUAUAGAAUUUUCAUUUCCACCUGCAUUUCAUUUUUAUUUCAUUUUUAGGUUGACGUUGAAGACUCUAUGGAGAACAUUGGGGUAACCAAGGAUUAUCACUGUGGUUAUUGUGCAACGUUUGGUUGCGGGACUUUGGAGAAGGAAGUGAUGGCCGGGUCUGCUCUGUUUCAAUUGAGGAUGGACAGCUGCCUGAAAGACAUGAUGAUUAUUAUUGCACGAUGUUAAGGUGCUAAGAUCAUCAUUUCUAUCUUGCUUCAUUCUUGGAAUCAUUUAUCCUAUAUAAACAUAUUGAAUUGUGCUAAUAUUAUCAUAUGCGUCAAUGGAGGCAGGAAUUUGGUGUUGACACUAUUAUACAGGUAACCACACUUCAUAGUUUGCACAAAUUUGCGUUGUCAGAAUAUCCUUUAAUAUUCAUUGUGUUUCUGUGUGUUAUCAGGUUAUCAUCUCCAAGGGUUUGAAAGAGCCUUUGCAGUAAAGUCAGUUGUCACCAGCUCGUGCAAUUGCGCAUUCAUUCAUAGUACUUCAAUAUUGGGUUUUCAAGUUUUGUAUGUUUAGUCGAUUAAAAUGUUUAGUCAAUCAUUCUUAAUCAUUUCUGAUUUUCAAGUUCUUUAGGGCCAUAAACAGUUUUUCAAACUCAUUCUUAUUUUUUAGGUUGAUUUCCUACUCGUGGAAGUCCAAGGAUUAGGCUGGCGAUGGAACUACUACCUCUGUUGUUAUUGUGCAAGGUUUGAUCGCUGGACCUUGAACAAGAAAGCCUUACAUGCAUUCUGUAAUUGAAGCGUUCUCUAAAGCAAAAGAGCAGUAGAAGGAAUAGUGAUGGCCGGAUAUGCUCUAUCUUAAUUGAAGAUCUCUGUGAUGUUGAGGAGCUAAUGAUUGUUAAGGCGUAUUUUCAUGAACUUCCUUUCUUAACAAAUGUUUCAAUGCUGGCUGUAGUAACAAUUUCAUAUCUUGCAUCUCUCGGGUGCAUCAUGUUCACAGGUUUGAAAAAGCAUUUGUGGUAAUGCUUUAAAGCUUGUACAAUGGCUGUGAAAAGGCACAUUCAAUUAGGUACGUUUUGGUGCGGUCUCCCAAUGCUAAUAUUAUAUUUUGUAUAGCAAUUAAAAUUUAGCUAUACAAUUUUAAUAUGCAAUAAAUCAUUGUAUACAAAGUUUUCUAUUAAUUAUAUGGUGACUGAAAUUUUAAUUAUCAUAUCAAUUUAAAUUUUUUUGUAACUCUCUUUUACUUUGCUUGUACAGAGUACCUGUUUUGGUUGAUAUGUCUAAUUUGUAGAAAUUCAUUUCCAUCGGUUUCCAUUGGCUUUAGCACAAACCGAAACAGAGCUCUGGGGAAAAGUUUUACUUCUUGUGAUAUUAUGCCUUUGUUUCUUCAUUCAUCAUAUUUUUCGAAUUCAUGCUCUCAUUCAGAGGGUAAAGCCUUUUCCAGGCUGCUUUGUAGCCAAACUUUGACGCCUUUGAUGCAUGACUGUCAUUCUUUUUCUUGGUUAUUCAAACUUUCAGUUAUAUAUUAUGUGAAAGAUUCUUUUUCUUAUUAAAGUACAUUGUUGGUUUUUUCUUUUUCCUUCAUUUUGUCUGAAUUAAAGCUAAAAUUGUAAGUUUUUUUUUAAUUGGAAAAUAUUAAUAUUUCAUUAAACAAAUAACAACAAUACAACUACUUGCAGUACAUCACUAGUUCACAUUACAAAGAUUAAAAUACAGAGAUCUGUUUUAGUUACAGAGAUCUAUUACAGUAAUCAAUUGAAUUAACCCCUAAAAGUUUAUUAAAGAAUAGGAAGAAACACAUGUACACUAAAAGAAAAACUUCCAUUCGUAAUGCACAUAUAAUUCAAGCUCCAUUUGGGGUUCCAUGGCUCUUUCGAAAUUAUCUCCACCACCAUAUUUAUGCUUUCCAGCUAGUACCAAAAUAGAUUUACCGUAAAAAUUGAUUCACACCCUCUAACUUUACAAACAUGAGAAACAUAGACUCUAGAUCUAAAAGUUGAAGGGUUAUGUACUGGCAAAUAGAAAUUAAACCAACAUUAUCACUAUAACAGAUACAUUAUUACCAUCAAAGAUCAAGAUCUGAAUGGAUGCACAGCAGCCAUCGUCAAGACCAAAAGAGGAAGAAAUUGAAAUAGAACAACCACCUUAAGGUGGAGAAGGCCAGAACAAGACACCCAUCCUCAAAUCAUAUGGAAGAGGUGGGUGCAACCAAAAAAAAAAAAAAAGAGAGAAUCCACUGGAGAAGGCAAGAAAGAUUUCUGCCUCCAAAGAUUUGGUGAGGAAGAGAUGAGGAAUUUGGAGAGGAAAAGUUUCGGAGAGAUCUAGAGUUUGGCUUUAAAAAUGUGUUUUAAAGAAAAAGUUGUUGAGAGGAAACGAGACCAAUUAGAUCAUGCAAGAAGUUAAUUUUUUUUAAAUAAAAAAGGAGAAAUGAUGAUCUUACAAAGUUUGAAUAUAAAGUUUAAAAUCUAAAAUUAAUGACUUGACAAUCGAUGCAUUAUUAGCCUAAUAGAGUAAGAAGUCCCUGCUAAAGAAUUCAAUAUUCUACCCAGAAUACUUCUUUCUAUUGCAAUUAAAUGAUGAUUAUUUGUUUUUAUCAUGAAAGCUAAAAUAACUUUGUGAGUAAUUUGAUCCUUUUGCAGUAUAAAAAUAAAUUCAGAAAUGGGCACCAUUCUUCCUUUGUUUAAAUCAUGGUCUCCACGGAAGUAAAAUUUUGGUUACUACACGUAAUGAGUUAGUUGCACGUAUGAUGGGAUCAACAAAUAUUAUCUUCAUUGAGCAAUUGAUUGAAGAGGAUUGCUAGUCGGUUUUCAAGCGAUUAGCAUUUUUCGGUCACUCUUUCGAGGAUUGUGAAAGAUUAGAACCAAUCGGCCGAAAAAUUGCACGCAAGUGCAAAGGCCUGCCUCUUGCUGCAAAGGUAAUAAGGAAUCUCUCGCGUUCAAAAAGUGCAAUAAACGACUGGCAAAGAAUUUUAGAUAGUGAAAUGUGGAAGGCAGAAGAGAUUGGGAAAGGUCUUUUGACUCCUUUAUUGUUGAGUUAUAAUGAUUUGUCGUCCAAUUCUAUGGUAAAACAAUAUUUUUCAUUUUGUGCUGUCUUUCCGAAAGACUACAAUAUGUAUAAAGAGGAGCUAAUUUCACUAUGGAUGGCUCAAGGUUACCUUAAUGCAGAAGAAUAUGAAGAGAUGGAGAUGACUGGGGAAGAGUGUUUCAACAUUUUAGCAACACACUCUUUCUUUCAAGAGUUUGAGAAAAAUGAUGAUGAUGAUAUUAUGAGUUGCAAGAUGCAUGACAUAGUACAUGAUUUUGCUCAAUUUGUAAGUAGCAAAGAAUGUUUGUGGCUAGAAAUUAAUGGUACCAAAGAAUCAGUCAUAAACUCUUUUGGUGGGAAAGUCCGUCCCUUAGGUUAAAGUUUAAAGGAGGCGCUUUAUUUCCUAUGUCCAUUCAUGGACUUAAUAGAUCGCGUACCCUCCUAAUUGAUUAUGAAAGUCCUUCCAAUUCGUCUCUUGAUAGUAGCAUCCUUCCUGAGUUAUUUAGUAAAUUGGCAUGUUUAAGAGCAUUAGUUAUAAGGCAAUCAUUCUUGCUUUGUCGUCCUGACCCAAAUUUGAUUAGAGAAAUUCCAGAAGAUGUCGGGAAAUUGAUGCUUUUAAAAUAUCUUAAUUUGUCUGAAUUACACAUAGAGAGACUGCCUGAGACUUUGUGUGAAUUAUAUAAUUUACAAAAGCUAGAUAUUAGGGGGUGCCGAAAUCUAAGAGAAUUGCCUGCAGGGAUUGGGAAGUUAAAGAACAUGAGGAGUUUGCUAAAUGGUCUUACUUGUUCGUUGAAGUACAUGCCAAUAGGAUUUUCCAAAUUAACCAAUCUUCGAACAUUAGACAAGUUUGCUGUGGGUGGAGGUGUUGAUGGUGGCAGUACGUGGAGGCUUGAAUGUCUGAAAAAUCUUCAACUCCUUCGAGAAUGUGGAAUAGAAGGGCUGAGUAAUUUGUCACAUGUAGAUGAGGCUGAGAGAUUAGAACUCAAAAAUAUGGAAAACCUCCUUCGUUUGUAUCUUUUGUUUGAAGUUGUAGAUUGGGAAGAUAAAGAAGAGGAUGAAGAUGAAGGUGGGGAAGAUGAAGGUGAGGAUGGGGGAUAUGAAGAAGAAGAAGGAGGUGAAGUUGUAAAUGGGGAAGAUGAAGAAAGGAGCAGGAAGAAUGAGAAAGAUGAACAACUUCUUGAAGCCUUACAGCCGCCUUUGAAUGUAGAGGAAUUAUGGAUUUUAUUAUAUGGAGGCAACAUUUUUCCCAAAUGGUUGACUUCGCUAACCAAUAUAAGGAAUUUAUUUCUUCACAGGUGUCUUAACUGUGAGCAUUUGCCUCCUCUGGGAAAAUUGCCUCUGGAAAAACUCGCCCUGCAAAAUUUGAAUAGUGUAAAAAGAGUGGGUAAUGAGGUUUUGGGAAUAGAGGAAAGUAGUGAUGAUGACCCGUCUUCAUCUUCAUCAUCAUCAUCAGUUAUUGCCUUCCCCAAAUUGAAAUCACUCAAAAUUUGGGACAUGGAAGAAUUGGAAGAGUGGGAUUACACGGUUACGAGGAAGGAAAACAUCUCCAUCAUGCCACGUCUUUCUUCCUUGGAAAUUGAUUGUUGCCCCAAAUUAAAGGUGUUGCCAGAUGACCUUCUUCAAACGUCGACACUGCAGGAAUUGAGUAUUGGGGGAUGUCCUAUUCUAGAAGACUGGCAUAAGAUAUCUCACAUUCCCCACAUCGAGUUUUAAAUUCUCGAACGGUUGCAAUUACUAUAACCCGCCGGUAAUUUCUCCUCCUCCUCUGUUUUGCUUCAUUGUUACUUGUAAUGAAAUUAAUAAUAAUAAUGAUAAUAAUUAAAUUUUGAAUUAAAUUUCUAUAUUUUGCCAAUGUCUCAUAGGAAUGUGCAAUAUUUUCUAAUAUUUUGAUUUUUGUAUUGAAUAUAACUAUUUACUUCAGUGUACGAUAAUUUGUUACGUGAAACUUCUUGAGAGACUGAAUUUCUGGGGUACUUUGUAGUAAUGUUGAAAACUAAGUGAUGGCUGGGUCUGCUCUGUUUCAGUUGAGGAUGGAUUGCUGCCUGGAAGACAUGCUGAUUAUUAUUGCAUGAUAUUAAGGUGCUGAGAUCAUCAUUUCUAUCUUGUUUCUUUCUUUGAACGGUUUAUCCUCUAUAAGCAUAUGGAAUUAUGUUAGUAUUAUCACUUCUUCACCCAAUUUUCACUGUUGGUUGUAAUAACCAUUUCAGGUUCUCAAAAGCUACAAAGCAAAGCAUCUUUGGGCUGAUCAUAUAUUUCAAUUGACGAAGGAAUUCGAUGUUGGCACUAUUAUGCAGGUAACCAGAGUUGAUAAUUUGUACAAAUUUGCAUUGUCAGAAUACCCUUCAUAUUCACCGUGUUUCUUUGUGUAGGUAUGUAGAGUAUCAUCUUCAAGGGUUGUAAGAGCCUUUGCAGUAAAUUUAGCUGCUAGUGCAAUUGCUCAUUCAUCGAAGUACAAUUUUGGAUUUUCAAGGUUUGUAUGCUCAGUUGUAAUUAAAAUGCUUAGUCACUUAUUCCUAAUCUUUCUGAUUUUCAAGUUAUUUUAGGUCCAUAAACAGUUUUCACACAUGUUUCAAUGCUUCUUGUAAUGACAAUUUCAUAUCUUGCAUCUCUAAUGUGCAUCAUGUUUGAAACAGCUUUCGCGGUAAAGUCUUCGAUGCUUGUACAAUGGCUGUGAAGAGGCACACUAAAUUCGGUACAUUUUGGUACGGCCUCCUAAUGCUGGUAUAAUGUUGUGUAUAUUUAGUUUGCAAUUAAAACUUAGGUAUACAAAUCUUAAUCUGCAAUAGAUCAUAGUGUACAAAGUUUCUAUUAAUGAUAUGGUGACUGAAAGUUUAAUUAUCUUAAAAUUUUUCUAUGACUCUCUUUUACUUUCUUUGUACAGAGUACUUGUUUUGGCUGAUGUGUCUAAUUCAUAGAAAUUCAUUUCCAUCGGUUUCCAUUGGUUUGAGCACAAACAGAAACAGAGGUCUGAGGAGAAGUUUCACUUCUUGCGGUAUUAUGCCUUUGUUUCUUUAUUCACCAUAUUUGUUCGAAUUCAUGCCCUCAUUAAGAAUUUAAAGCCUUUUCCAGGCAGCUUUGUAGCCAAAUUUUGAUGCCAUAAAUGCAUGAUUGUCAUUUAGAUUUUCCGAAUAUUUGUUAUUUGGAGAAAUAUUGUUAAAAGGGCAUUUGAUUAGCUACUUACCCUAUGAAUUUAGUUGCCAAUAAUAGAUUGAAAUUGAGUAGGCUAAUGGUUGAGGAAAGUUAUUGUCUUAAUUAAAUUACAGGUGAUAAGAUGUUGCUUGUGUAAUCAGAUAAAUGGGGCAAAUGUCAGAACAAAGAUUGUUCAGUGCUGCUGGUAGGGCAAGGAUGAUGAUGGUGAGGAAGAUUGUUCACAAGCCAAGUAGAGCCCUCCAUUUUGAGAAAUAUCAUCCUCAAAUUUGAAUUGUUGAGCAUAUGAAGUGAUGCUAAAGCCUUAAUAUUAAGUCUUUCUGAAAGUUUCAUUUGAAUGAAUUUUCGGAGAUUGAAUGUUCUUAGCGUGAGUAAGAAAAUUAAGCACAUAUCUGCGAUUUGGAUCGUCGGUGAAUGUUUUCCUUUAAUAUUUGUACAAACCCGUUUCUUAGUAAAAUUUUCUUCAUGUCUUUUACUAUGACAUAGGCUAAUAGCCGUACCACAUAACAUUAUCUUCUUAUUUCUUUAUGCUUGGUUUUGCUACAUAUAAGAAUGCAAUUUUGUAACUACUUAACUCUGCUUCGGCAAAGUUAAGUAGUUACAAAAAUUUUUUUUUUUCGUUUUUCUUUCUCCGAUAAAAUUGCCACAAAUGGAAGCGAUUGGCUUGAUUUUUGCUUCUGUAAAAAGUGGUGGGAGCAAUGUCUUGUGUACCCGCAAGUUAUAAAUCGUCAUAGUUUAAAUGACGAAUCCCGAGUUGCCAUCCAAACUAAAGAAAUUGCAAAUUAAGUAGUUCAUUACAAAUGAUAUAUUUUGAGUUGCUAAUUAUUAAGUAUUUCAUUCAAAAAUGUUCUCGUUCCCACAGUUUCUAAUGUUUAAAGUGCAUCAUUGCUCUACUUCCGUCAUAACAGCAUAAGAGAAUUUAACAUAAUACUGAGAAAAUGAUUAUUUUACCCUAAAUGUAAAUGAUUAUUCUACCCUUAACAUAAAAUAACUAAUUUGCCCUAAUUUAAUAACGAAAAAAAUAGAUGACUGCAAUAUAGAUAUUAAAUAAUAAAUAAAAUAAAAAAUAAGAAUUAAAACUAAAAUAAUUAAAAGAGAGCUCAAGAGAAAACGCACUUUAAUCUGGUACCUGUACCCGUGGAUCGUGGCGAUGGCGGAUUGGGGCUUAUUACCAAGUCGUUUAAGAAUUUUAAACUUUCAAAUUUUUUUUAAACCUUGAAUUUUUUAGUUUAUUGGUUAAGUGAUAAAAUUUGGUGGUAGUUUGAUACUGUGUUGUAUGUUGUGUUAUUUUAGCUCAUUAACUUUGUUAUGUAAUUCUUCUUUAAAUACGACGUCGUUUUUGUCCAUUAAGAGUCCAAUGACAAGUUUAUCAUUCUGACAUGAGUAAAAUUCUAACGGCGUGAUGACAAUAGUGUAGAAAUGAUAGAUUUUGUAAACAUCAGGUGGAAUUGUUAAAAAAAAAAAUGUGGUCGUGUAUUUUUUAUAAAGUCUAAAACAUCAAGUGAUUAGAGAAUAUUUGUGCUUAAGUAUUUGAUUCAAAAAAAUUUCCACUCCUAGACUAUUUAAGUUGUAACCAAAACUGAGAAUUUUUUUUUUUUUUUGCAUGAUGAAUCUCGAUAUUUAGGAUGAAUAUUUUAAUAUUUAAGCUUAAUGGUCACCCACUAUUGGUAGAAGAAUUUUUAUUCUAACACUAUACAAUUUUCGUGUGAGGUGGUCUUGGGCUUAUCUCAACCUUAAAAGUCAAAAGCUAGCUCAAUAAGUGAGAUUUUUUUCUCACACUUAUGAAAUCACCACGAGCUCCUCCCACAACCAAUGUGGGAUAAUCCCAACAAUCUCCCCUCACUCAUCGAGCCUUGGGUUGGAAGCAUAAACAUCAAUUCUCCCUAUUAGAUUGUUGGUUGAGUUGUUGGUGAACCUGAGCUUUGAUACUAAUGUUAGAUGGUCUUGGGCUUCUCUCGACUUCAAAAGCUAGCUCAAAGAGAGAGAUAUUCCCUCACAUUUAUGAGGUCAUUAUCAGCCUCUUCCACAAUCGAUGUCGGCUAACCCGACAUUUCUCUCUCUAUAUAAUACAUAAGUUGGAUAAUAAAUUUAUAUCUCAAUCUAGGUAUAAACAUUAAUUUUAUUUCUUUUUAUCAAUCAUUAUCCUAUUGGGUCUAUCGACUCACCGUACAAAAUGUUGUAAAACUUCCCCGCCGAAGAGACUUUGGUAGCUUUGAGUUUGUAAAUCAAGUUCCUAUCCGUCGUCCCUCCUAAUCCAUUCUUCGGCCAAGUACGCCUGACAUUCUUGUACCUUACAACGUCAUAUUUGGCACAAAAUUCAUGAAACUUAAACCAAACACUAAACUAUUAUUAGUUCUCAACAUUUUAUAUCAUUCGACGUUUUGUGUCAGAAUAAAUAUUUUAUCUUUGAACUUCUCAAGCACUUAUUCAUGGCUUAUUUCUCAACUCACUAUGGAUUAAUGAUGCUGAUGAAAUUGUGGAUUAACCAGACAAUAUUGUAAUUAUUACACAUACACACAAGCACACGUACAUACGUACAAAAGCAUAUAGGAGUUGACCUUGCUCAGGAUUUAAAAAAAAUGAAUAAAAUUUUCCAAUAAUUAAUUAAGAUAAAAAAGAUCAUUAAAACCCGAGUACCCCUCGCAAUUGUGUCACUUGAAUUCUCUGUAUUUAUGCACAUAUAAUAUUUUGAAUGAAUCUAUAAUGAUGUUAAUUUUUUAAUGAACUUAAUCUUAAAUUAAAAUUUUCUUUUGAAAAAAAAGAAGAAAUCUUAAAUAUUAUAAAAUAUAGAUCAGUUGGAAAACUAUUCCUAGAAAUGCAUCUUAGUUUUAUUCUUGGAAAAUGUUUCCUUUCGCACUUGCGAGGAAUUAGAAAUUGAACAAUAAUUUUUAGACUUUUCAUUGUCUUUGUGGUUAUAUGGUUGUCUUUAAUAUAAAUAUAUGAUCCCGGAGGCCAAAUGUCUAAGUCACAUGCAUUUACCUAAUACUUUUUUCUUUUUUCUUUGUUUUUCGGAUAGGGCAAUUAUUUAAUACCUUGAAGAAAGAGAGAUAAAAUAUAAUGCAUGCCAAUUUGUUGCAACAAAGCUUUCAUAUCAAGCGUUGGCAUAAAUUAUUAUGCCAAUUUGUUCAAGACAAUAUCUUUAGUUGGCAUGUAAGUUUCAUUAGCCGGCGUCUACUCUUAAUUUAUGUCAAAUUAAGUAAUCGCUCCGCCCCAAUAAUGUUGCCUUUGAUCUCUCAGCCCCAGUAAAAGAAUUGGCUAAAAGAGAAUGUUGGUCACUGUUUAAGCAAGUAUGCUUUUGGCGGUCCUUUGAGGAUCUUCAAAAUUUAGAACUAAUAACCAAUCAAAUGAAAAAUUGCAUACAAGUGUAAAAGCUUACCCCUUAAUGCAUAGGUAAUAGGAAUUCUCUUGCUCAACAUAUACACCCUUUUCUUUAUAAUCUUUUACUUUUGCUCUUAAGCUAAAGCAUUAAAAGGCCCAAUAUCCACUCUUUAUAUAUAGUAGUUUCUGGUCCGGGAUCAUAAAGUGCGGGAAAUAUUCGGAAAAAUUUUAAAAUCGUGGGGUUUUAAAUGCUUAAAACUUAAAGUGCUUAAACUGAACGGUUAAUAUGUUUUCCUGGACGUUCCCGCAUUUUAAAAUUCCGGACUGUAACAUUUCUCUCUCUCUCUCUCUCUUUAUAUAUAUAUAUAUAUAUAUAUAUAUAUAUAUAUAUAUAGGGAGAAUGCCAAUUUCCCCCCAUAUUGUAAUCAAUUUAUAUCAUUUAUGUCCUACUCUUAUAUAAUAGCCAAUAACUCCUGGAUAGCAUAAUAUAACAAUAUUAUCUUUAAUUUUAAAUACACUUUUAUUUAUAUUUAUUAUAAAUUAAAUAAAACAUGUGAAUGAAAACUAAAAUAAAUAUUAAAUAUUAAAAACAAUAAAUAUAUGUUUUGAUGUGAAUAAAAAAUUAAUAGUAAAAUAUUUUUCUUGUACUUCUUUUAUUUACAAACAUUUUCUAAUAAUACAUAUAUAAGAAAAUUAUUAUAAAAUAAUUAUAAAUUAAUAUAAAUUAAUAAUAAAAUAGUAUAAAAUUAAUAAUAAAAUAUUUUUCUUGUACUUUUGUAUUUUAUAUAUUUAUUAUAAGAAAAUGUUUAUAAAACAAAAAUACAAAAAAAUUUAUUAUUAAUUUUUUUAUUCACAUCAAGACGUAUAUUUCUUGUUUUUAAUAAAUUUUUUUUUUACCAUUCAAUAUGAUUUGUUUAAUGUAUAAUAAAUAUGAAUAAAGGUGUAUUUGAAAAUAAAAAUAAUAUUGUAGGAAACAUUUACCAUUUUCUAAGAGAAGCUUAAGAGUGAGUAAAGGCUUGUUUAAACCAGAUAUUUUGAGCCAUAUAUUUUAAAAUACCUCAAGGCACCCUCAUUGUUAAAUAUGCUAUAUUUCUACUCUUACUUUUUCUUUCCUUUUAUAAUAUUACCCUUGCAACAAUAUUCUAACCUUUUUGAGGAUAUCAAUGAAAGAAAAAAAAUUAAUUUAUCAAAAUUUGCCUUAAAAGUAACAUAAAAAAUUCCACAAAUUUUUAUGUUAUUAUUUUACUUUUAGGAUUAAUUUGGUAAAUUAAUUUUUUAUAAAAUAACUAUUAGUAAAAUUGUUGCAAAUAUAUUAAACAUUUCUUUAAGUUGGAUAAUAUUGAUUUAUUUAUAAAUAAAUUAUUGGCAAUUAGUUCUUUCAUACUGAAAUUUAUUAGUUAAUUUGCUAAUCAAUAAUUAUUGGUUAAUACGCUAAUAAACUUUUAUAGAUAAAUUAAUUAAUGUCAAGAAUAUUAUUGCAAGGUAUUAUUAUAAAAGCAAAUAGAAAGUAAGUGCAAGAAUGUAAUAUAUUUAAUUAUAAAGGUAUUUUGAGAUAUUUUUGAAAUUAUAAGAACUAAACAAGCAUUUACCAGUUGAGAGAAGAUGAAAUGGGAAAAAUUCAAGGGUUAGGAUAUAUGAUGAGUUAAGGAUUAGGUCUUGUAAAAUCUUGAUUUGGGGAGAUGAUUUUGGAGUGUUUCAACCCUAAAUUCAUUUGGGAAGACUCAUUGACGUACACAUUAAAGGUGGAAAGUGUAGAGAGAGAGAGAAGGAGAAAGUGUGUGUUUAGAGUGAGAGAUGUGUAAUUCAAGUAAACAAGUUGGAUACUUGGAUUUCUCACUAAAUAGAGUAAGAUUUCCAUCAUUCUAUCAUUAUUUAUGCUAAAUUUAAUUUAAAGAUUUGUUUAUUUUAUUUAAAUUAAUGUUUCCAACAUAUGGUAAAGUGGUACGAAGAUAAAUUUUGUAAUUUGUGGAUUACUUUAGGUGCACACAGCACCAACAAGGCAUUGUAGAGCCAAAAAGACUUAGCACUUGAUGUUUCUGGUUCGAUAUAUAAAUAGCUAAUAAUUGUGUAUUAUGUUUAUGUAGUUUAUGGUUAGUAAUGAGAUUGGUGGUAAUGUAGCUCUAUAAUUAACUAUUUAUUUCCAAAACUAAGGAACUUCAUAUCGUAUUUUCUUCCAAAACUAAGGAGCUUCAUAUCAUGUAUUUCAUUAAAAAAUAGUCUCACUCUUAGACUUUAUGAGUUGCUGUGAAAAAUAAAUGAUGAUAAAUUUUCAUACAAAUUUAUUUUUAUAAAUUGAUACGACAUUAGUUCAUUGGUUGCAUGAAAUAUAAAAGCAGGUAGCAGUUGGUCCUUUGAGGAUCAUAAAAUUUAGAACCAAUCGGUCUAAAAAUUGCAUGCAAGUGCAAAGGUCUGCUCUUGUUGCAAAGGUAAUAGAGAAUCUCUUAUUCUCUAAAAGAGUAGUAGAAGAAUAGAAAAGAAUUCUAGAUGGUGAUAUGUGGAAGCUAGAAGAGAUAAGGAAAGGUCUUUUGGCUCCUUUAUUGUUGAGUUAUAUUGCUAUGCCAUCCAUGGUAAAAUGAUUUUUCUCAUAUUGUGCUGUCUUUUCAAAAGACUACAACAUGUAUAAAGAGGAACUAAUUACCCUAUGGAUGACUUAAAGUUACCUUAGUAUAACUAAUUACCCGGCGUCGGAGGGUUUACACCGGGAAAACACUCGGCGUGCUCUGACUUGUCUCUGUGUACGCAGGAGUUUGCGGAGAAGAAGCCUUACGAGGAGAGAUCCUGAUCGUGGUCGAGUUGGUUGAGGAGAGAGCUUGGUCGUGGUCGAGCAGGGAACCAAAAUCUCGCAUCAACACAGUUUCUGUUGCAAUUGUAUUGGCCUGGGUUUAGGGAACUGUCAACUUUCAGAAGAAGAUGGAGUUUCUCAAACCAAAUCUAAGAAGAUAUCUCACAUUCCCCACAUGGUCUCAACGCACAGGUAAGUUCUUCUCUAGCUCUGUUUUUCAUUGUUUGUUAUUUUUAAUGUAACUAAGAAGCAGAGUUAAUCUCUUAUCUUGUCCUUGCUUUGAGAAAACCUGCUUUUACAUCUAUUUUUAAUUCACAUGUCCACAGUAAUUUCAUUUUAGUUUGAGCUGAGUGAUAACUGUUCAAGGCUCACUUACUCAUUGGGAGAAGCUGCAUGACGCAGGCUGCAAGGAUUUAGAUUUUCAUUCGAAGGCUCACUUACUCAUAGUGUGCAUGUUUCGUUACGAUUAAAAUGAUUAGUCUCUUGUUCUUAAGUAUACAAUUUCCAAUGGAUUUGAUAGAGCGGUCAUCAACCAUAUUGAUGUUAUUGGAGUAGCACUGUUCUUAAGCACUGCUUUGAGGUCUCUCCCUCUCUAUAUACAUUGAUAGACUAUUCUGGUCGUACCAAAUUAUCCUUGUUUUAUUGUUUUGUUUGUUAAACUUUGACUGGGGGAAUCUGUUUAUUUGUCUGAUAUGAUGUUAGUGUGGUUUCGAUUGAAGUGUGUUGAUCUAUCACCAAGUAUUAUUUCAAUUUUUCUUUACCUAAUCAACUUGCAUACUUUCCAAGUCUAGAUCCUUAACAAUAGUGAGACUCCGCUACAGAAGUACGAUUUCUCUAGUUUUGUAGUUAAAUACGUAAGAAUAGUUUUAAAUUAACAGAACUCUGAGAUAGUUCUCUGAGGAAAUACAAGUGGUGAAUAUGGUUCCAACUUUUAAGUGCCUUAAGAUUCCCAUUUGUUCAGCCCUGUGCGUAAACAAUCAGUAAUUUCUGUCCAAAUUCUUCUUUAAUGCCUAUAUGUGUUGGACUUUGUCUACUGUUCAACUUCUCAAAUGGAUUCCAUGCAGGGUUUUGAAUGUCCAAUUAGGAGAAAGAUCAAGGCUUGCUUGGCUAGGAGUGGAAGCGGAUCCACUACUUCAGUCAGAUGACCUUUUGAAGAAGGCUUACAACAGGCCGUCUCAGGAUGUCAAUGGCUCAACUCAAAAGUCCCCAAAGUGGUUGAUAUCGAAGAAUGCCGUUGUCUCUGGGCUUGGGCUCCUUGGCAUCAAACAAGGGAAUGUCGACUCUGUUGAAGGGGAAGCAAGGGCUCCUAAAGUGCGAAGAAAGAGGAUAGGCCGGAAGAAGGUGACCGCAUAAAUUUCUUGGGAGUUGAUCCUAGUCAAUAGCCCAAUUUUUUUGUCAAAACAUUGGUCCCGAUUCCAGCAAAACAGUAACUUCCAUUCAAAAGGGUUCAGCGUUGAGUGCAUGUAAUCUGCACAAGUUUGACAAAAAAUAACCGAAAAAAAAAAAAGAAACCCACGUCCAAAGAUGCCGUUGAAAAAAGUUAUUGGGUAUUCAUAAUAAAAUAAACAAAUAAAAAAAUGAAUAAAAAUUUAAAUACUUAAUUAAUUUUUAUCAAAUUCUUAUCAAAUAUUUAAAAAAGUAUAUAAAAUGAAUUAAUUGAUGGUAUUAUUAAUUUUCAUGAUGAUUUUUAAUAUUAUAUUAGUGAUUAGUAAGUUUAAUACAAUCAAUAAUGCAAGAAAUUAUUAAAUGGUUAAUUUUAUUGGCAAAUUUUAUCAAAUACGCAAGUAAUGAAAAAUUAAUCUCAAGAGUUAGUAGAAGUAAAGUUCUAAUUUAACCAGAUGAUAGAUAAUAAAUACAAAUAAAUUUUAAGUAAAUCAUAAAUUAAAAAUAAAUAAAUUAAUUAAUAUUAAGUAUAAAUAAAAAAUAAUGACAUAAAUUAAAGUCUCAUAAAUGGAUAACUUUUUUUCUUUAAUCUUAUCCUAAGUCCCAACUAAAGGAAUGUGUAAAUUAGGAUUAUUAAUCCCAUAAUUUUAGGAUUAAACUUAAAUUUAGUCCCUUAGUCCAAUUCAAUUAAGCUUACCAAAUAUGAUAUAAAUAUAUAAUCACAAAAUUAGUCCAAUUCCAUACUUAAUCCUAGUAUUCGAACAUGGCCGGAUAAAAUAGUUUAGAUAAUAUACUUCUAUGGCUCACAAUUUAAAUAAAUUUGAGAAUUUAAAUAAGGGAUGGAAAAUUCACAAUAAUCAUACCAUGUACUGUCUUUUCUUCCUUUUCUUAAUUAAAUAAAAGAAAAAAAAUUAAUGACAGAACCACUGCUGUGUGAUAUCGAUGAAGUCGCAUUCGCCUACCUAAUAUUGCGCAAUCAGAUAGAAAAAAGGGUCGGCUGCAUGAUUUUUCCAACUUUUGUCUUAUUUUUCUCUUUUCCACUACAAAUUAAUUUGAGAAUGUUAUAUUUUCCAAUUCUCUUUUUGUCGUGACAUAAUAGACUAAAGCGGAAUCACAUACUUUUUCAAAUGACCAAAUGGCUUUGGCCUACCUGAUAAUAAAAGGAAUGGAUCCAUACGUUAAAGCUAAAUUGAAAAAUAUAAUAAAUAAAUUGUCAGGAGAUGAUUUUAUCAAAAAUUUCACUCGCACGGUCCCGACCAAAUACAAAUUUGUGAUGAUAUUCAUAAUGAAUUUAUACCAUUAGGCGAAAUUACUCUAUAUAGUUUCAUCGAUAUAUAUUAUACCAUUACAAAUAUACUAAUAUUUAUAAUAAAAAAAAUUUAUGACUAUUUUAAAUCGACUGUAUUAUAUGUGAAUUCACAAGAUUCAUAGAUAGAUUGCACUGAGCUUUUUGUUGCAGUUUACAAAUAUUUUGUUACUAAUUAUCUUAAGAGCAGCAAGUAACUAAAUACAAAUGUAAGAAAUUUCACAAGUGCUGAUGCUGUGUACUCUGCAGAAUUAAUAAUGGAUUAUUAUGAAUCAGAGAAACAGGGCAGACGCUGUACAAUUAUUGACGUGGUGGAGCAGAAAGCUAGCCCCACAUGGUGACUCCUUUAAUUUGCAGCACAAAAGAACGUUCACAUUGACAUUGACUCGAGGGUAAAAAGAAUGCAAACAUGCUUGAAUGAACAUUCUCACAGAAUACAUAAAAGCAAGAAAAGCAAUUGCAGCAUUUUCCAUUUGAUCUAAUAUCAGAAUGGCUCUUGCGAUCGUUUGCGCUCUCUUGGACCAGCUGAAUUCCAUUGCUCAAGAAAAGUGGAGGCUUUUGACGGGUGUCGAACAAGAAGUGGGAAAGCUUACUACCAAUCUUCAAGCCAUUCAAGCUGUGCUGGAAGAUGCAGAGCAGAGGCAAAUGAAGCAGGACAGAGCUGUUACUCUUUGGCUGGAUCAGCUCAGAGACGCAUCCUACGACAUGGAAGAUGUGUUGGAUAAGUGGAUCACUGAAACACGGAAAUCGCAGCUUGAUGAGGGCGGCGAUGAUGAAGAUGAUGAUAACGACAAUGCUUUUGUUACUCUUUUGACGAAGGUAUGUUCCUUCUUUCCUGCUGCCUCAAACUGCUUUGGUUGUUUCAAACAACUCAGUCUUCGUCAUCAUAUUACUGUCAAGAUUAGAGAAAUCAGUAAAAGGCUAGAUGAUAUUGCCAGACAAAAAGAUAGUUUCAAAUUUGUUGAGAAUGUGAGUAACAAUGUUAAGAAACCAGAGCGAGUGCGAACCACCUCCUUGAUUGAUAAGGGAGAGGUUUUUGGUAGAGUUGAUGAGAAAAAUGAGCUCUUAAGCAAGUUGUUGUGUGACAGUAGUGAACAACACCCUCAUAUCAUCUCAUUGGUUGGGUUCGGGGGUAUAGGCAAAACCACUCUUGCACAACUAGCCUAUAAUGAUGAUGAGGUGAAAAUAAAUUUUGAAAAAGUUAUAUGGGCGUGUGUAUCAGACACUUUUGAGGAGAUUAGGGUCGCCAAAGCAAUCAUUGAAGGUCUAGGCGAGUCAAAAAAAGCUUCUGGUUUAAGCGAAUUCCAAUCUCUUAUGAGCCAUAUCCAUAGAUCAAUUGGGGGAAAAAAAUUUUUUCUUGUCUUAGAUGAUGUAUGGGAUGGGGAUUCCAAUAAAUGGGAUCCAUUCUUCUUUUGUCUAAAGAAUGGUCUCCACGGAAGUAAAAUUUUGGUUACCACACGUAAUGAGUCAAUUGCACGUAUGAUGGGAACAACAGAGUCAGAUACUAUCUCCAUUGAACAACUGGCUGAAGAGGAAUGCUGGUUGUUUUCCAAGCAGUUAGCAUUUUUCGGUCGCUGUUUCGAGGAUUGUGAAAGAUUAGAACCAAUCGGGCGAAAAAUUGCACGCAAGUGCAAAGGCCUGCCUCUUGCUGCAAAGGUAAUAGGGAAUCUCUUGCGCUCUAAAAUUACAGUAAAAGAGUGGCAAAGAAUGUUAGAUAGUGAAAUGUGGAAAUUAGAAGAGAUUGGGCAAGGUCUUUUGGCUCCUUUGUUGUUGAGUUAUAACGAUUUGCCCUCCAAUUCGAUGGUAAAACGGUGUUUCUCAUAUUGUGUUGUCUUUCCAAAUGACUACAGUAUGAAUAAAGAAGAAUUGAUUAGUCUGUGGAUGGCUCAAGGCUACUUUAACGCAGAAGAAGACGAAGAAAUGGAGAUGAUUGGAGAAGAGUAUUUCAACAUAUUAGCAGCACGCUCUUUCUUUCAAGAGUUUAAAAAAGAUUAUUUCAAUGGUGAUUUUAUGUGGUGUAAGAUGCAUGACAUAGUACAUGAUUUUGCCCAAUUUAUAAGUAGAAAAGUAUGUCUGUGGCUAGAAAUUGAUGGUACCAAAGAAUCAGUCAUAAACUCUUUUGGUGACAAAGUCCGUCACUUAGGGUUAAAUUUUCAAGGAGGAGCUUCAUUUCCUAUGUCCAUUCAUGGACUUAAUAGAUUGCGUACCCUCUUAAUUUAUGAUAGAAGUCAUUUCAUUCCAUCUCUUAGUAGUAGCAUCCUUUCGGAGUUAUUUAAUAAAUUGGUGUGUUUAAGGGCAUUAGUUAUAAGGCAAUUUAACCUUUAAGUUUGCAUCCUGUGCCAGAUAGGAUUAGAGAAAUUCCAGAAAAUGUUGGAAAAUUGAUACAUUUAAAAUAUCUUAAUUUGAAUGGACUAUGUAUAAAGAGACUACCUGAGACUUUGUGUGAAUUAUAUAAUUUACAAAAGCUAGAUAUUAGGUGGUGCCGAAAUCUUAGAGAAUUGCCUGCGGGGAUUGGGAAGUUAAUGAACAUGAGGAGUUUACUGAAUUACGACACUCGUUCGUUGAAAUACAUGCCAAUAGGGAUUUCCAGAUUGACCAGCCUUCGAACAUUAGAAAAGUUUGUUGUGGGUGGAGGUGUUGAUGGCGGCAGCACGUGUAGGCUUGAAUCUUUGAAAAAUCUUCAACUCCUUCGUGAAUGUCGAGUAGAAGGGCUGAGUAAUGUAUCGCAUGUAGAUGAGGCUGAGAGGUUACAACUUUACAAUAAGAAAAACCUCCUUCGUUUGAAUCUCAAGUUUGGUAUAGCCGUAGAUGGGGAAGGCGAAGAAGGGAGGAGGAAGAAUGAGAAAGAUAAACAACUUCUUGAAGCCUUACAACCGCCUUUGAAUGUAGAGGAAUUACGGAUUUUGUCCUACGGAGGCAACAUGUUUCCCAAAUGGUUGACUUUGCUAACCAAUCGAAGGGAACUAAGGAUUGAUUUUUGUGAAAAUUUGCAAGAACUGCCAAUUCUAGAAGAUUGCAGGACAACAGACAUACCGCAUCUUUCUUUCUUGAUUAUUCAGAAUUGCCCCAAAUUAAAGGUGCUGCCGGAUUACCUUCUUCGGACGACGACGCUGCAGAAAUUGACAAUUUGGCGAUGUCCCCUUUUGGAAAACCGUUAUAGAGAGGGGAAAGGAGUAGACUGGCAUAAGAUAUCUCACAUUCCCCACAUCAAGUUGUCGCUGUGGAUGCCGUAAGAUAUCACUGGACGGUAAUUUCUCCUCCUCUGAUAUACUUCGUUGUUGCUUGCAAUGAAAUUAAUAAAAAUAAUUAUAUUUUGAAUUAAAAUUCUAUAUAGAAUCAAUCUUGGUAUAAAUAUGUAAAACUUCCUAGUUAUCAAAUCUGUUAGACUUGUUUUCUAUAUUUAUUUACUUUAAAAAAAUAUGUGCUCUUUUGUAAAAUUUGAUACAACAUCAUAGAAAAUCCCAAUGUAAUUUAUUUUUUAAUGUACGAAAAUUUGUUAUGUGUGACGUCCUGAGUGACAAAAUCUCCUUGAUACAUUUGCAGUAAUGUCGAAAACUAAAUUAUCAAUUUUAUCUUGUAUAAUGAUAAUCUUAUUUUUUUAUAUAUAAUUUACGUGACAUUAAUUCUUUAAAGUAAUUGUGUAAUUGUUUUUACUACAUUAGCCCACUUUGUUUUUUUUCAUACUUGUUUAAUUAUGUUCACCAGGGAUUCGAGGAAAUGUCAGAACUACACUAGCAAUUCACAGGUCCAAGCUAAUUUGGUUUUAAUGAUGCAGGCAGGAGAGCAAGACUAUGAAAAUGAAAAGUUUAGCCAAAGGAUUGCUAAAAUGUUCUGCUGGUAAUUCCCUUGCUUUAUUUUAUAGAAUUUCAUUUCUAUCUUCUUCUAUUGAUAUCUUGUUGUGAAUAAACAAGAACAGAGAGUAAAUGAUUGAACCACAGAGAAGUAAAGUAAUAUCAAAAUUCGCUAUUAUGAUGAUUUUAAAGCAAGCUCAAGCUCAAGCUUGCAUUUUUAUUUUAUUUUAUUUAUAGAACUUCCAUUUCCACCUGCAUUUCAUUUUUAUUAGACUCUAUGGAGCACAUUGGGGUAACCAAGGAUUAUCACUGUCGUUAUUGUGCAACGUUGGGUUGCUGGACUUUGAAGAAGGAAGCGAUGGCCGGGUCUGCUCUGUUUCAAUUGAGGAUGGAUAGCUGCCUGAAAGACAUGAUGAUUAUUAUUGCAUGAUGUUAAGGUGCUGAGAUCAUCAUUUCUAUCUUGUUUCAUUCUUGGAAUCGUUUAUCAUAUGCGUCAAUGGAGGCAGGUAUUUGGUGUUGACACUAUUAUGCAGGUAACCACACUUGAUAAUUUGCACAAAUUUGCGUUGUCAGAAUACCCUUUAAUAUUCAUUGUGUUUCUUUGUGUUAUCAGGUUAUCAUCUCCAAGGGUUUGAAAGAGCCUUUGCAGUUGUCAGAAUACCCUUUAAUAUUCAAUUAGGUACGUUUUGGUGCGGUCUCCCAAUGCUAAUAUCAUAUUUUGUAUAGCAAUUAAAAUUUAGCUAUACAAUUUUAAUAUGCAAUAAAUCAUUGUAUACAAAGUUUUUUAUUAAUUAUAUGGUGACUGAAAUUUUAAUUAUCAUAUCAAUUUAAAUUUUUUUGUAACUCUCUUUUACUUUGCUUGUACAGAGUACCUGUUUUGGCUGAUAUGUCUAAUUCGUAGAAAUUUAUUUCCAUCGGUUUCCAUUGGCUUUAGCACAAACAGAAACAGAGCUCUGGGGAAAAGUUUGACUUCUUGUGGUAUUAUGCCUUUGUUUCUUCAUUCAUCAUAUUUUUCGAAUUCAUGCUCUCAUUCAGAGGGUAAAGCCUUUUCAUGGCUGCUUUGUAGCCAAACUUUGACGCCAUUGAUGCAUGACUGUCAUUUAGAUUUUCCAAUAACGGUUAGAUUGGAGAAGAAUAAGAAGAUAUUGUUAAAAGGGUAUUUAAUUAGCGCCGUCUGAAUUUAGUUGCCAAUAAUGCAUUGAAAUAGUUGGGGAAAGUUAUUGUCUUAAUUAAAUUACAGGUGAUAAGAUGCUGCCUCAAUUUUGUAAGCAUCUCGUAUUGAGAAGAUUAAUUGUUGACAAGCCAAAUUUUAGGCAAAUUUUACCGUGAUUCUUGACAUCAUGGUAACACAGGUCAAAUUUUAGUAUCAAGACAUAUCUUCUUCUUUACUGUUCUGCCUCUAAAUAUUAAACUUUAGGCAAGUUGUUUUUGUUUGUGUAAGUUAUCAGGUUAAGGAUACCAAGCAGCUUAAUUGUUCACCACACCUGGUAGGAAUGAUCGCCAGGAAGAUUAAUUGUUGACAAGCCAAUUUUAUCAGUGUUAGAUUUUUUGCCUCCCUUUGAGAGAUAUCAUCAUCAAAUUUGUGUAGAGAAUCUUUGAAGAGAAUUUUGUUGUGAGAGUUUCACUGUAGUGAAUUUUGGGAGCUUGAACUCACUUGAGUGAGAUAAUAGAGUGUAUUGGGGAUUUGGGUUAUGAGUAAUCGUUAUCCUUCCAAUAUUUGCAAGCUCUUACUUGUUAGUAAAAUCAUCUUCGUAUAUUGACUCUGUUUCUUUGUUCCUUAUUUAAUUAGUUUCGAUUAUCAUAAUUAGUCACUCAUUCUGAAUUUUUCUAAUUUUAAAGUUCCUUAGGUCCGCCACCAGUUUUUCAAGUCUGCAUAUGGCUGCAAAAGAUCGAUGGUCAUAAAAUUAUCUUGAGCCUUGAGGCAUUGCGUUCGAGCUCACACUGUAACAGAGAUAAAGAUAAAGAAGACAGUAGAAGAUGCUCUAAACAUAACAAAAGUAUAUUUCUACGUCUUGUGGUUGCUUUAAUUUACUUUUGUUUCUUCUGUCAUCAUAUUUGAUUAAUUCGUUCGAAUUCACACUCUCACAUUAUUUAAAACUAUUUGUAGGUGGCUUGCAAGCUAGUUACGUUAAUGCAAAAACAAUACUCUAGACAAAGAUGAGCAAAUUAAAGGUGAUAAAUGCAAAUUGAAUGUCCAUGAAUAAUUGUUAGGCCGGUGCUGAUAAAUUGCUUCAAAGCAAGCAGCAUCUUCUGCUGCGAAGGCUUUCCCCACAUGAUAUGUUGUGAUUGUUACCGGCCCCGUAUUUAUUAACUCAGGUCAGUAUUAUCUUCUUCAUCAUUUUGGCUAUAUAUAAAGAUUAAAAUUUUGAACACUUGUCUCGGUUUCUUGUGUAAUCAGGCUAAUAGAGCAAAUGUUUACUGUCUAAGCACUAAUGCGACAAUCCCAUCUGUAAAUUUGGGCCAUCUUUGAUGUCUGACAGGUAAGCUGUGACAAUCCCAUCUGUAAGUACUAAUGCGCUUGGUUAUAGUGCUUUCAUUGGACUAUAUGCAAACAUGAGAUAUCAACUAUUGUGUGGAUUUGAUAGAGCGGUCACCAACCAUUUUGAUGUUAUUGGAGUAGCACUGUUCUUAAGCACGGCUUUGAGGUCUCUCCGUCUCUCUUUUACGUAUUUGUCUAUUGAUCGACAUCUCUAUAUAUACAUUGAUAGACCAAAUUACUCUUGCUUUAAUGUUAAUGUGGUUCCUAUAAAAGUGUAUAUAAAUCUAUCACCUCAAAGUCUGAUUUCAAUUUUCCUUUACUUAAUCAACUAGCAUCCUUUCCAAGUCCAGAUACUUACCAAUAGUGAGACUUUGCUACGGAAGUACAAUUUCUCUUGUUUUAUAGUUAAGUAUGUAAGAAUAGUUUCAAAUUUACAAAUUUCUGAUAUAGUUCUCUACGGAAAUGCGAGUGGUGAAUAUGGUUCCAACUUUUAAUAGGCUUAAUUGGCCCAUUUGUUCAGCCACAGUGAUUGCGGUCUGAAUUCUUCUUUACUGUCUCUAUGUGUUGGAGUUUGUCUAUUGUCCAACUUCUCCAAUGGAUUCCAUGCAGGGUUUUGAAUGUCUAAUUAGGAGAAAUCAACGGAUGACCUUUUGAAGAAGGCUUACACAACAGGCCAUCUCAGGAUGUCAUGGCUCAGCUCAAAAGUCCCCAGGUGGUUGAUACCAAAGAGUGCCAUUGUUUCUGGGCUUGGGCUCCUUGGCGUCAAACAAGAUAAUGGGAAAUAGGGGCAACUAAAGCGCGAAGAAAGAGGAUGGUCUGGAGGAAGGUGUCUGCAUAAAUUUGUUGGAGUUGAUGUAGUCAAUUGCCCAAUUUUGCUGCCUGUCGAAGAGACACAGCAUGGAAGUCCUCAUCAAACUCUGAGACACCUAAGAAAUAGUAUGAGGUGGUGGUAUUCCCCUGGUGUUAAUUUCCUGGCAAGUGUGGUUCACAGAUAGAGGGAUUCUUUUCUUGAUGUCUAAAUACCAAAUGUGAUGCAACGUCGUAUAUUCUAAGAUAUUAAAUUCUAUUUCAGAUUUCUCAUAUAGUGUCGUUGUCACUUCUGUGGUACACUUUUGAUCGCAAAUUUCCAUUUGAAGUAGCCGAUAUUCUUUACAGACUAAUUAUCUAAUGAUUAUUUUGUACAAAAAAAAUCAAAACUUUAAUUAUUUGAUCAUACUCAACUUAGGUCUUAUUCGAUAUUACUAGUUGUUAAUGUGUAAUAAAUGUAUGACUUUUAAAUAAUAAUUUUAAUAAAAAUAAUAAAGAUAUUAUAAGUUUUUUUUUAUAAUAAAGUAUGAGAUCAAAUCAAAUUAAUUUUGAAGUCACAAUAGCAAAUGUUUACCAAAACUAUUUAAUUAUAUGACUUAAAAGAUAUAGUUGUCCAAUCCCAACAAUAUAUAUAAAGAUUUACCAAACUUUACCCGACUUUAGUUGUACCCACUUGAUUAUGUAAGUCCAUUCUCCACGCGCUUGACCAUAUGAGAUGUUACUCAACUUUAACAAAUCUUACUUAAACUUUGCACGUUUGACAUGUUGGAUGAAAUAUAGCAUAUGAUGUGAUAGAAUACAAUAGGAAUGGUUGUAACAAGAUUAUAAUUAGUACUAGUUUGUAUUUUAUGUGAUGUAGAACGCAUUAUAUUACAACUUUUAGUGUUAUACUAAUUAAAAAUUUGAAUUAUUUUAUUAUUGUAAAAAUUUAAUAUCUUAAAUAACAGUUAUUUUAAUUAAGUAUUUUUGUUGCAAUGAAUUAUACUUUUUUAAAUAUAAUUGAAAAUUCUUAUUACUAAACUAAUAAAAAAUUAAUUAUUUGAGUUAUCUCCUAAACUACUUAGCUUACGAGAUAAAUUCACUUUGUUUAGAAUGAAACGGAUUACAUUUAGUACUAUUUUGUAUUUUAUGUGACGUAGUGUAUGAUUCAAUUAUAUUACAAAUUUUAUUGUAAUAAAAAAAUUUUGAAUUAUUUUAUUAUUGUAAAAAUACAAUAUCUUAAAUAACAAUUAUUUUUAUUAAGUAUUUUUUAAUGAUUUAAAAUAUAAUUGUAAAUUCUUAUUAUUAAACUAAUAAAAAAUUAAUUAUUUGAGUCAUCUCCUAAACUACUUAUUUCACGAGAUAAUUUCACUUAGUUUAGGAUGAAACGGUGGGUUAUUUUUAUGUGGGAGCCACAUCCUUUCCAUAUGAGAUGUUACUCAACUUUAACAAAACUUACUCAAACUUUGCACGUUUGGCAUGCCGGAUGGAAUAUGAUAGUAUAUGAUGUGAUAGAAUAUUAUAUGAUUAGAUGUAAUAGGAUUAUAUUUGGUCUUGUUUUAUAUUUUAUGUGAUCUAGUAUAUGAAUGGAUUAUAUUACAAAUUUUAUUGUUAUAAUAAUUAAAAUUUUGAAUUAUUUUAUUAUUGAAAAAAUAAAUAACAGUUAUUUUGAUUAAGUUUUUUUUUUCUGUUGAAUUAUAGUUUUAAAAUAUAAUCCAAAAUUUUUAUUACUAAACUAAUAAAAAAUUAAUUAUUUGAGUUAUGUCCUAAACCAACUUAGCUCACGAGAUAAAUUCACUUAUUUUAGAACGAAACGGCGGGUUUUAUGUGGGAAGCCACAUCCUUUCCAUAUCAACCUCAACAUCCAAACAUGAAAUUGGACUAAGAAUAGUUCUUUCCCAUGUAUUUACGUACCCUCCUGCCACUAAACGUAAUUGUAUAUUUUGGACCUUAUUUGACUUGAUUUUAUUAACUUAAUUUUCUCCAAUUUCCAUUGUCGACGUUGAGUGCAUGUAAUUAAUCCACAAGUUUUGAUUGAGCAGAAAUAGCCAAAAAAAACUGAUGAUAUGAUAAUAGCAAAAAAUCUAAUGACACCCACGUCCAAAGAUGCCGUUGUCACAAAGGCCUGGACGCCAUACCUCGAACCCAUCCCCUUUUACCAUGAGUGAUGAUACAGCCACAAACUCUUAUACAAACUUAUUUUAUACAAACUAAUGUGACAUCAAUUCAAUGGUUGAAUGAAAAUAUAAAAUAAUGAAAGUAAAUCAUGUGGGCCAAGAGAUAUUUAAUUUAACCAAUAAAUUGACGCCACAUAAGUUUGUACAAAAUAAAUUUGUAUAAGAGUUUGUGGCUGUAUUACUGUAUUAUUACUCUUUUACCAUAUUUUAUAAUUAAAGAGGUCAUUGUUUGAAAGAAAAGAAUGACAUGUUGGUAUGAAAUUACGUUAAAAUGAAUAUAUCACUUUUUUUUUUGUGUGAGUGAUGGCUUCGUUUAAUGACAAUUGGCAGACAAUGAAUCAUCUUUUAAUUUUAGUUUUGAUUUAAUAAAAAAUAUUAAUUUUUGUAGUUUCGGUAGAUGAAAUUUCGAAUCAAAUAUUAAUAUCGUUAAAGUACGCAACUCAAUAUUUACUUAAAUCAGAAAAAAGAUUAAUUGCUUUACAUGAAAAAGAAAAGAAAAGAAAAGAGUGAUCACUUGAUUUAACUUCCUUUACUAAAUUUACGAUUUAAAAUCUAAAAUGGAAAAAGGAAAACAAGUUUUGGAAACACACUCGGAGUUUUAAAUUGAUAUGAAAAAAGAGUUUAUUAUUGACAAUCUUUUUCCCAAAAUUUAAGCUAAGACAACAAUAUGUCCAAAAUACCCUCCACAUUAUCCCAAAACUUUAUAAACUCCCCCGUUCCUCUCAACAUCAUCUCUUCCAAAUCUUUCUUCCCCCCAAAAACCAGCCAUGGCUUCAUAUUCAAUUACCUCAACACUCCAAUAUUGGCUUGUAAACCACCCCCAAAUCCUCAACUUCACAUGGACUCCGAACCAAACACUAGCUUCCUCCCCACACUUCCUCAUUCUCUCCAUCCUCACUUACCUCUCCCUCACAUUCAUCCUCUACCACGCAUCAACAUCAACAUCACCACCUCUCAUUGGACCCCACAUCCUCAAGCCCAUCACAGCCGUCCAUAACCUCACCCUCUUCGUCCUCUCCCUCAUCAUGGCCGUUGGUUGCACUCUCUCCAUCAUCCUCCAUUUACCCUACCUCCGUUACACCCUUUGUUUCCCCACUACCAUUUCUCCGUCUGGCCCUCUCUUCUUCUACGCUUACAUCUUCUACCUCUCCAAAAUACUCGAAUUCUUUGACACCCUUUUGAUCAUUUUAUCAAACUCCAUCCAACGGCUCACGUUCCUCCACGUCUACCACCAUCAACCGUCGUUGUAAUGUGCUUCCUUUGGUUACAGACGAAGCAGUCUUUGUUUCCUAUUGCAAUUGUCACCAAUGCAAGUGUGCAUGUGAUCAUGUACGGGUACUAUCUAUUGUGUGUGAUGGGGUUGCGGCCAAAGUGGAAGAGAUUGGUCACUGAUUGUCAGAUUCUUCAGUUUGUGUUUGGUUUUGCUGUUUCGGUUUUGAUGCUGUAUUAUCAUUUCACGGGUUUUGGUUGCUCUGGGAUUUGGGGAUGGUGCUUCAACGUUGUGUUUAAUGCGUCCCUUUUGGCACUUUUUGUUAAUUUUUAUUCCAAGAGCUAUGCUAAGAAAAAGAAGCAGGGAUGAUCAAAGUGCUAUGAUUGUUUUGUGUUUUCUUUUUUAAUUUAUUUGAUUUUGGUUAAUUAUGAAUGGUGGUAAUUGGUUGAAUGCAAUUGAAGAGAUGCUUUCAGUUGCCUAAACUUUGUUUUUUCAAUUUUUGUUAUAGAUGUCAUAUGUCACCACAUUUUUUUAGUCUCUCCCUUUAAAAUUCCCUCACACAAACUUCGGAUUUGUAUUUUGUAAACUAGAAUUUUUCAUUUUCGUUAAUGUGUUAGCUGUUAUUAUCUACAAUUAUGUCAUACGACACACAUGUCACAUCAACUAAAAUUAGAUUAUGAAUUUUGGGCACAGGGCCAAGUCCCACCGUUUGGUAGGAAAUAAGUGUUGGAUCAUAAACUUGAUCCAAGAUAAAUAAAUUCAACCUUAACUCAUGGAAGGUUCCAUGAGUAGGUAUGGUUAGUGAGGUUUGAAUUAUUUGUGUUAGGUGUGGUAGGUGUGGUUGGUGAAGUAGGUGAGUGGUAGGUUUUAAUGGAUGGUGAGUAUUUGUGUAUUAGUUGAAUAAAUGAAUGGUUGUGAUUAGUUUGUUUCAUGGAUAAAUACCCCCUCUCCCCUUUGGUUUAAAUAUCAAGUGAAAUAACAAAAUCUCUAAGGUGUAGAGAGUGAAAAAUAAGAGUUGUAAUUAGUGAGGAGUGUUGUUGAAGAAAUAAAAUAGUGUGUUUUAUUUGUUAACUCUCCAACAAAGUGGUAUCAAAGCUAGUGCUUGAUGCUAUAUAUUGUCAUAUAGCAUAUCAAAUCGAAGAUCUCGAUGAGAGGAACGUGACGCCGCAAAAAUCAUCCUGACCAAAGACCAGACGCGCCCAAGCUCGCCGUCAGAAUUUUUCUGUCCUGAAGCUGAGUCGACUCACCGAGUUGAACCAACCUGAGUCGAGCCGAACUGAACCGAAUCAAGUCGAACCAAGCCAACUGGAGUUGAACCAAUCCGGACCGAACCAAGACUACUAAGCCAACGCUGACCGUUGACUGAAAGUUGACUCAAGUUCUUCCCAAGGCUUUUCGACGUGCCGGAUCCAUCUGUGCUUUCAGAAUCUCCAAAUUCUCACUCAAUUUGUGAGUUAUGGAAAACGGUGGUCUGAUGUCAUUUCAAGUUCCACAAUUAAAGAGAAGUAAGUUUGACAAUUGGAGUAUUAAAAUGAAGGCUCUAUUGGGUGCACAUGACGUAUGAGAUAUCAUGGAAAAAAAGCUUUAUUGAGCCAGAAAAUGAAGCCACUUUAACUGCGGCAUAGAAUGAGAAUUUAAAAGACUUGAAGAAGAAAGAGAAUAAAGCAAAGUAUCUCAUCUUUCAAUCAUUAGAUGAAGAUGCCUUUGAAAAGAUUGCUGGUAAAACGUGAGAAACUAGAGACCUCUUACAAAGGAGCGAAGAAAGUUAAGAAGGUUCAUCUCCAAAUAUUCCGAGGAGAAUUUGAGUCCUUACACAUGAAGGCGUCGGAGUCAAUUUCUGAAUACUUUACUUGGGUUGUGACCAUUUCUAAUGAAUUAAAAAGAAAUGGCGAGGAGUUAAAAGAGGUAAGGAUCAUUGAAAAAAUACUUCGAUUAGUAUACUCGAAGUUUGACCAUAUUAUUGUGACAAUUGAGGAAACAAGAGAUCUAGAGGAUAUGACGAUCGAGCAACUUUAAGAAAGGUUGCAAGUCUAUGAAGAAAAACAAAAAAAGAAGCAAGGAAUCGAAGAACAACUUCUCAAGAUGGAGGUCAAUCCAAAGAAAAGAAAAGAAAGCUCCGACAACGGAAGAAGGCAUAUUUAUCUCCCAAGAAAGCUAUACAAAGGAGAUUCUAAAAAAGUUCAAGAUGAAUGAUUGCAAGCCUAUAAGCACGCCAGUGGAAUGUAGAGUCAAGUUAUCUAAACAUGAUGAAGGGGAAGAUAUAGAUCCAACAUUCUUUAAAAGUUUAGUCGGAAGCCUACGUUAUUUGACAUGCACCAGACCAGAUAUCCUUUAUGUUGUUGGACUUGUGAGCCGAUACAUGAAGAAUCCAAAGACCACCCAUUUUAAAGCUGCAAAAAGAAUCCUUUGCUACAUCAAAGGUACAACUAAUUUUAGCUUGUUAUACUCAUUUUCUAAUGACUCCAAGCUUGUUGGAUAUAGCGAUAGCGAUUGGGGUGGAGAUGUAGAUGAUCGAAAGAGCACCACAGGAUUUGUGUUCUUCAUGGGAGAUACUGCUUUCACAUGGAUGUCAAAGAAGAAAACAAUUGUCCUGCUAUGCACCUAUGAAGCUGAAUAUGUAGCUGCCACAUCAAGUGUUGAUAAUAAUUUGGCUCAGAAAUUUGUUGAAGGAAUUAGGUUUGCCACAAAAAGAGCCAACCGAGAUUUGUGUUGAUAACAAAUCAGCAAUUGCCCUAUCCAAGAAUCCAAUCUUUCAUGAUUGAAGCAAACACAUAGACACUUGCUAUCAUUUCAUAAGAGAAUUUAUUACAAGAAAAGAAGUGCAAGUCAAGUAUGUAAAAUCACAAGAUCAAGCAGCUGAUAUCUUCACUAAGCCACUCAAGCAAGAAGACUUCGUAAAAUUCAGAAGUUUGCCUGGUGUCACAGGAUCAAGUUUAAGGGGGGGUGUUGGAUCAUAAACUUGAUCCAAGAUGAAUAAAUUCAAGCCCAACUCAUGGAAGGUUCUAUGAAUAUGUAUGGUUGGUGAGGUUUGAAUUAUUUGUGUUAGGUGUAGUAGGUGUGGUUAGUGAAGUAGGUGAGUGGUAGGUUUUAAUAGAUGGUGAGUAUUUGUGUAUUAGUUGAAUAAAUGAAUGGUUGUGAUUAUUUUUGUUUCAUGUAUAAAUCUCUAAGCUGUAGAGAGUGAAAAAUAAGAGUUGUAAUUAGUGAGGAGUAUUGUUGAAGAAAUAAAAUAAUGUGAUUUUUGUGUGUUUUAUUUGUUAAUUCUCCAACAAUAAGGAGCAUUAAUGAAAUAUGUUUAAUUAAGUAAUAAUUUGUUAUUUUAGAGUGAAAAAUAAGGGUAAAUUGUAUUCUACCCCAUAUUAGAUUGACAAACUUCAAUUUACCCCUUAAAAGUACAAAAACUUCAACUUAUCUCCAAAUACCAUUUUCUUCCCGUUAAAUUUAACUAUCGAAAGUAUAAAAUUAUAGUCUUACAUUCUCUCAACAGUCAACUCAUGGAUAAGAAGUCAAAACAUAUAUAUAAGGUAAUUUCCAUAAAACCCAAUGUAGGGGCGGGCAAUUGUUUGGUUUAGAAGUUAGGAACCGAAUGGUUUGAAAACAAAUGAACUGAUUGGUUUAUAUUUGGUUUACUUUGAACUGACAAACCGAUUGGUUCGCUUAAACUUAAUUAAAAAUACAUUUAUUUUAAAAUAUAAAUGCUUAAAAUAAUUUUUUUUUUCAUUUUUCAGUUUCCUAAUCUAAAAAUGUUUCAUAACCCUAAAUCAGCCGCCAUCUCUCUCAAGGUCGACGGCGGCACAACAAGCUCUCUCGGUCUCUCCCUCGCAAUCUCAUGGUGAUUGAUUUCUCGUGAUGUCUCCACUUUUGUUUCUUGUUCUUGUGUGAUCGAAUUCUCUCUAUACACACAUAGCCUAGCCUCUUGUUUUUUGGCUCAAUGGAGUUUCGUUUCUUUUCUCUCAGUUUCUUUCCUGUUGAAUUCUCGUGAUGUUUCUAUUUUUUUCUUUUUUUUUAGACAUGUUUUCGAAAUUGGCAUAAUACGAACCAAACCUGAACUGAAUUUCAAAAUCAAAUCGAAUUGAACCAAACUGAAAUUUUUAUGUUCGGUUUGGUUCGAUUAAAAAAUUUGGUAUGCGUUCGGUUCUCUUUCUUACGAACCAUUGGGUUUUAGUUCGGUUCGGUUUUGGUCUAGAAAAGAACUAACUAGAACCGAACCAAACCAAACCAAACCAAACCAUUUACUGGCCACCUUGCUCAUAUGUUUCAACAAAUUUCAAUGCACACUUAAACAUUUCAAUAAAAUUCGCUUUGUACCCAAAUUGAUAAUUUUUACUUUUUAAUUAGUUAAUUGUUAACUGCAGAAGUAUAAAAAAUUAUUUCUUUUUAAAAUAAGAAAAAUAAUUUUUUUCUAACUUUUUUCCUUUUUUAUUUUCUAGUUAAUUUCUUUAUCUGGUUCGGUUCAUUUUUCCCUUUUUUAUUUCUUACUGUUUUCCGCAUGUUCUCCACGCUUGAACUUUGCCAAGCAUCAUAAGGCCACAGUAGCCAUGCCAGCAACUUGCAACUAGGGGUGGGCAAAAAAACCGUAGUCUUAAAAAAACCGAACCGAACCGACGGUUUUUUCUAAUUCGGUUCGGUUUUUAUUUUUUUAAAAAACCGAAUAUACCGUUUGUAAAAAAAACCGAAAUGUCGGUUCGGUAUUCGGUUCACUUAGCUGAACCGAAAAACCGAACCGAAAAACCGAAUUAUUUUUUGAUUUUAUUCAAAUCAAACAUGUGUUAAUAAUUUUAUUCAAAUCAAACAUGUGUUAUUUCUCUUUAUAACAUUAUGAUUAUGUUUAUAUAGAUGGAGUAUUGGAGUUUGGUUAUAUAUUUUGAAAUUUUAAUAUUUCAUAUAUUUGGGAGUAUCUUAUUAAUAGUUAGUAAGAUAUUAGUGAUAAAAUGUGUUUUGAAUACUUUGUAUUUAUUGUUAAUAUUUGUAAUAAAAUUAGGAUAAAUUAAUUGUUGAAAAAAAUUAUUACAUUUAUGAGGCCCAAUGGGCUAAAAAUUUUAAAAUUCAAAAUAGGCCUAAUAGGCCCAGAACCGAAAAAACCGAACCGAACCAAACCGAUCUGAAAAGAACCGUUUGAGUUCGGUUCUUAUUGAGUUUGGUUCUUAUUCGGUUCUUUUUAUAAAAUAACCGAUUUAAAUCGGUUCUACUUAAUUUCGAACCGAACCGAACCGAACCGAACCGAACCGUGCCCACCCCUACUUGCAACAAAGUUUAGAGCUGCGCGAUGGUUGCAGCAACGUUAACGCCGCUAUUCCAAGUCUUGGCCCAUCAUCUCCUUUUCAACAAAUCUUAGCUUCUUCCCAAAUUCAUCAAUGAACCCCAAAACCAGAAUAAUCAUUAAAAUUAUUAACAACCAUUUGCUUGGAUCAAUGUAUGCUUGGCAUGUCUAUGGGCUUACUUGGAAUGGUCGCUGAUGGCCAUGGGCUUGCUUGGAUUGGCCGCGCACAGCCAUGGGCUUGCUUGGAAUGCCGGUACCCGUUUGCCACGGUUUUGCUAGCGUAUCCAUGGGUUUUGUUGGACAUGGCAGUGCGAGGCCAUGGGUGUUGCCGGACAAUGGACAUGGGUUUUGCUGGGCUGAUUAGGAAUUAACAGAGGCUAUGGAGUUGUUCAGUGUGUGAAAGAGAAAAAAACAUGAACGAAGAAGAAUAUGAACAGGGAAUAGAACGAAGAAGAUGAAGAAAGUAGAAGAGAGGGAAAAAAUAUUUUGCUUUUUUAUAAAUUUUCGGAUUUUUAUUUCAAAAUUUAUAAUUUUUGUUUAAAUUUGAGAAUCUUAAGGGUAAGAUUUUCUUUGUAACUAUGUGUAGAAGGAGGUUUUCAGAUGGUUUUUGGUUGGGUUAACAUGAAAUAUGCUUGUUUUAUGAAAUAUUAUUAUUGAGGUUUUGUUUUAUUUUCUAAAAAAUAGAUUAGAGGAUGAUUUUCAUUAAUGACACCCAUAAAGUUUGAAUUAGUUAUAUUAUAGAAAUAGUAGGGAUUUAAAUGAUAUAUCUUUUCAACAUAAAUAUAUCAGUAACAUAAGUUAUUCUAUAAUUAACAGGGUAUUAUCGUAUUUUAGUGAGUCAUUAUUGGUUGAUAGUUAUAUUUAACAGAUUUUAGACAGUAAAUUGAAGUUUAUUUUUUUUAUUUUUGAGUAAAUUAAAAUAUGUCAAUCUCAUAAGGGGUUAAAAUAUAAUUUAUCCAAAAAUUAGUGUUAAAAUUUUAUAGAUGAGUGUAUAUUAAGAUGUUCAAAGUAUUAGAACAUAAAUAAUCUUAGUUUUAAUAAAAUUUUGCCACAUAGUGAAUAUUAUCCUCAACCUCAAGAGAAACAUAUCAAUAAAAUAUACAAAAAUAGAAUGCAUUAGUACAUGUCAAUAACAAGACCAAUUAGAUCAUGUCAUAUUUGUUAUGUAGUUAUUUAAGCUAAUAGAGUAAGAAGUCCCAAAUACAUGUACAUCAUAUCUUGGUGAAGAAAUCGGUUCUACCCGAAAUACUUCUUCGUAUUGAAAUCAAUGAUGAUUGCUUGUUUAAAUAAUGAAAGUUAAAAUAAUUUUGUAAAUAAUUUCAUUCUUUAAUUUACGGUAUACAAAUAAAUUCAAAAAAUGUUAAUUUCUCUCAUACUUUUAGGACCCAAAAAAUAACAAAAAGUCUUAACAUAUUUAAUGGUUAUAUAUAAAUCAUCCGUACGUAUUUUUCUUGAGAGAAGCUCAAUUCGAUAGACAAUGCUCCCCUUAAUUUUCUUUUCUAAUUAGAUAAAAGAACAAGAGAAAUUGAUUACAAGAAUAACAAACUUUAAUUUACUUCUUAAAGGGUAAAAACCUUAAUUUACUUCUUAAAGGGUAAAAACCUCAAUUUGUCCUUAUAUUUGUUCAAAAGAUACAUUUUGUCUUCUUAAUAUAAACAAGUUAAAUUGAUGUUUCACAUCUUUUAGAAAUAAAUUAAAGAUUGUUAUUUUAAGUAGGAGGUAAAUUUCAAAUAAAACAUGUGUUCAUAUGAUAGAUGUGCAUUUUACAAUAAUUAAUAAACAAAAGGGUAGUGAUAUUUUCAACCUGUAAUUUUUGUAAAUCCACCCCCACUCCCAAGAAAUAAUUACAAUAAAUUCACAUAACUUUUUUAAAACUCAAAUAAAGAAAAAUUUUGGAGAUUUAAACUAUUGUAUACAAGAGGAUAAGAGUAAAUAUUUUUCAUGCAGUAUAAAAAGAAUGCGACAGCUCCUUUUCUUUCGGUAUUUUCACAACAAAAGCACACUUAAUAACUCAUCAAAUUAUUUCUCCUUUUCUUUGAUCGCUUCCCCUCUCCUGGAGCUGCUGAACUCCUUUGUUGCUGAUGAAGGGAACAAGUGAGGCUUUUCAAAAGAGGGCAAAGAGAUGGUGAUUCGAUUUGAUUCGAUAAUAGUAGUUUAUUUUAAUUGUUAUUCAUUUGAUUUCAUAGAAGUAAUUUUUAUUUUCAUUUUUUUGUUGAAAAUUGGUAAAAACGAACUAAAAUGAGAUAAUUACAUUAAAACAAUCUUCAAUGACUAAAGUAAUUUGAAAAAAUAAAAAUAAAAAUAAACAAGCUCAAAAUUUACCCCUAAUCCGAACAUUAUCCGAAUUCAGCCUAAUUGACCCAAAUCUAAUUGUAAUCCAAACUUGACAUGACCCGCAUAUAAUUAUAACCCGAUCAGAUCCAAACUCGACCUGAAUUUUUAAUUCAAUACGAUCCAAUCCAAAUAUUCCAAUCCCAUCAAAAUGAAACUUGAUUGGGUUGAUCCGAACCCGAAUUUGCCACUUCCGGAGGAGACCAUGACCCUAAAGGCUUUGAAAUAAUCUUUGCGGUUUCUUAAUGAAAUAGUAAAAGUUAUGCGCAAAAAGACUGUUUUGACCCUAGAAUACAUGAUAUAUAAAUUUCAGACAUUAUAUUCUGUGAAAUAAAGUCAAAGUAAACUGGUUGUUUGAUUUUUUAUUAAUUAUUUUCCAUUAUGACAAAAUGACAAAUAGACUUUAUUAAAAGUUUAAUAAAGUUUGGGCCUAACUCCUUGAUUUUUAUUUUUUUUAAUUAUUUUUCAUUUUGUUUUUUACUUGCAACAUUAGCUUUAAUUAUCAAUAGUCUCCAAAUCAAAAUGACUGCAACCUGUAGCUACAAGCAAAAUUCUCAAAUUUUGAAAUUUCUAACGACUACAUAAGAGCUAUAAAUAGAAAAAUCAUCUAAAAUUAAUCCUCCUUCAGAGGCAGAUUAAAUUCUUAGUAAUUUCAUAUAAUUUCAUUUCAUCAGAACAAUUUUCCAAAAGCAAUUUUAUAAAUGGUUGUCGAAAGCUUUAUCCCUUAAUUAUAUGUCACGUAUUUUCUUUGUGAUAUGAGGCGUGUCCAUAGACCAUAGUAUGAUAUUUAUUGUAAUUAAAAUCAUUAUGGAACUGAUUUUAUUCUUGUUUCUCAAACAAAAUAUCUAACUGCAGAUGUAAUAAAUUACUAAUUACCAUUAUUUGAGUCGCACUCUUUGAAUUGGAUCUUGGAGUUUCGAAUGACCAAAUGAAUUAGUGAGAUAAUGGCUUUUGCUUUUGUCUACCUGAUAAUAAAAUUUGUCCACCAUAUAGACAAGAAAUGGAUCGGAUCCAUAUGCUAUAGCUAAAUUGAAAAAUUUAUGUGGAGUUUUAUUGUAAGACAUUUUUAUCUGAAUAGAAAAAAUAAAUUUUUUUUAUUUUUAUCUAAAUGAUAAAAUAUCUGAAUAAAAAAUCAGUUUUCUUCUCACAAAUACCCUCAUUAAAUAUAUUUAUUUUCUACUUAGCUAUUAGAUGUCAUAUUAGAAUUUCCUUUGAUCUCAGAUUUUACUUGGUAUUAAAUACUUAAUCUGCGUUCGAUUCGAAUUUAGACAAAUUCUUUUGUCAUUAGAUAACAACGUUUUUACUGAAUUUGAUGUUCAUACAGAAACAGUCAAGUCCUUGUUGACUGAAAUUGGCAUUUCUCUUGUCUCUGCUCCUAUCAUUUGGUGUGAUAACCAAAGUGCAGCUGCCUUAGCAAGUAAUCCUAAAUUCCAAGAACUUAAAUUUAACUCUAAUAAAAGCUCAAAGUUAGUUAUGUUCCAAGUUCUCAUAAGUCAUAACUCAUCUGAUAUCCUUACUAAAGCUUUAGCUUAUCACCCUUUUCAUUAUCUGAGAGACAAGCUCACCCUGACUUCACUAGGCUGAGCUUGAGGGGAGAUGUUAAGAGUAUAAGCUGAAGCUGCUGAGCUGGCUGGUGACGUGCUGACGGUGUUGAGUUGACUAAUGUUUUGUAACUAAGUUGCUGAGCUGGAUUGGGUUGUUAUUUGCACUGAAUAAGUUGUAACGAAUUGUCCAGCUGGCUUGUUAUGAUUGGAAGGCUAAUUAGUUUGUUAAUAUUGCAGCUUUGAGCUCUGUUUCUGUAAUCAGUUUUGAGUGUAACUAUAAAUAUCACGCUCAUAAUGUAUGAUUUCAGCUUUAAUCAAUAAGAAUCUGUGAUUGUUCCAGAAACUUCAUAGUCAAAUUUUCUUUCUUAAUUUUCUUUCACUUUCUCUCGUGCCAAACACCUUAUUGAUUCAAAUAAAACUCCAUCCAAAGGCUCACGUUCCUCCACGUCUAUCACCAUGCAACCGUCGUCGUAAUGUGCUACCUUUGGUUACAUAGUAACCAUGUUAAAUUGGAUUUUCUAUAUGAUAUUAUCGUUAGCUUCAUUGUUUAAAUAUACCGUUAGUGAAAGAAUCGUUCGUGAUUAGGUACUUUACAACUACAACACGAUAAGCAAUCAAAGUUACAUGAAAGAAUCAGUAAUUAGUAGUUAGGUUAGAGGUGAAACGUGCAUGUUACAGGGAAGUAGAAAACAUGUCAAGUUGUUAUCAUAAAGUGAAUAUCCAAUUUAAGAAGAUAAUAACUGGAUUUUGAAUUCAAUUUCACUCUGUUUUAGUAGUAUGUAUUAUAUCUCACGAAUAUGAUAUCAGUGAAAAAUGUAUAAGUUAUGGGCUUUGAAUUUAUAUUAAUGCAUAUAUACUAGCUAUGAAAAUGACGAAUUCUAAACAGAUUUUGCUAUUUAACAAGUAAUUAAGAGGUCUAGCAAUCAAUUAAUAAAAAAGUAAUUCAAUAUAACAUUGCUACAAAGAAAUUAAACUAUAUAUAACAACUAUUUCAAUGAGACUAAUGAUAAUUAUAUCUAAGGUUUGAUCGAACAAACGGGCAAGAACAGCAAAAGCUAAUCUUAAUUUAGAAAUUUUUAUAAGGGGGGAGGAUUGUAAUAUACGCACUUGGACUUUCUUAAUAAAGUGCUGAUUUUUAUUUUCCUCUUCUCUAUUAAUUUUUAAUUUCGUCACUAUAGUUUAAUUGGGAUAAAUUGAGCUCGAUUAUACGCGCCGAUGGUCGGAUUUUAUUUUCGUAACGGGUCUGAAAUUCGCUUAAUUUGUAUUAAGCUUAAAAAAAAAAAAAAAAAAAAAAAAAAAAAGAGGGGCAGAAUUGUAUAACUGGAAAGAGGGAAACGGGUUUUCCAUUUUAGAGAGAAAGAACCCGAGAAGAGAGAGAAAGAUAGAGAGAGAAGUCAGACCCGUUGACCCGAGAACCCGACCCAGUAACCCGCGGAUUGACCCGACGAUUUCUCCCAACUCCAGCCACUUUACCGGCCGUGCUUGGUACCGAUCUGAAGCUUGGAAGCAGACCAUCGUAUCCCUGCUGUUAUCGUCGCCGGAAACUGGCCAGAACGCCGGUGAUCGAGCUCGAAAAGUCGCGGCUUCGACCCGUUUUCGUUGCCGUUGAUCCCGCCGGAGUUGUGACGCGCCACCACUUGGAACUGGUUCCUCACAUCCCCAGCAACAUUUCCCGACCAGCAACGACCGCCGGGGACGCCCGGAACUCGCCGAAUGAUCUCCGAAAAUUUGCGGAACUUUGGAACUUCGAUCCGCCGCCGGUAGCGCGCGUGGCGACUCACUGCCACCACCGUUGGAUUCAUCGAGGCCGGAACUAGCAGACCUAAGCUCCCCGUCAUCGUUGACUGAAGUCCGGUCACCGUUGACCGGCAGGGGCAAUUCGGUAAAUUCAUGAAACUUUGGGGUGAAUUUGUAAUUUUAUGUAAUCAGUGGACAUUUCGGUAAUUUUAUGCCCUGAGGGUAAUUUCGUAAUUUCGGACAAUGUGAUUAAUUUAUGUAAUCUGAAUUGAGGACAAUAUGGGUAUUAACGAAUAUGAGGAUAAUUUGGUAAAAUCAUGAAGUUUGAGGAUAAGUUGGUAAAAUAUUGAUGUUGGGGUAUUUUGGUAAUUUUGGCCUAUAGGGGCAUUUUGGUAAUUUUAUACAUGCGGGACUAGUUUAUCGUUAAUAGAUAUUUGUUUCGAGAUUUAUUAUAUUAAUUGGUUUUUACGGAGAAUAAUUAUGGUGUUUUCCGUGAUUAGGAGGAUCCGCAUCCGCGAACGAGAAUCUACCCGCGGACGUUGUUGAUACUGAGUCUAGACAUCAUCACUGUGAGUGGAAUAUACAAAACCUAUUUUCAUAGUAUAUGCUGAUUUUCUUAUAUAGUACAGUAUGUUUGAGAAAUAAAUGUUUAAUGCGUUGAUUUAAUGAUUUUCCAGCGAAUUGACUUUUAUUUAUGUGUUGAUAUUUAUUAUGAUUGAGAAUGAGUUCGAUUUAUGAUUUUAUUAGCGUUUUUGAGUAAAAGCAUGAUAUUAGAAUUGAGCAGACUUGAGAUAUGUUGAAUAGAAAGAAAAUGAGAUUUCAGAUGGGAUCAUAUGUUUACUAUCAGUUUUGAAAUCAUUAGACAGUACCCUUCCCUCCAGAUACAGAGAUACAGAUAAAAAGAGAUACAGAUAAGAGAUACAGAUAAGAUGAGAUAGAGGCCUUUGGGGCCCGUCGGGACACACAUAGAGGCUUUGGGCCGUGUGUUCGGGCGCUUUUGCCUUUUGGGGGCUUAUGCAUGCACAGUACAGAUAUAUGAGAUAAGAGAUAUGAGAUAUGAGAUGAGAUCGUCCCCAUCUAUCCGUUGUGGCUCCGGGGCGUGACGUUACCCAGAUAGUGCGUUAUUGCCUGGCCGUUGUAGCCCGGAUAUGAUCAGAUUAUCCCCUGGGUACUUGUUUGAUGACAGUUUUUAGUAUUCAGUAUUUAAUAUGAGUAUGGUGAUUCCAUCGAUUUUAUGCAGAUUUAUUAUUGCAGUUAUUCAAUUUGAAUUAAAUGAGUUUAUGAUAUUUUGAGAAAUUGAUUUGAGAAUUGAUUUACGAAAUUGAAAUUGAUUUAAGAAAAGAUUUGAGAAAGAUUAAAUGAUUUUGAAUAAUUUAUUAAAGUAUCAGCACCUACUAUCCACUCACUGAGCUCACUGAGUUUUAUACUCACCCCUCUUUUAUUAUAUUUUUCCCCCCACAGGAGAUUUACAGGUACAUCAGUCAACCCAGUAGUGAACGUUAGUUUGAUAUUGUGGUCACGUGAUGGUGCUAGAAGUCGUGGAUUUUAUUAUUAUAUUCGAAAUUUGUGUUAUUAUUUUAUGUUAUUAAGGAUAAUCGUUGUAUUUUAAUAUUCGGAUGAUUUUGGUGAUAUUUGAGAAGUUGGUUUGAGAAGUUGGUUAUGGAGGAUGUUUGGUUAUUAAAUUAUUUCGGGAGUGUUAUUUUGUCAAUUGCAGGGUUGGAUAUGUUUUAUUUAUAAGGGAGACUCUGCCGAAAUUUUUAUAGAUUUGUUAUUAAUUCGAUUUUACGAGUUUAGAUAGACUCGCCCUGGGGGAGGUUGCGGGGCGGGUCGUUUCAGUUGGUAUCAGAGCAUGGUUUUAGAUUCUGUAGACUUUAUGGUCGUAAAUAGAAUAAGUUUUGAUUAUUAAGUCGGAUUUACUAUUUUGUAGGCACCAUCAUAAUUAAAUUAGUUAGAAGUAAAAUUAUCUCUCUAGUAUUAUGCAAGGGUAGAAAUUUGGGUUGUACCAUGUUAUAAUUAUCAAGGAUAGUUUUGAUAGAAUUCUAAUUGUAAUAUAUGACUGUAUAAAAAAAAAAGAACAUUAAUGAAAGAUGUUUAGGUAAGGACUAUCUUGGAAUAGAAUUUUGAUUGUAAUAUAUCAAUAUAUAAAAAAAAAAUUUAUGAAAAAUGUUUAACAAGGACUGUUUUGAUAUUUUAAUGAGUAGUAAAAAUUAAUGUUAAAAUUUGAUAGAACAUAUAUAAAUAAUCCUAGCUCUAAUAAAAUUUUGCUACAUAAUUAGUUUAUCCCUUAAAGAAACAUAUCAAAAAAAUAUACAAAAACACAAUGCAUGAGUACAUGUCAAUCACAAAUGAAAGCAAUUAAGAUAAAGAAUAUGAUUUAUUUUAUUUUAUUUUAGUUAUUUUUUUGUUUCUUUUGAAACAAGACCAAUUAGAUCUGCAAGAAGUAAUUUUUUAAAAAAAUAAUAAAAAAAGGAGAAAUGAUGAAACCCACGUCCAAAGAUGCCGUUGUCGCGGAGGCCUAGAUCUCACUACACCCCAUCCCCUUCUACCAUAUUUUAUAAUUGAAGAGGCCAUUAUUGAAUUGAAAAAUUAUGAUUCAAAUAUCCAAAAGUAGAAAAAGAAAAGCAAUUGUUGGAAACACACUCGGAGUUUUAAAUUGACAUGAGAAAAGAAUAUAUUCAUCAACCUCAUACGUUAAUGAUGCGACGAGUUUAAGAAUAUAUUCCUAACGUGUGGGAAUUUAAAGACGUUACUACAAAACAUGUGUUCGUCGGUGGAGUAGAAUCAGGGAAAUUAAAGAUGCUACUACAACCACUAACGUGUGGGUGGAGAUAAGCAUAACUUUUUUCAUCAAAUGCCAAAUCCCCCCAGGUGGAGAGUGGGGACUCCUUCGCAUAAAUGUUGAUAAAAUUUUGACUAUGAUGUUAUUAGGAAUUAAGGGAAACUGUGGUGCAAUUGUGGUAUCGUGUCACAGUUGUAUUUGGUCGUUGGAUGUCAGUAGACCCUACCCAUAUAAGUGUAUCUAAUGGCUAAAUGUAAUUAUAACACGGUACCGCAAUUGCACCGUAGCCGAACCCUAAAAAUUAAGAUAUUCUCUCUCUACGUAUGCCUGCACGAAAUAAAUAAUAUGCAAAUAUAGUAUUUUAGUUUAUUAUUAAUAGUUUUACAAUAAUAAAAAUCAUUUUGAUAGACUGGAAAAUGUCAUAUUCGCAUUUUAUUUUGUACGGACGUCUGCGAGAAAGAACAUAUAUAUAUAUAUAUAUAUAGAGGAACGUGUAUUUAAGAUUUAGCUAGUGUGAAGUUGGGAAAUUUUUUUUUUGAACCCAGGCUAAAAUUAUUUCAAUAAAUUUUGAUCAUGGAGACUAAUAAGAUUUUUUUAGUUAUAUUUAUUAAUUUUUUAGGGACUAAUAAAUUUUGAUCAUGGAGACUAAUAAGAUUUUUUUAGUUAUAUUUAUUAAUUUUUUAGGGACUAACAUGAAUAUUAAUAAUUUUAUUGAGAUUAUUAAAAAAACAAUGUGCUAUUUUACAUCUAUGACUUUUCCAAUCUUUUUUUCUUUCGUUAUUUAUUCCUUUGUGAAUUUUAGUUAAUGCUUGAUAUUAUUUUUUUGCUCAUUUUUUAAAGCAGUAAUUAAAUCUGAACCCUUACAGUAGAAGAUUAUGAAAAAGUAAAGACACAAAAAUCAUAAAAAUCAUUAGUACGUCCAAAUUGUGCUAUUUUCAUACAUAACUUGAGAAUAUUUAUAAUUACGCAUCAGAACUAGUGGAGUAGAAUCAGGGAAAUUAAACAUUCUACAAUCAUUGACGUGUGGGGUGGGGAUAAGCAUAAACCUUUUCUAUGCAGUAUAAAAGAAUGCAAUAACUCCUUUUGUUUCAUAUCUUCGCAGCAAAAGCACAUCUAAUAACUCUUCAGAAUUCUCGUCUUCUUUGUCAGAAUGGUUGAUGCGAUCGUUUCCUCUCUCCUGGGGCAGCUGAGCUCUGUUGCGGCUGAUGAAGUGAAACAGCAGGUGAGGCUUGUGACUGGUGUCCGACAAGAAGUGACAAAGCUUACCAGCAAUCUUCGAGCCAUUCGAGCUGUGCUGGAAGAUGCAGAGAAAAGGCAAAUGCAGCGCGACAAUGCUGUUACUUUUUGGCUGGAUCAGCUCAAAGACGCAUCUUACGACAUGGAAGACGUGUUGGAGGAGUGGACCACUGCAAGGCUCAAAUUGCAGAUUGAAGGCGUUGAUGAUGACAAUGCUCUUGCUCUUGCUCCUCAUAAGAAGAAGGUACGCUCCUUCUUUUGUGCUGUAUCAAACUGGUUUGGUAGUUUCAAACAACUUAGUCUUCGUCAUGACAUUGCCGUCAAGAUUAGGGAAAUCAAUGGAAAGCUAGAUGGUGUUGCCUCCCAAAAAGAUACGUUUAAAUUUGUUGAGAAUGUGAGCAACAAUGUUAAGAAACCAGAGCGAGUGCGAACCACCUCCUUGAUUGAUGAGGGAGAGGUUUGCGGUAGAGUUGAUGAGAAAAAUGAGCUCUUAAACAAGUUGUGUGAAAGUAGUGAACAACAACAAGGCCUUCAUGUCAUCUCACUAGUUGGGUUAGGGGGUAUAGGUAAAACCACUCUUGCACAACUAGCCUAUACUAAUGAUGAUGUGAAAAGAAAUUUUGAAAAAGUUAUAUGGGUGUGUGUAUCAGACACUUUUGAGGAGAUUAGGGUCGCCAAAGCAAUCAUUGAAGGUCUAGGCAUGUCAGCUUCUGGUUUAAGCGAAUUCGAAUCUCUUGUGAAACAGAUUCAGGAAUAUAUUACGGGGAAGAAAUUUUUUCUUGUUUUAGAUGAUGUGUGGGAUGUAGAUUACAAAAAAUGGGACCCAUUCUUUUCUUGUCUAAAGAAUGGCCACCAUGAAAGUAAAAUUCUAAUUACCACACGUGAUAGGUCAGUUGCACUACAGUUGGGAUCAAUAGAUAUUAUCCCUGUCAAGGAGUUGGCUGAAGAGGAAUGCUGGUCGUUGCUCGAGCGGUUAGCAUUCUUCCGUCGUUCUGUUGAUGAUCAUGAAAAAUUAGAACCAAUCGGGCGAAAAAUUGCACACAAGUGCAAAGGCCUGCCUCUUGCUGCAAAGGUAAUAGGGAAUCUCUUGCGCUCUAAAAUUACAGUAAAAGAGUGGCAAAGAAUUUUAGAUAGUGAAAUGUGGAAAGUACAAGAGAUUGGGCAAGAUCUUUUGGCCCCUUUGUUGUUGAGUUAUAACGAUUUGCCCUCCAAUUCUAUGGUAAAACGGUGUUUCUCAUAUUGUGCUGUCUUUCCAAAAGACUACGAGAUGGAUAAAGAGGAGUUGAUUGAUCUGUGGAUGGCUCAAGGUUACCUUAAUGCAGAAGAAGACGAAGAGAUGGAGAUGAUUGGGGAAGAGUGUUUCAACAUUUUAGCAGCACGCUCUUUCUUUCAAGAGUUUGAGAAAAAUGAUGAUGAUGAUGAUAUUAGGAGUUGCAAGAUGCAUGACAUAGUACAUGAUUUUGCCCAAUUUGUAAGUAGAAAAGAAUGUUUGUGGGUAGAAAUGUAUGAUAACAAAGAAUCAGUCAUAAAGUCUUCUGGUGUCAAAGUCCGUCACUUAGGGUUAAAUUUUCAAAGAGGAGCUUCAUUUCCUACGUCCUUUUUUGAAUUUGAUAGAUUGCGUAGCCUCUUAAUUUAUGAUAGAAGUUAUUCCAAUCAGGUUCUUAAUAGUAAAUUGGCGUGUUUAAGGACAUUAGUUAUAAGGCAAUCGUUCCAAUAUUUUUAUCCUAUUUCUCUUGACUCAAAUGCGAUUAGAGAAAUUCCAGAAAAUGUUGGAAAAUUGAUACAUUUAAAAUAUCUUAAUUUGUCUAAAUUAGCCAUAGAGAUACUACCUGAGACUUUGUGUGAAUUAUAUAAUUUACAAAAGCUAGAUAUUAGGGAGUGCCGAUAUCUUAGGGAAUUGCCAGCGGGGAUUGGGAAGUUAAAGAACAUGAGAAGUUUACUGAAUGAUAAAACUUAUUCAUUGAAGUACAUGCCAAUAGGGAUUUCCAGAUUGACCAGCCUUCGAACAUUAGAAAAGUUUGUUGUGGGUGGAGGUGUUGAUGGUGGCAGCACGUGUAGGCUUGAAUCUCUGAAAAAUCUUCAACUCCUUCGUGAAUGUAGAGUAGAAAGGCUGAGUAAUGUAUCGCAUGUAGAUGAGGCUGAGAGGUUACAACUUUACAAUAAGAAAAACCUCCUUCGUUUGCGUCUUUGGUUUGGUGGAGUCGUAGAUGGGGAAGGCGAAGAAGGGAGGAGGAAGAAUAUUGAGAAAGAUAAACAACUUCUUGAAGCCUUACGACCGCCUUUGAAUUUAGAGGAAUUAGGGAUUGUAUCCUACCAAGGCAACAUUUUUCCCAAAUGGUUGACUUUGCUAACCAAUCUAAGGAAUUUAUUUCUUUCCUCGUGCGUUAACUGUGAGCAUUUGCCUCCUUUGGGAAAAUUGCCUCUGGAAAAACUCAAACUAUGGAAAUUAAAAAGUGUAAAAAGAGUGGGUAAUGAGUUUUUGGGAAUAGAAGAAAACAGUGAGGACGACCCAUCUUCAUCUUCAUCGUCAUCAUCAGUUAUUGCCUUCCCCAAAUUGAAAUCACUCGAAAUUUGGGACAUGGAGGAAUUGGAAGAGUGGAAUUACAGGAUUACGAGGAAGGAAAACAUCUCCAUCAUGCCCCGUCUUUCUUUCUUAAAAGUUGUUUUUUGCAACAAAUUAAAGGCGCUGCCGGAUUACCUUCUUCAAACGACGGCACUGCAGGAACUGCGUAUUUUUUCUUGUGAUCUUCUAGAAGAACUGCCCAUUCUAGAAGAUCGCAGGACAACAGACAUUCCACGUCUUUCUUCCUUGCGAAUUUCGGAUUGCCCCAAAUUAAAGGUGCUGCCGGAUUACCUUCUUCGGACGACGACGCUGCAGGAAUUGACUAUUGACGAAUGUCCCCUUCUGGAAAACCGUUAUAGAGAGGGGAAAGGAGAAGACUGGCAUAAGAUAUCUCACAUUCCCCACAUCGAGUGGUAAAUUCUCGAAUGGUUGCAAUUACUAUCACCCACCGGUAAUUUCUCACCUCUAUUUUACUUUGUUGUUACUUCAAACAACGACACUGCAAACAUUGACAAUUUGUACAUAUCAAUAAAAUGUACAAAGUUAAAAAUAUAGAAUGCAUUAGUACAUGUCAAUAACAAGACCAAUUAGAUUAUGGCAUUGCUUUAUUUUAUUUAUUUAUUUUUUUGAUUCUUUUGAAACAAGAUCAAUUAAUUAGAUCAUGCUAGAAGUUAAUUUUUUUUUUCAAAUGAAAAAGGAGCAGUCAUACAAAGUUUGAAUAUAAAAUUUAUAAUCUAAAACUAAUAAUGUGACAAUUAGCAUGUUAUUAACCUAUCUAAUAGAGUAGGAAGUCCCAAAUACAUCAUAUUCUGCUCCAGAAAUCCAUUCCACCUAGAAUACUUCUUUCUAUUGAAAUUAAUGAUGAUUUGUUUGUUUGCAUCAUGAAAGUUAAAAAUAAUUUUAUGAGUAAUUUGAUUCUUUACGGUACAAAAAAUAAAUUUGGAAAGUACUAAUUUCUCUCAUACUUUUUGGGCUAAAAAAUAAAUGUAACUCCAACAUAUUUAUUAUUUAAUGGUUCUAUAUAGAAUCAAUCGUGGUAUAAAUAUGUAAAACUUCCUAGUUAUCAAUUUUGUCUUGCAUAAUGAUAAUCGUUUUUUUUUAUAUAUAAUUUAUGUGACAUUAAUUCUUUAAAGUAAUUGUGGAAUUGUUUUUACUACAUUAGCCCUCUUUGUUUUAUUUCAUACGAGUUUAAUUAUGUUCACCAGGGAUUCGAGGAAAUGUCAGAACCACACUAGCAAUUCACAGGUCCAAUCUAAUUUGGUUUUAAUGAUGCAGGCAGGAGAGUAUGCUAAGAAAAUGAAAAGUUUAGCCAAAGGAUUGCUAAAAUGUUCUGCUGGUAAUUCACUUGCUUUAUUUUAUAGAAUUUCAUUUCCAUCUUCUUCUAUUGAUAUCUUGUUGUGAAUAAACAAGAACAGAGAAGUAAAGAUAUAUCAAAAUUAACUAUUACGAUGAUGCUAAAGCAAGCUCAAGCUCAAGCAUUGCAUUUUUAUUUUAUUUAAUUUAUAGAAUUUUCAUUUCCACCUGCAUUGCAUUUUUAUUUAUUUUUAGGUUGACUUUGAAUACUUCAUGGUGAAAAUGACGAGUUCAGCCAAAGGAUUGCUAAAUGUUCUGCUGGUAAUUCACUUGCUUUAUUUUAUAGAAUUUCAUUUCCAUCUUCUUCUAUUGAAUCUUGUUGUGAAUAAAGAAGAACAGGUAAGUAAAUGAUUGAACCACAGAGAAGUAAAGGUGUAUCAAAAUUCGCUAUUAUGAUGAUGUUAAAGCAAGCUCAAGCACAAGCAUUGCACUUUAUAUUUUAUUUAGUUAAUAGAAUUUUCAUUUCCACCUGCAUUUCAUUUUUAGGUUGACUUUGAAGACUCUAUGGAGAACAUUGGGGUAACCAAGGAUUAUCACUGUGGUUAUUGUGCAACGUUUGGUUGCUGGACUUUGAAGAAGGAAGUGAUGGCCGGGUCUGCUCUGUUUCAAUUGAGGAUGGAUAGCUGCCUGAAAGACAUGAUGAUUAUUAUUGUGUGAUGUUAAGGUGCUGAGAUCAUCAUUGCUAUCUUGUUUCAUUCUUGGAAUCAUUUAUCCUGUAUAAACAUUUGUUUUAACAAAUGUUUCAAUGGCUGCUGUAGUAACAAUUUCAUAUCUUGCAUCUCUCGGGUGCAUCAUGAUCACGGGUUUGAGAAAGCAUUUGUGGUAAAGCUUCAAAGCUUGUACAAUGGCUGUGAAAAGGCACAUUCAAUUCGGUACGUUUGGUGCGGUCUCCUAAUGCUACUACCAUAUUUUGUAUAGCAAUUAAAAUUCAGGUAUACAAUCUUAAUAUGCAAUAAAUCAUUGAGUACAAAGUUAUCUAUUAAUUAUAUGGUAACUGAAAUUUUCAUUAUAAUUUUAAUUAUCAUAUUAAUAUUAAAGUUUUUUGUAACCCUCUUUUACUUUGCUUGUACAGAGUAUCUGUUUUGGCUGAUAUGUCUAAUUCGUAGCAAUUCAUUUCCAUCGGUUUCCAUUGGUUUUAGCACAAACAGAAACAAAAAUCUGGGGAAAAAGUUUUACUUCUUGUGGUAUUAUGCCUUUAUUUAUUCAUUCAUCAUAUUUGUUCGAAUUCAUGCUCUCAUUCAGAGAGCAGCCUUUUCCAGGCUACUUUGUAGCCAAAUUUUCAUGCCAUCGAUGCAUGAUUGUCAUUUAGAUUUUCCAAAUAAUUGUUAGAUUGAAGAAGAAUAAGAAGAUAUUGUUAAAAGGGUAUUUAAUUAGCACCCUCUGAAUUUAGUUGCCAAUAAUGCAUUGAAAUGGUUGGGGAAAGUUAUUGUCUCACUUAAAUUACAGGUGAUAAGAUGCUGCUCCAAUUUUGCAAGCAUCUCGUGUUGCGAAGAUUUUGCCCACAUGAGAUGUUAUGAUUUUUGACAUCAGGGUAACACAGGUCAAAUUUUAGCAUCAAUAGAUAUCAUCUUCUUUACUGUUCUGCUCGAAAUAUUAAACUUUAGGCAAGUUGUUUUUGGUUGUGUGAGUUAUCAGGUUAAGGAUACUAAGCAGCUUAUUAAGGCAAAUGUCAGAAUGCAGAUUGCUCACCACACCUGGUAUGCAUGAUGGCCAGGAAGAUUAAUUGUUCACAAGCCAAUUUGAUCAGUGUUAGAUUUUUUUCCUCCUUUCGAGGGACAUCAUCAUCAAAUUUGAGUAGAGAAUCUUUGAAGGGAAUUUUGUUGUAAGAGUUUCACAGUAGUGAAUUCUAGAAGCUCGAACUCACUUGAGUGAGAUAUUAGGGAGUAUUGGGGAUUUGGGUUAUGAGUAAUCAUUAUCCUUCCAAUAUGUGUAAGCACUCACUUGUUAGUAAAAUCAUCUUCGUAUAUUGACUAUGUUUCUUUGUUAUCAGGUAGAGUGUGAUCUUCAAGGGUUUGAGAAAGUCCUUGCAGUAAAGUUUCCACCACAAGUAAUUGCUCAGUUUCAGAUUUUCUAGGCGUUUAAUUAGUUUCGAUUAUAAUAUUUAGUCACUCAUUCUGAAUCUUUUCUAAUUUUCAAGUUCCUUAGGGUCACAAUCAUUUUUUCAAGUCUGCUGUGGCUGCAAAAAGAUUGUUGGUCAUAAAAUUAUCUUGACCCUUGAGCCAUUGCGUUUGAGCACAAACAGAAACAGAGCUAAAGGAAAAGAACUUGACGCAAGAAGAUGCUCUGAAUAUAACAAAAGUAUAUUUCUACUUCUUGUGGUUAUUUACUUUUGUUUCUCCUGUCAGCAUAUUUGAUUAAUUCGUUCGAAUUCACACUCUCACACAUUAUUUAAAACCAUUUGUAGGUGGCUUGCAAGCUAAUUAAGUUAAUGCAGAAGCAAUACUCUAGACUUUAGUGAAGUUGUUUUUGUUUGUGUAAGUUAUCAGGUUAAGGAUACUAAGCAGCUUAUUAAGGCAAAUGUCAGAAUGAAGAUUGUUCACCGCACCUGGUAUGAAUGAUGGCGAGGAAGAUUAAUUGUUCACAAGCCAAUUUGAUCAGUAUUAGAUUCUUUUGCCUCCCUUCGAGAGAUAUCAUCAUCAAAUUUGAGAAGAGAGUUUUGUUUUGACAUUUCACUGUAGUGAAUUUUGGGAGCUUGAACCCACUUCAGUGAAAUAUUAGGGAAUACUGGGGAUAUGGGUUAUGAGUGAUCGUUAUCCUUCAAAUAUUUGUAAGCUCUCACUUGUUAGUAAAACCAUCUUCGUAUAUUGACUUUGUUUCUUUGUUGUCCGGCCGAGUGUGAUCUUCAAGGUUUGAGAAAGUCUUCGCAGUAAAAUUUCCACCACGUGCAAUUGCAGUGAAGGGGCAUAUACAUUUGAGUAAUUCAGUUUCAGAUUUUCAAGGCGCGUUUGUUUAAUUAGUUUCGAUUAUAAUAUUUAGUCACUCAUUCUGAAUCUUUUCUAAUUUUCAAGUUCUUUAGGGCCGCCAACAGUUUUUCAUGUCUACAUGUGGCUGCAAAAAGAUUGAUGGUCAUCAAAUUAUCUUGAGCCUCGAGGCAUUGCAUUCGAGCACAAAGGGAAACAGAGCUAAGGGAAAUGAAGACAGUAGGAGAUGCUCUGAAUAUAACAAAAGUAUAUUUCUACUUGUGGUUAUUUUAAUUUUGUUUCUCCUGUCAUCAUAUUUAAUUAAUUCGUUUGAAUUCACACUCUCACACAUUAUUUAAAACCAUCUGCAGGUGAUAGAAUAUGGGAGACGUUGUUAAUGGAAAAACAGUACUCUAGACAAAGAUGAGCAAAUUGAAGGCGACAAAUGCAAAUUGGAUUUCCAUGAAUAAUUGUUAGGCUGGUGGAGAUAUUCUUAAAAGGGCAUUAAGCUAUCUUAUGGAAUUGGAAAGUUAUUAUUACUUGAAAGCAAGCAGCAUCUUCGUUGCGAAGGCUUUCCCCACUUGAUAAGAUGCUGAGAUUGUUAUCGGCCCCUUAAUUAUUUAUUAACUCAGGUAUUUAUUAUCAGUACAUCAUCUUAUUCACCAUUUUGGCUGUAUAUAAAGAUUAAAAUUUCUAACAGUUGUUUCGGAUUCUUGUGUACUCAGGUUAAUAGGGCAAAUGUCAGAAUGAAGAUUGCUCAGUGCAACCGAUAUAGCAAGGAUGAUAGUUGUGAGGAAGAUUGUUGGCAAGCCAAAUAGAGCCCUCCAUUUGGAGAAAUAUCAUCCUCAAAUUUGAAUUGUUGAGCAUGUGAGGUGAAGCUAAAGCCUUAAUAAUGAGACCUUCCUGUGGAAGUUUCAUUUGAAUGAAUUGAACGUUCUUAGUGAGUGAGAAAUUAAGCAUAUAUCAGCGAUUUUGGUCGUCAGUGAAUGUUUUCCUUCAAUAUUAAUACACUGGCAUUUCUUAGUAAAUUCCCUUCACGUCACUUCCUCCUUGUUGGUGGGAUUAGUAAACAAAUGCCAUUUCUUAGUACAUUUUGAGAAUUUUGACUCCCAAAUAAGCCUGCAGAGCGGUGUAUGGUGGGAUUAGCUGCAGGAUUCUUUGCCAAACUUCCUUUUUAUUCCUUUGUUCACUUAUUCGUUAUAAAUAAAGUAAAAUUAGAAUAUUGUUCCGUUUACUGUCUAAGCUGGUCUAACAUUUGUUUAAUUUGGGCAAUUUUUAAUGCCUAACAGGUUAUCUGUGACAAACCCAUCAGUGAGUGUAUGCAACUAUUGCGUGGAUUUGAUAGAGUGGUCACCAACAAUUUUGAAGUUAUUGGAGUAGCACGGCUUUGAGGUCUCUCCCUCCCUCUUUUACGUAUUUGUCUAUUGAUCGACAUGUCUAUAUAUACAUUGAUAGACCAACUUACUCUUGUUUUAAUGUUUUGUUUGUUAAAAUUUGACUGGGUUAUGUUUAUUUGUCUCAUAUGAUGUCAAUGUGGUUCCUAUUGAAGUGUAUAGAUCUGUCACCUCAAAGUCUGAUUUCAAUUUUCCUUUACUUCAUCAACUAGCAUCCUUUCCAAGUCCAGAUACUUACCAAUAGUGAUACUUUGCUACGGAAGUACAAUUUCUCUUGUUUUACAGUUAAUUAUGAAAGAAAAGUUUUAAAUUUACAGAAUUCUGGUAUAGCUCUCUUAAGGAAAUGCGAGUGGUGAAUAUGGUUCCAACUUUUAAUAGGCUUAAUAGGCCCAUUUGUUGAGCCACAGUGAUUGCGGUGUAAAUUCUUCUUUACUGUCUAUAUGUGUUGGAGUUUGUCUAUUGUCCAACUUCUCAAAUCGAUUCCAUGCAGGGUUUUGAAUGUCUAAUUAGGAGAACGAUUAACGGAUGACCUUUUGAAGAAGGCUUACACAACAGGCCAUCUCGGGAUGUCAUGGCUCAGCUCAAAAGUCCCCAGGUGGGUGAUAUCAAAGAAUGCCAUUGUUUCUGGGCUUGGUCUCCUUGGCAUCAAACAAGAUAAUGUUGACUGCAUAAAUUUGUUGGAGUUAAUGUAGUCAAUUGCCCAAUUUCGCUGCCUAUCGAAGAGACACAUCAUGGAAGUCCUCAUCAAACUCUGAGACACCUAAGAAAUAGUAGGAGGUGGUGGUACUUGCCUGGGGUUAAUUUCCUGGCAAGUAUAGUUCACUGAUAGAGGGAAUCUUCUCUUGAUGUCUAAAUACCGUAUGUGAUACAACGUCGUAUAUUCUAAUUUUCCUUGAGUUAAAUUCUAGUCAGUUAGGAAAGUUAAUUUUGUUUUCGCUAUGGAUUGUUUCCUAGAUAAUAAUAGUUUCCAUGUUCCUUUGGGGUCUUAUUAACUCUCUGUAACCCAGUUCAAGUUUGCAAAUUCUAUUUCAGAUUUCUCAUAUAGUGUGCCUUUGUGACUUCUGUGAUACACUUUUGAUCACAAGUUUCCAUUUGAAGUAGCCAAUAUUCUUUAUAGACUAAUUAUCUAAGGAUUAUUUUAUACAAAAAAUGAAAACUUUAAUUAAUUGAUCAUACUUAACUUAGCUCUUGUUUAAUAUUACGAGCUGUUGUGAGAACAAAAAAAUAGCAGAAAGUUGACAGUGUGCAGUAAAUGUAUGACUUUUAAAUAAUAAUUUAAUAAAAUUAAUAAAGAUAUUAUAAGUUUUUUAAUAAUAAAGUAUGAGAUCAAAUUAAAUUAAUUAAUUUUGAAUUAUUUUAUUAUUGUCAAAAUGUAAUAUCUUAAAUAACAGUUAUUUUUAUUAAGAAUAUUUUUUUGGUAAUGAAUUAUACUUUUUAAAAUAUAAUUGAAAAUUCUUAUUAAUGAACUAAUAAAAAAUUAAUUAUUUGAGUUAUCUCCUAAACUACUUAGCUCACGAGAUAAAUUCACUUAGUUUAGAACGAAGCGGUGGGUUUUAUGUGGGAAGCCACAUCCUUACCACAUCAACCUCAACAUCGAAACAUGGAAUUGGACUAAAAAUAGUUCUUUCCCAUGUAUUUACGUAACCUCCUCCCAGUAAACGCAAAUAUGUAUUCUUGAGUGCAUGUAAUCCACAAGUUUGAUUGAGUAGAAGAUGUCGUUGUCACAAAGGCCUGGACGCCAUACCUCGAAUGAUAUGUUAGUAUGAAAUUAUGUUUUUUUUUUUUUUUUUGAGAGAGGUAUGAAAUUAUGUGAAAAUUAAUAUAUCACUUUUUUUUUCUUUUUUCCUUUUUUGCGUGAGUGAUGGCUUCGUUGAAUGACAGUUGGCAAAUAAUAAGUUAUCUUUUAAUUUUGGUUUUGAUUUGAAAAAAAUAUUAAUUUUUGUAGUUUCGGUAGAUGAAAUUUCGAAUCAAAUAUUAAUAUUGUUAAAGUACGCAACCCAAUAUUUGCUUAAAUUACAAAAAAGAUUAAUUACUUUGCAUAAAAAAAAAGUGAUCACUUGAUUUAACUUCCUUUACUAAAUUUACGAUUUAAAAUCCAAAAUAAAAAAAAGGAAAACAAUUUUUGGACACACACUCGGAGUUUUAAAUUAAUAUGAAAAACGAGUUUAUUAUUGAUAGGAAAACAAUCAAGUGAUCACUUGAUUUAACUUCCUUUACUAAUUUUACGAUUUAAAAUCUAAAAUAAAAAAUUGUUUAUUAUUGAUUGUCUUUUUCCCAAAAUUUAAGCUAAAACAGUAAUAUGUCCAAAAUACCCUCCACGUUAUCCUAAAACUUUAUAAACUCCCCCGUUCCUCUCAACAUCAUCUCUUCCAAAUCUUUCUCCCCCAAAAAACCAGCCAUGGCUUCAUAUUUAGUUACCUCAACACUCCAAUAUUGGCUUGUAAACAGUAGUGGUUCGACCUCUAGGCAACUUAGGUGGUUGUAUAGGACUCCGCUUUAUAUGAAAACCCUACGAGAUGAUUAUUUUGUAUAUAAAAGAGGAAAAUGAAUUUAAAAGUGAUUAUUAUUUAUUUAAUUUAUUAUUAUUUUGUAAUUAUCUUUUUCUAAAUAAACUAUCAAAUUCUUAUAAAGUUUAUUUAAUGUACUACUUAAUUGUUUUAAUUAAUUUCUACAAAACCAAUAAAUUAAUAGUUUCAAUCCUAAACAUUCUCUAUUUCAUUGUUAGAAUUAAUAAGUUAUAUUUCAAAAGUUUUAUAUUUAUUUUAAACCUCUAUAAAAGCCCCACAUUUUAUUACUUAUCCAUUACAUUUUUCCUCCAACAAUCAAGACAUCUUGGUGUUUUAGAGAAAGAAAGAGAAAGAAGGAAAAAAAUCUUGCUUCCCCUACUUUCUACUCUAGAAGAAACAGAAAAAAUCUAAUAGUUUUCUCUAUUUUCUAUGACUAUUGGUCGUUACUCAAAUUUUCAAACAAUAGCCUUAAUAUAAAUAUAAGUUAAUUUAUGAUUUCAUCUCAAAUUUUUGAUUUUAUCUUUUUAUUAUUCUCUUAAUUAGUUGUGUUUUAUUUGUUCUUAUUUCUUUUUAAUAUAUUCUUUUAUUCAUCUAAUUUUUUUUUGUGCUUGUUUUAUCUAUUUUGAAAUAAAACUAUAUCAAAAAACUUUAGACAAUAGAAGAAUAGAAAAAUUAGUUUAAUUUAAAAAAAAAAGUAAAAAGAUAUAAUUUAACUUAAAAAAAUAAAUGAAAAUGUUAUAAUUGAAUUAAAAUUUUAUGAAUUAACAUCAAUGGAAUGAAUUUUUAUUUAAUAAUUUUACAUUUUAAAGUGUUUAAAGAAUUAAUUUUCAAUAAAUAAUAUACGUUAUAUACCUUCUAGAAGAUAUAUAACGUAUUUCAAUAAAUAAUUGUACAUUAUGAAUUAACAUCAAUGGAAUGGAUUACCUUCUUCAAACGACGGCACUGCAGGAACUGAGUAUUUCUUAUUGUCCAAUUAUGGAAGAACUGCCCAUUCUAGAAGAUCACAGGACAACAGACAUACCACGUCUUUCUUCCUUGCGAAUUUGGAAUUGCCCCAAACUAAAGGUGCUGCCGGAUUACCUUCUUCGGACGACGACGCUGCAGAAAUUGACAAUUUGGGGAUGUCUCAUUCUGGAAAACCGUUAUAGAGAGGGGGAAGGAGAAGACUGGUAUAAGAUAUCUCACAUUCCCCACAUCAAGUGAUCGCCGUAAUUUAUCACUCGCCGGUAAUUUCUCCUCCGCCUCUGAUUUACUUCGUUGUUGCUUGCAAUGAAAUUAAUAAAAAUAAUUAUAUUUUGAAUUAAAAUUUCUAUACUUAUUUACUUUUAAAAAAUAUGUGCUCUUUUGUAAAAUUUCAUGCAAUGUAAUUUAUUUUUUAAUGUACGAUAAUUUGUUGUGUGUAACUUCCUGAGAGACAAAAUCUCUGUGAUACAUUUGCAGUAAUGUUGAAAACUAAAUUAUCAAUUUUAUCUUGUAUAAUGAUAAUCUUAUUUUUUUAUAUAUAAUUUAUGUGACAUUAAUUCUUUAAAGUAAUUGUGUAAUUGUUUUUACUACCAGUUUAUGUUUCAUUUUAAUUAUGUUCACCAGGGAUUCGAGGAAAUGUCAGAACCACACUAGCAAUUCACAGGUCCAAUCUAAUUUGGUUUUAAUGAUGCGGCAGGAGAGCAAGACUAUGAAAAUGAAAAGUUUAGCCAAUGGACUGCUAAAAUGUUCUGCUGGUAAUUCACUUGCUUUAUUUUAUAGAAUUUCAUUUCCAUCUUCUUCUAUUGAUAUCUUGUUGUGAAUAAACAAGAACAGAGAAGUAAAUGAUUGAACCACAGAGAAGUAAAGAUAUAUCCAAAUUCGAUUAUUAUGAUGAUUAAAGCAAGCUCAAGCUCAAGCAUUGCAUUUUUUAUUUUAUUUAGUUUAUAGAAUUUUCAUUUCCACCUGCAUUGCAUUUUUAUUUCAUUUUUAGAUUGACUUUGAAGACUCUAUGGAGAACAUUGGGGUAACCAAGGAUUAUCACUGUGGUUAUUGUGCAACGUUUGGUUGCUGGACUUUGAAGAAGGAAGUGAUGGCCGGGUCUGCUCUGUUUCAAUUGAGGAUGGAUAGCUGCCUGAAAAACAUGAUGAUUAUUAUUGCAUGAUGUUAAGGUGCUAAGAUCAUCCUUUCUAUCUUGUUUCAUUCUUGGAAUCAUUUAUCCUAUAUAAACAUAUUGAAUUGUGCUAAUAUUAUCAUAUGCGUAAAUGGAGGCAGGAAUUUGGUGUUGACACUAUUAUGCAGGUAACCACACUUGAUAAUUGGCACAAAUUUGCGUUGUCAGAAUAUCCUUUAAUAUUCAACGUGUCUCUUUGUGUUAUCAGGAGUAUCAUGUCCAAGGGUAAAGGUGCUGCCGGAUUGGUGGAUGCCCCAAAUUAAAGGUGCUGCCGGAUUACCUUCUUCAAUCGACGACACUGCAGAUAUUGAGUAUCUUUUUGUGAAAAUAUGGAAGAACUGCCCAUUCUAGAAGACCGCAGGACAACAGACAGAUCACUUGCCCCAAAUUAAUGAUGCUGCCGGAUUACCUUCUUCAAACAAUGACACUGUGGAUAUUGAGUAUUUAUGAAUGUCCUAUUCUGGAAAAACGUUACAGAGAGGGGGAUGGAGAAGACUCGCAGAAUGUUAAGGUGCUAAUAUCAUCAUUUCUAUCUUGUUUCAUUCUUGGAAUCAUUUAUCCUAUAUAAACAUAUUGAAUUGUGCUAAUAUUAUCACUUGUGUCAAUGGAGGCAGGAAUUUGGUGCUGAAACUAUUAUGCAGGUAACCACACUUGAUAAUUUGCACAAAUUUGCGUUGUCAGAAUAUCCUUUAAUAUUCAUUGUGUUUCUUUGUGUUAUCAGGUUAUCAUGGUAUACAGAGUAUCAUUUUCAAGGGUUUGUAAGAGCUUUCGCAGUAAAGUUAGUCAUCACCACCUUGUGCAAUUGCACAUACAUUCAGAGUACUUCAAUAUUAGAUUUUCAAGGUUUGUAUGUUUAGUUGCGAUUAAAAUUUUUAGUCACUCAUUCUUAAUCUUUUCUAAUUUUCAAGUUCUUUAGGGCCAUAAACAGUUUUUCCAACUCAUUCUUAUUUUUUAGGUUGAUUUCGAGUACUCUGUGGAGAACAUUAGUGAGACAAAGGAUUAGACUGGCGAUGGAACUGCUGCCUCUGUUGUUAUUGUGCAAGGUUUGAUCACUGGACCUUGAACACGAAAGCCUUACACGCAUUCUGUAAUUCAAGCGUUCUCUAAAACGAACGAGCAGUAGAAGGAAUAGUGAUGACCGGAUCUGCUCUAUUUUAAUUGAAGAUCUCUGUGAUAUUGAGGGGCUUAAAGUAGUUGAUGCUUUUUGAAAAUUGUUAUUACGGAUGAAUUCAUUCCUGAAGACGAGUAGCUAAUGAUUGUUAAGGCUUAUUUUCUUAAAGUUCCUUUCUUAACAAGUGUUUCAAUGCUGGCUGUAGUAACAUUUUCAUAUCUUGCAUCUCUCGGGUGCAUCAUGUUCACAUGUUUGAAAAGGCAUUUGUGGUAAAGCUUCAAAGGUUGUACAAUGGCUGUGAAAAGGCAUAUUCAAUUCGGUACGUUUUGGUGUGGUCUCCUAAUGCUAAUAUGAUAUUUUGUAUAGCAAUUAAAAUUUAGGUAUACAAUCUUAAUAUGCAAUAAAUCAUUGUGUACAAAGUUUUCUAUUAAUUAUAUGGUGACUGAAAUUUUAAUUAUCAUAUCAAUCUUAAAUUUUUUUGUAACUCACUUUUACUUUGCUUGUACAGAGUACCUGUUUUGGCUGAUAUGUCUAAUUCGUAGAAAUUCAUUUCCAUCGGUUUCCAUUGGCUUUAGCGCAAACAGAAACAGAGCUCUGGGAAAGAGUUUGACUUCUUGUGGCAUUAUGCCUUUGUUUCUUCAUUCAUCAUAUUUUUCAAAUUCAUGCUCUCAUUCAGAGAGUAAAGCCUUUUCCAGGCUGCUUUGUAGACAAACUUUGACUCCAUUGAUGCAUGACUGUCAUUUAGAUUUUCCAAGAAACUGUUAGAUUGGAGAAGAAUAAGAAGAUAUUGUUAAAAGGGUAUUUAAUUAGCGCCCUCUGAAUUUAGUUUCCAAUAAUGCAUUGAAAUAGUUGGGGAAAGUUAUUGUCUUAAUUAAAUUACAGGUGAUAAGAUGCUGCUUCAAUUUUGGAAGCAUCUCGUAUUGCGAAGAUUUUGCCCACAUGAGAUCCCGUGAUUCUUGACAUCAGGGUAACGCAGGUCAAAUUUCACUUUCAAUAUAUAUCUCUUCUUUACUAUUCUGCCUCUAAAUAUUAAACUUUAGGCAAAUUGUUUCUUGUUUGUGUAAGUUAUCAGGUUAAGGAUACUAAGCAGCUUAAUAGUUCGCCACACCUGGUAUGAAUGAUGGCCAGGAAGAUUAAUUGUUCACGAGCCAAUUUGAUCAGUGUUAGAUUUUUUGCCUCUCUUUGAAAGAUAUGAUCAUCAAAUUUGAGUAGAGAAUCUUUGAAGAGAAUUUUGUUGUGAGAGUUUCACUGUAGUGAAUUUUGGGAGCUUGAACUCACUUGAGUGAGAUAUUAGAGCGUAUUGGGUAUUCGGGUUAUGAGUAAUAGUUAUCCUUCCAAUAUUUGCAAGCUCUCACUUAUUAGUAAAAUCAUCUUCGUAUAUUGACUCUGUUUCUUUGUUGCCAGGAAGAGUGUGAUCUUCAAGGGUUUGAGGAAGUCUUUGCAGUAAAGUUUCCACCACGAGCAAUUGCUACAAAGAGGCAUAUACAUUUGAGUAAUUUGGUUUCAGAUUUACAAGGCGUGUAUAUUUAAUUAGUUUUGAUUAUCAUAUUUAGUCACUCAUUCUGAAACUUUUCUAAUUUUCAAGUUCCUUAGGACCACCACCAGUGUUUCAAGUCUGCAUAUGGCUGCAAAAUAUUGAUGGUCAUAAAAUUAUCUUGAGCCUUGAGGCAUUGCAUUUGAGCACACACAGAAACAGAGCUAAAGGAAAAGAAGACAAUAGAAGAUGCACUAAAUAUAACAAAAGUAUAUUUCUACUUGUGGUUAUUUUAAUUUUGUUUCUCCUGUCAUCAUAUUUGAUUAAUUCGUUUGAAUUCACACUCUCACACAUUAUUUAAAACCAUCUGCAGGUGGCUUGCAAGCUAGUUAAGUUAAUGCAAAAACAAUACUUUAGACAAAGAUGAGCAAGUUGAAGGCAACAAAUGCAAAUUGAAUUUCCAUCAAUAAUUGUCAGGCUGGGGCAGAUAUUCUUAAAAGGGCAUUAAGCUAUCUUAUGAAAUUGGAAAGUUAUCAUUGCUUGAAUGAAAGCACCAUCUUCUGUUGUCAAGGCUUUCCCCACACGAUGAGAUUCUGUGCUUGUUAUCGGCCCCUUAAUUAUUUAUUAAAUCAGGUUUCUGUUAUCAAGUACAUCAUCUUAUUCACCAUUUUAGCUAUAUAUAAAGAUUAAAAUUUCUAACAGUUGUUUCGGAUUCUUGUGUACUCAGGUUAAUAGGGCAAAUGUCAGAAUGAAGAUUGUUCAGUGCAACCGGUAUAGCAAGGAUGAUAGUGGUGAGGAAGAUUGUUGGCAAGCCAAAUAGAGCCCUCCAUUUUGAGAAAUGUCAUCCUCAAAUUUGAAUUGUUGAGCAUGUGAAGUGAAGCUAAAGCCUUAAUAAUUAGACCUUCCUGUAAAAGUUUCAUUUGAGUGAAUUGAACGUUCUUAGUGAUUUUGGUUGUCAGUGAAUGUUUUCCUUUAAUAUUAAUACACUGUCAUUUCUUAGUAAAUUCUCUUCAUAUCACUUCCUCCUUGUCGUUCUUAUGGAAAUACCUUCCUGUUUGACUUGCAAAAUACAUUACAAAAGCUCCCAAACAGUAUAUUUGAACAGAGUUACCCAUUUUGAGAAUUUUGACUCCCAAAUAAGCCUGCAGAGUGGUGUAUGGUCGGAUUAGCUGCAGGAGCAGUGCAAGAUUCUUGUCAAACUAUCUGGCUGGUAAAAAGACUGUUGUCAAACUUCCUUUUUAUUCCUUUGUUUACUUAUUCGUUAUAAAUAAAGUAAAAUUAGAAUAUUGUUCCGUUUACUGUCUAAGCCGGUCUAACAUUUGUUUAAUUUGGGCAAUUUUUAAUGCCUGACAGGUUACUUCAUAUGCGGCACAAUUUUUACAUUAUUUUUAAUGGCAAUUUUUAAUUCAAUAAAGAAAAGUAUUGUGAAGUAAAAAUUGAAAAGUACAAUCCGUCGAUCAUUUGAUACGUAUUUUUCUUCACAGAACCUCAAUUCAAUAGACAAAAGCUCCUCUUAAUUUUUCUUUUCUAUUUAAAUAAAAGAACAAAAGAAAUUGAUUACGGAGCCAUUAAUUUCCAAGAAUUAAUAAAUGAAAAGGCCCAUAAUUUUUGUUAACCCACCCCACUCUCAAGAAAUAAUUACAAUAAGUUCAAAUUAUUUUUUAAAAAUUGAAAUAAAGAAGAUGUAAUUACAAUAAGUUUGGAGAUUGAAUCAAAUAAAAUAAAAAACCUAAACUAUUAUAUACAAGAACUCUUGAUUCUUGGGGUAUUUUAUUCAUUUUAUAUUAUCAUGGUAAAUUAGUCAAAUAAAACUUAUCUUAAAGCAACCUAAAUGGUCAAAGACACCUAAGUUAAAAAAAUAAAAAAUUAUAUGAAUGAUUUAAUUUAUUGAUUGUCUAUACCUUUUAUUGAUUUAUAUAUUUUAAAAAUAGUAUGAACGUAUUACAAUUAUUUUCUGACAUCAAGGUAGAUUUGUAAAAGAAGUGGGUAGAUUUGUAAAAGAAGUGGAUAGAAAAUAUCCCCGUCCUCAAACAAAUAAAUGAAUUAUCGGUGACGCAUGCUUUUUCCCAACUUUUGUUUUUUACAAUUAUGUAUCACAGUUGUGGAGUAGAAUCAGGGAAAUUAAAAAUGCUAAAAUUAUUGACGCGUGGGGUGGACGACAAUAACCAUAAACAUUUUUCGUGUAGUGUAAGAAGAAUGCAACAACUUGUUUCUUUCAGUAUUUUUGCAACAAAAGUACGUUGAACAACUUUUGAAAUUAUUUCUCUUUUUCUUUGCUAGAAUGGAUGUGAUCGCUUCCCCUCUCCCGGAGCAGCUGAACUCCUUUGCUGCUUGUGACUUACCAUAAAUCUUCAAGCCAUUCAAGCUGUGCUUGAAGAUGCAGAGAAGGCAAGUUGAUAUAAGAUGGUUGCAUGGAAUAAGCAGGGUAUCUUCCGAGGUUAGAAAUUGGGCUACGAGUAUUCGUUUUGGACAUAUAAUAGAGUUUCUAAGCUUGCGAUGAGUCGAACCAAAUGCAGAACAACCUAGGCUGUUAUGCCCUGCGAUUAAGCUAAAAAUUUACUUCAUUUAUAGUCGUUUUUCAGUUUUAAGAUAUUUUUUUAUUUUUCUUGAUUCUUCUAGGAUUUUAAAAUAUUAGAUUUAAGUGCCAUCUAUUUUCUUUCUCUUAUUUAGAUUCGAAGAAUUUUAUUAUCAUAUAAUAUUUUGAAUUUGCUUAGUUUGUUAAAUUUGCCUCCUUUUAGGCUUCUAUAAAUGGGAUUCAAAACCCUAAUUUUGUUCAUUUAAAUUAUUCUCAAUAAAACUUAUUAUUCAAAUCCUGGUUUAUAUUAUCUAAUAGCUUUUUAGUGUUUCUGCAUAAUCAGCUGGUAUCAAAGAAAGUUUGCUUGUCAUCAUGGUGCGAUCACACAAUCAAAGGAGCAAACAUCCCGAAGACAAUGUUUAAGGGAUGUAGGCAACGACUGUGGAGGUUAUCAGAUAGAUGGUCAAAGGAGCAAUCUUGCAAGUCAUGCAGGACGCAUAUAACCUGAGAAUGGUAGCAGACAAAUAUUAGGUUAUCUCUUGUAAGCCAUAUUCAUAAAUGUAUUGAGGGAAAGAUAUUUUUUUCUUGUCUUAAAAGAUGUGUGGGAUGGACGUUACAAUUAAUGGGAACCAUUCUUCUGUUGUUUAAAGAAUGGUCUCUACGAUAGUCAAAUUUUGAUUACUGCAAGUAAUCAGUUAGUAGCAAGCAUGAUGAGAUCAACAAAUCUUACCUUUCUUAAGGAAUUAAUUGAAGAAGAAUGUUGGUAAUUGUUUAAGCAGGUAGCAUUUUUUGGUCAAUUCUUCAAGGAUCGUGAUCAGUCGAUCAAAAAAUUGCAUGUAAGUGCAAAGGCUUGCCUUUUGUUGCAAAGAUAAUAGGGAAAUUCUUACACUAUAAAUGACCAAUAGAAGAAUAGAAAAAAAUUUUAGAUAGUGGAAUGUGGAAGGUAGAAGAGUUUGGGAAAGGUCUUUUGACUCCUUUCUUGUUAAGUUAUAAUGAUUUAUCGUCCAUAGUAAAACAAUAUUUCUCACAUUGUGCUAUCUUUUCAAAAGGUUACAAUAUGUGUAAAGAGGAACUAAUUACACCAUGGAUGGCUCAAAGUUACUUUAAAUGUAGAAGAAGGCAUUGUUUAAAGCAUGGUCUCCACGGAAGUAAAAAUUUGGUUUCCACACGUAAUGAGUCAGUUGCACGUAUGAUGGGAUCAAAAAAUAUUAUCUUCAUUGAGCAAUUGACUGAAGAGGAAUGUUGGUUGUUGUUCAAGCAGUUAGCAUUUUCCGGUCGCUCUUUGGAGGAUGGUGAAAAAUUAGAACCAAUCGUGCAAAAAAUUGCACGCAAGUGCAAAGGCCUGCCUCUUGCUGCAAGGUAACAGGGAAUCUAUAGGGUAUGAUAAAUGCAUAUAUAGUGGCCAAGUCACUCAUUACAUUUCAUCUUGUUGAAAAGUCAGAAGCAAAUGCCAACUUUGCAACUGUUAGCAUGAAGGCUUUGAAGAAGCAAAAUCCAAUUCGGUUUUUGUUAGCCGAAAAGAAAGAAUGGAAAAAGGGGAUGUAUUGAAAAUAAUAAUAAUUAUUUAUUAUAUUUUCAAUUAUUUUAUUCUUUGCAUAGUGCCAACAUUUUUCCUAUAAAUAGUUAAGGAUUUCAUUCAUUUGAAAUCAUCCCAAAAUUGUUAAGCUUAGUUUCUAAGCUUUUGAGAGAAGUGAGAGAAGUGUGUCUGGGGAAUGUAUUUUUCCUGCAGAGUGUGAGAGUACUGGGUAUAUUUGGGUUUCUGGGAAGUGAGAUUCGUUACUCAAAUAUUGUAUUCUAUUAAUUGUUUUGUUAAAUAAACAAUUAUUCUUUCUUGCCUCCGUGGAUGUAGGUUUAAUUACCGAACCACGUAAAUUCUUGUGUCCUUUAUUUUUCAGUAAUUAUUUGGUGCGCUUGAUUCCGCAUUCCGCGCGCACAACAAGUGGUAUCAGAGCCGAAGGUUCGUACUUAGGGGGGAUACGGUACUGUUCAUGUAUACGGUAUUAUAUCCGUAUAUAGUACUAUUCACGUAUAUGGUAUUCUUCACGUAUACGGUACUAUUCACGUAUAUGGUACUGUUCACAGAGGUACUAUUCACGAAUACGGUGGAGACGGCCAUUUGUACUUGGGAGACAGUCUAUUGUAAGUAGUGUGUAUUUUUGCAUGUCUAGGAAAGUUCUGUCAAAAAGGCGAUAAGAGUCUAAGGAUUCUGGUUUUUAAUUGGGACCGGGUUCCCGUCCAGUUUCCUGGGAACUUUCCUGGUGCAUUUAUUCACGCGAAAUUAACAUCAUAGAGGCUGUUUUUCAAGUGGAAAUAGUUCAUUGAGAAAAAUGGUAGAAGGUGAAACUUCCAGAAUUGGGGAGAGAUCUACCGAGACUAUUUCAGGAGACACUUCAGGUGGGAGGCGAGAUUUGUCAAAUCGCUAUUCAGCACCUGUUAUGGGAGGCCAGAAGAUCGAUGUUGAAAAAUUUGAUGGGAAAAUCAACUUCGGCAUGUGGAGGCGCGAAGUUAUGGAUGCCCUUAUUCAAAUCGAUCUUGAUGUUGUUCUGAAAAAUAAAAGACACUUGUAUGAUGAAGAAAUUUGGGAUCGUAUGAAUGAAAAAGCCUGUGGUCAGAUCAGAUCUUGUUUGACCAAGGAGGUGAAAUACUUGGUGAAAGAUGAGGAGUGUGCGAUGACUUUAUGGCUUACAUUGGAGGAGAAGUACCUGGUGAAAAGUCCUGAAAAUCGCCUUCAUGCAAUGAGCCAAGUAUAUGGUUUUCGAAUGAAGCAUGGGGUGUCAAUGCACGAUUAUGUGUCAAGAUUUGAAAAGUUACUUGCUGAUUUGAAGAAUCUUGAUGAAGAUAUUAAAGAUGAAGUCAAGGCUAUGAUUCUGUUACACUCACUACCAGAGGAAUAUAGCCAGUUUGUGACUACUUUGAUAUAUGGGAAGAGUGUGAUCGUCUUCAAAGACGUUUGCACAACAUUGACUAGUUUGGAGAUUCGGAAUAAUGAUAAAAAUUCUGAACGAGCAUCGUCUGAAGCUUUGGUGAGCAGAGAUUGGGCGAUGGAGAAAAAGAAGAAGCGUGGUGGAAAGAAUUCUCGAUCCAAAUCGAGAAGCAGAAAUCUAGCUCGUGAUGAGUGUGCCUUUUGUCAUGAAAAGGGCCAUUAGAGGAAAGAUUGUCCAAAGGCUAAAAAGAGAGAUGGGAAGAAACCAGCAGCAGCAAACAUGGCACGGAAAGAUGAGGAUUCUGAUUAUUCACUAAGUAUCACUCCUGCAGCAUGUGUGGCUAAUUCGAGCGAGUGGAUACUUGAUACUGGAGCAACCUAUCAUUUGUGUCCUAUUAAGGAAUGGUUUGCAGAUUUUCGUAAUCUAGAAUCCGGUGCAGUUGUGAUGGGGAAUGAUAAACCUUGUCGCACAAUGGGGAUAGGAACAAUUCGGCUCAAAAUGUUUGAUGGAAUGGUCAGGGAACUCAAAGAGGUUAGAUUUGUUCCAGAGAUAAAGAAAAAUCUAAUUUCUGUGGGUGCUUUGGAAGAUAAAGGCUACAAGGUUACCAUUGAAGAUGGUACAAUAAAGUUUACACAUAGAGUUAUGGUGAUUCUGCAAGGGGUUCGGCGUCACAAUCUGUACUAUUUGAAGGGAGGUACACCUGAUGAAGCAAAUGUUGUUGAGGCGCACAGUGACACCACCAAGCUAUGGCAUGUACGACUGAGACAUGCAGGAGAGAAGUCUUUGCAAAAUCUGAUGAGGCAUGGACUCUUAAAAGGUACCAAAACCUGUAAAUUAAAUUUCUGUGAGCAUUGUGUAGUAGGCAAGAAAACAAGGGUCAAGUUUGGUACAGCUAAUCACGAAACUCGUGAGAUCCUUGAAUAUGUUCAUAGUGAUGUAUGGGGACCAACCAAGACUGCAUCAAUUGGUGGAAGCCAUUAUUUUGUUAUAUUUGUUGAUGAUUUCUCUAGAUGUGUAUGGGUGUACACCAUGCGAGCAAAGGAUGAGGUUCUAGAGAUUUUCGUGAAAUGGAAGAAAUUGGUGGAGACUCAAACUGGCAAAAAGAUCAAAGUAUUACGAUCUGAUAAUGGGGGUGAAUAUACUUCUGAUCCAUUCUUGCAAGUAUGCCAGAACGAGGGUAUUAAAAGACAUUUCACGGUGAGACAUACUCUGCAACAGAACGGUGUGGCUGAGCGUAUGAAUCGUACUUUACUGAAGAAGGUACGGUGUAUGUUAUCUAAUGCUGGUUUAGAUAAAAAGUUUUGGGCUGAAGCUGUGAGCUACGCAAGUCACUUGGUAAACCGAUUGCCUUCUGCUGCAAUUGGAGGUAAAACUUCUAUGGAAAUGUGGUCUGGAAAGCAUGCACAAGACUAUGAUUCCCUUCGUAUAUUCGGGUGUCCAGCUUAUUAUCAUGUCAAAGAUGGUAAACUGGAUCCUCGUGCAAGAAAAGCUAUCUUUGUGGGAUUCAAAGGUGGAGUAAAGGGCUUCAAGCUUUGGGAUCUCGAAGACAAAAAGUUUGUGUGUAGUAGAGAUGUCACAUUUGAUGAAGCUUUAAUGAUAAAAGCUUCAAGUUCUCAGCAGGUGGAGAACAAGACCACAGAGGUAUUGCAGCGGGUGGAGUUUGAUGCAACUCCAUAUGUACUAGUUAGUUCUACAUCAAAGAAUAGUUCAACUAUGGAGGUGACACCUAGAGUUAAAGAAGAGGUUGUUUCUUCUGAUGUCCCACAAAAUGAAGAAACAAUUGAUGAUGAUUUUAUAGCAACAAGGAGGCCAAGAAGAGAGAUAAAGAAACCCGGAUGGCUUACUAAAGAUAUGGUGGUAGCCUAUGCACUUCCAGUUAUUGAUGAUGACAUCCCCAACACUUUCGGUGAAGCAUUACGCAGCAGUGAAAGUGAUCAGUGGAAGCUAGCCAUGGAGGAAGAGAUGAAAUCUCUCCAUCAAAAUCAGACUUGGGAACUUGUAAAGUUACCAAAGCGGAAAAGGGCUAUUGGCAAUAAAUGAGUCUACACCAAAAAGCAAGGAUCUCCGAAUCAAACAACUCCUCGAUAUAAGGCAAGGCUCGUGGCAAAAGGUUUUGCUCAAAAGGAAGGUAUUGACUACAAUGAAGUUUUCUCUCCAGUUGUAAAACAUACUUCCAUUCGUAUCCUACUUGCCUUAGUUGUAGAAUAUGAGUUAGAGUUGGCUCAGUUGGAUGUGAAGACGGCGUUCUUACAUGGAGAUUUGGAGGAGGAAAUCUAUAUGAUUCAGCCUUGUGGUUUCAAAGUUGCUGGAAAAGGAAAAUCGUGUUUACCGAUUGAGUAAAUCUUUAUACGGAUUAGUAUGAACUACGGUUGGCUUGAUCCCAAACUUUGGGUACGUAGGCAGUCGGAUAGAUGCAGCCAAUGUGGAUCCUUUUGAGGAUCAUGUGGGGGAUGUUUGGAACUACGGUAGGCUUGAUCCCAACCUUGGGGUACGUAGGCAGUCGGAUAGAUGCCAGCCAAUGUGGAUCCUUUUGAGGAUCAUGUGAGGGUUCGUUGGUAGUCGGCUCAGAUUUGGCUAAAUCUUCGCCGAGGUGGAGAAUUGUUGAAAAGUCAGAAGCAAAUGCCAACUUUGCAACUGUUAGCAUGAAGGCUUUGAAGAAGCAAAAUCCAAUUCGGUUUUUGUUAGCCGAAAAGAAAGAAUGGAAAAAGGGGAUGUAUUGAAAAUAAUAAUAAUUAUUUAUUAUAUUUUCAAUUAUUUUAUUCUUUGCAUAGUGCCAACAUUUUCCCUAUAAAUAGUUAAGGAUUUCAUUCAUUUGAAAUCAUCCCAAAAUUGUUAAGCUUAUAAGUUUCUAAGCUUUUGAGAGAAGUGAGAGAAGGGUGUUUGGGGAAUGUAUUUUUCCUGCAGAGUGUGAGAGUACUGGGUAUAUUUGGAUUUUUGGAAAGUGAGAUUCGUUACUCAAAUAUUGUAUUCUAUUAAUUGUUAAAUAAACAAUUAUUCUUUCUUGCCUCCGUGGAUGUAGGUUUAAAUUACCGAACCACGUAAAAUUCUUGUGUCCUUUAUUUUUCAGUAAUUAUUUGGUGCGCUUGAUUCCGCAUUCCGCGCGCACAACACAUCUCUCAUAUGAACAUGAUUCUGAAUUUGAAUUUCCAUGAAUAAUUGUUGGGCUGGUGCAGAUAUUCUUAAAAGGGCAUUAAAGCUACCUCAUGAAAUUGGAAGUUAUCAUUGUUGAAUGAAAGCACCAUCUUCUGUUUNNNNNNNNNNNNNNNNNNNNNNNNNNNNNNNNNNNNNNNNNNNNNNNNNNNNNNNNNNNNNNNNNNNNNNNNNNNNNNNNNNNNNNNNNNNNNNNNNNNNNNNNNNNNNNNNNNNNNNNNNNNNNNNNNNNNNNNNNNNNNNNNNNNNNNNNNNNNNNNNNNNNNNNNNNNNNNNNNNNNNNNNNNNNNNNNNNNNNNNNNNNNNNNNNNNNNNNNNNNNNNNNNNNNNNNNNNNNNNNNNNNNNNCCAAAUAGAGCCCUCCAUUUUGUAAAAUAACAUCCUCAAAUUUGAAUUGUUGAGCACAUGAAGUGAUGAUAAAGCCUUGAUAAUAAGACCUUCCAAUGAAAGUUUCAUUUGAGUGAAUUAUGGGAGAAUGAAAGUUCUUGGAAUGAGUGAGAAAUUAAGCAUAUAUCAGCGAUUUGGGUUGUCAGUGAAUGUUUUUCUUUAACAUUAGUACACUCUUAUUUCUUAGUAAAAUUCUCUUCACGUCUUUGACUGUGACGUAGACCAAAAGCUAAACAAUGUAAAAUUAUAUUGUUAUUUCCUUAUGCUUGUUUUGCUAUAUAUCAUUUCUGUGCAAUCAAGAAUGUAAUUUUGUAAUUAUUCAACUCUGCUUCCGCGAACAUGCGGUAUCUUGCAGAUUUUUUUUCUCCCUUUUUCUUUCUGCGUUAAAACUGCAACAAAUGGAAGUGACUGGCUUGAUUUUAGCUCCUGUAAAAAAGUGCCUGGGGCAAUGUCUUUUGUAUCAGCAAGUUAUCAAACAUCAUAGUUUAAAUAUAGAAUCCUGAGUUGCUAUCGAAAAUUCCAGGUCUUUCACCUCUCAGUUUCUUAAAAGCUACAAAGCUUGAUAGAUAUUGACAAAGCAAACCGUCUGCGGGCUGAAAUGCUUCCACGGAUCAGGAAGGAAUUUGGUGUUGACACUAUAUGUUAUGCGGAUAACUACAGUUGAUAGUUUUGACCCAAAAUAUGUCACAGUUGACAAUUGACUUACAGUGUUUCCUUGUGUUACCAGGCUCUCAUGUGUGAAUUGAAAGAUUAAGAAAGAUUAAUUCUUACUGACUUAUGCAAUUGAAGAUUAUGAAAAAGCAUUUGCACUAAAGUUCCCAGCUUGUUUAAUUGCUGUGAAGAGGCACAUUCAUUCUGAGUACUUGAGUUUCAGAUUUCCAAGAUGUGUAAUUUUAGUUGCCAUUGAAGUAUUUAGUCGCUCAUUCUUAAAAAUCUGUUCCAAUUUUCCUGUUAUUUUGGGCCAUAAACAGUUUAACAAGUCUGCAUGUGGUUUCUAAAGAUUGAUGGUUAUGAUAAAUAUUGUGAGGUAUGAAAUAUUAAAUUGCUAUAAAUAUGUGUACAAAUUUUUCCUAUUACAUUGGGAAUGAAAUUGUAACUUGCGGGUCAAAAGAAAUCCUAAUUUGCUUUAGGUAAGAAAUCUUAAUUUGCUUAAGUGUCUGCAUUUGUGUACAAAGGAAAAAUAAGAAAUUCUGCUACAUGGGGACCGAAAAUUUAAUUGGCAGGGUCUUCAUCAAAUGUUUGUUAUCAAUACUGAUCCCGGAAUGUAUGGAACACCGUGAAAAGUUUUUCAUAGUUUCGUGAAGAAGGCUGAUUUAUCUGAUUCAUAGAUUUGUUAAAAGCGCAUCGGGCGGGGGACAAAAGAAGUGUUGAAAUUGAAAAGGUUAAUGGUUGAAGCAUGCAGUGUUGCAAUUAAGUUAUUAUUGUCUUGAAAUAACAGGAGAUGAUAAGAUGCUGCUUAAAGCAUGCAGUUUCUGUUACAAUUGUAUUGGCCUGGGUUUAGGGAACUGUCAGAACUUUCAGAAGAAGAUGGAGUUUCUCAAACCAAAUCUAAGAAGAUAUCUCACAUUCCCCACAUGGUCUCAACGCACAGGUAAGUUUCUUCUCGAGCUCUGUUUUUCAUUGUUCGUUAUUUUUAAUGUAAAUAAGGAGCAGAGUUAAUCUCUUAUCUUGACUUUGCUUUGAGAAAACUACUAUUAUAUCUAUUUUUAAUUCACAUGUCCACAGUAAUUUCAUUCUAGUUUGAGCUGAGUGAUAACUGUUCAAGGCUCACUUACUCAUUGGGAGAAGCUCCAUGAUGCAGGCUGCUAGGAUUAGCUUGUACAAUUGCUGUGAAGAGGUACGUUUGGUUGCGAUCAAAAUUAUUAGUCUCUUGUUCUUAAUGUUUUCUGAUUUUCCAGUUCUUUAGGGGCCAUAAACAGUUUUCCAAGUACUGCAUGUGGCGGCAAAAGAUUGAUGGUGAUAAUUCUAUCUUGUGGCAUGUGUGUUGCAUUUGAGCACACGCAGAAACAGAGCUCAAGGGAAAGAAAUUGGAAGAUGCUCUAAAUAUAACAAAAGUAUAUCUCUACUUGCGGUCAAUUUAUAUUUGUUUCUUGUGUCAUUAUGCAGAUUAAUUUAUUCGAAUUUAUCCUAUCUCAUUCAUUUAUUUUGGACAUAAGUUCGAAAAAAAAAAAUUUUAAGCAUACAGUUUCCAAUGGAUUUGAUAGAGUGGUCACAUGGCAUUUUGAUGUUGUUGGAGUAGCACUGUUCUUAAGCACGGCUUUGAGGUAUCUCCCUCUCUCUUUUACGUAUUUGUUUAUCGAUCUACAUCUCUAUAUGCAUUGAUAGACUAUUCUUGCCGUACAAAAUUACUCUUGUUUUAGUGUUUUGUUUGUUGAACUUUGACUGGGGAAUCUGUCUCUUUGUCUGAUAUGAUGUUAGUGUAUUGAAGUGUGUUAGAUCUAUCACCGAGUAUUAUUUCAAUUUUUCUUUACUUAAUCAACUUGCAUCCUUUCCAAGUCCAGAUCCUUAACAAUAGUGAGACUUCGCUACAGAAGCACAAUUUCUCUUGUUUUACAGUUAAAUAUGCAAGAAUGGUUUUAAAUUAACAGAACGCUUGAGAUAGUUCUCUGAGGAAAUGCAAGUGGUGAACAUGGUUCCAACUUUUAAGAGCCUUAAUAUACCCAUUUGUUCAGCGCUGUGUGUAAACAAUCAGUAUUGCGGUUUACAUUCUUCUUUACUGCCUAUAUGUCUUGGACUUUGUCUCAAAUGGAUUCCAUGCGGGGUUUUGAAUGUCCAAUUAGGAGAAAAAUCAAGGCUUGCUUGGCCAGGAGUGGAAGCGGAUCCGCUACUUCAGUCAGAUGAACUUUUGAAGAAGGCUUACAACAGGCCAUCUCGGGAUGUCAAUGGCUCAACUCAAAAGUCAUUGAUGUCAAAGAAUGCCAUUGUCUCCGGGCUUGGGCUCCUUGGCAUCAAACAAGGGAAUGUCGACUCUGUUGAAGGGGAAACAAGGGCUCCUAAAGUGCGAAGACAGAGGAUAGUCCGGAAGAAUUAAGGUGACCGCAUAAAUUUCUUGGAGUUAAUCUUGUCAAUUGCCCAAUUUUGCUGCCUGCCGAACAGAUACAACGCGGAAGUCCUCAUCAAACCUUUGAGACAUCCAAGAACUAGUAGGAGGAGGUGGUAUUCACCCUGUUUCCUGGCAAGUAUAGUUCACUACUUCACUGAUAGAGGGAUUCUUUUCUUGAUUUCUAAAUACCAUAUGUGAUACAACGUGGUAUAUUCCAAUUUUUCUCCAGUUAAAUUCUAGUAAGUUAAAAAAGUUAAUUUUGUUUUUGCGACGAAUUGUUCUCUUAAUAAUAAUAAUUGCAUGUUGCUUUGGAAUCUUAUUCACUCUCAGUAACCCAAUUAAAUUUUGCAAAAUUUACUGCAGAUUUGUCAAACAGUGUCUUUGUGAUGACACUUUUGAUCGCAAAUUUCAAUUUGAAGUAUCAUGUAACACCAAAAAACCAUAACUUGUAAUUACUUGAUCAUACUUGACUUCCUAUUUAGGUUCUGUUUGGAAUUGAAGUGUUGUAGCUACAACUAUCUUGUGGAAAAAAAAAAGUUAGAAUUAUGAAACAAAAGUUAAUAAUAUGUAGUAAAUAUAAAUUUUAAAUAAUUAUUUUGAUAAAAUUAUUAAAGAUAUAAUAGAUUUUCCAUCAUAUAAGUGAAAAAUUAGAUCAACAUAACUUCUAAAUUAUAGCAAUUAGUGUUUACCAAAUACUUUAGUACUGUAACUUUUAAGUUACAGUUGUACAAUUUCAAUUCCAAACACGCCCUUAGUACUACUGUGUUGUAGUUAUAGUUAUUGUGAAAAAAGAACUAAAACUAUAAUAUAAAUGUUGAUCGUGUGUCAUAUAUAUGAUUUUUAAAUAAUAAUUUUGACAAAAUUAAUAAAUAUAUUAUUGAUUCUUUUAUACUCCCGGUUUAAUUUUUAAGUCACAAUAUUAAAUAUUUAUUAAAUAUUUUGAUACUGUAACUUAAAAACUAUGCUCUACGACACUCUUAUCUAAUUUUAUUUGUACUUUCUAGCUCGAUUAUACAAAUCCUUACUUGAUGUACUUGACCAUACAAGAUGUUACUUAACUUCACUUAAUCUUACUCGACUUUAAUUGUAUAUUUUAUACCGAAAUUUUUGUCAAAAAAAAUUGGUCCCAAUUCCAUGCUCCUUCGGGGAUCCCAGCAAAACAGUAACUUCCAUUCAAAAGGGUUCCAUGUUGAGUGCAUGUAAUCUACACAAGUUUGAGAAGAAAUAACCAAAAUAAAUAAAUAAAAGAAACCCACGUCCAAAGAUGCCGUUGAAAGUUGAAACAAAAAUUUAUUAUUGAUACGAGAAAAGAGUUUAUUAUUUUCUUAACAAAAAUUUAAGCUAAGACAAAAAUAAUGCCCAAAACACCCUUCUCAUGAUCCCAAACUUUCUAAACUCCCCCAUUCCUCUGAGCAUCAUCUCUCCCAAAUCUUUCUUCCCCCACAACCAGCCAUGGCUUCAAAUUCAAUUAGCUCAACACUCCAAUGUUGCUUGUAAGCCACCCACAAAUCCUCAACUUCACAUGGACUCAAAACCAAACCCUAGCUUCCUUCCCACACAUCCUCAUUAUCUUCAUCGUUACUUACCUCCCUCACAUCCAUCCUCUGCCACACAUCAACAUCAACAUCAACAUCACCAUCAUCAUCACCUCUCAUUGGACCCCACAUUCUCAGAUCCAUCACAGCCAUCCAUAAUCUCACCCUCCUCCUCUUCUCCCUCAUCAUGGCCGCUGGUUGCACCCUCUCGAUCAUCCUCCACUCACCUCACCUCCACUACUUCCCCUGUUUCCCCCCUACCAUUUCUCCCUCCGGCCCCCUCUGCUUCUACGCUUACGUUUUUAACUCUAAAAAAUACUCGAAUUCCCAGACACCCUUUUGAUCAUUUUGUCAAACUCCAUCCAACGGCUCACGUUCCUCCACGUCUACCACCAUGCAACCGUCGUUGUAAUGUGCUACAUUUGGUUACAGACGAAGCGGUCUUUGCUUCCUAUUGCGCUUGUUACCAGUGCAAGUGUGCAUGUGAUCAUGUACGGGUACUAUCUAUUGUGUGUUCUGGGGUUGCGGCAGAUUGGUCACUGAUUGUCAGAUUGUUUAGUUUUGCUGUUUUGGUACUGAUGCUGAAUUAUCAUUUCACGGGAUUUGGUUUCCCUGGGAUUUGGGGUUGGUGCUUCAAUGCUGUGAUUAAUGCCUCCCUUUUGGCCCUUUUUGUUAAUUUUCAUUACAAGAGCAUAGAAGUAAAUAAUUGAAUUAACUAUUAUUAUCUACAUUAAUGUGAUGGAACACAAGCCACAUCAACUAGAAUUAGAUUAUGAAUUUUAGCAGCCCCAGCAAAAAACAUUUAUGAAAGANNNNNNNNNNNNNNNNNNNNNNNNNNNNNNNNNNNNNNNNNNNNNNNNNNNNNNNNNNNNNNNNNNNNNNNNNNNNNNNNNNNNNNNNNNNNNNNNNNNNNNNNNNNNNNNNNNNNNNNNNNNNNNNNNNNNNNNNNNNNNNNNNNNNNNNNNNNNNNAUGGGCCUAAGUCUUUGAUUUUUUAUUUUGUUAAUUUUUUUUUAUUUUUUACUUGCAAUAGUAACUUCAAUUAUGAAUCAAAGUCGCCAAAUCAAAAUCGCUGCAGCCUGUAGCUACAAGCAAAAUUCUCAAUUAUUGAUCAGAAAGCUAGCCCCAGACGGUGACUCCUGUGGGGACUCCUUUAAUUUGCAGCACAAAACAACGUUCACAUUGACAUUGACUUGAGGGUAAAAAUUAAAUAUCUCCUAUUAGUAUAAGAAGAAUGCAAACAUGCUUGAAUCAACAUUCUCACAGAAUCACUAAAUUCUCAAAUUUUGAAAUACCUAACAAUUACAUACUAGCUAUAAAUAAAUAAAUAAAAAAUUGUCUAAAAUUAAUUCCCAGCUAACACUUGAAAUUUGAAUUUGGGCCUCAUGAAGAUUUACCCCGAGCUCUACCCCUGGAUAUGGAACAAAAUAUUAUUAGUUUUGCUAGUGAAAUUGCCAAUUAUGUUUUUGUUUUGUAUUUUCCGCUUAGGGAAGAAGAAAUUUCCUACAAAUUUUGUGGUGAAUAUCUUGUGAAUAUAUGACAGUUUAAUCUUUAGUCACCACUUGUUUAAAAUAAAAAAGAGAAAAGGAUAUCUAUAUCCCCAUGGUUUGGAGAAAUAGUCACCAACACCCCAAGUUUUCUAAAAAUGACAUCAAGACUCUCUUUUGACCAUAAUACUCUUUACCUUUAGUAUCCCGAAAAAUUUAACUUGCAAAUUUUUAGUAAACACAAAUAUUAUAUAAAUAAUGUAAUCUAUGUAGUAGAUUAAUAAUAUUAAAAUAAAUUUAAAUAUGUAAAUUAUUAUAUUUAUUUUAAUAAUAUAUUUGUAUUUAUUGUAGAGAUUUUAAAUAAAUAUUUGCAUUAAAUACAUUUUACAAUUAAAAAAGUCUCACAUACUAAUAAUAUUAAAAUUAUUAUUUUUCAUAAUAAUUUAAAUUUUAAUACAUUUAUUUUAAUAUUAUAUUUCUAUUUAUUAUAAAAAAAAUUAAAGUUAACUUUUGGGAUAAUAAAAGUAAAGGGUAUUGUAGUAAAAAAUGAGUUUUAGUGUCUCUUUUUGAAAACUUAGGACUUGGAAGCGUUGGUAACUAUUUUUCCAAAAUUUGGAGAUAUAGAUAUCCUUUUCCUAACAAAAAAUGACAUUUUUGAUAGGAGAUAUAAUAAGUUUUGUUCCUUAAAAAAAUCCAUCAGAUAUAUUAUGCCCCCGGUUGCUAUUGUUAAAAACAAGUAAUUCUUCUUUUUGUAUAUUAAAAUAGUAAAAGGGUGGAUAAUAUUUAAAAUAUUUUUUUAACCUUUUAUCUUUUUUGACAUUCGAAUUUUAAACUCGAGAAGUCAACCAAAUAGACUUCUUGAGAGGUUAACUAAAUUCUUAGUAAUUUAAUAUAAUAUCAUAACCGUUCUUCAAAAGCAAUUUUAUAAAUCAUUGUGGAAAAAUUUUAUUCCUUAGUUAUCUUUCGCAUAUUUUAAUUCUUUGUAAUAUGAGGUAAGUCCGUAGACAAUAGUAUGAUAUUUAUUAAAAUCAUUAUGGGACAGAUUUUAUUCUUUUUUUUUUUCUCAACAAAGUAUCCGACUGUAGAUAUAAUAAAUUACUAAUUAAAAUUAUUCGAGUCACACUCUAAAUUAGAUUUUAAAGUUUGUCAUGACAUAAUAAAGUUACAUUCUCAAAUGACCAAAUCAAUUAAUGAGAUAAUGGCUUUUGCUUUUGCCUACCUGACAAAAAGAUGUUGUCGGCCAAGUUGAAAAAUAUAGUAAAUAAAUUUCACUUGCACGUUCCAGAUCGAUCACAUACAAAUUUGUACUGAAAUUCAUAAUGGAUUAAUAUGAUUGGGCGAAAUUACUCCAUAUAAUUUCAUCAAUACCUAUUAAACGAUAAAAAAUUUAUUAAUAUUUAUAAUUAAAAAAAUCUAUCCACUAAGACUAUUCUAGAUCAACAAUUAAUAUAUUAUAUAUAACUUCAAAAGGUUCAUCGGUGGAUUGAUUUAAGCCCUUUGUUGUAGUUUAUAAAUAUUUUGUUGCUUAUAAUGUAAGAAAUUUUAUAGGAGCUGAUGCUGAGUAGUCUGAAUAAGAAAAUUAAUUAUAUUUAUAAGUUAUUGGGUAUCCAUAAUAAAAUAAACAAAUAAAAAAUGAAUAAAAAUUUAAAUACUUAAUUAAUUUUUAUCAAAUUCUUAUCAAAUAUUUAAAAAAGUAUAUAAAAUCAAUUAAUUGAUGGUAUUAUUAAUUUUCAUGAUGAUUUUUAAUAUUAUAUUAGUGAUUAUUAAAUUUAAUACAAUCAAUAAUGCAAGAAAUGAUUAAAUGGUCAAUUUUAUUGACAAAUUAUCAAAUAUGCAAAGUAAUGAAAAAUUAAUCUCAAGAGUUAGUAGAAGUAAAGUUCCAAUUUAAUCAGAUGAUAGAUAAUAAAGUUCCACUACUGUGUGAUAUCGAUGAAGUCGCAAAAUUAGUCUAAUUCCAUACUUAAUCCUAGUAUCCGAACAUGGCCUGAUAAAAUAGUUUAGGUAAUAUACUUCUAUGACUCACAAUUUAAAUAAAUUUGAGAAUUUAUAUAAGGGAUGGAAAAUUCACAAUAAUCAUAACAUGUGCUAUCUUUUCUUCCUUUUCUUAAUUAAACACGAUGAAGUCGCAUGAAGUCGAUGAAGUCAAUAACCACUGCUGUGUGAUAUCGAUGAAGUCGCAUUCGCCUACCUAAUAUUGCGCAAUUAGAUAGAAAAAACGGUCGGCUGCAUGAUUUUUCCAACUUUUGUCUUAUUUUUCUCUUUUCCACGACAAAUUAAUUUGAGAAUGUUACAUUUUCCAAUUCUCUUUUUGUCGUGACCUAAUAGACUAAAACGGAAUCACAUACUUUUUCAAAUGACCAAAUGGCUUUGGCCUACCUGAUAAUAAAAGGAAUGGAUCCAUACGUUAGUAUGGAUAAAUUGAAAAAUAUAAUAAAUAAAUUGUCAGGAGACGAUUUUAUCAAAAAUUUCACUCGCACGGUCCCGACCAAAUACAAAUUUGUGAUGAUAUUCAUAAUGAAUUACUCUAUACAGUUUCAUCGAUAUAUAUUAUACCAUUAAAAAUAUACUACUAUUUAUAAUAAAAAAAAAUUAUGACUAUUCUAAAUCGACUGUAUUAUAUGUGAAUUCACAAGAUUCAUAGAUAGAUUGCACUGAGCUUUUUGUUGCAGUUUACAAAUAUUUUGUUACUAAUUAUCUUAGGAGCGGCAAGUAACUAAAUACAAAUGUAAGAAAUUUUACAAGUUGCUGAUGCUGUGUACUCCGCAGAAAGCUAGCCCCAGACGGUGACUCCUGUGGGGACUCCUUCAAUUUGCAUCACAAAAGAACGUUCACAUUGACAUUGACUUGAGGGUAAAAAUUAAAUAACUCCUAUGGUACGUAUAAGAAGAAUGCAAACAUGUUUUUUUUUUUUUUUUGAUUACAUGAGACUAUUGCUCAAAUUACAGUUCAAAUUACAACUCAUAUUACAUGAGAGUAUAAUUGAUAUGUACAAUCAUAUAUUUAUACUGAGCCCUAUUGAUAUGAAUACUGAUAUGACAUCGCUCAGAUUUUUAACCCUCUCAAAUAUUCGAGGGAUGUCAAACUCCCAUCCUGGGAGAAAGACUGUCUUCACUCGAGCUCAAGGGCUCCAAGAAAGAAUAUUUAAAUUAAACCCCUACAAUGCGACUGCGGAGGCUCGAACCCCUUCCCUCACAUUUGUGAGGGAGGGGCUCUAGCCACUUGGGCUAAGCCCAAGUGGUUAGAAUGCAAACAUGCUUGAAUGAACAUUCUCACAGAAUACAUAAAACCUACUUUCCUCUGAGCAUUUUAGCAGCAAGAAAAGCAAUUGCAGCAUUUACCAUUUGAUCUAAUAUCAGAAUGGCUCAUGCGAUCGUUUCCUCUCUCCUGGACCAGCUGAAAUCCAUUGCUCAAGAUCAGGUGAAAGAAAAGUGGAGGCUUGUCACGGGUGUCGAACAUGAAGUGGGAAAGCUUACCACCAAUCUUCAAGCCAUUCAAGCUGUGCUGGAAGAUGCAGAGCAGAGGCAAAUGAAGCAGGACAAAGCUGUUACUUUUUGGCUGGAUCAGCUCAGAGACGCAUCCUACGACAUGGAAGAUGUGUUGGAAGAGUGGAUCACUGAAACACGGAAAUUGCAGCUUGAUGAGGGAGGCGAUGAUGAUGAUGAUGAUGAUAACGACAGUGCUUUUGUUACUUUUUUGACGAAGGUAUGUUCCUUCUUUCCUGCUGCCUCAAACUGCUUUGGUGGUUUCAAACAACUCAGUCUUCGUCAUCAUAUUGCUGUCAAGAUUAGAGAAAUCAGUAAAAGGCUAGAUGAAAUUGCCACUCGAAAAGAUAGGUUUAAUUUUGUUGAGAAUGUGAGUAACAAUGUUAGGAAUCCAGAGCGAGUGCGAACCAUCUCCUUGAUUGAUGAGGGAGAGGUUUGCGGUAGAGUUGAGGAGAAAAAUGAGCUCUUAAGCAAGUUGUUGUGUGAAAGUAGUGAACAACAAAAAGGCCUUCAUGUCAUUUCACUAGUUGGGUUGGGGGGUAUAGGUAAAACCACUCUUGCACAAUUGGCGUAUAAUAAUGAUGAGGUGAAAAGAAAUUUUGGCAAAGUUAUAUGGGUGUGUGUAUCAUACACUUUUGAGGAGAUUAGGGUCGCCAAAGCAAUCAUUGAAGGUCUAGGCGUGUCAGCUUCUGGUUUAAGCGAAUUCGAAUCUCUUAUGAAACAGAUUCAGAAAUAUAUUACGGGGAAGAAAUUUUUUCUUGUUUUAGAUGAUGUGUGGGAUGGAGAUUACAAAAAAUGGGACCCAUUCUUUUCUUGUCUAAAGAAUGGCCACCAUGAAAGUAAAAUUCUAAUUACCACACGUGAUAGGUCAGUUGCACUGCAGUUGGGAUCAAUAGAUAUUAUCCCUGUCAAGGAGUUGGGUGAAGGGGAAUGUUGGUUACUGUUUAAGCAGAUAGCAUUUCUACGUAGGUCCUUUGAGGAUUGUGAAAAAUUAGAACCAAUCGGGCGAAAAAUUGCAUGUAAGUGCAAAGGCCUGCCUCUUGCUGCAAAGGUAAUAGGGAAUCUCUUGCGCUCUAAAAGUACAGUAAAAGAGUGGCAAAGAAUUUUAGAGAGUGAAAUGUGGAAAGUAGAAGAGAUUGGGCAAGGUAUUUUGGCUCCUUUGUUGUUGAGUUAUAACGAUUUACCCUCCAAUUCUAUGGUAAAACGGUGCUUCUCAUAUUGUGCUGUCUUUCCAAAAGACUACAAUAUGAAGAAAAGGGAAUUGAUUAGUCUAUGGAUGGCUCAAGGUUACCUUAAUGCAGAUGAAGAUGAAGAAAUGGAGAUGAUUGGAGAAGAGUAUUUCAACAUCUUAGCAACACGCUCUUUCUUUCAAGAGUUUGAAAAAUAUUAUGACAAUGAUGAUAUUAUGAGUUGCAAGAUGCAUGACAUAGUACAUGAUUUUGCUCAAUUUGUAAGUAGCAAAGAAUGUUUGUGGCUAGAAAUUAAUGGUACCAAGGAAUCAGUCAUAAACUCUUUUGGUGACAAAGUCCGUCACUUAGGGUUAAAUUUUCAAGGAGGCACUUCAUUUCCUAUGUCCAUUCAUGGACUUAAUAGAUUGCAUACCCUAUUAAUUUAUGACCAAAGUCCUGUCAAUUCGUCUCUUAACAGUAGCAUCCUUCGGGAGUUAUUUAGUAAAUUGGCAUGUUUAAAGGCAUUAGUUAUAAGCCAAUAUAACACUUUAGGUUUGCAUCCUGAGACAGAAAGGAUUAGAGAAAUUCCAGAAAAUGUUGGAAAAUUGAUACAUUUAAAAUAUCUUAAUUUGUCUGAAUUAGUCAUAGAGAGACUACCUGAGACUUUGUGUGAAUUAUAUAAUUUACAAAAGCUAGAUAUUAGGCUGUGCCGAAAUCUUAGAGAAUUGCCAGAGGGGAUUGGGAAGUUAAUGAACAUGAGGAGUUUACUGAAUGCUGAAACUCGUUCGUUGAAGUACAUGCCAAUAGGGAUUUCCAAAUUAACCAGUCUUCGAACAUUAGAAAAGUUUGUUGUGGGUGGAGAUGUUGAUGGUGGCAGCACGUGUAGGCUUGAAUCUCUGAAAAAUCUUCAACUCCGUGGUAAAUGUAGUGUACAAGGGCUGAGUAAUGUAUCGCAUGUAGAUGAGGCUGAGAGGUUACAACUUUACAAUAAGAAAAACCUCCUUCGUUUGCAUCUUGAGUUUGGUAGAGUCGUAGAUGGGGAAGGCGAAGAAGGGAGGAGGAAGAAUAUUGAGAAAGAUAAACAACUUCUUGAAGCCUUACAACCGCCUUUGAAUGUAGAGGAAUUAUGGAUUAUAUUCUACGGAGGCAACAUUUUUCCCAAAUGGUUGACUUUGCUAACCAAUCUAAGGGAACUAAAACUCUUCUCGUGCGUUAACUGUGAGCAUUUGCCUCCACUGGGAAAAUUGCCUCUGGAAAAACUCGAACUAUACAAUUUGAAAAGUGUAAAAAGAGUGGGUAAUGAGUUUUUGGGAAUAGAAGAAAGCAGUGAGGAUGGCCCGUCUUCUUCUUCAUCAUCACCAUCAGUUAUUGCCUUCCCCAAAUUGAAAUCACUCAUAAUUGAGGAAUUAGAUGAAUUGGAAGAGUGGAAUUACAGGAUUACGAGGAAGGAAAACAUCUCCAUCAUGCCACGUCUUUCUUCCUUGCAGAUUUCUUAUUGCCCCAGAUUAAAGGUGCUGCCGGAUUACCUUCUUCAAUCGACGACACUGCAGGAAUUGAGGAUUGAGCGAUGUCCUCUUCUGGAAAACCGUUAUAGGGAGGCGAAAGGAGAAGAUUGGCAUAAGAUAUCUCACAUUCCCCACAUCCAUAUAUCACCCCACGGUAAUUUCUUCUCCUCCUCUGAUUUACUCUAUUGUUGCUUGCAAUGAAAUUAAUAAAAAUAAUUAUAUUUUGAAUUAAAAUUCUGUAUAUUGCCAAUGUGUGACAGGAAUAUAUAAUAUAUUUCUAAUAUUUUGAUUUGCAUAUUGAAUUUAACUAUUUACUUCAGCCAUUAAUUAAUGGGUCACUCUAUGAUAUUGUUAUAAAAAUUAUAGAAUCAAUCGUGUUAUAAAUAUGUACUGUUAGAUUUAAUCAAUAGUUCAUAAAGUUAAAAGUUAGUUACGAUAAUAUUUAAUUUCAGUUAUUUAAAAUUUAAACUUCCUAGUUAUCAAAUCUCUUAAACUUGUUUUCUAAAGAUUAAAUAAUUAAAAAAAAAACAAGUGUAGUAUGUUGAAAUUUCUAUAUUUUUUAAAAAAAAAUAUGUAGUCUUUUGUAAAAUUUCAUACAACAUCAUAGAAAAUCCUAAUGUAUUUUAUUUUUUAAUGCACGAAAAUUUGUUAUGUGCAACUUCCUGAGAGACAAAAUCUCUGUGAUACAUUUGCGGAAAUGUUGAAAACUAAAUCAUCAAUUUUAUCUUGUAUAAUGAUAAUCGUAUUUUUUUAUAUAUAAUUUAUGUGACAUUAAUUCUUUAAAGUAAUGGGGUAAUUGUUUUUACAACAUUAGCCCACUUUGUUUUAUUUCAUACGAGUUUAAUUAUGUUCACCAGGGAUUCGAGAAAAAAUCAGAAUAUCCCUCCUUGUUGUUCAGGCGGGAUCUGCUCUAUUGGGUGAGUUUAAAGCAGUUGAUACGUCUUGAAAAUUGUUAUUGCGGAUGAAUUCAUUCCUGAAGACGGGUAUCCAAAGGCGUAUUUUCAUAAACUUCCUUUUUUAACAAAUGUUCCAACGCUUGCAUCUCUCGGGUGCACCAUGUUCACGGGUUAGAAAAAGCAUUUGUGGUGAAGCUUCAAAGCUUGUAAAAUGGCUGUGAAAAGGCACAUUCAAUUCGGUAUGCUUUGGUGCGGUCUCCUAAUGCUAAUAUUAUAUUUUAUAUAGCAAUCUUAAUAUGCAAUAAAUCAUUGUGUCCAAAGUUUUCUAUUAAUUAUAUGGUGACUGAAAUUUUAAUUAUCAUAUCAAUCUUAAAAUUUUUUGUAACCCUAUUUUACUUUGCUUGUACAGAGUACCUGUUUUAGCUGAUAUGUCUAAUUCCUAGAAAUUCAUUUCCAUCGGUUUCCAUUGGUUUUAGUUCAAACAGAAACAGAGAGCCCUGGGAAAAAGUUUUACUUUUUGUGGUAUUAUGCCUUUGUUUCUUCAUUCAUGAUAUUUGUUUCGAAUUCAUGCUCUCAUUCAGAGAGUAAAGCCUUUUCCAGGCUGCUUUGUAGCCAAAUUUUGAUGCCAUCGAUGCAUGAUUGUCAUUUAGAUUUUCCAAAUAAUUGUUAGAUUGGAGAAGAAUAAGAAUAUAUUGUUCAAAGGCUAUUUAAUUAGCACCCUCUGAAUUUAGUUGGCAAUAAUGCAUUGAAAUGGUUGGGGAAAGUUAUUGUCUUAAUUAAAUUACAGGUGAUAAGAGGCUGCUUCAAUUUUGCAAGCAUCUUGUACUGCGAAGAUUCUGCCCACAUGAGAUGCUGUGAUUCUUGACGUCAGGAUAACACAGGUCAAAUUUUAGUAUCAAUAUAUAUCAUCUUCUUUACUGUUCUGCCUCUAAAUAUUAAACUUUAAUCAAGUUGUUUUUGUUUGUGUAAGUUAUCAGGUUAAGGAUACUAAGCCGCUUAUUAAGGCAAAUGUCAGAAUGAAGAUUGCUCACCACACCUGGUAUGCAUGAUGGUCAGGAAGAUUAAUUGUUCACAAGCCAAUUUGAUCAGUGUUAGAUUUUUUGCCUCCUUUCGAGGGACAUCAUCAUCAAAUUUGAGUAGAGAAUCUUUGAAGGAAUUUUGUUGAAAGAGUUUCACAGUAGUGAAUUCUGGGAGCUCGAACUCACUUGAGUGAGAUAUUAGGGAGUGUUGGGGAUUUGGGUUAUGAGUAAUCAUUAUCCUUCCAAUAUGUGUAAGCACUCACUUGUUAGUAAAAUCAUCUUCGUAUAUUGACUAUGUUUCUUUGUUAUCAGGUAGAGUGUGAUCUUCAAGGGUUUGAGAAAGUCCUUGCAGUAAAGUUUCCACCACAAGCAAUUGCUGCGAAGAGGCAUAUACAUUUGAGAAGUUCAGUUUCAGAUUUUCUAGGCGUGUAUGUUUAAUUAGUUUCGAUUAUAAUAUUUAGUCACUCAUUCUGAAUCUUUUCUAAUUUUCAAGUUCCUUAGGGCCACGACCUGUUUUUCAAGUCUGCAUGUGGCUGCAAAAAGAUUGAUGGUCAUAAAAUUAUCUUGACCCUUGAGCCAUUGCGUUUGAGCACAAACAGAAACAGAGCUAAAGGAAAAGAAUUUGACGCAAGAAGAUGCUCUGAAUAUAACAAAAGUAUAUUUCUACUUCUUGUGGUUAUUUACUUUUGUUUCUCCUGUCAGCAUAUUUGAUUAAUUCGUUCGAAUUCACACUCUCACACAUUAUUUAAAACCAUUUGUAGGUGGCUUGCAAGCUAAUUAAGUUAAUGCAGAAGCAAUACUCUAGACAAAGAUGAGCAAAUUGAAGGUGAUAAAUGCAUAUAUGGCGGCCAAAUCGCUUAUUAUAUUUCAUCUCUCAAUCUAAUAUGAUUCUGAAUUUUAAUUUCCAUGAAUAAUUGUUAGGCUGGUACAGAUGUUCUUAAAAGGGCCAUUAAACUACCUUAUGAAAUUGGAAAGUUGCUAUUGCUUGAAUGAAAGCACCAUCUUCUGUUACCAAGGCAUUCCCCACAUGAUGAGAUUAUGUGAUUGUUACCGGCUUCUUAAUUAUUUGUUAAAUCAGGUUUUUCUUAUCAAGUACAUCAUCUUAUUCACCAUUUUGGCUAUAUCAGAAUCUGCUAAUUCCAUGAUGUCAAAGCAAGCUCAAGCACUAGAUCCCUAAUAAUAAUGCAUUGCAUUUUCAUUUUAUUUUUAGGUUGACUUUUAAGACCCUAUGGAGAACAUUGGGGUAAUCAAGGAUUAGGCUGGUGAUGGAACUACUUCCACUGUGGUGUUGUGUGCAACGUUCAGUUGCUGGACUUUGAAGAAGAAAGUGAUGGCCAGGUCUGCUCUGUUUCAAUUCAGGAUGGAUAGCUGCCUGGAAGGCAUGAUGAUUAUUAUUGCAUGAUAUUAAGGUACUAAGAUCAUCAUUUCUGUCUUGUUUUUUUCUUUGAUCGGUUUAUCCUCUAUAAGCAAAUUCAAUUAUGCUAAUAUUACCCUUUUUUCACCCAAUUUUCACUGUUGGUUGUAAUAACAAUUUCAGGUAUUCAAAAGCUACAGAGCAAAGCACAUGUGGGCUGAUCACAUGCUUCCAUGGAGGAAGGAAUUCGGUAUUGACACUAUUAUGCAGGUAACCGCAGUUGUUAAUUUACACAAAUUUGCAUUGUCAGAAUGCCCUUUAAUAUUCACUGUGUUUCUUUUUGUUACUCAGGUUACCAUGGUAGAUAGAGUAUCAUCUUCGAGAGUUUGUAAGAGCCUUUGCAGUAAAGUUACCUGCUCGAGCAAUUUUACAUUCAUCGAGUACAAUUUUGGAUUUUCAAGGUUUGUAUGUUUAGUUGCGAUUAGCAGGCUUAGUCACUCAUUCCUAAUCUUUUCUGAUUUUCAGGUUAUUUAGGUCCAUUAACAGUUUUCACACAUGUUUCAAUGCUAGUUGUAAUAACAAUUUCUUAUCUUGCACCUCUAAGGUGCAUCACGUUUGAAACAGCUUUUGCGGUAAAGUUUCAAUGCUUGUACAAUGGCCGUGAAGAGGUACAUUUAAUUCGGUACGUUUUGGUGCGGUCUUCUAAUGCUAAUAUCAUGUUGUGUAUAUUUAGUUUGCAAUUAAAACUUAGGUAUACAAUCUUAAUCUCCAAUAAAUCAUUGUGUACAAAGUUUUCUAUUAAUUAUAUGGUGACUGAAAGUUUAAUUAUCUUAAAAUUUUUUGUAACUCUCUUUUACUUUGCUUGUACAGAGUACCUGUUUUGGCUGACAUGUCUAAUUAGUAGAAAUUCAUUUCCAUGGGUUUCCAUUGGUUUGAGCACAUACAGAAACAGAGCUUUACUUCUUGAGGUGUUAUGCCUUUGUCUCUUCAUUCACCAUAUUUGUUCGAUUACGUUGUCUCAUUAAGAAUUUAAAGCCUUUUUCUAGGCAGCUUUGUGGCCAAUUUUUUAUGCCAUCAAUGCAUGAUUGUCAUUUAGAUUUUCCAAAUAAUUGUUAGGUGGGGAAGAUAUUGUUAAAAGGGCAUUUAAUUAGCUACGUCCCCUAUGAAUUUAGUUGCCAAUAUUACAUUGAAAUUGAGAAGGAUCAUAGUUGAGGAAAGUUAUUGUCUUAAUUAAAUUACAGGUGAUAAGAUGUUGCUUGAAUUCAGCAUCUUGUAUUGCGAUGAUUUUGCCCACAUGAGGUUCUGUGAUUCUUGACAUCAGGAUAACUCAGGUCAAUUUUUUUGUAUCAGCAUAUAUCAUCUUCUUUACUGUUUUGCCUUUAAAGAAUAAACUUUAGUAAAGUUGUUCUUGUUUGUGUAUGUUAUCAGGUUAAGGAUACUAAGCAGCUUAUUAAGGCAAAUGUCAGAAUGAAGAUUGUUCACCACACCUGGCAUGUAUGAUGGCAAGGAAGAUUAAUUCUUCACAAGCCAAUUUGAUGAGUGUUAGACAUUUUCAGAUUUUUGGCUUUAUAUAUUAUUAGAGCUCUCCCAAUAACUGCAAGCUUUCAUUUGUUUGUAAAAUCAUCUUCUUAUAUUGAUUGUGUUUCCUUGUGUUAUCAGGUAGAGUAUCAUCUUCAAGGGUUUCAAAAAGUCUUUGCAGUAAAGUUUCAACCAAUUGCUGUGAAGAGGCAUAUUCAUUUGAGUAAUUCAGUUUCAGAUUUUCAGGGCGUGUAUGUUUAAUUAGUUUUGAUUAAAAUAUUUAGUCACUCAUUCUGAAUCUUUUCUAAUUUUCAAGUUCCUUAUGGCCACAACCAGUUUUUCAGGUCCGUAGGAACUAUCUUGAGCGUUGAGGAAUUGCGUUUGAGCACACACAGAAACAAGGCUAAUGGAAAAGAACUUGACAGAAGAAUUAUGCUCUAAAUCUAACAAAAGUAUAUUUCUACUUCUUUUGGUUAUUUUACUUUUGUGUUUUCUGUCAUCAUAUUUGAUUGAUUCGUUCGAAUUCAGACUCUUUCUCAUCAUUUAAAACCAUUUUCAGGUGGCUUGCACGCUAAUUAAGUUAACGCAGAAGCAAUACUCUAGACAAAGAUGAGCAAAUUGAAGAUGAUAAAUGCAUAUAUAGUGGCCAAGUCGCUCUUUACAUUUCAUCUCUCAUACGAACAUGAUUUUGAAUUUGAAUUUCCAUGAAUAAUUGUCAGGCUGGUGUAGAUAUUCUUAAAAGGGCAUUAAGCUACCUUAUGAAAUUGGAAAGUAAUUUUGUAAUCAUUUCUGUGCAAUCAAGAAUGUAAUUUUGUAAUUAUUCAACUCUGCUUCCGCGAACAUGCGGUAUCUUGCAGAUUUUUUUCUCCCUUUUUCUUUCUGCGUUAAAACUGCAACAAAUGGAAGUGACUGGCUUGAUUUUAGCUCCUGUAAAAAAGUGCUUGGGGCAAUGUCUUUUGUAUCAGCAAGUUAUCAAACAUCAUAGUUUAAAUAUAGAAUCCUGAGUUGCUAUCGAAAAUUCCAGGUCUUUCACCUCUCAGUUUCUUAAAAGCUACAAAGCUUGAUAUAUAUUGACAAAGCAAACCGUCUGUGGGCUGAAAUGCUUCCACGGAUCAGGAAGGAAUUUCGUGUUGACACUAUAUGUUAUGCGGAUAACUACAGUUGAUAGUUUUUACCCAAAAUAUGUCAGAGUUGACAAUUCACUUACAGUGUUUCCUUGUGUUACCAGGCCCUCAUGUGUGAAUUGAAAGAUUAAGAAAGAUUGAUUCUUACUGACUUAUGCAAUUGAAGAUUAUGAAAAAGCAUUUGCACUAAAGUUCCCAGCUUGUUUAAUUGCUGUGAAGAGGCACAUUCAUUCUGAGUACUUGAGUUUUAGAUUUCCAAGAUGUGUAAUUUUAGUUGCCAUUGAAAUAUGUAGUGGCUCAUUCUUAAAAAUCUGUUCUAAUUUUCCUGUUAUUUUGGGCCAUAAACAGUUAAAAAGUCUGCAUGUGGUUUCUAAAGAUUGAUGGUUAUGAUAAAUAUUGUGAGGUAUGAAAUAUUAGUUUGCUAUAAAUAUGUGUACAAAAUGUUUCUAUUACAUGGGGACUGAAAUUGUAACUUGCAGGGUCAAAAGAAAUCCUAAUUUGCGUAAGUGUCUGCAUUUGUGUACAAAGGAAAAAUAAGAAAUUCUGCUACAUGGGGACCGAAAUUUUAAUUGGCAGGGUCUUCAUCAAAUGUUUGUUAUCAAUACUGAUCCCGGAAUGUGUGGAACACGGUGAAAAGUUUUUCAUAGUUUUGCGAAGAAGGCUGAUUUAUCUGAUUCAUAGAAUUGUGAAAAGGGCAUCGGGCGGGGGACAAAAGAAGUGUUGAAAUUGAAAAGGUUAAUGGUUGAAGCAUGCAGUGUUGCAAUUAAGUUAUUAUUGUCUUGAAAUAACAGGAGAUGAUCAGAUGCUGCUUAAUGCAUGCAGUUUCUGUUGCAAUUGUAUUGGCCUGGGUUUAGGGAACUGUCAGAACUUUCAGAAGAAGAUGGAGUUUCUCAAACCAAAUAUAAGAAGAUAUCUCACAUUCCCCACAUGGUCUCAAUGCACAGGUAAGUUCUUCUCUAGCUCUGUUUUUCAUUGUUUUUUAUUUUUAAUGUAAAUAAGGAGCAGAGUUAAUCUCUUAUGUUGACCUUGCUUUGAGAAAACUGCUUUUACAUGUAUUUUUAAUUCAGAUGUCCACAAUAAUUUCAUUUUAGUUUGAGCUAAGUGAUAACUGUUGAAGGCUCACUCACUCAUUGGGAGAAGCUCCAUGACGCAGGCUGCUGGGAUUAGCUAGUGCAAUUGCUGUGAAGAGGCACAUUCAUUGGGAGAAAUUAAAUUUUAGAUUUUCUUAGUGUGUAUGUUUGGCUGCGAUUAAAAUGAUUUCUCUCGUUGUUAAUGAUUUCUGAUUAUCCCGUUCUUUAUGGCCAUAAACAGUUUUCCACGGGCUGCAUGUGGCGGCAAAAGAUUCAUGUUGAUAAGGCUAAUGCUAAGUUACAUGCAUGUAACUUAGGGAGAUCCUGUUGAUAAUUAUAUCUUGUGGUAUGUGUGUUGCAUUUGAGCACAUGCAGAAACAGAGCUGAAGGAAAAGCAAUUGACCCUAGAAGAUGUUGCAAAUAUAACAGAAGUAUAUUUCUACUUGCGGUCAAUUUACAUUUGUUUCUUGUGUCAUCCUAUCUCAUUCAUCAUUUUGGACAGAGUUUGGAAAAAAAAAAUUAUACGUAAAUCACUUUCCAAUGGUUCAGUGAUUUUUGAUUGGUUGUAAAAUGUUGAACCUCUUUUCAGAUUUCCAAAUAACUGUUAGAUUGGAGAAGAAUAAGAAGAUAUUAUUAAAAGGAUAUUUAAUUAGCGCUCUCUGAAUUUAGUUGCCAAUAAUGCAUUGAAAUAGUUGGGGAAAGUUAUUAUCUUAAUUAAAUUACAGGUGAUAAGAUGCUGCUUCAAUUUUGCAAGCAUCUCGUAUUGUGAAGAUUUUGCCCACAUGAGAUGUCGUGAUUCUUCUGCUUCAAUACAGGUCAAAUUUUAGUAUCAAUAUAUAUCUUCUUCUUUACUGUUCUGCCUCUAAAUAUUAAACUUUAGGCAAGUUGUUUUUGUUUGUGUAAGUUAUCAGGUUAAGGAUUCUAAGCAGCUUAAUCAAAUUUGACUAGAGAAUCUUUGAAUAGAAUUUUGUUGUGAGAGUUUCACUGUAGUGAAUUUUGGGAGCUUGAACUCACUUGAGUGAGAUAAUAGAGUGUAUUGGAGAUUUGGGUUAUGAGUAAUCGUUAUCCUUCCAAUAUUUGCAAGCUCUCACUUGUUAGUAAAAUCAUCUUCGUAUAUUGACUCUGUUUCUUUAUUGCCAGGAAAGUGUGAUCUUCAAGGGUUUGAGGAAGUCUUUGCAGUAAACUUUCCACCACGAGCAAUUGCUGCGAAGAGGCAUAUACAUUUGAGUAAUUUAGUUUCGGAUUUACAAGGCGUGUAUAUUAAAUUAGUUUCAAGUUCCUUAGGGACACUACAGUGUUUCAAGGCCGCAUAUGGCUGCAAAAGAUUGAUGGUCAUAAAAUUAUCUUGAGCCUUGAGGCAUUGUGUUUGAACACACACAGAAACAGAGCUAAAGGAAAAGAAGACAGUAGAAGAUGCUCUAAAUAUAACAAAAGUAUAUUUAGAGCAUUUAAUUAGCUACGUCCCCUAUGAAUUUAGUUGCCAAUAAUAACUUGAGUGUCGAGGAAUUGCGUUUGAGCACACACAGAAACAAGGCUAAUGGAAAAGAACUUGACAGAAGAAUUAUGCUCUAAAUAUAACAAAAGUAUAUUUCUACGUCUUGUGGCUGUUUUGCUUUUGUUUCUUCUGUCAUCAUAUUUGAUUAAUUCGUUCGAAUUCACACUCUCACACAUAUUUAAAACCAUAUGUAGGUGGCUUGCAAGCUUGCUAAGUUUACGCAAAAACAAUACUCUAGGCAAAGAUGAGCAAAUUAAAGGUGAUAAAUGCAAAUCGAAUUUCCAUGAAUAAUUGUUAGGCUGGUGCUGAUAUCCUAAAAGGGCAUUAAGCUACCUUAUGGAAUUGGAAAGUUAUUAUGCUUCAAAGCAAGCAGCGUCUUCUGUUGCGAAGGCUUUCCCCACAUGAUGAGAUGCUGUGAUUGUUACCAGCCCCGUAUUUAUUAACUCAGGUCAGUAUUAUCAACUACAUUAUCAUUUUGGCUAUAUAUAAAGAUUAAAAUUUUGAACACUUGUCUCGGUUUCUUGUGUAAUCAGGCUACUAGAGCAAAUGUUUACUGUCUAAGCACUAAUGCGACAAUCCCAUCUGUAAAUUUGGGCCAUCUUUGAUGUCUGACAGGUUAGCUGUGACAAUCCCAUCUGUAAGUACUAAAGCGCCUGGUUAUGGUGCUUUCAUUGGACUAUAUGCAAACGUGAGAUAUCAGCUAUUGUGUGGAUUUGAUAGAGCGGUCACCAACCAUUUUGAUGUUAUUGGAGUAGCACUGUUCUUAAGCACGGCUUUGAGGUCUCUCCGUCUCUCUUUUACGUAUUUGUCUAUUGAUCGACAUCUCUAAAUAUACAUUGAUAGACCAAAUUACUCUUGUUUUAAUGUUUUGUUUGUUGAACUUUGACUGGGUUAUUUGUUUAUUUGUCUCAUAUGAUGUUAAUGCGGUUCCUAUAAAAGUGGAUAUAGAUCUAUCACCUCAAAGUCUGAUUUCAAUUUUCCUUUACUUAAUCAACUAGCAUCCUUUCCAAGUCCAGAUACUUACCAAUAGUGAGACUUUGCUACGGAAGUACAAUUUCUCUUGUUUUACAGUUAAGUAUGUAAGAAUAGUUUCAAAUUUACAGAAUUCUGAUAUAGUUCUCUAAGGAAAUGCGGGUGGUGAAUAUGGUUCCAACUUUUAAUAGGCUUUAAUAGGCCCAUUUGUUCAGCCACAGUGAUUGCGGUCUAAAUUCUUCUUUACUGUCUAUAUGUGUUGGAGUUUGUCUAUUGUCCAACUUCUCCAAUGGAUUCCAUGCAGGGUUUUGAUGGUCUAAUUAGGAGAAAGAUCAACGGAUGACCUUUUGAAGAAGGCUUACACAACAGCCCAUCUCAGGAUGUCAUGGCUCAGCUCAAAAGUCCCCAGGUGGUUGAUACCAAAGAGUGCCAUUGUUUCUGGGCUUGGGCUCCUUGGCGUCAAACAAGAUAGUCCGGAGUAAGGUGACUGCAUAAAUUUCUUGGAGUUAAUGUAGUCAAUUGCCCAAUUUUGGUGCCUGUCGAAGAGACACAGCAUGGAAGUCGUCAUCAAACUCUGAGACACCUAAGAACUAGUAGGAGGUGGUGGUAUUCACCUGGUGUCUAAAUACUAUAUGUGAUACAACGUUGCAUAUUCCAAUUUUUCUCCAGUUAAAUUCUAGUGAGUUAGGAAAUUUAAUUUUGUUUUAGCUAUGAAUUAUUUCCUAGAUAAUAAUAAUUGCCAUGUUCCUUUAGAGUCUUAUUUACUCCAACUUUAGGAAAUUCUAGUGAGUUAGGAAAUUCUAGUUAGGAAAUUAUGUACCAUCAACCAGUUUUUUCUAACUUUUUUAAAAAUACACUAUUCUUAUUUGACUGACUUGAUUUUACUGACAUAAUUUUCUCCCAUUUCUAUAUUAUCGACGUUGAGUGCAUCUAAUCCACAAGUCUGAUUGAGCCAAAAGUCUAAUGACAAUCACGUCCAAAGAUGCCGUUAUCACAAAGCCCUGGAUAAUUAAAGAGGUCAUUGUUCGAAAGAAAGAAUGAUUUGUUGGUAUGAAAUUACGUUAAAAUGAAUAUAUCACUUUUUUUUUUUGGCGUGAGUGAUGGCUUCGUUUAAUGACAGUUGGCAGACAAUGAGUCAUCUUUUAAUUUUAGUUUUGAUUUAUUAUAAAAUAUUAAUUUUUGUAGUUUCAGUAGAUGAAAUUUCGAAUCAAAUAUUAAUAUCGUUAAAGUACGCAACUCAAUAUUUGCUUAAAUCAUAAAAAAAAUAAUUGCUUUACAUUAAAAAAAAUAACAAGUGAUCACUUGAUUUAACUUCCUUUACUAAAUUUACGAUUUAAAAUCCAAAAUAGAAAAACGAAAACAAUUUUUGAAAUCACACUCGAAGUUUUAAAUUGACAUGAAAAAAGAGCUUAUUAUUGAUUAUCUUUUUCCUAAAAUUUAAGGUAAGAUAACAAUAUGUCCAAAAUACCCUCCGCAUUAUCCCAAAACUUUAUAAACUCCCCCGUUCCUCUGAACAUCAUCUCUUCCAAAUCUUUCUCCCCCAAAAAACCAGCCAUGGCUUCAUAUUCAAUUACCGCAACACUCCAAUAUUUGCUAUAAACCACCCCCAAAUCCUCAACUUCACAUGGACUCAGAACCAAACACUAGCUUCCUCCCCACACUUCCUCAUUCUCUCCAUCCUCACUUACCUCUCCCUCACAUUCAUCCUCUACCACACAUCAACAUCAACAUCACGACCAUCAUCACCUUUCAUUGGACCCCACAUCCUCAAGCCCAUCACAGCCGUCCAUAACCUCACCCUCCUCCUCCUGUCCCUCAUCAUGGCCGUUGGUUGCACUCUCUCCAUCAUCCUCCAUUUACCCCACCUCCAUUGCACCCUCUGUUUCCCCCCUACCAUUUCUCCGUCUGGCCCCCUCUUCUUCUACCCUUACAUCUUCUACCUCUCCAAAAUACUCCAAUUCUUAGACACCCUUUUGAUCAUUUUGUCAAACUCCGUCCAACGGCUCACGUUCCUCCACGUCUACCACCAUGCAACCGUCGUCGUUAUGUGCUUCCUUUGGUUACAGACGAAGCAGUCUUUAGCUUCUUCCCAAAUUCAUCAAUGAACCCCAAAACCAGUCUAAUCAUUAAAAUUAUUAACAACCAUUUGCUUGGAUCAAUGUACACUUGGCAUGUCUAUGGGCUUACUUGGAAUGGUCGCUGAUGGCCAUGGGCUUGCUUGGAUUGGCCGGGUACAGCCAUGGGCUUGCUUGGAAUGCCCGUACCCAGCUGCCAUGGUUUUGCUAGCGUAUCCAUGGGUUUUGUUGGACAUGGCAGUGCGAGGCCAUGGGUGUUGCCGGGCAAUGGACAUGGGUUUUGCUGGGCUGAUUUGGAAUUAACGGUGGCUAUGGAGUUGUAAGUGUGUGAAAGAGAAAAAAAAAAUGAACGAAGAAGAAGAUGAACAGGGAAUAGAACGAAGAAGAUGAAGAAAGUAGAAGAGAGGGAAAAAAUAUUUUACUUUUUUUAUAAAUUUUCCGAUUUUUAUUUCAAAAUUUAAAAUUUUUGUUUAAAUUCGAGAAUCUUAAGGGUAAGAUUUUCUUUGUAUCUAUGUGUAGAAGGAGGUUUUUAGAUGGUUUUUGGUUGGGCUAACAUAAAAUAUGCUUGUUUUAUGAAAUAUUAUUAUUGAGGUUUUGUUUUAUUUUCUAAAAAAUAGAUUAGAGGAUGAUUUUCAUUAAUGACACACAUAAAGUUUGAAUUAGUUAUAUUUUAGAAAUAGUACGGAUAUAAGUGAUAUAUCUUUCCAACAUAAAUAUAUCAGUAACAUAAGUUAUUCUAUAAUUAACAGGGGUAUUAUCGUAUUUUAGUGAGUCAAUAUUUUUUUUAUUUUGUAUCAAUAUUGGUUGAUAGUUAAAUUUAACAGAUUUUAGAGAGUAAAUUGAAGUUUUUAUUUUUUAUUUUUGAGUAAAUUAAAAUAUGUCAAUAUUGGUUGAUAGUUAAAUUUAACAGAUUUUAGAGAGUAAAUUGAAGUUUUUAUUUUUUAUUUUUGAGUAAAUUAAAUUGAAGUAUUUCGGUUCUACCCGAAAUACUUCUUUGUAUUGAAAUCAAUGAUGAUUGCUUGUUUAAAUAAUGAAAGUUGAAAUAAUUUUGUAAAUAAUUUCAUUCUUUAAUUUACGGUAUACAAAUAAAUUCAAAAAAUGUUAAUUUCUCUCAUACUAAUUUUAGGACUCAAAAAAUAACAAAAAGUCUUAACAUAUUUAAUGGUUAUAUAUAAAUCAUCCGUACGUAUUUUAUUUAAGCUAAUAGAGUAAGAAGUCCCAAAUACAUGUACAUCAAUUCGAUAGACAAUGCUCCCCUUAAUUUUCUUUUCUAAUUAGAUAAAAGAACAAGAGAAAUUGAUUACAAUAAUUCACGGCGAAGUCACCUUGGUCUACCUGAUAUAUAUUACAGAGGUUAGCUUCUUUUUAAUGCCAAACUUGAAUAACAAACAUUAAUUUACUUCUUAAAGGGUAAAAACCUCAAUUUGUCCUUAUAUUUGUUCAAAAGAUACAUUUUGUCUUCUUAAUAUAAACAAGUUAAAUUGAUGUUUCACAUCUUUUAGAAAUAAAUUAAAGAUUGUUAUUUUAAGUAGGAGGUAAAUUUCAAAUAAAACAUGUGUUCAUAUGAUAGAUGUGCAUUUUACAAUAAUUAAUAAACAAAAGGGUAGUGAUAUUUUCAACCUGUAAUUUUUGUAAAUCCACCCCCACUCCCAAGAAAUAAUUACAAUAAAUUCACAUAACUUUUUUAAAACUCAAAUAAAGAAAAAUUUUGGAGAUUUAAACUAUUGUAUACAAGAGGAUAAGAGUAAAUAUUUUUCAUGCAGUAUAAAAAGAAUGCGACAGCUCCUUUUCUUUCGGUAUUUUCACAACAAAAGCACACUUAAUAACUCAUCAAAUUAUUUCUCCUUUUCUUUGAUCGCUUCCCCUCUCCUGGAGCUGCUGAACUCCUUUGUUGCUGAUGAAGGGAACAAGUGAGGCUUUUCAAAAGAGGGCAAAGAGAUGGUGAUUCGAUUUGAUUCGAUAAUAGUAGUUUAUUUUAAUUGUUAUUCAUUUGAUUUCAUAGAAGUAAUUUUUAUUUUCAUUUUUUGUUGAAAAUUGGUAAAAACGAACUAAAAUGAGAUAAUUACAUUAAAACAAUCUUCAAUGACUAAAGUAAUUUGAAAAAAUAAAAAUAAAAAUAAACAAGCUCAAAAUUUACCCCUAAUCCGAACAUUAUCCGAAUUCAGCCUAAUUGACCCAAAUCUAAUUGUAAUCCAAACUUGACAUGACCCGCAUAUAAUUAUAACUCGAUCAGAUCCAAACUCGACCUGAAUUUUUAAUUCAAUACGAUCCAAUCCAAAUAUUCCAAUCCCAUCAAAUUGAAACUUGAUCGGGUUGAUCCGAACCCGAAUUUGCCACUUCCGGAGGAGACCAUGACCCUAAAGGCUUUGAAAUAAUCUUUGCGGUUUCUUAAUGAAAUAUUAAAAGUUAUGUGCAAAAAGACUGAUUUGACCCUAGAAUACAUGAUAUAUAAAUUUCAGACAUUAUAUUCUGUGAAAUAAAGUCAAAGUAAACUGGUCGUUUGAUUUUUUUAUUAAUUAUUUUCCAUUAAGACAAAAUGACAAAUAGACUUUUUUAAAAGUUUAAUAAAGUUUGGGCCUAACUCCUUGAUUUUUAUUUUUUAAUUAUUUUUCAUUUUGUUUUUUACUUGCAACAUUAGCUUUAAUUAUCAAUCAGUCUCCAAAUCAAAAUGACUGAAACCUGUAGCUACAAGCAAAAUUCUCAAAUUUUGAAAUUUCUAACGACUACAUAAUAGUAAUAAAUAGAAAAAUCAUCUAAAAUUGAUCCUCCUUCAGAGGCAGAUUAAAUUCUUAGUAAUUUCAUAUAAUUUCAUUUCAUCAGAACAAUUUUCCAAAAGCAAUUUUAUAAAUGGUUGUCGAAAGCUUUAUCCCUUAAUUAUAUUUUAGUUAUUUUCUUUGUGAUAUGAGGCGUGUCCAUAGACCAUAGUAUGAUAUUUAUUGUAAUUAAAAUCAUUAUGGAACUGAUUUUAUUCUUUUUUCUCAAACAAAGUAUCUAACUGCAGAUGUAAUAAAUUACUAAUUGCCAUUAUUUGAGUCGCGCUCUUUGAAUUAGAUCUUGGAGUUUCAAAUGACCAAAUGAAUUAGUAAGAUAAUGGCUUAUCGUUCCAAGAGCUAUGCUAAGAAAAAGCAGGGAUGAUCAGAACAAAUUCUGUUCAUUGCAAUUGACAGAGAUGUUUUCAGUUGCCUAGACUUCGUAUUUUCAGUUUUAGUAAUACAUGUCGUUUUUCACCACAUUUGUUUAGUCUCUCCCUUUUAAAUCCCCUCACACACAAAAAAUUAGGAUUUGUAUUUUGUAAACUAAUAUUUUUCAUUUUGUUAAUGUAUUAAUUAUUAUUAUCUACAUUUAUGUGAUAGGGCACAUGCCACAUCAACUAAAAUUAAGUUAUAAAAUUUUGCAGCCCCUGAGCACUCAAUGUUUGUUGGCACAAGUUCAAGUCCCACCAUUUGUUAGGAUUUAAAUAAAGAACAUUAUAACCAUGCGUCCAAGAACUUAAAGUUAGCUUAAGUGCAUGGAUUUUCGAGUCCUAGUUAUUGUUGGAAUUCGAUUUCCUUUCUAAUUAAAUUGGGUAGGGGUAAAAUUAUCUCUCAAUUAAUAAGGACAAAGUAGAUAUCUCUCUCGAUUUUCCUCCCAAUUAAAUUAGUUAGAAGUAAAAUUAUCUCUCGAUUAAUAAGAGUAGAAUAAAUAUCUCUCUAGUAUUAUGCAAGGGUAGAAAUUUGGGCUGUACCAUGUUAGAAUUAUCAAGGAUAGUUUUGAUAGAAUUCUAAUUGUAAUAUAUGAGUGUAUAAAAAAAAUGAACAUCAAUGAAAGAUGUUUAGGUAAGGACUAUCUUGGAAUGGAAUUUUGAUUGUAAUAUAUCAGUAUAUAAAAAAAAUUAUGAAAAAUGUUUAACAAGGACUAUUUUGAUAUUUUAAUGAGUAGUAAAAAUUAAUGUUAAAAUUUGAUAAACGAGUGUAUAGUAAGAUGUUCAAAGUGUUAGAACAUAUAUAAAUAAUCCUAGCUCUAAUAAAAUUUUGCUACAUAAUUAGUUUAUCCCUUAAAGAAACAUAUCAAAAAAAUAUACAAAAACACAAUGCAUGAGUACAUGUCAAUCACAAAUGAAAGCAAUUAAGAUAAAGAAUAUGAUUUAUUUUAUUUUAUUUUAGUUAUUUUUUUAAUUAUUUUUUGUUUCUUUUGAAACAAGACCAAUUAGAUCAUGCAAGAAGUAAUUUUUUUUUUAAAAUAAAAAAAAGGAGAAAUGAUGAAACCCACGUCCAAAGAUGCCGUUGUCGCGGAGGCCUAGAUCUCACUACACCCCAUCCCCUUCUACCAUAUUUUAUAAUUGAAGAGGCCAUUAUUGAAUUGAAAAAUUAUGAUUCAAAAACCCAAAAAUAGAAAAAGAAAAGCAAUUGUUGGAAACACACUCGGAGUUUUAAAUUGACAUGAGAAAAGAAUAUAUUCAUCAACCUCAUACGUUAAUGAUGCGACGAGUUUGAGAUUAUGAGCCAAAUUCCUAACGUGUGGGAAUUUAAAGAUGUUACUACAAAACAUGUGUUCGUCGGUGGAGUAGAAUCAGGGAAAUUAAAGAUGCUACUACAACCACUAACGUGUGGGUGGGGAUAAGCAUAACUUUUUUCAUCAAAUGCCAAAUCCCCCCAGGUGGAGAGUGGGGACUCCUUUGCAUAAAUGUUCAUAAAAUUUUGACUAUGAUGUUAUUAGAAAUUGGGGAAACAUGUGGUGCAAUUGUGGUAUCGUGUCACAGUUACAUCCAGCCGUUGGAUGUCAGUGGACCCUACUCAUGCAAGUGUAUCCAAUGGCUAGAUGCAACUAUGGCACGGUACCACAGUUGCACCGUAGUCGGGUCCUAGAAAUUAAGAUAUUCUCUCUCUACGUAUGUCUACACGAAAUAAUAUGCAAAUAUAAUAUUUUAGUUUAUUAUUAAUAGUUUUACAAUAAUAAAAAUCAUUUUGAUAGACUGAAAAAUGUCGUAUUCACAUUUUAUUUUGUACGGACGUCUGCGAGAAAGAAUAUAUAUAUAUAUAGAGGAACGUGUAUUUAAGAUUUAGCUAGUGUGAAGUUGGGAAACUUUUUUUUUUUUUUGAACCCAGGCUAAAAUUAUUUCAAUAAAUUUUGAUCAUGGAGACUAAUAAGAUUUUUUUAGUUAUAUUUAUUAAUUUUUUAGGGACUAACAUGAAUAUUAAUAAUUUUCUUGAGAUUAUUAAAAAAACAAUGUGCUAUUUUACAUCUAUGACUUUUCCAAUCUUUUUUUCUUUCGUUAUUUAAUCCUUUGUGAAUUUUAGUUAAUGCUUGAUAUUAUUUUUUUGCUCAUUUUUUAAAGUAGUAAUUAAAUCUGAACCCUUACAGUAGAAGAUUAUGAAAAAGUAAAGACACAAAAAUCAUAAAAAUCAUUAGUAGGUCCAAAUUUGUGCUAUUUUCAUACAUAACUUGAGAAUAUUUAUAAUUACGCAUCAGAACUAGUGGAGUAGAAUCAGGGAAAUUAAACAUUCUACAAUCAUUGACGUGUGGGUUGGGGAUAAGCAUAAACCUUUUCUAUGCAGUAUAAAAGAAUGCAAUAACUCCUUUCUUUCAUAUCUUCGCAACAAAAGCACAUCUAAUAACUCUUCAGAAUUCUCGUUUUCUUUGUCACAAUGGUUGAUGCGAUCGUUUCCUCUCUCCUGGAGCAGCUGAGCUCAGUUGCAACUGAUGAACUGAAACAACAGGUGAGGCUUGUUACUGGUGUACGACAAGAAGUGAAAAAGCUUACCAUCAAUCUUGAAGGCAUUCGAGCUGUGCUGGAAGAUGCAGAGAAAAGGCAAAUGCAGCACGACAAAGCUGUUACUCUUUGGCUGGAUCAGCUCAAAGACGCAUCUUACGACAUGGAAGAUGUGUUGGAGGAGUGGACCACCUCAAGGCUCAAAUUGCAGAUUGAGGGCGUUGAUGAUGACAAUGCUCUUGCUCUUGCUCCUCAUAAGAAGAAGGUACGUUCCUUCUUUUGUGCUGUAUCAAACUGCUUUGGUAGUUUCAAACAACUCUGUCUUCGUCAUGACAUUGCUGUCAAGAUUAGGGAAAUCAAUGGAAAGCUAGAUGAUAUUGCCUCCCAAAAAGAUAAGUUUAAAUUUGUGGAGAAUGUGAGUAACAAUGUCAAGAAACCAGAGCGAGUGCGAACCACGUCCUUGAUUGAUGAGGGAGAGGUUUGCGGUAGAGUUGAUGAGAAAAAUGAGCUCUUAAGCAAGUUGUUGUGUGAAAGUAGUGAACAACAAAAAGGCCUUCAUGUCAUCUCACUAGUUGGGUUAGGGGGUAUAGGUAAAACCACUCUUGCACAACUAGCCUAUAAUAAUGAUGAGGUGAAAAGAAAUUUUGAAAAAGUUAUAUGGGUGUGUGUAUCAGACACUUUUGAGGAGAUUAGGGUUGCCAAAGCAAUCAUUGAAGGUCUAGGCGAGUCAGCUUCUAGUUUAAGCGAAUUCCAAUCUCUUAUGAGCCAUAUCCAUAGAUCAAUUGAAGGAAAAAAGUUUUUUCUUGUUUUAGAUGAUGUAUGGGAUGGGGAUUACAAUAAAUGGGAACCAUUCUUCCUUUGUCUAAAGAAUGGUCUGCAAGGAAGUAAAAUUUUGGUUACCCCACGUAAUGAGUUAGUUGCACGUAUGAUGGGAUCAACAAAUAUUAUCUUCAUUAAGCAAUUGGCUGAAGAGGAAUGUUGGUCGUUGUUCAAGCGGUUGGCAUUUUCCAGUCGCUCUUUCGAAGAUUGUGAAAAAUUAGAACCAAUCGGGCGAAAAAUUGCACUGAAGUGCGAAGGCCUGCCUCUUGCUGCAAAGGUAAUAGGGAAUCUCUUGCGCUCUAAAAUUACAGUAAAAGAGUGGCAAAGAAUUUUAGAUAGUGAAAUGUGGAAAGUAGAAGAGAUUGGGCACGGUCUUUUAGCUCCUUUGUUGUUAAGUUAUAACGAUUGGCCCUCUAAUUCUAUGGUAAAACAGUGUUUCUCAUAUUGUGCUGUCUUUCCAAAAGACUACAAUAUGAAGAAAAGGGAAUUGAUUAGUCUAUGGAUGGCUCAAGGUUACCUUAAUGCAGACGAAGACGAAGAAAUGGAGAUGAUUGGAGAAGCGUAUUUCAACAUCUUAGCAACACGCUCUUUCUUUCAAGAGUUUGAAAAAGAUUAUGACGAUGAUGAUAUUAUGAGUUGCAAGAUGCAUGACAUAGUACAUCAUUUUGCUCAAUUUGUAAGUAGCAAAGAAUGUUUGUGGCUAGAAAUUGAUGAUAACAAAGAAUCAGUCAUAAACUCUUUUGGUGACAAAGUCCGUCACUUAGGGUUAAAUUUUGAAGGAGGCGCUUCAUUUCCUAUGUCCUUUUUUGAAUUUGAUAGAUUGCGUAGCCUCUUAAUUUAUGAUGAAAGUCUUUCCAAUCCGUCUCUUAGUAGUAGCAUUCUUUCGGAGUUAUUUAGUAAAUUGGCGUGUUUAAGGGCAUUAUUUAUAAGGCAAUCGUCCUUUCAUUUGCGUACAGAUCCAAAUAAGAUUAGAGAAAUUCCAGAAAAUGUUGGAAAAUUGAUACAUUUAAAAUAUCUUAAUUUAUCUAAAUUAUGCAUAGAGAGACUACCUGAGACUUUGUGUGAAUUAUAUAAUUUACAAAAGCUAGAUAUUAGGGGGUGCGAAUAUCUUAGAGAAUUGCCUGCGGGGAUUGGAAAGUUAAUGAACAUGAGGAGUUUACUGAAUGAUAACACUCGUUCGUUGAAGAACUGCCAAUUCUAGAAGAUCGCAGGACAACAGACAUACCGCGUCUUUCUUCCUUGCGAAUAUGGUUUUGCCCCAAAUUAAAGGUGCUGCCGGAUUACCUCCUUCGAACGACGACGCUGCUGGAAUUGAAUAUUAUGGAAUGUCCUCUUCUAGAAGAACAUUAUAGAGAGGGGAAAGGAGAAGACUGGCAUAAGAUAUCUCACAUUCCCCACAUCCAGAUAUCUCACAUCACGUGGCAUUAGUGGUAAUUUCUCCUCCUCCUCUGAUUUACUUCGUUGUUGCUUGCAAUGAAAUUAAUAAAAAUAAUUAUAUUUUGAAUUAAAAUUUCUAUAUUUAUUUACUUUUAAAAAAUAUGUGCUCUUUUGUAAAAUUUCAAGCAAUGUACGAAAAUUUGUUGUGUGUAACUUCCCGAGAGACAAAAUCUCUGUGAUACAUUUGCAGUAAUGUUGAAAACUAAAUUAUCAAUUUUAUCUUGUAUAAUGAUAAUCUUAUUUUUUUAUAUAUAAUUUAUGUGACAUUAAUUCUUUAAAGUAAUUGUGUAAUUGUUUUUAGUAGUACAUUAGCCCACUUUGUUUUACUUCGUACGAGUUUAAUUAUGUUCACCAGGGAUUCGAGGAAAUGUCAGAACCACACUAGCAAUUCACAGGUCCAAUCUAAUUUCUCUCAUACUUUUUGGGCUAAAAAAUAAAUGUAACUCCAACAUAUUUAUUAUUUAAUGGUUCUAUAUAGAAUCAAUCGUGGUAUAAAUAUGUAAAACUUCCUAGUUAUCAAUUUUGUCUUGCAUAAUGAUAAUCGUUUUUUUUUAUAUAUAAUUUAUGUGACAUUAAUUCUUUAAAGUAAUUGUGGAAUUGUUUUUACUACAUUAGCCCUCUUUGUUUUAUUUCAUACGAGUUUAAUUAUGUUCACCAGGGAUUCGAGGAAAUGUCAGAACCACACUAGCAAUUCACAGGUCCAAUCUAAUUUGGUUUUAAUGAUGCAGGCAGGAGAGUAUGCUAAGAAAAUGAAAAGUUUAGCCAAAGGAUUGCUAAAAUGUUCUGCUGGUAAUUCACUUGCUUUAUUUUAUAGAAUUUCAUUUCCAUCUUCUUCUAUUGAUAUCUUGUUGUGAAUAAACAAGAACAGAGAAGUAAAGAUAUAUCAAAAUUUACUAUUACGAUGAUGCUAAAGCAAGCUCAAGCUCAAGCAUUGCAUUUUUAUUUUAUUUAAUUUAUAGAAUUUUCAUUUCCACCUGCAUUGCAUUUUUAUUUAUUUUUAGGUUGACUUUGAAUACUUCAUGGUGAAAAUGACGAGUACAGCCAAAGGAUUGCUAAAUGUUCUGCUGGUAAUUCACUUGCUUUAUUUUAUAGAAUUUCAUUUCCAUCUUCUUCUAUUGAUAUCUUGUUGUGAACUGUGAAUAAAGAAGAACAGGGAAGUAAAUGAUUGGACCACAGAGAAGUAAAGGUGUAUCAAAAUUCGCUAUUAUGAUGAUGCUAAAGCAAGCUCAAGCACAAGCAUUGCACUUUAUAUUUUAUUUAGUUAAUAGAAUUUUCAUUUCCACCUGCAUUUCAUUUUUAGGUUGACUUUGAAGACUCUAUGGAGAACAUUGGGGUAACCAAGGAUUAUCACUGUGGUUAUUGUGCAACGUUUGGCUGCUGGACUUUGAAGAAGGAAGUGAUGGCCGGGUCUGCUCUGUUUCAAUUGAGGAUGGAUAGCUGCCUGAAAGACAUGAUGAUUAUUAUUGCGUGAUGUUAAGGUGCUGAGAUCAUCAUUGCUAUCUUGUUUCAUUCUUGGAAUCAUUUAUCCUGUAUAAACAUUUGUUUUAACAAAUGUUUCAAUGCAUGCUGUAGUAACAAUUUCAUAUCUUGCAUCUCUCGGGUGCAUCAUGAUCACGGGUUUGAGAAAGCAUUUGUGGUAAAGCAAUUCAAUUCGGUACGUUUGGUGCGGUCUCCUAAUGCUACUACCAUAUUUUGUAUAGCAAUUAAAAUUCAGGUAUACAAUCCUAAUAUGCAAUAAAUCAUUGUGUACAAAGUUAUCUAUUAAUUAUAUGGUAACUGAAAUUUUCAUUAUAAUUUUAAUUAUCAUAUUAAUAUUAAAAUUUUUUGUAACCCUCUUUUACUUUGCUUGUACAGAGUACCUGUUUUGGCUGAUAUGUCUAAUUCGUAGAAAUUCAUUUCCAUCGGUUUCCAUUGGUUUUAGCACAAACAGAAACAGAAAUCUGGGGAAAAGUUUUACUUCUUGUGGUAUUAUGCCUUUAUUUAUUCAUUCAUCAUAUUUGUUCAAAUUCAUGCUCUCAUUCAGAGAGCAGCCUUUUCCAGGCUACUUUGUAGCCAAAUUUUCAUGCCAUCGAUGCAUGAUUGUCAUUUAGAUUUUCCAAAUAAUUGUUAGAUUGAAGAAGAAUAAGAAGAUAUUGUUAAAAGGGCAUUUAAUUAGCACCCUCUGAAUUUAGUUGCCAAUAAUGCAUUGAAAUGGUUGGGGAAAGUUAUUGUCUCAAUUAAAUUACAGGUGAUAAGAUGCUGCUCCAAUUUUGCAAGCAUCUCGUGUUGCGAAGAUUUUGCCCACAUGAGAUGCUAUGAUUUUUGACAUCAGGGUAACACAGGUCAAAUUUUAGCAUCAAUAGAUAUCAUCUUCUUUACUGUUCUGCUCGAAAUAUUAAACUUUAGGCAAGUUGUUUUUGGUUGUGUGAGUUAUCAGGUUAAGGAUACUAAGCAGCUUAUUAAGGCAAAUGUCAGAAUGAAGAUUGCUUACCACACCUGGUAUGCAUGAUGGCCAGGAAGAUUAAUUGUUCACAAGCCAAUUUGAUCAGUGUUAGAUUUUUUUCCUCCUUUCGAGGGACAUCAUCAAAUUUGAGUAGAGAAUCUUUGAAGGGAAUUUUGUUGUCAGAGUUUCACAGUAGUGAAUUCUAGGAGCUCGAACUCACUUGAGUGAGAUAUUAGGGAGUAUUGGGGAUUUGGGUUAUGAGUAAUCAUUAUCCUUCCAAUAUGUGUAAGCACUCACUUGUUAGUAAAAUCAUCUUCGUAUAUUGACUAUGUUUCUUUGUUAUCAGGUAGAGUGUGAUCUUCAAGGGUUUGAGAAAGUCCUUGCAGUAAAGUUUCCACCACAAGUAAUUGCUCAGUUUCAGAUUUUCUAGGCGUUUAAUUAGUUUCGAUUAUAAUAUUUAGUCACUCAUUCUGAAUCUUUUCUAAUUUUCAAGUUCCUUAGGACCACGAUCAUUUUUUCAAGUCUGCUGUGGCUGCAAAAAGAUUGAUGGUCAUAAAAUUAUCUUGACCCUUGAGCCAUUGCGUUUGAGCACAAACAGAAACAGAGCUAAAGGAAAAGAACUUGACGCAAGAAGAUGCUCUGAAUAUAACAAAAGUAUAUUUCUACUUCUUGUGGUUAUUUACUUUUGUUUCUCCUGUCAGCAUAUUUGAUUAAUUCGUUCGAAUUCACACUCUCUCACACAUUAUUUAAAACCAUUUGUAGGUGGCUUGCAAGCUAAUUAAGUUAAUGCAGAAGCAAUACUCUAGACUUUAGGAAAGUUGUUUUUGUUUGUGUGAGUUAUCAGGUUAAGAUUACUAAGCAGCUUAUUAAGGCAAAUGUCGGAAUGAAGAUUGUUCACCGCACCUGGUAUGAAUGAUGGCGAGGAAGAUUAAUUGUUCACAAGCCAAUUUGAUCAGUGUUAGAUUCUUUUGCCUCCCUUCGAGAGAUAUCAUCAUCAAAUUUGAGAAGAGAGUUUUGUUUUGACAUUUCACUGUAGUGAAUUUUGGGAGCUUGAACCCACUUGAGUAAAAUAUUAGGGAAUACUGGGGAUAUGGGUUAUGAGUGAUCGUUAUCCUUCAAAUAUUUGUAAGCUCUCACUUGUUAGUAAAACCAUCUUCGUAUAUUGACUUUGUUUCUUUGUUGUCAGGCCGAGUGUGAUCUUCAAGGUUUGAGAAAGUCUUCGCAGUAAAAUUUCCACCACGUGCAAUUGCAGUGAAGGGGCAUAUACAUUUGAGUAAUUCAGUUUCAGAUUUUCAAGGCGCGUUUGUUUAAUUAGUUUCGAUUAUAAUAUUUAGUCACUCAUUCUGAAUCUUUUCUAAUUUUCAAGUUCUUUAGGGCCGCCAACAGUUUUUCAUGUCUACAUGUGGCUGCAAAAAGAUUGAUGGUCAUCAAAUUAUCUUGAGCCUUGAGGCAUUGCAUUCGAGCACAAAGGGAAACAGAGCUAAGGGAAAUGAAGACAGUAGGAGAUGCUCUGAAUAUAACAAAAGUAUAUUUCUACUUCUUGUGGUUAUUUUAAUUUUGUUUCUCCUGUCAUCAUAUUUAAUUAAUUUGUUUGAAUUCACACUCUCACACAUUAUUUAAAACCAUCUGCAGGUGGUUUGCAAGCUAGCUAAGUUAAUGCAAAAACAAUACUCUAGACAAAGAUGAGCAAAUUGAAGGCGACAAAUGCAAAUUGGAUUUCAAUGAAUAAUUGUUAGGCUGGUGGAGAUAUUCUUAAAAGGGCAUUAAGCUAUCUUAUGGAAUUGGAAAGUUAUUAUUGCUUGAAAGCAAGCAGCAUCUUUGUUGCGAAGGCUUUCCCCACUUGAUAAGAUGCUGAGAUUGUUACCGGCCCCUUAAUUAUUUAUUAACUCAGGUAUUUAUUAUCAGUACAUCAUCUUAUUCACCAUUUUGGCUAUAUAUGAAGAUUAAAAUUUCUAACAGUUGUUUCGGAUUCUUGUGUACUCAGGUUAAUAGGGCAAAUGUCAGAAUGAAGAUUGCUCAGUGCAACCGAUAUAGCAAGGAUGAUAGUUGUGAGGAAGAUUGUUGGCAAGCCAAAUAGAGCCCUCCAUUUGGAGAAAUAUCAUCCUCAAAUUUGAAUUGUUGAGCAUGUGAGGUGAAGCUAAAGCCUUAAUAAUGAGACCUUCCUGUGGAAGUUUCAUUUGAAUGAAUUGAACGUUCUUAGUGAGUGAGAAAUUAAGCAUAUAUCAGCGAUUUUGGUCGUCAGUGAAUGUUUUCCUUCAAUAUUAAUACACUGGCAUUUCUUAGUAAAUUCUCUUCACGUCACUUCCUCCGUGUUGGUGGGAUUAGUAAACAAAUGCCAUUUCUUAGUACAUUUUGAGAAUUUUGACUCCCAAAUAAGCCUGCAGAGCGGUGUAUGGUGGGAUUAGCUGCAGGAUUCUUUGCCAAACUUCCUUUUUAUUCCUUUGUUCACUUAUUCGUUAUAAAUAAAGUAAAAUUAGAAUAUUGUUCCGUUUACUGUCUAAGCUGGUCUAACAUUUGUUUAAUUUGGGCAAUUUUUAAUGCCUAACAGGUUAUCUGUGACAAACCCAUCAGUGAGUGUAUGCAACUAUUGCGUGGAUUUGAUAGAGUGGUCACCAACAAUUUUGAAGUUAUUGGAGUAGCACGGCUUUGAGGUCUCUCCCUCCCACUUUUACGUAUUUGUCUAUUGAUCGACAUGUCUAUAUAUACAUUGAUAGACCAACUUACUCUUGUUUUAAUGUUUUGUUUGUUAAACUUUGACUGGGUUAUGUUUAUUUGUCUCAUAUGAUGUCAAUGUGGUUCCUAUUGAAGUGUAUAGAUCUGUCACCUCAAAGUCUGAUUUCAAUUUUCCUUUACUUCAUCAACUAGCAUCCUUUCCAAGUCCAGAUACUUACCAAUAGUGAGACUUUGCUACGGAAGUACAAUUUCUCUUGUUUUACAGUUAAUUAUGUAAGAAAAGUUUUAAAUUUACAGAAUUCUGGUAUAGCUCUCUUAAGGAAAUGCGAGUGGUGAAUAUGGUUCCAACUUUUAAUAGGCUUAAUAGGCCCAUUUGUUGAGCCACAGUGAUUGCGGUGUAAAUUCUUCUUUACUGUCUAUAUGUGUUGGAGUUUGUCUAUUGUCCAACUUCUCAAAUCGAUUCCAUGCAGGGUUUUGAAUGUCUAAUUAGGAGAAAGAUUAACGGAUUACCUUUUGAAGAAGGCCACUGUUUCUGGGCUUGGUCUCCUUGGCAUCAAACAAGAUAAUGUUGACUCUAUUAAAGGGGAAAUAAGGGCAACUAAAGCGCGAAGAAAGAGGAUAGUCCGGAGGAAGGUGACUGCAUAAAUUUCGCUGCCUGUCGAAGAGACACAUCAUGGAAGUCCUCAUCAAACUCUGAGACACCUAAGAAAUAGUAGGAGGUGGUGGUACUCGCCUGGGGUUAAUUUCCUGGCAAGUAUAGUUCACUGAUAGAGGGAAUCUUCUCUUGAUGUCUAAAUACCGUAUGUGAUACAACGUCGUAUAUUCUAAUUUUCCUUGAGUUAAAUUCUAGUCAGUUAGGAAAGUUAAUUUUGUUUUCGCCAUGGAAAUUAAUAAAGAUAAUAGUGGUGAGGAAGAUUGUUGGCAAGCCAAAUAGAGCCCUCCAUUUUGAGAAAUGUCAUCCUCAAAUUUGAAUUGUUGAGCAUGUGAAGUGAAGCUAAAGCCUUAAUAAUGAGACCUUCCUGUAAAAGUUUCAUUUGAGUGAAUUGAACGUUCUUAGUGAUUUUGGUCGUCAGUGAAUGUUUUCCUUUAAUAUUAAUACACUGUCAUUUCUUAGUAAAUUCUCUUCAUAUCACUUCCUCCUUGUCGUUCUUAUGGAAAUACCUUCCUGUUUGACUUGCAAAAUACAUUACAAAAGCUCCCAAACAGUAUAUUUGAACAGAGUUACCCAUUUUGAGAAUUUUGACUCCCAAAUAAGCCUGCAGAGUGGUGUAUGGUCGGAUUAGCUGCAGGAGCAGUGCAAGAUUCUUGUCAAACUAUCUGGCUGGUAAAAAGACUGUUGUCAAACUUCCUUUUUAUUCCUUUGUUUACUUAUUCGUUAUAAAUAAAGUAAAAUUAGAAUAUUGUUCCGUUUACUGUCUAAGCCGGUCUAACAUUUGUUUAAUUUGGGCAAUUUUUAAUGUUGAGUGCAUGUUAUCCACGAGUUUGAUGGAGCAGAAAAUGGCCAAAAAUCUAAUGACACCCACAUCCAAAAGAUGCCGUUAGGCCAAAAAUCUAAGAUUAAUUGCUUUACGUGAAAAAAAAAAGUGAUCACUUGAUUUAACUUCCUUUACUAAAAAGGAAAACAAUUUUUGGAAACACGCUCGGAAUUUUAAAUUGAUAUGAAAAAAAAAUUUAUUAUGGACUAUCUUUUUCCCAAAAUUUAACCUAAGACAAGAAUAUGUCCAAAAUACCCUCCACAUUAUCCCAAAACGUUAUAAACUCCCCCGUUCCUCUCAACAUCAUCUCUUCCAAAUCUUUCUCCUCCCAAAAACCAGCCAUGGCUUCAUAUUCAAUUACCUCAACACUCCAAUAUUGGCUUGCAAACCACCCCCAAAUCCUCAACUUCACAUGGACUCCGAACCAAACACUAGCUUCCUCCCCACACUUCCUCAUUCUCUCCAUCCUCACUUACCUCUCCCUCACAUUCAUCCUCUACCACACAUCAACAUCAACAUCACCACCAUCAUCACCUCUCAUUGACCCCACAUCCUCAAGCCCAUCACAGCCGUCCAUAACCUCACCCUCCUCCUACUCUCCCUCAUCAUGGCCGUUGGUUGCCCUCUCUCCAUCAUCCUCCAUUUACCCCACCUCCGUUACAAACUCUGUUUACCCCCUACCAUUUCUCCGUCUGGCAUGGCCUAAUUCCGACCGAAUCAACGACGGUCGUGAUAGGUUUUGGCUGCGACAAUUCGCGCUUCAAACGGCGGCGUUUCGGUUGGUUUUUGGCGACAGUGACGGUGGGAAAGUGAUGGCUGGCGCAGGAACUUUCGUUGCUACCAUCCAUGGCCGGUGAGGUGGCCGAAAAUCGGAGAUAUGUCAGCGUCGGGUUCGCAGUUUUGGGUCGGGUUUUCCGGGUCGGUUUGACAGCUUCCUCUAUCCCUCUCGCCCAUAAAACAUUACCCAGCUUCCUCUUAUUAUUAUUAUUUUUUUUCACCUACGUUACAGAACUAUAUUGAUAUUUCGAUGAGUAGUAAAAAUUAAUGUUAAAAUUUUAUAGACGAGUGUAUAGUAAGAUGCUCAAAGUACUAGAACAUAUACAAAUAAUCCCAGCUCUAAUAAAAUUUUGCCACAUAAUGAGUUUUAUCCCUUAAGCAAAACAUAUCGAUAAAGUAUACAAAAGCCCACAAUGCAUGAGUACAUGUCAAUAACAAAUGAAAGUAAUUAAGAUAAAUAAUAUGCUUUAUUUCCUUUUAUUUUAGUUUUUUUUUUUUUUUUUGGUUUCUUUUGAAAGGAGACCAACUAGAUCAUGCAAGAAGUUAAUUUUUUUUUUAAAUAAAAAGGGAAAAAUGAUGGUCUUACAAAGUUCGAAUAUAAAGUUUAUAAUCUAAAAUUAAUGAUGUGACAAUUAACCUAAUGGAGUAAGAAGUCCCAAAUAGAGGGCAUAACUAAUUUGCGUCAGGGAUUUGGUACCCCAGUCCUUUGUCUUAUAGUAGAUGAGUCUUUAGAUAUCAUUUAAUAGCUGCAAAAGUGAUACAAAGAUGGUUUAGUACCCCAGUCCUUUGUCUUAUAGUGAAUGAGCCUAUAGAUAUCAUUUAAUGGCUGCAAAAGUGAUACAAAGACAAUUGGAGAUAACCGGACAAAAAGGUCAUGGGCCGGUAACCUACAGGGAAAGAAGAUUUUAAUAAAAGUACGCAUGUAAUGGGUCCAACAUUUGUUAAGAAGACAUGCAUUGAAACUAACAGCAAACAUGUGGAUGCAACUAUUGGUUGAAAACAAGUUGGUGGAAGCGUGCAACUCUGGGUUAGGGUAAGAUCAAAAUUCUAUUUUUGAAAAAAGUGACGAAAAUAUUUGGAAGAGAGGGUCCAAGAGAUAAGGUAAUGCACUGCGAAAGUAAUUGGUGGGAAAAAAGGAGAAAAUUUUCCUUUAACUCUGAGGUUUGAAAUAAUAAAUAAAUUUAAUUUUUUUCUUAUAGUUUAAAUAAUAGGCCGUGUCAUUGCCAAUUUUGAACAAUAAUAAGGACUCGCCUAUCGUGCAACAGUGGCACCAUGCCACUGCUUUUGUCUUUUAUGUGUAAAAUUUCAUGAAGCCCUUUCACUUAUUCUUAUUUGAACUUUGCUUCAAAAAUAUUAAGUUCAUUUCUCCCAAACCCGUGAAUCCUUCAACGGCCGAUCAACGGCAAAUCGGCUCCUCCGGUGGCUGUGGUUGGUCAGAAAAGACAUAGAGAAUUGUGGAGAACAAAACUCAAGUGGUGGCAUCACCGGAAACUGGAGAAACAACGGCGAAUUGAAGCGGGGAUUCUGUGACUUUUCACGGCUUCGAUUGGCAGCUUUCCGAAUGCUUUACGGCGACAAGGAUGACAUGGAGAUGACCGGCAUCGCACGAGCUUCCGAUCGGUACCAACCUUGGCCGGUGGAGUUGCCGGAAACGGAAACAAAAUCCGGGUCGGGUUGACCCGGUUAUUUUUGUGACAAGGAUGGUGUGGAGAUGACCGGCGUCGCACGAUCUUCCGAUCGGUACCAACCUUGGCCGGUGGCGUGGACGGAAAUGGAAACGAAAUUCGGGUCGGGUUCGCCGGUAUUUGUGAUAAAAAGAGGGGUAUUGUGAUAAAUGUGUAAUAUAGAAGAAAAAUGUAUAAAUAACAAAUAGUAUAAGGUGCUAAUUAUAAUGUUUAUAUGGAUGCAAUAGAAAUUAAUUUAAUAUUUAUGAGGUAAAGUUUAAAUAAAAAUGAAUGAAAGGGGUUCAAUGAAAAUUUACAACACAGUUGGCACAAAAGACAAAACCAGUGGUACGGGUACCACGGUGGUACCGUAGUUGGAUCCCAAUAAUAAUAAUAACAAUAAAAUUAUUUAAAGAAUAAUAUUAAAAUAUUGAUGAUGAUGAUGAUGAUGAUUUGCGUGAUGAUAACAACAAUAAAUUUAAAAAUAGUAAAUCAUCAACCAAGAAAUAGUGGCUUAAUUGAGAUGAAUGAUAAGUUAAAACAAUAAAAAAGAAAGAAAAAUAUAAAGAGAAAAAUAUAUUUGACACUCUAUUUUAUUUGUUGUAAGUAAUAGAAAGUAUGAGUUGUAUAGUUUGUUACAAAAGAAGCCCGAAUUAAAUUGUAAUAAUUAAAGAAGUAAUAAAAUUAUCUGACAUGUUAUUUAGUAGUCCCUAUUUGUUUUGUAUAAGAGUUUAAAGUAAUAAGUGUGAAAUAAAAAAUAAUAAUUUUAGUAUUCGAAAGAAAUUGUGUUGUAUAUAUGCAUCCCUUUUAGUCAGUAUGUUUUAUUGUAAAUCUUAAUUUAUUAAAUAGAAAGCAUAUAAUUCUCCUAAUAUAGUAACACAUAGAGAGUCUUCUAGGUGACACAACUUAAAAGUAAUUUUUAACUCUCAAGUAUAAGAGUCUCUUGUUAUAUUAUAGCUCGGUGAGUUCGAGGUCAAUACACAGAAAAAAGAUUUAUUUGUUUAUUUUACUUUUGCUAAAAAUGGUUAGGGUUAUGGAUUCACCCUUAGUAGUAAAUAAAAUUUAAUAAAUUUUUUUCGCCAUUUUUAUUUAGAUUUAUUGCCGAAAAGAUUAAGUAUAUAAAUUAUCAUUAUUUUCCCUUUAAUUUUAUGAUGGAUUAAGUAUUUUUUGUGCAAAAAUUUAAUUUGUCUACAAUAAAUGAAAAUACCAUUUUGUCAUACCUUAUAUUAAGAAUUAAGAAUUUAUUGUGUCAAACUCCUUGUUUGUCUAUAAUAAAUCAAAAUUUCAAAAUAUAAAAUAUGUAAAAAAUUAAAUAGAUUUUAUGUUCGAUCACCUGGGGGGAACAACUGGUUAGUAAAAAAGCACGUGUAGUAAGUUGAAAAUAUUUUUACGACUUGUGUGUUUAAACAAAUAACAAACUGAUGUAUGGAGUUGAGGUUGCAAGCGUUCCCCUUGCCAUUGAAACUAGCUACGAAGGUCUUGAACGUUUUGUCUUUUCCACCAAUAAAUGUAUUAUUGUUUUAGUUGGAGAUACUAGAGUUGGCACCCUAGUGCUACAGGUAAAAUAACAGUACUCUUAUUUCUUGUGUUUUCUUUGCUUGGCUCCAUUAAUAUUUUACACGAAUUACUUUUCUUUUAAAUUUUGUUGGUGGCUUUGGAUAUUCAUUGUGGCACUCUCAUUUUGUGGGUGAAUGAUUUUCAUAAUCUCGAUUCACUUGCAUUUAUUUUCAUGCAUGUUUUAUUGUUGGAUAUUCUAUAUUAUGGGGCAUUAUCUUGACCAAUGUUGAUGACGAAGGACAUCUUUAUGGGGUCGCUGGAAGUUCUGGAGGUUAUGCAGAAACAGUAUUCAGACAUGCUGCUGAAACACUAUUUGGAAAAGUUAUUGAAGGUCAUCUACAAUUUAAAACCAUCAGAAACUCUGAUUUCUGAGAGGUGGCUCUGGAAGUGGAGGGAAAACGUUGUUGAAAUUUGCCCUAUGUUAUGGCUUCCAGAACCUGCAAAACAUUGUCAGGAGAGUGAAAAUGCGAAAAUGUGAUUAUCAAUUUGUGGAGGUCAUGGCAUGCCCUUCAGGUUGCAUGAAUGGUGGAGGUCAGAUCAAGCCUAAGCCAGGGCAAUCACCGAAGGAGUUAAUUAAGACACUGGAAACCAUCUAUUUGGAAAAUGUAAUGGUAGCUAAUCCUUUCAAAAAUCCUCUGGUGAAAAGCUUGUAUGAUGAGUGGCUUGAGCAACCUGGUUCAGAGAAAACUAAAAAGCACGUGCACACAGAAUAUCAUCCUGUGGUGAAAAGUAUCACCGCUCAGUUGCGUAAUUGGUGAAAGCAUUCACCAUCCCAACACUUGAUCGUAGACAAUUUUGGAACUUAAGAACUCUCUUCUUGUGCCCCAUGCCGUCUCCGAGUUGUUUUAGCAAAUUUCAGACAUGGCACCACAGCGUUGCUGGCCAUUUUUUUGUCAAUCAUGGGAUUGCAUUUGCAGGGAAGUCCAAUUUUGAUAGAGUAAACAUACAUUUAUUUACUUCAAAGGUUUUCACUCAUGUACAUACUCUGUAUUAGAAAUGUUACAUAUAGAAGAAAGCAUUGAGUUAGGCACUGAUGCCUCAUGGCACUUAAUUUCAUUUCCUUGUAUCAUUUUUUCUUAGUUGAACAGUCCGAAUAAGGUUCCCUUUGCUCAAAAAAAAAAAAAAGCUUCGGGGUUUCAAUACCCAAGUGAAUUAAUGAAACACAUAUUGAAUAGCAAAGCUUUCUUACUCUCUCAUCUGCUGAGAUUGUAAAUGUCACAUUUACUGGGUAGAAAUUGAAGAAAACUCUUCUACAAUUUCAGCCGUAACCACCUAUAUCACCAAUUCUUCAAUUUAUUCAUAAACUAUUUUACCUUACCCUCCACAGAACCUGCAGUUGACACACUAGCCAAAGUAAUUGUAGGCAGAACCCUCGCAUAUCAUACAUUCAAAACAAUUUAGACUCAUAAAUCAUAAUUCUUGAAUUUACCCCAACGAAAAAUGAAAUUUCAGCAAGUAAAGAAAAGAACAAACAAAAUCAAUUAACAAUCAUAUAAACAAAACUCAGAAAAACAAAAUAAAUUAACAAUCAUACCAACAAAACCUGGAAAAACAAAAUAAAUUAACAAUCACAUGAACAAAAUAGAUACAGCACAAUUUACCAAAAUACAAACACUUGAGCAUAGCUUAAUUUUAUUGGAAAGAAAUUCAAAAAGUCAAUUAAUUAAUACAAAUUGAAAUUCCGACCAGAUUUUUCAGCCCCCAAUUUAUUUGUUUAUUACGAUUUCACAAUAACGAACCGGACUUAAUUUGAUCCAAAUCGGAACUGAACCUGUCAUUAAGUCAAGGGAUGGGAAAAGGAAAAACCCUAGCCCCAAAUUAGCAAAGCAAGCCGCCCACUUCUGCAAACUCAGAACUCAAGUUGCCGCCUUACAUAGAUGCAGCACCACCACCACCACCAUCACUAGGCAAAUCAAAGCAGAGAUGUAGCACCACCACCACUAGCUGAAUCAGAGCAGAGACGAAGCGGCAGCAGCAGUAGCCGUCGAUUCUCAAUUACAGCAGCAACAGAGCAGAGACGCAAUCGCAAUAGCACACGGAGCCGUUUGGAUUGAAUUAUCUUUUUUGUUUUCGUUUUACUGGUAUUACAGCUUCAGCCGGUUACCCAUUUUCCAACCGUUAAAUCUCAGCCGUUAACUACCUUUGUUCACAAUCUAAGGAUUCAUUCGCUAAGAGACAAAUAAUUGGGGUACCAAACCCAUGACGCAAGGUAGCUGGACCCCCCAAAUAGAUUAUAUUUUGCUAAAGAAGUCAAUUCUACCAAGAAUACCUCUUUCUAUUGAAUUUAAUGAUGAUUAUUUGUUUAUAUCAUAAAAGCUAAAAUAAUUGUGUGAGUAAUUUGAUUCUUUUACAGUAUAAAAAUAAAUUCAGGAAAUGUUAGGGCAUGUUCUGUAUUUUAUUUUUAAAUUCAUAUUAUGAGAAUGAAAACGGUGUUUUCAAGUUGAUAAAUUUUCAAUUGAAAUACGUGUUUGUUAUUAUUUUAUUUAUCCUAUAUUUUCAAAAUGAAAAUAACCAAUAGAUAAAGUUAAAAAUGAUAAAAUAAUGGAUAUAUUAAGCAAUUUUACUACAUGCAAAUUAUUAUCUGUGUUUAAAGUUCAUAUAAAGCUUGUUUAUUUUUCAACAUACCAACUUACAAUAAUAAUAAUAAAAUUUUUGUGAUAUCCAAUAUUAACUUUUUAAAGUAAUUAUUUUUUGUUAAUGUGUCCGCUGUUCAAUCGAUCUUCCUACUUUCUAUGCUUGAGAUUAGAUCAUUUGCUUCAAAGAUUCGAACUGGACUUAUAGUAGGAAAAAGAAUUUUCUUCAAUAUGAACUCUGAUUCUCUUUUAUAUAUAUAUAUAAAAAAAUCUAAUUCUCCUUUCAACAUUUUAACAUUUUGAUGAAAUAAAAAAUUAUUGGCGAAAGAUUACAUGCUUCCUUACAUUAGAGAACCAAAUACUCAGAUAGGUAGUGUAAAUCUCUACUGAUCGUUGGUGAUUUUAUCAAAAUAAAAUUCAAUAAAAUGUAUAAGAACACUUAAAUCCGUCCAAAAAAACAUAAAUGACCCAGCAAAUAAAGAAAAGUACUGUGAAGUAAAAAUUGAAAAGUUCAAUCCGUCGAUCAUUUGAUACGUAUUUUUCUUCACAGAACCUCAAUUCAAUAGACAAAAGCUCCUCUUAAUUUUUCUUUUCUAUUUAAAUAAAAGAACAAAAGAAAUUGAUUACGGAGCCAUUAAUUUCCAAGAAUUAAUAAACGAAAAGGCCCAUAAUUUUUGUAAACCCACCCCACUCUCAAGAAAUAAUUACAAUAAGUUCAAAUUAUUUUUUAAAAAUUGAAAUAAAGAAGAUGUAAUUACAAUAAGUUUGGAGAUUGAAUCAAAUAAAAUAAAAUACCUAAACUAUUAUAUACAAGAACUCUUGAUUCUUGGGGUAUUUUAGUCAUUUUAUAUUAUCAUGGUAAAUUAGUCAAAUAAAACUUAUCUUAAAGCAACCUAAAUGGUCAAAGACACCUAAGUUAAAAAAAAAAAAUUAUAUGAAUGAUUUAAUUUAUUGAUUGUCUAUACGUUUUAUUGAUUUAUAUAUUUUAAAAAUAGUAUGAACGUAUUACAAUUAUUUUCUGACAGCGAGGUAGAUUUGUAAAAUAAGUAGGUAGAAAAUAUCCCCGUCCUCAAACAAAUAAAUGAAUUAUCGGUGAUGCAUGCUUUUUUCCAACUUUCGUUUUUUUUUCUUUUGUUUUUUUUUUUUUUUUGGUUUUAAAUGGCAUUGGCCCGACCACUACAAAUUAAUUAGAGAAUAUUUACAAUUAUGUAUCACAGCUGUGGAGUAGAAUCAGGGAAAUUAAAAAUGCUAAAAUUAUUGACGCGUGGGUUAGGCGACAAUAACCAUAAACAUUUUUCGUGUAGUGUAAGAAGAAUGCAACAACUCGUUUCUUUCGGUAUUUUUGCAACAAAAGUACGUUGAACAACUUAUGAAAUUAUUUCUCCUUUUCUUUGCCAGAAUGGAUGUGAUCGCUUCCCCUCUCCCGGAGCAGCUGAACUCCUUUGCUGCUUGUGACUUACCAUAAAUCUUCAAGCCAUUCAAGCUGUGCUUGAAGAUGCAGAGAAGGCAAGUUGAUAUAAGAUGGUUGCAUGGAAUAAGCAGGGUAUCUUCCGAGGUUAGAAAUUGGGCUACGAGUAUUCGUUUUGGACAUAUAAUAGAGUUUCCAAGCUUGCGAUGAGUCGAACCAAAUGCAGAACAACCUAGGCUGUUAUGCCCUGCGAUUAAGCUAAAAAUUUCACUUCUUUUAUAGUCGUUUUUCAGUUUUAAGAUAUUUUUCUAUUUUUCUUGAUUCUUCUAGGAUUUUAAGAUAUUAGAUUUAAGUGCCAUCUAUUUUCUUUCUCUUAUUUAGAUUCGAAGAAUUUUAUUAUCAUAUAAUAUUUUGAAUUUGCUGAGUUUGUUAAAUUUGCCUCCUUUUAGGCUUCUAUAAAUGGGAUUCAAAACCCUAAUUUUGUUCAUUCAAAUUAUUCUCAAUAAAACUUAUUAUUCAAAUCCUGGUUUAUAUUAUCUAAUAGCUUUUUAGUGUUUCUGCAUCAUCAGCUGGUAUCAGAGCAAGUUUGCUUGUCAUCAUGGCGCGACCACACAAUCAAAGGAGCAACCAUCCUGGAGACGAUGUUUAAGGGAUGUAGGCAACGACUGUGGAGGUUAUCAGAUAGAUGGUCAAAGGAGCAAUCUUGCAAGUCAUGCAGGACGCAUAUAACCUGAGAAUGGUAGCAGACAAAUAUUAGGUUAUCUCUUGUAAGCCAUAUUCAUAAUAAAUGUAUUGAGGGAAAGAUACUUUUUUCUUGUCUUAAAUGAUGUGUGGGAUGGACAUUACAAUUAAUGGGAACCAUUCUUCUGUGUUUAAAGAAUAGUCUAUACUACUGCACGUAAUCAAUUAGUAGCAAGUAUGAUGAGAUCAACAAAUCUUACCUUUCUCAAGGAAUUAAUUGAAGAAGAAUGUUGAUCAUUGUUUAAGCAGGUAGCAUUUUUGGGUCAAUUCUUCAAGGAUCGUGAUCAAUCGAUCAAAAAAUUGCAUGUAAGUGCAAAGGCUUGCCUUUUGUUGCAAAGAUAAUAGGGAAAUUCUUACACUAUAAAUGACCAAUAGAAGAAUAGAAAAUAAUUUUAGAUAGUGGAAUGUGGAAGGUAGAAGAGUUUGGGAAAGGUCUUCUGGCUCCUUUGUCGUUAAGUUAUAAUGAUUUGUCGUCCACAGUAAAACAAUAUUUCUCACAUUGAGCUAUCUUUUCAAAAGGUUACAAUAUGUGUAAAGAGGAACUAAUUACACUAUGGAUGGCUCAAAAUUACCUUAAAUGUAGAAGAAGGCAAAGAGAUGGAGAUCCGAUCCAAUCUGAUAGUAGUAGUUUAUUUUAAUUUUUAUUAAUUUGAUUUCAUAGGAGUAGUUUUCAUUUUUUGUUGAAAAUUGGUAAAAAAAAAACUGAAAUGAGAUGAUUACUUUAAAACAAUCUUCAAGAACUAAAAUAAUUAAAAAAACUCAAAAUAAACAAAAAAGUCUUAAAAAUAACCCUAAUCCGAACAUUAUUUGAAUGCAUCCUAACUAGCCCGAAUAUGAUUUUAACCCAAACCCAACCUAACUCGCUUAUAAUUAUAACCCAAUGCGAUCCAAAUUCAACUUGAAUUUUUGAUCCGAUCUAAUCCAAUUUGAAUAUUCUAACCCUAUCAACCAAAAACCCAAUUAGGUUGAUCUGAACCCACAUUUGUCCACCCCCAGAGGGGAUCAUGACCCUACAAGCUUUGAAAGUUUUUUGAGAUUUCUAAGUGGAUAUUAAAAAUUAUGUAUAAAAAGACUGAUUUGACCCCUAAACACUUUAUACAUACAGUAGAAAUUUAAUUUUAUAUUUUGUGAAAUAAAGUCAAAGUAACUGAAUUUUUUUUUAUUUUGUUAAUUAUUUUUCUACUAUGACAAAAUGACAAAUAGCCUUCUGCCUAGCUCUUUGACUUUUAUUUUUCUAAUUAUUUUUUUCAUUUCUCUUGCAACAGUAACUUCAAUUAUCAAUCAAAGUCGCCAAAUCAAAAUCUCUGCAGCCUGCAGCUACAAGCAAACUUCUCAAAUUUCGAAAUUCCUUAUGACUACAUAAUAGCUAUAAAUGGAAAAAGCGUCUAAAAUAACUAUGUUUUUCCAUUUAUAAGCGUCUAAAUUUCGAAAUUCCCUGAAGAUUUACUCCAUACGUAACAACAUAUUAGUUUUGCUAGUAAAAUUGCUAACUAUGUUUUUCUUUGUAUUUCCGCUCAAGGAUGAAGAAAUUUCCCUAGACUUUUGUGGUGAAUAUCUUACGAACAUAUGACAAUUUAAUCUUUGGCUGAGACUUGUUUAACAUAAGAGAUGACACUUUAAAGCAAUAGGAGAGAGAGAUAAUAAGCUUUGUUCCCCAAAAAAAAUCUAUCAGAUAUAUUAUGCCCCCGGUUGCUAUUGCUAAAAAUAGUCAUAAUUACUAAAAAAUAAGUAAUUCUUUUUUUUAUAUAUUAAAAUGGUAAACGGGUGGAUAAAAUUUAAAAUAAUUUUUUAACUUUUUAUCUAUUUUGACAUUCGAAUUUUAAGGUCGAGAAGUCAAGCAAUAAAUAAACCUUUUUGAGAGGCUAACUAAAUUCUUAGUAAUUUCAUAUAAUUUCAUUUCAUCAGAACAGUUUUAUCAAAAGCAAUUUUAUAAAUCUUUGUGGAAAGCUUUAAUCCUUAAUUAUCUUUCACAUAUUUUCUUUGUAAUAUGAGGUAAGUCAUGGACCAUAGUAUGGUAUUUAUUGUAAAUAAAAUCAUUAUGAAACUGAUUUUAUUCUUUUUUUUUCACAAACAAAGUAUCUAGCUAACUGCAGAUGUAAUGAAUUACUAAUUACCAUUAUUUGAUUCGCUGUCUAAAUUAGAUCUUGGAGUCUGUCAUGGCAUAAUAAAAUUAACGACAUAAUGGCUUUUGAUUUUGCCUACCUGAUAAUAAAAGUUGUCUGCCAUAUAGACAAGAAAUGGAUCCAUACGUUAAAGCAAAAUUGAAAAAUAUAAAAAAAUAAAUUGCUAGGAGAUGAUUUUAUCUGAAAUUUCACCUGCACGGUAUUGGCCACAUAUAAAUUUGUGAUGAAAUUCAUAACGGAUUAAUAUAAUUGAACGGAAUUACUCUAUACAAUUUCAUAAGUAUGUAUUAUACAAUUAAAAAUCUAUUGAUAUUUAUAAUAAAAUAAUAUAUCUACUAAGUGCUGGGAUAUAUAUUUGUGGAGAAUGAUAAAUGUAGAGAAUUACAGUAAUAAAGGUGGAAGUGGAACUUUAUUAUAAUUAAUUAAUGUGUUUACAAUUCUGUAAGUAUAAUAAAAUAAUAGUAAUAGGUAAUUUGUAGAAAAUUAAUGUGUACUUCAAGGCACAUUACAAAUGUCGCUUUCCUAAAGAUAUUAUUUAUCCCACCAAUUAAGUGAUGCAUAUAGGCUAAAUAAAUACACCUCCAGGAUACAAUGAAUCACUUAUUUGUUUGCUUGCGUUGUUCAUCGAUGGAAGCAAACUUGAAUACUCUUGAAAGUUGCAAGCUUGCCAAGAAUCAAUAUAUUAUUCCUGUAGUAAACAAUAUAUUAGAUAUUUGAUGCAUAUAGUAUUGAUGUUAUACAAUAAAAUUUGUUUCUGGAAAGAGGGCUGAGAAGAGAGUGAUGUAGUAUCCUAUGGAGAACAUUGGGGUAAUCAAGGAUUAGGCUGGUGAUGGAACUUCCACUGUGGUGUUGUGUGCAACGUUCAGUUGCUGGACUUUGAAGAAGAAAGUGAUGGCCAGGUCUGCACUGUUUCAAUUGAGGAUGGAUAGCUGCCUGGAAGGCAUGAUGAUUAUUAUUGCAUGAUAUUAAGGUACUAAGAUCAUCAUUUCUAUCUUGUUUUUUUUUUUGAUCGGUUUAUCCUCUAUAAGCAAAUUCAAUUAUGCUAAUAUUACCAUUUUUUCACCCAAUUUUCACCGUUGGUUGUAUUAACAAUUUCAGGUACUCAAAAGCUACAGAGCACAGCACAUGUGGGCUGAUCAUAUGCUUCCAUGGAGGAAGGAAUUCGGUGUUAACACUAUUAUGCAGGUAACCGCAGUUGUUAAUUUGCACAAAUUUGCAUUGUCAGAAUGCCCUUUAAUAUUCACUGUGUUUCUUUUUGUUAUUCAGGUUACCAUGGUAUGUAGAGUAUCAUCUUUGAGGGUUUGUAAGAGCCUUUGCAGUAAAGUUACCUGCUCGAGCAAUUGCACAUUCAUCGAGUACAAUUUUGGAUUUUCAAGGUUUGUAUGUUUAGUUGUGAUUAGCAGGCUUAGUCACUCAUUCCUAAUCUUUUCUGAUUUUCAAGUUAUUUAGGUCCAUUAACAGUUUUCACACAUGUUUCAAUGCUGGUUGUAAUGACAAUUUCUCAUCUUGCAUCUCUAAGAUGCAUCACGUUUGAAACAGCUAUUGCGGUAAACUUUCAAUGCAUGUACAAUGGCCGUUAAGAGGUACAUUCAAUUCGGUACGUUUUGGUGCAGUCUUCUAAUGCUAAUAUCAUGUUGUGUAUAUUUAGUUUGCAAUUAAAACUUAGGUAUACAAUCUUAAUCUCAUAUAAAUCAUGGUGUACAAAGUUUUCUAUUAAUUAUAUGGUGACUAAAAGUUUAAUUAUCUUAAAAUUUUUUGUAACUCUCUUUUACUUUGCUUGUACAGAGUACCUGUUUUGGCUGACAUGUCUAAUUCGUAGAAAUUCAUUUUCAUGGGUUUCCAUUGGUUUGAGCACAUACAGAAACAGAGCUUUACUUCUUGAGGUGUUAUGCCUUUGUCUCUUCAUUCACCAUAUUUGUUCGAAUACGUUGUCUCAUUAAGAAUUUAAAGCCUUUUUCUAGGCAGCUUUGUGGCCAAUUUUUUAUGCCAUCAAUGCAUGAUUGUCAUUUAGAUUUUCCAAAUAAUUGUUAGGUGGGCAAGAUAUUGUUAAAAGGGCAUUUAAUUAGCUACGUCCCCUAUGAAUUUAGUUGCCAAUAAUACAUUGAAAUUGAGAAGGCUAAUAGUUGAGGAAAGUUAUUGUCUUAAUUAAAUUACAGGUGAUAAGAUGUUGCUUGAAUUCAGCAUCUUGUAUUGCGAUGAUUUUGCCCACAUGAGGUUCUGUGAUUCUUGACAUCAGGAUAACUCAAGUCAAUUUUUUGUAUCAGCAUAUAUCAUCUUGUUUACUGUUUUGCCUUUAAAGAAUAAACUUUAGUGAAGUUGUUUUUGUUUGUGUAACUUAUCAGGUUAAGGAUACUAAGCAGCUUAUUAAGGCAAAUGUCAGAAUGAAGAUUGUUCACCACACCUGGCAUUUAUGAUGGCAAGGAAGAUUAAUUGUUCACAAGCCAAUUUGAUGAGUGUUAGAUUUUUGGCUUUAUAUAUUAUUAGAGCUCUCCCUUCUGAGAGAUAUCUCAUUAAAUUUGAGUAGAGCUCUCCCAAUAAUUGCAAGCUUUCAUUUGUUUGUAAAAUCAUCUUCUUAUAUUGAUUGUGUUUCCUUGUGUUAUCAGGUAGAGUAUCAUCUUCAAGGGUUUCAAAAAGUCUUUGCAGUAAAGUUUCAACCAAUUGCUGUGAAGAGGCAUAUUCAUUUGAGUAAUUCAGUUUCAGAUUUUCAGGGCGUGUAUGUUUAAUUAGUUUUGAUUAAAAUAUUUAGUCACUCAUUCUGAAUCUUUUCUAAUUUUCAAGUUCCGUAGGGCCACAACCAGUUUUUCAGGUCUGCAGAAACUAUCUUGAGUGUUGAGGAAUUGCGUUUGAGCACGCACAGAAACAAGGCUAAUGGAAAAGAACUUGACAGAAGAAUUAUGCUCUAAAUCUAACAAAAGUAUAUUUCUACUUCUUGUGGUUAUUUUACUUUUGUAUUUUCUGUCAUCAUUUUGAUUAAUUCAUUCGAAUUCAGACUCUCAUUAUUUAAAACCAUUUUCAGGUGGCUUGCACGCUAAUUAAGUUAACGCAGAAGCAUACUCUAGACAAAGAUGAGCAAAUUGAAGAUGAUAAAUACAUAUAUGGUGGCCAAGUCGCUCAUUACAUUUCAUCUCUCAUACGAACAUGAUUCUGAAUUUGAAUUUCCAUGAAUAAUUGUCGGGCUGGUGCAGAUAUUCUUAAAAGGGCAUUAAGCUACCUUAUGAAAUUGGAAAGUUAUCAUUGCUUGAAUGAAAGCACCAUCUUCUGUUGUCAAGGCUUUCCCCACACGAUGAGAUUCUGUGCUUGUUAUCGGCCGCUUAAUUAUUUACUAAAUCAGGUUUUUGUUAUCAAGUACAUCAUCUUAUUCACCAUUUUGGCUAUAUAUAAAGAUUAAAAUUUCUAACAGUUGUUUUGGAUUCUUGUGUAAUCAGAUAAUUGGGGCAAAUGUCAGAAUGAGGAUUGUUCAGUGCUACUGGUACGGCAAUGAUGGUGAUGGUGAGGAAGAUUGUUCACAAGCCAAAUAGAGCACUCCAUUUUGUGAAAUAACAUCCUCAAAUUUGAAUUGUUGGGCAUAUGAAGUGAUGCUAAAGCCUUAAUAAUAGGACCUUCCAAUGAAAGUUUCAUUUGAGUGAAUUAUGGGAGAAUGAAAGUUCUUGGAGUGAGUGAGAAAUUAAGCAUAUAUCAGCGAGUAGUGAAUGUUUUUCUUUGACUGUGACGUAGACCAAAAGCUGAACAAUGUAAAAUUAUAUUGUUAUGCUUGGUUUGCUAUAUAUCAUUUCUGUGCAAUCAAGAAUGUAAUUUUGUAAUUAUUCAACUCUGCUUCCGCGAACAUGCGGUAUCUUGCAGUUUUUUUCUCCUUUUUUCUUUCUGCGUUAAAACUACAACAAAUGGAAGUGACUGGCUUGAUUUUAGCUCCUGUAAAAAAGUGCUUGGGGCAAUGUCUUUUGUAUCAGCAAGUUAUCAAACAUCAUAGUUUGAAUAUAGAAUCCUGAGUUGCUAUCGAAAAUUCCAGGUGUUUCACCUCUCAGUUUCUUAAAAGCUACAAAGCUUGAUAUAUAUUGACAAAGCAAACCGUCUGUGGGCUGAAAUGCUUCCCGGGAUCAGGAAGGAAUUUGGUGUUGACACUAUAUGUUAUGCGGAUAACUACAGUUGAUGAUUUUUACCCAAAAUUUGUCAUAGUUGACAAUUCACUUAUGCUGUGUUUACUUCACUUAUUUAGUGAAAGAUUGGGAAUCCCACUCUGUGGGCCCCAUCUAUUUUUGGAGUGGGGAGUGGGAGUGGGACUCCCAUUGGGGGAGGUGGGAGUGGGAAUCCACUCCCACCUCUUCCUUUUCUACCUUUUUUUUUAAUUUUAAUUCAAUUUAAUAUUUUAUAAUUAAUAAAAUAAAAUAAAUAAUAUUAUAUUUAUUUGAAUAAUAUUAUUAUAUUUAACUAAAUAAUAAUUUGCAUUGAUUCUAAGUUAAAAUUAUUUUAAAAUAAUAUUAUUAUAUUAAUAGAGAAUUAAUAAAUAUAAUAUUAUUGUAUUUAUUUUAAAAAUAAUAGUACUAUAUUUAUUUAAUAUUAAUAAUAAUGAAUAGUUUAUUCUAAGAAAAUAUUAAUUUUGUACUAAAUAAUAUUAUAUUAUUAUUUUAUAUAAUAAUAAAUUUAAUAUAAUUAUAUUUAAAUUUAAUAUAAUUAUAUUAAAUAAAAUAAAAUAACGUUUCAUUUUAUAUUAGAAUUAAAAUUAAUAAAAAAUGUGAUGUUCAUAAUUAAGAAUAUUAAUAAUUAUUAUAAAUUUACAAAUAUAAUAAAAUAAAUAUUUAUUCAUUAAAUAUAUUUUUUAUUAGCUUCGUAAUUAAAAACUAUAAUUUUUUAAAUAAGGAUAAAAUUGUAAUUUGAAACUAUUUACUCUCAAUCCAAGACAAAGUAAACACAUAUAUUGGAUUCUGAUCUUCAUUCCAUACUUCUAUUCCAGUAUAAGUAAACAACUUAUUCCCACUCCCACUCCACACUCCCAAUCCUAGGAUUCACACUUCUCAGGAUUCCCACUCCAAUCCAAAAAGUAAACGCUACCUUACAGUGUUUCCUUGUGUUAUCAGGCUGUAAUGUGUGAAUUGAAAGAUUAAGAAAGAUUGAUUCUAACUAACUUAUGCAAUUGAAGAUUAUGAAAAAUCAUUUGCACUAAAGUUCCCAGCUUGUUUAAUUGCGGUGAAGAGGCACAUUCAUUCUGAGUACUUGAGUUUUAGAUUUCCAGGAUGUGUAAUUUUAGUUGCCAUUGAAAUAUUUAGUCGCUCAUUCUUAAAAAUCUGUUCUAGUUUUCCUGUUAUUUUGGGCCAUAAACAGUUUGACAAGUCUGCAUGUGGUUUCUAAAGAUUGAUGGUUAUGAUAAAUAUUGUGAGGUAUGAAAUAUUAAUUUGCUAUAAAUAUGUGUACAAAUUUUUCCUAUUACAUGGGGACUGAAAUUGUAACUUGCAGGGUAAAAAAAAAUCCUAAUUUGCUUUAGGUAUGAAAUCUUAAUUUGCUUAAGUGUCUGCAUUUGUGUACAAAGGAAAAAUAAGAAAUUCUGCUACAUGGGGACCGAAAUUUUAAUUGGCAGGGUCUUCAUCAAAUGUUUGUUAUCAAUACUGAUCCCGGAAUGUGUGGAACACGGUGAAAAGUUUUUCAUAGUUUUGCGAAGAAGGCUGAUUUAUCUGAUUCAUAGAAUUGUGAAAAGGGCAUCGGGCGGGGGACAAAAGAAGUGUUGAAAUUGAAAAGGUUAAUGGUUGAAGCAUGCAGUGUUGCAAUUAAGUUAUUAUUGUCUUGAAAUAACAGGAGAUGAUCAGAUGCUGCUUAAUGCAUGCAGUUUCUGUUGCAAUUGUAUUGGCCUGGGUUUAGGGAACUGUCAGAACUUUCAGAAGAAGAUGGAGUUUCUCAAACCAAAUAUAAGAAGAUAUCUCACAUUCCCCACAUGGUCUCAAUGCACAGGUAAGUUCUUCUCUAGCUCUGUUUUUCAUUGUUUUUUAUUUUUAAUGUAAAUAAGGAGCAGAGUUAAUCUCUUAUCUUGACCUUGCUUUGAGAAAACUGCUUUUACAUGUAUUUUUAAUUCAGAUGUCCACAAUAAUUUCAUUUUAGUUUGAGCUAAGUGAUAACUGUUGAAGGCUCACUCACUCAUUGGGAGAAGCUCCAUGACGCAGGCUGCUGGGAUUAGCUAGUGCAAUUGCUGUGAAGAGGCACAUUCAUUGGGAGAAAUUCAAUUUUAGAUUUUCUUAGUGUGUAUGUUUGGCUGCGAUUAAAAUGAUUUCUCUCGUUGUUAAUGAUUUCUGAUUAUCCCGUUCUUUAUGGCCAUAAACAGUUUUCCACGGGCUGCAUGUGGCGGCAAAAGAUUCAUGUUGAUGAGGCUAAUGCUAAGUUACAUGCAUGUAACUUAGGGAGAUCCUGUUGAUAAUUAUAUCUUGUGGUAUGCGUGUUGCAUUUGAGCCCAUGCAGAAACAGAGCUCAAGGAAAAGCAAUUGACCCUAGAAGAUGUUGCAAAUAUAACAGAAGUAUAUUUCUACUUGCGGUCAAUUUACAUUUGUUUCUUGUGUCAUCCUAUCUCAUUCAUCAUUUUGGACAGAGUUUGGAAAAAAAAAAAUUAUACGUAAAUCACUUUCCAAUGGUUCAGUGAUUUUUGAUUGGUUGUAAAAUGUUGAACCUCUUUUCAGAUUUCCAAAUAACUGUUAGAUUGGAGAAGAAUAAGAAGAUAUUAUUAAAAGGAUAUUUAAUUAGCGCUCUCUGAAUUUAGUUGCCAAUAAUGCAUUGAAAUAGUUGGGGAAAGUUAUUGUCUUAAUUAAAUUACAGGUGAUAAGAUGCUGCUUCAAUUUUGCAAGCAUCUCGUAUUGUGAAGAUUUUGCCCACAUGAGAUGUCGUGAUUCUUCUGCUUCAAUACAGGUCAAAUUUUAGUAUCAAUAUAUAUCUUCUUCUUUACUGUUCUGCCUCUAAAUAUUAAACUUUAGGCAAGUUGUUUUUGUUUGUGUAAGUUAUCAGGUUAAGGAUUCUAAGCAGCUUAAUCAAAUUUGAGUAGAGAAUCUUUGAAUAGAAUUUUGUUGUGAGAGUUUCACUGUAGUGAAUUUUGGGAGCUUGAACUCACUUGAGUGAGAUAAUAUUAUCCUGGAACUCAAGUGAACUCAAGUAAGUACUAAAGCGCCUGGUUAUGGUGCUUUCAUUGGACUAUAUGCAAACAUGAGAUAUCAGCUAUUGUGUGGAUUUGAUAGAGCGGUCACCAACCAUUUUGAUGUUAUUGGAGUAGCACUGUUCUUAAGCACGGCUUUGAGGUCUCUCCGUCUUUCUUUUACGUAUUUGUCUAUUGAUCGACAUCUCUAAAUAUACAUUGAUAGACCAAAUUACUCUUGUUUUAAUGUUUUGUUUGUUGAACUUUGACUGGGUUAUUUGUUUAUUUGUCUCAUAUGAUGUUAAUGCGGUUCCUAUAAAAGUGGAUAUAGAUCUAUCACCUCAAAGUCUGAUUUCAAUUUUCCUUUACUUAAUCAACUAGCAUCCUUUCCAAGUCCAGAUACUUACCAAUAGUGAGACUUUGCUACGGAAGUACAAUUUCUCUUGUUUUACAGUUAAGUAUGUAAGAAUAGUUUCAAAUUUACAGAAUUCUGAUAUAGUUCUCUAAGGAAAUGCGGGUGGUGAAUAUGGUUCCAACUUUUAAUAGGCUUUAAUAGGCCCAUUUGUUCAGCCACAGUGAUUGCGGUCUAAAUUCUUCUUUACUGUCUAUAUGUGUUGGCGUUUGUCUAUUGUCCAACUUCUCCAAUGGAUUCCAUGCAGGGUUUUGAUGGUCUAAUUAGGAGAAAGAUCAACGGAUGACCUUUUGAAGAAGGCUUACACAACAGCCCAUCUCAGGAUGUCAUGGCUCAGCUCAAAAGUCCCCAGGUGGUUGAUACCAAGGAGUGCCAUUGUUUCUGGGCUUGGGCUCCUUGGCGUCAAACAAGAUAGUCCGGAGGAAGGUGACUGCAUAAAUUUCUUGGAGUUAAUGUAGUCAAUUGCCCAAUUUUGCUGCCUGUCGAAGAGACACAGCAUGGAAGUCGUCAUCAAACUCUGAGACACCUAAGAACUAGUAGGAGGUGGUGGUAUUCGCCUGGUGUUUCCUUGCAAGUAUGGUUCACUGAUACAGGGAUUCUUUUCUUAAUGUCUAAAUACUAUAUGUGAUACAACGUUGUAUAUCCCAAUUCUUCUCCAGUUAAAUUCUAGUGAGUUAGGAAAUUUAAUUUUGUUUUAGCUAUGAAUUAUUUCCUAGAUAAUAAUAAUAAUUGACAUGUUCCUUUGGAGUCUUAUUUAUUCCAACUUUAGGAAAUUCUAGUGAGUUAGGAAAUUAUGCAUCGUCAAUAUGUUUUUUUUAACUUUUUUAAAAAUACACAAUUUUUAUUUGACUGACUUGAUUUUACUGACAUAAUUUUCUCCCAUUUCUAUAUUAUCGACGUUGAGUGCAUGUAAUCCACAAGUCUGAUUGAGCCAAAAGUCUAAUGACACUCACGUCCAAAGAUGCCGUUAUCACAAAGCCCUGGAUAAUUAAAGAGGUCAUUGUUUGAAAGAAAGAAUGAUUUGUUGGUAUGAAAUUACGUUAAAAUGAAUAUAUCACUUUUUUUUUUUUUGGCGUGAGUGAUGGCUUCGUUUAAUGACAAUUGGCAGACAAUGAGUCAUCUUUUAAUUUUGGUUUUGAUUUAUUAUAAAAUAUUAAUUUUUGUAGUUUCAGUAGAUGAAAUUUCGAAUCAAAUAUUAAUAUCGUUAAAGUACGCAACUCAAUAUUUGCUUAAAUCAUUAAAAAAAAAUUGCUUUACAUUAAAAAAAAUAACAAGUGAUCACUUGAUUUAACUUCCUUUACUAAAUUUACGAUUUAAAAUCCAAAAUAAAAAAACGAAAACAAUUUUUGAAAUCACACUCGAAGUUUUAAAUUGACAUGAAAAAAGAGCUUAUUAUUGAUUAUCUUUUUCCUAAAAUUUAAGGUAAGAUAACAAUAUGUCCAAAAUACCCUCCGCAUUAUCCCAAAACUUUAUAAACUCCCCCGUUCCUCUGAACAUCAUCUCUUCCAAAUCUUUCUCCCCCAAAAAACCAGCCAUGGCUUCAUAUUCAAUUACCGCAACACUCCAAUAUUGGCUUGUAAACCACCCCAAAAUCCUCAACUUCACAUGGACUCAGAACCAAACACUAGCUUCCUCCCCACACUUCCUCAUUCUCUCCAUCCUCACUUACCUCUCCCUCACAUUCAUCCUCUACCACACAUCAACAUCAACAUCACCACCAUCAUCACCUUUCAUUGGACCCCACAUCCUCAAGCCCAUCACAGCCGUCCAUAACCUCACCCUCCUCCUCCUGUCCCUCAUCAUGGCCGUUGGUUGCACUCUCUCCAUCAUCCUCCAUUUACCCCACCUCCAUUGCACCCUCUGUUUCCCCCCUACCAUUUCUCCGUCUGGCCCCCUCUUCUUCUACCCUUACAUCUUCUACCUCUCCAAAAUACUCCAAUUCUUAGACACCCUUUUGAUCAUUUUGUCAAACUCCGUCCAACGGCUCACGUUCCUCCACGUCUACCACCAUGCAACCGUCGUCGUUAUGUGCUUCCUUUGGUUACAGACGAAGCAGUCUUUAGCUUCCUCCCAAAUUCAUCAAUGAACCCCAAAACCAGUCUAAUCAUUAAAAUUAUUAACAACCAUUUCCUUGGAUCAAUGUACACUUGGCAUGUCUAUGGGCUUACUUGGAAUGGUCGCUGAUGGCCAUGGGCUUGCUUGGAUUGGCCGGGUACAGCCAUGGGCUUGCUUGGAAUGCCCGUACCCAGCUGCCAUGCUUUUGCUAGCGUAUCCAUGGGUUUUGUUGGACAUGGCAGUGCGAGGCCAUGGGUGUUGCCGGGCAAUGGACAUGGGUUUUGCUGGGCUGAUUUGGAAUUAACGGUGGCUAUGGAGUUGUAAGUGUGUGAAAGAGAAAAAAAAAAUGAACGAAGAAGAAGAUGAACAGGGAAUAGAACGAAGAAGAUGAAGAAAGUAGAAGAGAGGGAAAAAAUAUUUUACUUUUUUUAUAAAUUUUCCGAUUUUUAUUUCAAAAUUUAAAAUUUUUGUUUAAAUUCGAGAAUCUUAAGGGUAAGAUUUUCUUUGUAUCUAUGUGUAGAAGGAGGUUUUUAGAUGGUUUUUGGUUGGGCUAACAUAAAAUAUGCUUGUUUUAUGAAAUAUUAUUAUUGAGGUUUUGUUUUAUUUUCUAAAAAAUAGAUUAGAGGAUGAUUUUCAUUAAUGACACACAUAAAGUUUGAAUUAGUUAUAUUUUAGAAAUAGUACGGAUAUAAGUGAUAUAUCUUUCCAACAUAAAUAUAUCAGUAACAUAAGUUAUUCUAUAAUUAACAGGGGUAUUAUCGUAUUUUAGUGAGUCAAUAUUUUUUUUAUUUUGUAUCAAUAUUGGUUGAUAGUUAAAUUUAACAGAUUUUAGAGAGUAAAUUGAAGUUUUUAUUUUUUAUUUUUGAGUAAAUUAAAAUAUGUCAAUCUCAUAAGGGGUUAAAAUAUAAUUUAUCCAAAAAUUAGUGUUAAAAUUUUAUAGAUGAGUGUAUAUUAAGAUGUUCAAAGUAUUAGAACAUAAAUAAUCUUAGUUUUAAUAAAAUUUUGCCACAUAGUGAAUAUUAUCCUCAACCUCAAGAGAAACAUAUCAAUAAAAUAUACAAAAAUAGAAUGCAUUUGUACAUUUCAAUAACAAGACCAAUUAGAUCAUGUCAUAUUUGUUACGUAGUUAUUUAAGCUAAUAGAGUAAGAAGUCCCAAAUACAUGUACAUCGUAUCUUGGUAAAGAAAUCGGUUCUACCCGAAAUACUUCUUUGUAUUGAAAUCAAUGAUGAUUGCUUGUUUAAAUAAUGAAAGUUAAAAUAAUUUUGUAAAUAAUUUCAUUCUUUAAUUUACGGUAUACAAAUAAAUUCAAAAAAUGUUAAUUUCUCUCAUACUAAUUUUAGGACUCAAAAAAUAACAAAAAGUCUUAACAUAUUUAAUGGUUAUAUAUAAAUCAUCCGUACGUAUUUUAUUUAAGCUAAUAGAGUAAGAAGUCCCAAAUACAUGUACAUCAAUUCGAUAGACAAUGCUCCCCUUAAUUUUCUUUUCUAAUUAGAUAAAAGAACAAGAGAAAUUGAUUACAAUAAUUCACGGCGAAGUCACCUUGGUCUACCUGAUAUAUAUUACAGAGGUUAGCUUCUUUUUAAUGCCAAACUAGAAUAACAAACUUUAAUUUACUUCUUAAAGGGUAAAAACCUCAAUUUGUCCUUAUAUUUGUUCAAAAGAUACAUUUUGUCUUCUUAAUAUAAACAAGUUAAAUUGAUGUUUCACAUCUUUUAGAAAUAAAUUAAAGAUUGUUAUUCUAAGUAGGAGGUAAAUUUCAAAUAAAACAUGUGUUCAUAUGAUAGAUGUGCAUUUUAUAAUAAUUAAUAAACAAAAAGGGUAGUGAUAUUUUCACCCUGCAAUUUUUGUAAAUCCACCCCCACUCCCAAGAAAUAAUUACAAUAAAUUCACAUAAUUUUUUUAAAACUCAAAUAAAGAAAAUUUUUGGAGAUUUAAACUAUUAUAUACAAGAGGAUAAGAGUAAAUAUUUUUCAUGCAGUAUAAAAAGAAUGCGACAGCUCCUUUUCUUUCGGUAUUUUCGCAACAAAAGCACACUUAACAACUCAUCAAAUUAUUUCUCCUUUUCUUUGAUCGCUUGAUUCGCUUCCCCUCUCCUAGAGCUGCUGAACUCCUUUGUUGCUGAUGAAGUGAACAAGUGAGGCUUUUUAAAAGACUACAAUAUGUAUAAAGACGAACUAAUUACACUAUCAGUGGCUCAAGGUUACCUUAAUGCAGAAGAGGGUAAAGAGAUGGAGAUUCGAUUCGAUUCGAUAAUAGUAGUUUAUUUUAAUUUUUAUUCAUUUAAUUUCAUAGCAGUAAUUAUUACUUUCAUUUUUUGUUGAAAAUUGGUAAAAACGAACUAAAAUGAGAUAAUUACAUUAAAACAAUCUUCAAUGACUAAAGUAAUUUGAAAAAAUAAAAAUAAAAAUAAACAAGCUCAAAAUUUACCCCUAAUCCGAACAUUAUCCGAAUUCAGCCUAAUUGACCCAAAUCUAAUUUUAAUCCAAACUUGACAUGACCCGCGUAUAAUUAUAACCCGAUCAGAUCCAAACUCAACCUGAAUUUUUAAUUCAAUAUGAUCCAAUCCAAAUAUUCCAACCCCAUCAAAUUGAAACUUGAUCGGGUUGAUCCGAACCCGAAUUUGCCACUUCCGAAGGAGGCCAUGACCCUAAAGGCUUUGAAAUAAUCUUUGCGGUUUCUUAAUGAAAUAUUAAAAGUUAUGUGCAAAAAGACUGAUUUGGCCCUAGAAUACAUGAUAUAUAAAUUUCAGACAUUAUAUUCUGUGAAAAAAGCCAAAGUAAACUGGUUGUUUGACUUUUUAUUAAUUAUUUUCCAUAAUGACAAAAUUACAAAUAGACUUUAUUAAAAGUUUAAUACAGUUUGGGCCUAACUCUUUGAUUUUUAUUUUUUAAUUAUUUUUCAUUUUGUUUUUUACUUGCAACAUUAGCUUUAAUUAUCAAUAAGUCUCCAAAUCAAAAUGACUGCAACCUGUAGCUACAAGCAAAAUUCUCAAAUUUUGAAAUUUCUAACGACUACAUAAUAGCUAUAAAUAGAAAAAUCAUCUAAAAUUAAUCCUCCUUCAGAGGCAGAUUAAAUUCUUAGUAAUUUCAUAUAAUUUCAUUUCAUCUGAACAAUUUUCCAAAAGCAAUUUUAUAAAUGGUUGUCGAAAGCUUUAUCCCUUAAUUAUAUUUCACGUAUUUUCUUUGUAAUAUGCAUGAGGCGUGUCCAUAGACCAUAGUAUGAUAUUUAUUGUAAUUAAAAUCAUUAUGGAACUGAUUUUAUUCUUGUUUCUCAAACAAAAUAUCUAACUGCAGAUGUAAUAAAUUACUAAUUACCAUUAUUUGAGUCGCACUCUUUGAAUUGGAUCUUGGAGUUUCGAAUGACCAAAUGAAUUAGUGAGAUAAUGGCUUUUGCUUUUGUCUACCUGAUAAUAAAAGUUGUCCACCAUAUAGACAAGAAAUGGAUCGGAUCCAUACGCUAUACCUAAAUUGAAAAAUUUAUGUGGAGUUUUAUUGUAAGACAUUUUUAUCUGAAUAGAAAAAGUAAAUUUUUUUUAUUUUUAUCUAAAUGAUAAAAUAUCUGAAUAGAAAAUCAGUUUUCUUCUCACAAAUACCCUCAUUAAAUAUAUUUAUUUUCUACUUAGCUAUUAGAUGUUAUAUUAGAAUUUCCUUUGAUCUCAGAUUUUACUUGGUAUUAAAUACUUAAUAUGCGUUCAAUUGGAAUUUUAGACAAAUUCUUUUGUCAUUAGAUAACAACUUUUUUACUGAAUUUGAUGUUCAUACAGAAACAGUCAAGUCCUUGUUGGCUGAAAUUGGCAUUUCUCUUGAUUUGGUGUGAUAACCAAAGUGCAGCUGCCUUAGCAAGUAAUCCUAAAUGCCAGUCCCGAACUAAAUACAUAGAACUUGAUGUUCAUUUCUUGUGAGAAAAGGUUAUUUAUGUUCCAAGAACUUAAAUUUAACUCUAAUAAAAGCUUCCAAGUUAGUUAUGUUCCAAGUUCUCAUAACUCAGCUGAUAUCCUUACUAAAGCUUUAGCUUAUCACCCUUUUCAUUAUCUGAGAGACAAGCUCACCCUGACUUCACUAGGGUGAGCUAGAGGGGGAAUGUUAAGAGUAUAAGCUGAAGCUGCUGAGCUGGCUGGUGACGUGCUGAAGGUGCUGAGUUGACUGAUGUUUUGUAACUAAGUUGCUGAGCUGGAUUGGGUUGUUAUUUGCACUGAAUAAGUUGUAACGAAUUGUCCAGCUGGCUUGUUAUGAUUGGAAGGCUAAUUAGUUUGUUAAUAUUGCAGCUUUGAGCUCUGUUUCUGUAAUCAGUUUUGAGUGUAACUAUAAAUAGUGACUAGUACGCUCAUAAUGUAUGAUUUCAGCUUUAAUCAAUAAGCAUCUGUGAUUGUUCCAGAAACUUCAUAGUCAAAUUUUCUUUUACUGAAUUUGAUGUUCAACUAAAAUUAAGUUGUGAAAUUUUGCAGCCCUGAGCACUCAAUGUUUGUAGGCACAAGUUCAAGUCCCACCUCUUAUUAGGAUUUAAAUAAAGAACAUUAUAACCAUGCGUCGAAGCACUUAAAGUUAGCUUAAGUGCAUGGGUUUGAGUCCUAGUUAUUGUUGGAAUUCGAUUUUCUUCCCAAUUAAAUUGGGUAAGGAUAAAAUUAUUUCUCAAUUAAUAAGGACAUAAUAGAUAUCUCUCUCGAUUUUCCUCCCAAUUAAAUUAGGUAGAGGUAAAAUUAUCUCUCGAUUAAUAAGAGUAGAAUAAAUAUCUCUCUAGUAUCUUGCAAGGGUAGAAAUUUUUGGUUGUACUAUGUUAGAAUUAUCAAGGAUAGUCUUGAUAGAAUUCUAAUUGUAAUAUAUGAGUGUAUAAAAAAAAAUGAACAUUAAUAAAAGAUGUCUAGUUAAUGACUAUUUUGGAAUAGAAUUUUAAUUGUAAUAUAUCAAUAUAUCAAAAAAAUAAUAAUGAAAGAUGUUUAUCAAUGACUAUUUUGAUAUUUUAAUGAGUAGGAAAAAUUAAUGUUAAAAUUUGAUAGACAAGUGUAUAGUAAGAUGUUCAAAGUAUUAGAACACAUAAAUAUUCCUAGCUCUAAUAAAAUUUUGCUACAUAAUUAGUUUAUCCCUUAAGGAAACAUAUCAAUAAAAUAUACAAAAACACAAUGCAUGAGUACAUGCCAAUCACAAAUGAAAGCAAUUAAGAUAAAGAAUAUGAUUUAUUUAUUUUAUUUUAGUUAUUAUUAUUAUUAUUUUUUUUGUUUCUUUUGACACAAGACCAAUUAGAUCAUUGAAGAAGUAAUUUUUUUUUUUAAAUAAAAAAGGAGAAAUGAUGAAACCCACGUCCAAAGAUGCCGUUGUCGCGGAGGCCCAGACACUACACCCCAUCCCCUUCUACCAUAUUUUAUAAUUGAAGAGGCCAUUAUUGAAUUGAAAAAUUAUGAUUCAAAAACCCAAAAAUAGAAAAAGAAAAGCAAUUGUUGGAAACACACUCGGAGUUUUAAAUUGACAUGAGAAAAGAAUAUAUUCAUCAACCUCAUACGUUAAAGAUGCGACGAGUUUGAGAUUAUGUGCCAAAUUCCUAACGUGUGGGAAUUUAAAGAUGUUAGUACAAAAAAUGUGUUCGUCCGUGGAGUAGAAUCAUGGAAAUUAAAGAUGCUACUACAAUUACUAACGUGUGGGUGGGGAUAAGCAUAACUUUUUUCAUCCAAUGCCAAAUCCCCCCAGGCGGAGUGUGGGGACUCCUCCGCAUAAAUGAUUUUUCCAAUCUUUUUUCUUUUCGUUAUUUAUUCCUUUGUGAAUUAGAGUUAAUGCUUGAUAUUAUUUUUGUGCUCAUUUUUUAAAUUAGUAAUUAAAUCUGAAUCUUAUAGUAAAAGAUUAUGAAAAAGUAAAAAUUUAAAAAUCAUAAAAUCAUUACUAAAUCCAAAUUUGUGCUAUUUCAUACAUAACUUGAGAAUGUUUAUAAUUACGCAUCACAACUAGUGGUGUAGAAUCAGGGAAAUUAAACAUUCUACGAUUAUUAUGCAGUAUAAAAGAAUGCAAUAACUCCUUUUCUUUCAUAUCUUCGCAACAAAAGCACAUCUAAUAACUCUUCAGAAUUCUCGUCUUCUUUGUCAGAAUGGUUGAUGCGAUCGUUUCCUCUCUCCUGGAGCAGCUGAGCUCAGUUGCAACUGAUGAACUGAAACAACAGGUGAGGCUUGUUACUGGUGUCCGACAAGAAGUGAAAAAGCUUACCAGUAAUCUUCGAGCCAUUCGAGCUGUGCUGGAAGAUGCACAGAAAAGGCAAAUGCAGCACGACAAAGCUGUUACUUUUUGGCUGGAUCAGCUCAAAGACGCAUCUUACGACAUGGAAGACGUGUUGGAGGAGUGGACCACUGCAAGGCUCAAAUUGCAGAUUGAGGGCGUUGAUGAUGACAAUGCUCUUGCUCUUGCUCCUCAUAAGAAGAAGGUACGCUCCUUCUUUUGUGCUGUAUCAAACUGCUUUGGUAGUUUCAAACAACUCUGUCUUCGUCAUGACAUUGCCGUCAAGAUUAGGGAAAUCAAUGGAAAGCUAGAUGAUAUUGCCUCUCAAAAAGAUAGGUUUAAAUUUGUUGAGAAUGUGAGUAACAAUGUCAAGAAACCAGAGCGAGUGCGAACCACCUCCUUGAUUGAUGAGGGAGAGGUUUGCGGUAGAGUUGAUGAGAAAAAUGAGCUCUUAAGCAAGUUGUUGUGUGAAAGUAGUGAACAACAAAAAGGCCUUCAUGUCAUCUCACUAGUUGGGUUAGGGGGUAUAGGUAAAACCACUCUUGCACAACUAGCCUAUAAUAAUGAUGAGGUGAAAAGAAAUUUUGAAAAAGUUAUAUGGGUGUGUGUAUCAGACACUUUUGAGGAGAUUAGGGUCGCCAAAGCAAUCAUUGAAGGUCUAGGCGUGCCAGCUUCUGAUUUAAGCGAAUUCAAAUCUCUUAUGAAACAGAUUCAGGAAUAAAUUACGGGGAAGAAAUUUUUUCUUGUUUUAGAUGAUGUGUGGGAUGGAGAUUACAAAAAAUGGGACCCAUUCUUUUCUUGUCUAAAGAAUGGCCACCAUGAAAGUAAAAUUCUAAUUACCACACGUGAUAGGUCAGUUGCACUACAGUUGGGAUCAAUAGCUAUUAUCCCUGUCAAGGAGUUGGGUGAAGGGGAAUGUUGGUUACUAUUUAAGCAGAUAGCAUUUCUACAUAGGUCCUUUGAGGAUUGUGUAAAAUAAGAACCAAUCGGGCGAAAAAUUGCAUGUAAGUGCAAAGGCCUGCCUCUUGCUGCAAAGGUAAUAAAGAAUCUCUUGCGCUCUAAAAGUACAGUAAAAGAGUGGCAAAGAAUUUUAGAUAGUGAAAUGUGGAAAGUAGAAGAGAUUGGGCAAGGUAUUUUGGCUCCUUUGUUGUUGAGUUAUAACGAUUUGCCCUCCAAUUCUAUGGUAAAACGGUGCUUCUCAUAUUGUGUUGUCUUUCCAAAAGACUGCAAUAUGAAUAAAAGGGAAUUGAUUAAUCUAUGGAUGGCUCAAGGUUACCUUAAUGCAGAUGAAGACGAAGAAAUGGAGAUGAUUGGAGAAGAGUAUUUCAACAUUUUAGCAACACGCUCUUUCUUUCAAGAGUUUGUGAAAGAUUAUGAUGCUAAUGUUAUGAGUUGCAAGAUGCAUGACAUAUUACAUGAUUUUGCCCAAUUUGUAAGUAGAAAAGAAUGUUUGUGGCUAGAAAUUAAUGGUACCAAAGAAUCAGUCAUAAACUCUUUUGGUGACAAAGUCCGUCACUUAGGGUUAAUUUUUCAAGGGGGCGCUUCAUUUCCUAUGUCCAUUCGUGGACUUGAUGAUGAAAGUCCUUCCAAUCCAUCUCUUAAUAGUAGCAUCCUUCGGGAGUUAUUUAGUAAAUUGGCGUGUUUAAGGGCAUUAGUUAUAAGGCAACCGCCCCCACUUUUUGGUCCUAACACAAAUUUGAUUAGAUAAAUUCCAGAAAAUGUCGGAAAAUUGAUACAUUUAAAAUAUCUUAAUUUGUCUAAAUUACGCAUAGAGAGACUGCCUGAGACUUUGUGUGAAUUAUAUAAUUUACAAAAGCUAGAUAUUAGGCGGUGCCGAAAUCUUAGAGAAUUGCCAGCGGGGAUUGGGAAGUUAAUGAACAUGAGGAGUUUACUGAAUGGCGAAACUGAUUCGUUGAAGUACAUGCCAAUAGGGAUUUCCAAAUUAACCAGCCUUCGAACAUUAGAAAAGUUUGUUGUGGGUGGAGGUGUUGAUGGCGGCAGCACGUGUAGGCUUGAAUCUCUGAAAAAUCUUCAACUCCUUCGUGAAUGUAGUAUAGAAGGUCUGUGUAAUGUGUCACAUUUAGAUGAGGCUGAGAGGUCACAACUUUACAAUAAGAAAAACCCCCUUUGUUUGCAUCUUGAGUUUGGUAGAGUCGUAGAUGGGGAAGGCGAAGAAGGAAGGAGGAAGAAUGAGAAAGAUAAACAACUUCUUGAAGCCUUACAACCGCCUUUGAAUGUAGAGGAAUUAGUGAUUGUAUUCUACGGAGGCAACAUUUUUCCCAAAUGGUUGCCUCCUUUGGGAAAACUACCUCUGGAAAGACUCACAAUUGACAACUUGAAAAGUGUAAAAACAGUGGGUAAUGAGUUUUUGGGAAUAGAAGAAAGCAGUGAGGAUGACCCAUCUUCAUCUUCAUCUUCAUCAUCGGUUACUGCCUUCCCCAAGUUGAAAUAACUCGAAAUUAGUUAUUUGGAUGAACUGGAAGAGUGGAAUUACAGGAUUACAAGAAAGGGAAACAUCUCCAUCAUGCCCCGUCUUUCUUCCUUGGAAGUUCGUUCUUGCAACAAAUUAAAGGCGCUGCCGGAUUACCUUCUUCAAGCAACAGCACUGCAGGAACUGAGAAUUUGUUAUUGUGAUCUUCUAGAAGAACUGUUUAGAUAAUUGGGUGUUGCCUACAACGUCUUUCUUCCUUACGAAUUGGGUAUUGCCCCAAAUUGGUGCUGCCGGAUUACCUUCUUCGGACGACGACACUGCAGAAAUUGACAAUUUGGGGAUGUCCCCUUUUGGAAAACCGUUAUAGAGAGGGGAAAGGAGAAGACUGGCAUAAGAUAUCUCACAUUCCUCACAUCACGUGGCCUCCUCUGAUUUCAACUAAAAAUUAGUGGUAAUUUCUCCUCCUCCUCUUAUUUACUUCGUUGUUGCUUGCAAUGAAAUUAAUAAAAAUAAUUACAUUUUGAAUUAAAAUUCUAUAUAGAAUUAAUCAUGGUAUAAAUAUGUAAAACUUCCUAGUUAUUAAAUCUGUUAAACUUGUUUUCUAAAGAUCAAAUGAAAAAAAAAAAAAAAGUGUAGUCUGUUGAAAUUUCUGUAUUUACUUUUAAAAAUAUGUGCUCUUUUGUAAAAUUUCAUACCACAUCAUAGAAAAUCCCAAUGUAAUUUAUUUUUAUAUGUACGAAAAUUUGUUAUGUGUAACUUCCUGAGAGACAAAAUCUCUGUGAUACAUUUGCAGUAAUGUUGAAAAUUAAAUUAUCAAUUUUAUCUUGUAUAAUGAUAAUCGUAUUUUUUUAUAUAUAAUUUAUUUGACAUUAAUUCUUUAAAGUAAUUGUGUAAUUGUUUUUGGUAGUACAUUAGCCCACUUUGUUUUAUUUUUCAUUUCACCAGGGAUUCGAGGAAUUGUCAGAACUACACUAGCAAUUCGCAGGUCCAAGCUAAUUUGGUUCUAAUGAUGCAGGCAGGAGAGCAAGACGAUGAAAAUGAAAAGUUUAGCCAAAGGAUUGCUAAAAUGUUCUGCUGGUAAUUCCCUUGCUUUAUUUUAAUAGAAUUUCAUUUCCAUCUUCUUCUAUUGAUAUCUUGUUGUGAAUAAACAAGAACAGAGAAGUGAAUGAUUGAACCACAGAGAAGUAAAGAUAUAUCCAAAUUCGAUUAUUAUGAUGAUUAAAGCAAGCUCAAGCUCAAGCAUUGCAUUUUUUAUUUUAUUUAGUUUAUAGAAUUUUCAUGUCCACCUGCAUUGCAUUUUUAUUUCAUUUUUACGUUGACAUUGAAGACUCUAUGGAGAACAUUGGGGUAACCAAGGAUUAUCGCUGUGGUUAUUGUGCAACGUUUGGUUGCUGGACUUUGAAGAAGGAAGUGAUGGCCGGGUCUGCUCUGUUUCAAUUGAGGAUGGAUAGCUGCCUGAAAGACAUGAUGAUUAUUAUUGCAUGAUGUUAAGGUGCUAAGUUCAUCAUUUCUAUCCUGUUUCAUUCUUGGAAUCAUUUAUCCUAUAUAAACAUAUUGAAUUGUGCUAAUAUUAUCAAUUUUUUCACCUAAUUUUCACUGUUGUUGUGAAAACAAUUUCAGGCUCUCAAAAGCUAUAAAGCAAAGCAUUUGUGGGCUGAUCAUAUGUUUCAAUUGAGGAAGGAGCUUGGUGUUGGCAAUAUUGUCCAGGUAACCACAGCUGAUAAUUUCCACAAAUUUGCAUUGUCAGAAUACACUUUAAUGUUCAUGGUGUUCCUCUGUGUUAUCAGGUUAUCGUGGUAUGUAAAGUAUCAUCUUUAAGGAUUUGUAAGAGACUUUGCAUUAAACUUAGUUGUCACCAGCUCCCGCAAUUGCUCAUUCAUUCAAGAGUACUUCAAAAUUAGAUUUUCAAGGUUUGUAUGUUUAGUUGUGAUCAAAAUGUUUAGUCACUCAUUCUUAAUCUUUUCUGAUUUUCAAGUUCUUUAGGGUCAUAAACAGUUUUCCAACUCAUUCUUAAUUUUUAGGUUGAUUUCGAGUACCCUGUUGAGGACAUUCCUGAGACCAAGGAUUAGGCUGGCGAAGGAACUACUACCUCUGUUGUUAUUGGGCAAGGUUUGAUUAGUGGACCUUGAAUAAGAAUGCCUUACACGCAUUGUGUAAUGGAAGCGUUCUCUAAAGCAAAAGAGCAGUUGAAGGAAUAGUGAUGGCCGGAUCUGCUCUAUCUUAAUUGAAGAUCUCUGUGAUGUUGAAGAGCUUAAAGCAGUUGAUGCUUUUUGAAAAUUGUUAUUACAGAUGAAUUGAUUCCUGAAGACGAGUAUCUAAUGAUUGUUGAGGCGUAUUUUCAUGAACUUCCUUUCUUAACAAAUGUUUCAAUGCUGGCUGUAGUAACAAUUUCAUAUCUUGCAUCUCUCGGGUGCAUCAUGUUCACGGGUUUGAAAAAGCAUUUGUGGUAAUGCUUCAAAGCUUGUACAAUGGCUGUGAAAAGGCACAUUCAAUUAGGUACGUUUUGGUGCGGUCUCCCAAUGCUAAUAUUAUAUUUUGUAUAGCAAUUAAAAUUUAGCUAUACAAUCUUAAUAUGCAAUAAAUCAUUGUAUGCAAAGUUUUCUAUUAAUUAUAUGGUGACUGAAAUUUUAAUUAUCAUAUCAAUUUAAAUUUUUUUGUAACUCUCUUUUACUUUGCUUGUACAGAUUACCUGUUUUGGCUGAUAUGUCUAAUUCGUAGAAAUUCAUUUCCAUCGGUUUCCAUUGGCUUUAGCACAAACAGAAACAGAGCUCUGGGGAAAAGUUUUACUUCUUGUGGUAUUAUGCCUUUGUUUCUUCAUUCAUCAUAUUUUUCGAAUUCAUGCUCUCAUUCAGAGGGUAAAGCCUUUUCCAGGCUGCUUUGUAGCCAAACUUUGACGCCUUUGAUGCAUGACUGUCAUUUAGAUUUCCCAAAUAACUGUUAGAUUGGAGAAGAAUAAAAAGAUACUGUUAAAAGGGUAUUUAAUUAGCGCCCUGUGAAUUUCUUGGAGUUAAUGUAGUCAAUAGCCCAAUUUUGCUGCCUGUCGAAGAGAUGCAACACGGAAGUCGUCAUCAAACUCUUUUGAGACGUCUAAGAACUAGUAGGGAGGUGGUGGUAUUCACCGUGUUUCCUGGCAAGUGUAGUUCCUGAUAGAGGGAUUCUUUUCUUGAUGUCUAAAUACUAUAUGUGAUACAACGUCGUAUAUUCCAAUUUUUCUCCAGUUAAAUUCUAGUAAGUUAGAAAAGUUAAUUUUGUUCUAGCGAUGAAUUGUUUUCUUAAUAACAAUAAUUGCCUGUUGCUUUGGAAUCUUAUUCACUCUCUGUAACCCAAUUAAAUUGUGCAAAUUCUACUGCGGAUUUGUCAAACAGAGCGUCUUUGUGAUUUCUUUGAUAGACUUUUGAUCGCUAGUUUAAGUUUGAAUCAUCUUGUAAUGCCAAAAAGCCAUAACUUUUAAUUACUUGAUCGUACUCGAGUUCUUGUUUAGUAUUAGCUCUAAUUAUAGUAUAAACGUUGAUAUUAUGUAGUAAAUAUGAUUGUUAAAUAAUAAUUUUGAUAAAAUUAUUAGAGAUAUUUUAGAUUUUUUUUAUAUUAGAGUAUGAGAUUAGAUCAAUUUAAGUAAUAAUUAUAAAUGUUUACAAAAUACUCUUAACGUUGGACCCUAAAAAUUAUGCUCUACGAAACUCUUACCAGAUUUUAGUUGUACUUUCUAGCCCGAUUGUAGAAGUCCUUUCUCGAUGUACUUCACCGUAGAAGACAUUCCCCAAUUUUACUUAAAUCUUACUCGACUUCGAUUUGUAUAUUUUAUGCCUAAAUUUUUGUCAACAAAUUGGUCCCAGGUUCAUGCUUCUUCGGCUUGGGUGAUCCCAGCAAAUCCAUUGCGUCCAUUCCACGUUGAGUGCAUGCAAUCCACAAGUUUGAUUGAGCAGAAAUAGCCAAAAAAAAAGAAAAACAAUAUUCCGGAAGUGCCGUUGUCACAGAUGCCUAGACACUACACCCCAUCCCCUCUUACCAUAUUUUGUAAUUGAAGAGCCCAUUAAUAAAUUGAAAAAUUAUGAUUCAAAAUCCAAAAAUAGAAAAAGAAAAACAAUUCUUUGAAACACACUCGGAGUUUUAAAUUCAUGUGAAAAAAGAGUUUAUUAUUAUUUUCUUUUCCAAAAAUUAAGCUAAGACAUCAGUAUAUGCCCAAAAUACCCUCAUAUCAUCCCUAACUUUCUAAACUGCCCCCCACAAAAAAAAAAAAAAAACACCAGCCAUGGCUUCAAAUUCAAUCACCUCAACUCUCCAACAUUGGCUUGUAAACCACCCAGAAAUCCUCAACUUCACAUGGACUGAAAACCAAACCCCAGCUUCCUCCCCACAUUUCCUCAUUCUCUCCAUCCUCACUUACCUCUCCCUCACAUCCAUCCUCUACCACACAUUAACGUCAACAUCACCAUCAUCAUCACCUCUCAUUGGACCCCACGUCCUCAAGCCCAUCACAGCCGUCCAUAACCUCACCCUCCUCCUCCUCUACCUCAUCAUGGCUGUUGGUUGCACCCUCUCCAUCAUCCUCCACUCACCCCACCUCCGUUACACCCUCUGUUCCCCCACCAUUUCUCCCUCCGGCCCCCUCUUCUUCUACGCUUACAUCUUCUACCUUUUCCAAAAUACUCGAAUUCCUAGACACCCUUUUGAUCGUUUUGUCAAACUCCAUCCAGCGCCUCAGGUUCCUCCACGUCUACCACCAUGCAACCGUCGUCGUAAUGUCCUACCUUUGGCUGCAGACGAAGCAGUCUUUGUUUCCUAUUGCACUUGUGACCAAUGCAAAAAAAGGAUAUUUCAGAAAAAAAAAGGAUAUAGUUAAUUGAGAAAAAGGGGUUAUCGAAAGAAAUUGAGGGAGUUAAAUAUCACCGCUCUAAUUUCUUUUUUUAGAAUGUUAUGUAUAGUAUUAAGAGUGGUAAUAUUGGCACCCCACAAGUUUGUCCCUAUUUAAAUUUACAAUGAUAGACAAAAAAAAAAUUAUUCAAAUAAAUUAUCUCAACUCGACAAUUUAUUAUUUAUUUUGACGAUAUUUGGUUGACAUUCCUCAUUUACCAAUUAUUAAGCUACAACUUAUUUCGUUAAAUCUUGAUAAAAUUUUAUUCUUUUGUUGUUAUUAUUUUUUAAGAUUAAACCUCAAAAUAUCAAUAACCAAUGUAUUAUCAAUAACCAAUGAUAACACAGACUGCUACAGACGAAGCAGUCUGUAUUAUCAUUUUACGGGAUUUGGUUGCGCAGGGAUUUUGGGUUUAAUGCUUCCCUUUUGGCACUUUUUGUUAAUUUUUAUUCCAAGAGCUAUGCUAAGAAAAAGUAGGGGUGAUAAAAACAAAUAGUAGUUGUGAUUUUUUUUUUUAAUUUGAUUUUGGUUAAUUAUAAAUGGUUUUGAUCGGUUCAUUGCAAUUGAUAGAGAUGUUUUCAGUUGCAUAGACUUCGUAUUUUCGUUUGUCACCACAUUUGUUUAGUCUCUCCCGUUUGAAUUCCCUCUCACAAACAAAAAAUUCAGAUUUGUAAUUUGUAAACUAAUAAUUUUCAUUUUGUUAAUGUAUUAAUAAUUAUUAUCUGCAUUUAUGUGAUAGGACACGUGCCACAUCAACUAAAAUUAAGUUAUGAAAUUUUGCAGCAGCCAAACACUCAAUGUUUGUAGAAACAAGUCUAAGUCCAAUUCCCACCAUUUGUUAGGAUGUAAAUAAGGCUUUGGCUAUGUUGGAUCAACUCCAGGCCUCCAGCAUAAAACCAACUAAUAUUAACCAUGCGAUUUUAUUCGCUCAAUCGAACCAUCACAAUUACAUUUAAUGGAUAAACACGAAGUAUACAGGAUUAUUGGGUUGCUCUGCCUCUCUCUGCAUAUGCUUUUACGACAUAAAUAAUAGUAACAACAGCAACAACAAUAUCAUCAUUCACCAACCCACUGACUCUCUCAGCUUCUUUCUUUAACAAGCUCUUCUUGUUAUUCCCUUUUUGCUCCCUUUUUUUUUUUAAUUAAGUUUUAACUUUGGUUAUUCAAACUUUCAGUUAUAUAUUAUGUGAAAGAUUCUUUUUCUUAUUAAAGUGCAUUGUUGGUUUUCUCUUUUUCCUUCAUUUUGUUUGAUUUAAAGCUAAAAUUUUAAGUUUUUUUUUUUUUAUAGGAAAAUAUUAAUAUUUCAUUAAACAAAUAACAACAAUACAACUACUUGCAAUACACCACUGGUUCACAUUACAAAGAUCAAAAUACAGAGAUCUGUUUUAGUUACACAGAUCUAUUAUAGUAAUCAAUUGAAUUGACCCAUAAAUUUUAUUGAAGAAUAGGAAGAAACACGUGCACACUAGAAGAAAAACUUCCAUUCGCAGUGCGCAUACAAUUCAAGCUCCAUUUGGGGUUCCAUGGCUCUUUCGAAAUAAUCUCCACCACCAUAUUUAUGCUUUCCAGCUAGUACCAAAAUAGAUUUACCGUAAAAAUUGAUUCACACCCUCUAACUUUACAAACAUGGGAAACAUCCACUGGAGAAGGCAAGAAAGAUUUUUGCCUCCAAAGAUUUGGUGAGGAAGAGAUGAGGAGUUUGGGGAGGAAAAGUUUUCAGAGAGAUGAAGAGAUUGGCUUUAAAAGUGUGUUUUAAAGAAAACGUUGUUGAGAGGAAACGAGACCAAUUAGAUCAUGCAAGAAGUUAAUUUUUUUUUUUUAAAUAAAAAAGGAGAAAUGAUGAUCUUACAAAGUUUGAAUAUAAAGUUUAAAAUCUAAAAUUAAUGACUUGACAAUCGAUGCAUUAUUAACCUAAUAGAGUAAGAAGUCCCUACUAAAGAAUUCAAUAUUCUACCCAGAAUACUUCUUUCUAUUGAAAUUAAAUGAUGAUUAUUUGUUUAUAUCAUGAAAGCUAAAAUAACUUUGUGAGUAAUUUGAUCCUUUUGCAGUAUAAAAAUAAAUUCAGAAAUGGGCACCAUUCUUCCUUUGUUUAAAUCAUGGUCUCCACGGAAUUAAAAUUUUGGUUACUACACGUAAUGAGUUAGUUGCACGUAUGAUGGGAUCAACAAAUAUUAUCUUCAUUGAGCAAUUGACUGAAGAGGAUUGCUAGUCGUUGUUCAAGCGAUUAGCAUUUUUCGGUCACUCUUUCGAGGAUUGUGAAAGAUUAGAACCAAUCGGGCGAAAAAUUGCAGGCAAGUGCAAAGGCCUGCCUCUUGCUGCAAAGGUAAUAGGGAAUCUCUUGCGUUCUAAAAGUGCACUAAACGACUGGCAAAUAAUUUUUGAUAGUGAAAUGUGGAAGGCAGAAGAGAUUGGGAAAGGUCUUUUGACUCCUUUAUUGUUGAGUUAUAAUGAUUUGUCGUCCAAUUCUAUGGUAAAACGAUAUUUUUCAUUUUGUGUUGUCUUUCCGAAAGACUACAAUAUGUAUAAAGAGGAGCUAAUUUCACUAUGGAUGGCUCAAGGUUACCUUAAUGCAGAAGAAAAUGAAGAGAUGGAGAUGACUGGGGAAGAGUGUUUCAACAUUUUAGCAGCACGCUCUUUCUUUCAAGAGUUUGAGAAAAAUAAUGAUGAUGAUAUUAUGAGUUGCAAGAUGCAUGACAUAGUACAUGAUUUUGCUCAAUUUGUAAGUAGCAAAGAAUGUUUGUGGCUAGAAAUUAAUGGUACCAAAGAAUCAAUCAUAAACUCUUAUGGUGGGAAAGUCCGUCCCUUAGGGUUAAAGUUUAAAGGAGGCGCUUCAUUUCCUAUGUCCAUUCAUGGACUUAAUAGAUUGCGUACCCUCCUAAUUGAUGAUGAAAGUCCUUCCAAUUCGUCUCUUGAAAGUAGCAUCCUUCCUGAGUUAUUUAGUAAAUUGGCGUGUUUAAGAGCAUUAGUUAUAAGGCAAUCGUUCUUGCUUUUUCGUCCUGACCCAAAUUUGAUUAGAGAAAUUCCAGAAGAUGUCGGAAAAUUGAUGCAUUUAAAAUAUCUUAAUUUGUCUGAAAUUACACAUAGAGAGACUGCCUGAGACUUUGUGUNNNNNNNNNNNNNNNNNNNNNNNNNNNNNNNNNNNNNNNNNNNNNNNNNNNNNNNNNNNNNNNNNNNNNNNNNNNNNNNNNNNNNNNNNNNNNNNNNNNNAUAUUAGGGGGGUGCCGAAAUCUAAGAGAAUUUGCCUGCUGGGAUUGGAAAGUUAAAGAACAUGAGGAGUUUACUAAAUGGUCUACUUGUUCGUUGAAGUACAUGCCAAUAGGGAUUUCCAAAUUAACCAAUCUUCGAACAUUAGACAAGUUUGCUGUGGGUGGAGGUGUUGAUGGUGGCAGUACGUGUAGGCUUGAGUGUCUGAAAAAUCUUCAACUCCUUCCAGAAUGUGGAAUAGAAGGGCUGAGUAAUUUGUCACAUGUAGAUGAGGCUGAGAGAUUAGAACUCAAAAAUAAGGAAAACCUCCUUCGUUUGUAUCUUUUGUUUGAAGUUGUAGAUUGGGAAGAUAAAGAAGAGGAUGAAGAUGAAGGUGAGGAUGGGGGAUAUGAAGAAGAAGAAGGAGGUGAAGUUGUAAAUGGGGAAGAUGAAGAAAGGAGGAGGAAGAAUGAGAAAGAUGAACAACUUCUUGAAGCCUUACAGCCGCCUUUGAAUGCAGAGGAAUUAUGGUUUUUAUUAUAUGGAGGCAACAUUUUUCCCAAAUGGUUGACUUCGCUAACCAAUCUAAGGAAUUUAUUUCUUCACGGGUGUCUUAACUGUGAGCAUUUGCCUCCUCUGGGAAAAUUGCCUCUGGAAAAACUCGCCCUGCAAAAUUUGAACAGUGUAAAAAGAGUGGGUAAUGAGGUUUUGGGAAUAGAGGAAAGUAGUGAUGAUGACCCGUCUUCAUCUUCAUCAUCAUCAUCAGUUAUUGCCUUCCCCAAAUUGAAAUCAUUCAAAAUUUGGGACAUGGAAGAAUUGGAAGAGUGGGAUUACGGGGUUACGAGGAAGGAAAACAUCUCCAUCAUGCCACGUCUUUCUUCCUUGGAAAUUGAUUGUUGCCCCAAAUUAAAGGUGUUGCCAGAUGACCUUCUUCAAACGUCGACACUGCAGGAAUUGAGUAUUGGGGGAUGUCCUAUUCUAGAAGACUGGCAUAAGAUAUCUCACACUCCCCACGUCGAGUUUUAAAUUCUCGAACGGUUUCAAUUACUAUAACCCGCCGGUAAUUUCUCCUCCUCCUCUGUUUUGCUUCAUUGUUACUUGUAAUGAAAUUAAUAAUAAUAAUGAUAAUAAUUAAAUUUUGAAUUAAAUUUCUAUAUUUUGCCAAUGUCUCAUAGGAAUGUGCAAUAUUUUCUAAUAUUUUGAUUUUUGUAUUGAAUAUAACUAUUUACUUCAGUGUACGAUAAUUUGUUACGUGAAACUCCUUGAGAGACUGAAUUUCUGGGGUACUUUGUAGUAUGUUGAAAACUAAGUGAUGGCUGGGUCUGCUCUGUUUCAGUUGAGGAUGGAUAGCUGCCUGGAAGACAUGAUGAUUAUUAUUGCAUGAUAUUAAGGUGCUGAGAUCAUCACUUCUAUCUUGUUUCUUUCUUUGAUCGGUUUAUCCUCUAUAAGCAUAUGGAAUUAUGCUAGUAUUAUCACUUCUUCACUCAAUUUUCACUGUUGGUUGUAAUAACCAUUUCAGGUUCUCAAAAGCCUCAAAGCAAAGCAUCUUUGGGCUGAUCAUAUAUUUCAAUUGACGAAGCAAUUCGAUGUUGGCACUAUUAUGCAGGUAACCAGAGUUGAUAAUUUGCACAAAUUUGCAUUGUCAGAAUACCCUUCAUAUUCACUGUGUUUCUUUGCGUAGGUAUGUAGAGUAUCAUCUUCAAGGGUUGUAAUAGCCUUUGCAGUAAAUUUAGCUGCUCGUGCAAUUGCUCAUUCAUCGGAGUACAAUUUUGGAUUUUCAAGGUUUGUAUGCUCAGUUGUAAUUAAAAUGCUUAAGUCAGUACAGUUUUCAAGUUAUUUUAGGUCCAUAAACAGUUUUCACACAUGUUUCAAUGCUUCUUGUAAUGACAAUUUCAUAUCUUGCAUCUCUAACGUGCAUCACGUUUGAAACAGCUUUCGCGGUAAAGUCUUCGAUGCUUGUACAAUGGCUGUGAAGAGGCACAUUAAAUUCGGUACAUUUUGGUACGGCCUCCUAAUGCUGGUAUAAUGUUGUGUAUAUUUAGUUUGCAAUUAAAACUUAGGUAUACAAAUCUUAAUCUGCAAUAGAUCGUAGUGUACAAAGUUUCUAUUAAUGAUAUGGUGACUGAGAGUUUAAUUAUCUUAAAAUUUUUCUAUGACUCUCUUUUACUUUCUUUGUACAGAGUACCUGUUUUGGCUGAUGUAUCUAAUUCAUAGAAAUUCAUUUCCAUCGGUUUCCAUUGGUUUGAGCACAAACAGAAACAGAGGUCUGAGGAAAAGGUUUACUUCUUGCGGUAUUAUGCCUUUGUUUCUUUAUUCACCGUAUUUGUUCGAAUUCAUGCCCUCAUUAAGAAUUUAAAGCCUUUUGCAGGCAGCUUUGUAGCCAAAUUUUGAUGCCAUAAAUGCAUGAUUGUCAUUUAGAUUUUCCGCAUAUUUGUUAUUUGGAGAAAUAUUGUUAAAAGAGCAUUUGAUUAGCUACUUACCCUAUGAAUUUAGUUGCCAAUAAUACAUUGAAAUUGAGUAGGGUAAUGGUUGAGGAAAGUUAUUGUCUUAAUUAAAUUACAGGUGAUAAGAUGUUGCUUGAAAUCAGCAUGUUGUAUUGCGAUGAUUUUGCCCACAUGAGACGCUGUGAUUCUUGACAUUGGGAUAACUCAGGUCAAUUUUUAGCAUAAACAGAUAUCAUCUUCUUUACUGCUAUGCCUUUAAAGAAUAAACUUUAGUAAAGUUGUUUUUGUUUGUGCAAUUUAUCAGGUUAAGGAUGCUAAGCAGCUUAUUAAGGCAAAUGUUAGAAUGAAGAUUGUUCACUCUACCUGGCAUGUAUGAUGGCGAGGAAGAUUAAUUGUUCAUAAGCCAGUUUGAUGAGUGUUAGAUUUUUGGCUUUAUAUAUUAUUGGAGCUCUCCAUUUUGAGAGAUAUCUCAUCAAAUUUGAGUAGAGCUCUCCCAAUAAUUAUAAGCUCUCAUUUGUUUGUAAAAUCAUCUUCUUGUAUUGAUUGUGUUUCCUUGUGUUAUCAGGUAGAGUAUCAUCUUCAUGGGUUUCAAGAAGUCUUUGCAGUAAAGUUUCAACCACAUUCAUUUGAGUAAUUCAGUUUCAGAUUUUCAAGACGUGCAUGUUUAAGUAGUCUCGAUUAAGAUAUUUUAGUCACUCAUUCUGAAUCUUUUCUAAUUUUCAAGUUCCUUAGGGCCAUGAAUAGUUUUUCAAGUCUGCAUGUGGCUGCAAAUGAUUGAUGGUCAUAAAAUUAUCUUGAGCCUUGAGGCAUUGCGUUUGAGCGCACACAGAAACAGAGCUAAAAGAAAAGAACUUGACACUAGAAGAUGCUCUAAAUGUAGCAAAAGUUUAUUUCUACUUCUUGUGGUUAUUUUACUUUUGUCUCUUCGGUCAUCAUAUUUGAUUAAUUGUUCGAAUUCACACUCUCACUUAUUAUUUAAAACCAUUUUUAUGUGGCUUGCAAGCUAAUUAAGUUAAAGCAGAAACAAUACUGUAGACGAAGAUGAGCAAAUUGAAGGUGAUAAGUGCAUAUAUAGUGGCCAAGUCGCUUAUUAUACUUCAUCUCUCAUACUAACAUGAUUCUGAAUUUGAAUUUCCAUGAAUAAUUGUUAGGCUGGUGCACUUAUUCUUGAAAGGGCGUUAAGCUACCUUAUGAAAUUGGAAAGUUAUUAUUGCUUGAAUGCAAGCACCGUCUUCUGUUGCGAAGGCUUUCCCCACAUGAUGAGAUGCUGUGAUUGUUACCGGACCCUUAAUUAUUUAACUCAGGUUUUUAUCAUCAACCACAUCAUCUUAUUCACCAUUUUGGAUAUAUAUAAAGAUUAAAAUUUCUAACAGUUGUUUCGGAUUCUUGUGUAAUCAGAUAAAUGGGGCAAAUGUCAGAACAAAGAUUGUUCAGUGCUGCUGGUAUGGCAAGGAUGAUGGUGAGGAAGAUUGUUCACAAGCCAAGUAGAGCCCUCCAUUUUGAGAAAUAUCAUCCUCAAAUUUGAAUUGUUGAGCCUAUGAAGUGAUGCUAAAGCCUUAAUAUUAAGUCUUUCUGAAAGUUUCAUUUGAAUGAAUUUUCGGAGAUUGAAUGUUCUUAGAGUGAGUAAGAAAUUAAGCACAUAUCUGCAAUUUGUUAACUACUUAACUCUGCGUCGGCAAAGUUAAGUAGUUACAAAAUUCUUUUUUUUUUUUUUCCUUUUUCUUUCUCCGAUAAAAUUGCCACAAAUGGAAGCGAUUGGCUUGAUUUUUGCUUCUGUAAAAAGUGGUGGGAGCAAUGUCUUGUGUACCCACAAGUUAUUAAUCGUCAUAGUUUAAAUGAAGAAUCCCGAGUUGCCAUCCAAAACUAAAGAAAUUGCAAAUUAAGUAGUUCAUUACAAAUGAUAUAUUUUGAGUUGCUAAUUAUUAAGUAUUUCAUUCAAAAAUUUUAUCGUUCCCACAAUUCAUAUGUUUAAAGUGCAUCAUUGCUCUACUUCCGUCAUAACAGCAUAAGAGAAUUUAACAAAAUACGAAGAAAAUGAUUAUUUUACCCUAAAUGUAAAUGAUUAUUCUACCCUUAACAUAAAAUAACUAAUUUAAUAACGAAAAAAAAUAGAUGACUGCAAUAUAGAUAUUAAAUAAUAAAUAAAAUAAAAAAUCAGAAUUAAAACUAAAAUAAUUAAAAGAGAGCUCAAGAGAAAACGCACUUUAAUCUGGUACCUGUACCCGUGGAUCGUGGCGAUGGCGGAUUGGGGCUUAUUAUCAAGUCGUUUAAGAAUUUUAAACUUUCAAAUUUUUUUUAAACCUUGAAUUUUUUAGUUUAUUGGUUAAGUGAUAAAAUUUGGUGGUAGUUUGAUACUGUGUUGUAUGUUGUGUUAUUUUAGCUCAUUAACUUUGUUAUUUUGGGGCAAUCGUUGAUAACUGUUGCAGAAGAGAAAAUUUAUGAUUCGUUUGUAAAUCAAGUUCCUAUCCGUCGUCCCUCCUAAUCCAUUCUUCGGCGAAGUACGCCUGACAUUCUUGUACCUUACAACGUCAUAUUUGGCACAAAAUUCAUGAAACUUAAACCAAACACUAAACUAUUAUUAGUUCUCAACAUUUUAUAUCAUUCGACGUUUUGUGUCAGAAUAAAUAUUUUAUCUUUGAACUUCUCAAGCACUUAUUCAUGGCUUAUUUCUCAACUCACUAUGGAUUAAUGAUGCUGAUGAAAUUGUGUAUUAACCAGACAAUAUUGUAAUUAUUACACAUACACACAAGCACACGUACAUACGUACAAAAGCAUAUAGGAGUUGACCUUGCUCAGGAUUUAAAAAAAAAUGAAUAAAAUUUUCCAAUAAUUAAUUAAGAUAAAAAAGAUCAUUAAAACCCGAGUACCCCUCGCAAUUGUGUCACUUGAAUUUUCUGUAUUUAUGCACAUAUAAUAUUUUGAAUGAAUCUAUAAUGAUGUUAAUUUUUUAAUGAGCUUAAUCUUAAUUUAAAAUUUUCUUUUGAAAAAAAAUGAAGAAAUCUUAAAAUAUUAUAAAAUAUAGAUCAGUUGGAAAACUAUUCCUAGAAAUGCAUCUUAGUUUUAUUCUUGGAAAAUGUUUCCUUUCGCACUUGCGAGGAAUUAGAAAUUGAACAAUAAUUUUUAGACUUUUCAUUGUCUUUGUGGUUAUAUGGUUGUGUUUAAUAUAAAUAUAUGAUCCCGGAGGCCAAAUGUCUAAUUCACAUGCAUUUACCUUAUCCUUUUUUUUUUUUUUUUUUUUUUUGGAAUAGGGCAAUUACCUAAUACCUUGAAGAAAGAGAGAUAAAAUAUAAUUCAUGCCAAUUUGUUGCAACAAAGCUUUCAUAUCAAGCGUUGGCAUAAAUUAUUAUGCCAAUUUGUUCAAGACAAUAUCUUUAGUUGGCAUGUAAUUUUCAUUAGCCGGCGUCUACUCUUAAUUUAUGUCAAAUUAAGUAAUCGCUCCGCCCCAAUAAUGUUGCCUUUGAUCUCUCAGCCCCAGUAAAAGAAUUGGCUGGAAGAGAAUGUUGGUCACUGUUUAAGCAAGUAUGCUUUUGGCGGUCCUUUGAGGAUCUUCAAAAUUUAGAACCAAUCAAAAAUAAAAAAUUUCAUACAAGUGUAAAGGCUUGCCUCUUAAUGCAAAGGUAAUACGAAGUCUCUUGCUGACAUAUACAUCCUUUUCUUUAUAAUCUUUUACUUUUGCUCUUAAGCUAAAGCAUUAAAAGGCCCCAUAUCCACUCUUUAUAUAUAGUAGUUUCUGGUCCGGGAUCAUAAAGUGCAGGAAAUAUUCAGGAAAAUUUUAAAAUCGUGGGGUUUUAAAGGCUUAAAACUUAAAGUGCUUAAACUAAAUGGUUAAUGCGUUUUCCCAGACGUUCCCGCAUUUUAAAAUUCCGGACGGUAACAUCUCUCUCUCUCUCUCUCUCUAUAUAUAUAUAUAUAUAGAGAGAGAGAGAGAGAAUGCCAAUUUCCCCCCCAUAUUGUAAUCAAUUUAUAUCAUUUAUGUCCUACUCUUAUAUAAUAGCCAAUAACUCCUAGAUAGCAUAAUAUAACAAUAUUAUCUUUAAUUUUAAAUACACUUUAUUUAUAUUUAUUAUAAAUUAAAUAAACAUGUGAAUGAAAACUAAAAUAAAAUAUUAAAUAUUAAAAACAAUAAAUAUAUGUUUUGAUGUGAAUAAAAAAUUAAUAGUAAAACAUUUUUGUGGUACUUCUUUUAUUUACAAACAUUUUCUAAUAAUACAUAUAUAAGAAAAUAAUUAUAAAAUAAUUAUAAAUUAACUAUAAAUUAUUAUAAAUUAAUAAUAAAAUAUUAUAAAAUACAAUAAAAUAUUAUAAAAUAUUUUUCUUGUACUUUUGUAUUUUAUAUAUUUAUUAUAAGAAAAUGUUUAUAAAACAAAAAAUACAAAAAAAUUAUUAUUAAUUUUUUAUUCACAUCAAGACGUAUAUUUCUUGUUUUUAAUAAUUUAUUUUUUUACCAUUCUGUGAAGCUGACAAGUGAAUCAAGUUGAUUUCCAGAAUACGACAGCGUUUCUAUUGCUUUAAGAGACUGACGUGCAUCUCAGCUGCUAUCAGCAGAAAACAAAUACAUUUAAACGACAUGAUUGUGAUGCGUUUAGAUGAGCCACUUAAGUAAUCACAUGAGGAAGCACAUGCAGGAGACGGAAAUCAGUUCGUUAAGUUUGUUACCCAUGUGUCAACAAUAUGAACGAUCUGGAAAUCUUCUAAGCCUUUGAUACAGGUUAUAAAGGCUGUGUAUGAGGGUCAGAUUAAUGGAAUGGUUAUCGUGAGUCUUGUAGAGAGAGUUCUAAAGAGAGAAAGAGUGCAUCUUAUUCUCAGAAGAAUCUUGUAAAAGGCUCUGUGCUAAAUCUCCAUUUGUGAAUUAAUAAAAGCUCAUCAAGGACUUCUCCCGUGGAUGUAAACAGAGUACCUUGUGCUCUGUUGAACCACGUAAACCUUCUGUUUCUUGGUUGCCUAUUUUGUUUGAUACUUGGUUCUUUUUGUUUCUUGAUUGAAUCCUUUUUUAUGAGUUAAGUUGUGACAAAUUCUAUUCGAUCUUUAGUUUUGUGCAACUUGCAUUGAUCUGAUCUAGGAAAUCCUAGGCAGUGACUAGUUUUGUUUAAGGCUAAGAACAGGCUAGUUACUACACAUUCAAUAUGAUUUGUUUAAUGUAUAAUAAAUAUGAAUAAAUGUGUAUUUGAAAAUAAAGAUAAUACUGUAAUAAACAUUUACCAUUUUCUAAGAGAAGCUUAAGAGUGAGUAAAGGCUUGUUUAAACCAGAUAUUUUGAGCCAUAUAUUUUAAAAUACCUCAAGGCACCCUCAUUGUUAAAUAUGUUAUAUUUCUACUCUUACUUUUUCUUUCCUUUUAUAAUAUUACCCUUGCAACAAUAUUCUAACCUUUUUGAGGAUAUCAAUGAAAAGAAAAAAAAAUUAAUUUAUCAAAUUCGCCUUAAAAGUAACAUAAAAAAUUUCACAAAUUUUUAUGUUAUUAUUUUACUUUUAGGAUUAAUUUGGUAAAUUAAUUUUUUAUAAAAUAACUAUUAGUAAAAUUGUUGCAAAUAUAUUAAACAUUUCUUUAAGUUGGAUAAUAUUGAUUUAUUUAUAAAUAAAUUAUUGGCAAUUAGUUCUUUCAUACUGAAAUUUAUUAGUUAAUUUGCUAAUCAACAAUUAUUGGUUAAUUCGCUAAUUAAACUUUUAUAGAUAAAUUAAUUAAUGUCAAGAAUAUUAUUGCAACGUAUUAUUAUAAAAGCAAAUAGAAAGUAAGUGCAAGAAUGUAAUAUAUUUAAUUAUAAGGAUAUUUUGAGAUAUUUUUGAAAUUAUAAGAACUAAACAAGCAUUUACCUGUUGAGAGAAGAUGAAAUGGGAAAAAUUCAAGGGUUAGGAUAUAUGACGAGUUAAGGAUUAGGUCUUGUAAAAUCUUGAUUUGGGGAGAUGAUUUUGGAGUGUUUCAACCCUAAAUUCAUUUGGGAAGACUCAUUGACGUACAAAUUAAAGGUGGAAAGUGUAGAGAGAGAGAGAAGGAGAAAGUGUGUGUUUAGGAGUGAGAGAUGUGUAAUUCAAGUAAACAAGUUGGAUACUUGGAUUUCUCACUAAAGAGAGUAAGAUUUCCAUCAUUCUAUCCUUAUUUAUACUAAAUUUAAUUUAAAGAUUUGUUUAUUUUAUUUAAAUUAAUGUUUCCAACAUAUGGUAAAGUGGUACGAAGAUAAAUUUUGUAAUUUGUGGAUUACUUUAGGUGCACAAGAGCACCAACAAGGCAUUGUAGAGCCAAAAAGACGUAGCACUUGAUGUUUCUGGUUCGAUAUAUAAAUAGCUAAUAAUUGUGUAUUAUGUUUAUGUAGUUUAUGGUUAGUAAUGAGAUUGGUGGUAAUGUAGCUCUAUAAUUAACUAUUUAUUUCCAAAACUAAGGAACUUCAUAUCGUAUUUUCUUCCAAAACUAAGGAGCUUCAUAUGAAUCAUAUCAUGUAUUUCAUUAAAAAAUAGUCUCACUCUUAGACUUUAUGAGUUGCUGUGAAAAAUAAAUGAUGAUAAAUUUUCAUACAAAUUUAUUUUUAUAAAUUGAUACGAUAUUAGUUCAUUGGUUGCAUGAAAUAUAAAAGCAGGUAACAGUUGGUCCUUUGAGGAUCAUAAAAUUUAGAACCAAUCGGUCUAAAAAUUGCAUGCAAGUGCAAAGGCCUGCUCUUGUUGUAAAGGUAAUAGGGAAUCUCUUAUGCUCUAAAAGAGUAGUAGAAGAAUAGAAAAGAAUUCUAGAUGGUGAUAUGUGGAAGCUAGAAGAGAUAAGGAAAGGUCUUUUGGCUCCUUUAUUGUUGAGUUAUAUUGCUUUGCCAUCCAUGGUAAAACAAUUUUUCUCAUAUUGUGCUGUCUUUUCAAAAGACUACAACAUGUAUAAAGAGGAACCAAUUACCCUAUGGAUGACUUAAAGUUACCUUAGUAUAGGAGAAGCAAAGAAAUGGUAAUCCAAUCCGAUCUAAUAGUAGUAGUUUAUUUUAAAUUUUGUUCAUUUGAUUUCAUAGUAGUAGUUUUCAUUUUUUAAAAAUUAGUAAAAACGAACUAAAAUGAGAUAAUUUUGAAAAAGAAUCACAACAUAAAAAGGCUCAAAAUUACCUCUGUUCCGACAUUAUCCGUAUCCAUCAUAAUUGACCCGAAUUCGAUUUUAGCUCAAAUCCAAUCUUGGCUGCAUAUAAUUAUAACUUGAUCUGAUCCAAACUCAACCCCAAACUUUUGAUUUGAUCUAAUCCAAUCUGAAUAUUCUAAGCCAAUCAACCCGAGACCCAAUCAGGUUGAUCUAAACACAAAUUUGCGCACUCCUAAAGGGGACCAUCAUCCUCUAGGCUUUGAAAAACUUUUGAGGUUUUUAAAUGAAAUAUUAAAAAUUAGAUGUAAAAAGACUGAUUUGACCCUUAAAUACUCGAUAUAUAAACUUAAAUAUAUAAUGAAACUUUAAUUGUAUAUUUUGUGAAAUAAAGUCAAAGUAACCUGAUUGUUUGAUUUUUAUUUUGUUAAUUAUUUUUCAUAGCCUUUUUUAAAAGUUUGGUAAGUUUGAGCCUACCUCUUUGAUUUUUAUUUUGUUCAUUGUUUUUUUCAUUUUGUUUUCACUUGCAAUACCGUUUCAAUUAUCAAUCACAAAAUUCUCAAAUUUUGGAAUACCUAACAACUAUAUACUAGCUAUAAAUAGAAAAAAUUGCCUAAAAUUAAUUCCCAGCUAACACUUGAAAUUUGAACUUGGGCCUCAUGAAGAUUUACCUUGAGCUCUGCCCCUGGAUAUGAAACAAAAUAUUAGUUUUGCUAGUGAAAUUGCCAACUAUGUUUUUCUUUUGUAUUUUCCGCUCAAGGAAGAAGAAAUUUCCUACAACUUUUAUGGUGAAUAUCUUGCGAAUAUAUGACAGUUUAAUCUUUAGUUGCGACUUGUUUAAAAUAAAAAAGGGAAAAUGAUAUUUAUGUUCCCAAGGUUUGGAGAAAUAGUAACCAACACUCCCAAGUUUCCUAAAAAGGACACCAAAACUCCCUUUUGACCAUUAUACCCUUUACCUUUAGUAUCCCGAAAAAUUUAACUUGUAAAUUUUUAAUAAACACAAACAUUAUAUAAAUAAUGUAAUCUACGUAGUAGAUUAAUAAUAUUAAAAUAUUUAAUAUUUAAAUAAAUUUAAAUAUGUAAAUUAUUAUAUUAUAAUUAUUUUAAUAAUAUAUUUGUAUUUAUUGUAGAGAUUUUAAAUAAAUAUUUGCAUUAAAUACAUUUUACAAUUAAAAAAGUCUCAUGUUAAAAUUAUUAUUUUACAUAAUAAUUUAAAUUUUAAUACAUUUAUUUUAAUAUUAAGUUUAUAUUUAUCAUAAAAUUUACUUUACAUAAUAAAAUAUAUUAAUAGAUUGUAAAAUAUUAAAAUAUUUUUAAAUAUUGAAGUUAUUUUAAAAUGAAUAUAUUAUUACAUUUAUUUUAAUAUUAUAUUUCUAUUUAUUAUAAAAAAAUUAAAGUUAAUUUUUGGGAUAAUAAAGGUAAAGGGUAUUGUAAUAAAAAACGAGUCUUAGUGUCUCUUUUUGAAAACUUGGGAAUGUUGGUACCAUUUUUCAAAACUUUGGGGAUAUAGAUAUCCUUUUCCUGACAAAAAAAUGACAUUUUUGAUAGGAGAUAUAAUAAGCUUUGUUCCUUAGAAAAAUCCAUCGGUUGCUAUUGUUAAAAAUAAGUAAUUCUUUCUUUCUUUAUAUUAAAAUAGUAAAAGGGUGGAUAAUAUUUAAAAUAAUUUUUUAACCUUUUAUCUUUUCUGACAUUCGAAUUUUAAACUCGAGAAGUGAAGCAAAUAAACUUCUUGAGAGGUUAACUAAAUCCUUAGUAAUUUGAUAUAAUUUCAUNNNNNNNNNNNNNNNNNNNNNNNNNNNNNNNNNNNNNNNNNNNNNNNNNNNNNNNNNNNNNNNNNNNNNNNNNNNNNNNNNNNNNNNNNNNNNNNNNNNNCUAAGUACGUAGACAAUAAUAUGAUAUUUACUAAAAUCAUUAUGGGACAUAUUUUAUUCUUUUUUUUUUCUCAACAAAGUAUCCGACUGUGUAGAUAUAAUAAAUUACUAAUUACCAUUAUUUGAGUCGCACUCUAAACUAGAUUUUGAAGUUUUGUCAUGACAUAAUAAAGUUAUGUAUUGACCCUGGACUAAAACAGAGCCACAACUUUUUCAAAUGACCAAAUGAAUUAAUGAGACAAUGGCUUUUGCCUACCUGAUAACAAAAGUUGUCGGCCAUAAUCCAUAUAGACAAAAAAAUGGUCCAUAUGUUAACGUUAAAUUGAAAAAUAUAAUAAAUAAAUUUCAUUUGUGAUAAAAUUCGUAAUGGAUUUAUUAUCUUUCACAUAUUUUCUCUAUAAUAUCAGAUAAGUCAUAGACCACAGCAUGAUAUUUAUUGUAAUUAAAAUCAUUAUAAAACUGAUUUUAUUUUUUUUUCUCAAACAAAGUAUCUAUCUAACUGUAGAUGUAAUAAAUUACUAAUUAGCUGCAGAUGUAAUAAAUUACUAAUUAACAUUAUUUGAGUCGCUCUCUAAAUUAGAUCUUGGAGUUUGUCACGGCAUAAUAGAGUUACAUUCUCAAAUGACCAAAUCAAUUAAUGAGAUAAUGGCUUUUGCUUUUGCCUACCUGACAAAAAGUUGAAAAAUCCAGAUCACAUAUAAAUUUGUGUUGAAAUUCAUAAUGAAUUAAUAUGAUUGGGCGAAAUUACUCCAUAUAAUUUCAUCAAUAUCUGUUAAACGAUAAAAGAUUUAUUGAUAUUUAUAAUAAAAAAAAUCUAUCCACUAAGACUAUUCUAGAUCAACAAUUAAUAUAUUAUAUAUAACUUCAGAAGGUUCAUCGGUGGAUUGAUCUAAGCCUUUUGUUGUAGUUUAUAAAUAUUUUGUUGCUUAUAAUGUAAGAAAUUUUACAGGAGCUGAUGCUGAGUAGUCUGAAUAAGAAAAUUAAUCAUAUUGUAAGUUAUUGGGUAUCCAUAAUAAAAUAAACAAAUAAAAAAAUGAAAUAAAAAUUUAAAUACUUAAUUAAUUUUUAUCAAAUUCUUAUCAAAUAUUUAAAAGUAUAUAAAAUUAUUAAUUGAUGGUAUUAUUAAUUUUCAUGAUUAUUUUUAAUAUUAUAUUAGUGAUUAUUAAAUUUAAUACAAUCAAUAAUGCAAGAAAUUAUUAAAUGGUUAAUUUUAUUGGCAAUUAUCAAAUACGCAAGUAAUGAAAAAUUAAUCUCAAGAGUUAGUAGAAGUAAAGUUCUAAUUUAAUCAGAUGAUAGAUAAUAAAUAAAAACAAAUUUUAAGUAAAUCAUAAAGUAAAAAAUAAAUAAAUUAAUUAAUUAAUAUUAAGUAUAAAUAAACAAUAAUGACAUAAAUUAAAGUCUCAUAAAUGGAUAAUUUUUUUUCUUUAAUCUUAUCCCAAGUCCCAACUAAUGGAAUGUGUAAAUUNNNNNNNNNNNNNNNNNNNNNNNNNNNNNNNNNNNNNNNNNNNNNNNNNNNNNNNNNNNNNNNNNNNNNNNNNNNNNNNNNNNNNNNNNNNNNNNNNNNNNNNNNNNNNNNNNNNNNNNNNNNNNNNNNNNNNNNNNNNNNNNNNNNNNNNNNNNNNNNNNNNNNNNNNNNNNNNNNNNNNNNNNNNNNNNNNNNNNNNNNNNNNNNNNNNNNNNNNNNNNNNNNNNNNNNNNNNNNNNNNNNNNNNNNNNNNNNNNNNNNNNNNNNNNNNNNNNNNNNNNNNNNNNNNNNNNNNNNNNNNNNNNNNNNNNNNNNNNNNNNNNNNNNNNNNNNNNNNNNNNNNNNNNNNNNNNNNNNNNNNNNNNNNNNNNNNNNNNNNNNNNNCAGAUAGAAAAAAGGGUCGGCUGCAUGAUUUUUCCAACUAUUGUCUUAUUUUUCUCUUUUCCACUACAAAUUAAUUUGAGAAUGUUAUAUUUUCCAAUUCUCUUUUUGUCGUGACCAAAUGGCUUUGGCCUACGUGAUAAUAAAAGGAAUGGAUCCAUACGUUAGUAUGGAUAAAUUGAAAAAUAUAAUAAAUAAAUUGUCAGGAGAUGAUUUUAUCAAAAAUUUCAAUCGCACGGUCCCGACCAAAAUACAAAUUUGUGAUGAUAUUCAUAAUGAAUUUAUACAAUUAGGCGAAAUUACUCUAUAUAGUUUCAUCGAUAUAUAUUAUACCAUUAAAAAUAUACUAAUAUUUAUAAUACAAAAAAAUUUAUGACUAUUUUAAAUCGACUGUAUUAUAUGUGAACUCACAAGAUUCAUAGAUAGAUUGCACAAAGCUUUUUGUUGCAGUUUACAAAUAUUUUGUUACUAAUUAUCUUAAGAGCAGCAAGUAACUAAAUACAAAUGUAAGAAAUUUCACAAGUGCUGAUGCUGUGUACUCUGCAGAAAGCUAGCCCCGGACGGUGACUCCUGUGGGGACUCCUUUAAUUUGCAGCACAAAAGAACGUUCACAUUGACAUUGACUCGAGGGUAAAAAUUAAAUGUCAAUGGUAUAAGAAGAAUGCAAACAUGCUUGAAUGAACAUUCUCACAGACUACAUAAAACCUACUUUCCUCUGAGCAUUUUAGCAGCAAGAAAAGCAAUUGCAGCAUUUUCCAUUUGAUCUAAUAUCAGAAUGGCUGAUGCGAUCGUUUCCGCUCUCUUGGACCAGCUGAAUUCCAUUGCUCAAGAUCGGAUGAAAGAAAAGUGGAGGCUUGUGACGGGUGUCGAACAAGAAGUGGGAAAGCUUACCACCAAUCUGCAAGCCAUUCAAGCUGUGCUGGAAGAUGCAGAGCAGAGGCAAAUGAAGCAGGACAAAGCUGUUACUGUUUGGCUGGAUCAGCUCAGAGACGCAUCCUACGACAUGGAAGAUGUGUUGGAGGAAUGGACCACUGCAAGGCUCAAAUUGCAGAUUGAGGGCCUUGAUGACGACGAUGCUCUUGCUCUUGCUCCUCCUAAGAAGAAGGUAUGUUCCUUCUUUCGUGCUGCCUCAAACUACUUAGGUGGUUUCAAACAACUCAUUCUUCGUGAUGAUGUUGCUGUCAAGAUUAGCGAAAUCAGUGAAAAGCUAGAUGGUAUUGCCACUCGAAAAGAUAUGUUUAAAUUUGUUGAGAAUGUGAGUAACAAUGUUAAGAAACCAGAGCGAGUGCGAACCAUCUCCUUGAUUGAUGAGGGAGAGGUUUGCGGUAGAGUUGAUGAGAAAAAUGAGCUCUUAAGCAAGUUGUUGUGUGAAAGUAGUGAACAACAAAAAGGCCUUAAUGUCAUUUCACUAGUUGGGUUAGGGGGUAUAGGUAAAACCACUCUUGCACAACUAGCCUAUAAUAAUGAUGAGGUGAAAAGAAAUUUUGAAAAAGUUAUAUGGGUGUGUGUAUCAGACACUUUUGAUGAGAUGAGGGUCGCCAAAGCAAUCAUUGAAGGUCUAGGCGAGUCAAAAGAAGCUUCUGGUUCAAGCGAAUUCCAAUCUCUUAUGAACCAUAUCAGUGGAUCAAUUAAAGGAAAAAAAGUUUUUCUUGUCUUAGAUGAUGUAUGGGAUGGGAAUUAUGAUAAAUGGCAACCAUUCUUCAGUUGUCUAACGGAGAGUGACCAUGGAAGUAAAAUUUUGGUUACCACACGUAAUGAGUCAGUUGCCCGUAUGAUGAGAUCAACAAAUAUUAUCUCCAUUAAGCCAUUGCCUGAAGAGGAAUUCUGGUCGUUGUUCGAGCGGUUCGCAUUUUUCGGUCAUUCUUCUGUUGAUUGUGAAAAAUUAGAACCAAUCGCGCGACAAAUUGCACUCAAGUGCAAAGGCCUGCCUCUUGCUGCAAAGGUAACAAGGAAUCUCUUGUGCUCUAAACGUACAGGGAAUCUCUUGUCCUCUAAAAGUAUAGUAAAUGAGUGGCAAAGAAUUUUAGAUAGUGAAGUGUGGAAAGUAGAAGAGAUUAGGCAAGGUCUUUUGGCUCCUUUGUUGUUGAGUUAUAAUGAUUUGCCCUCCAAUUCUAUGGUAAAACGGUGUUUCUCAUAUUGUGUUGUCUUUCCAAAAGACGGCAAGAUUUAUAAAAAGGAAUUGAUUGAUCUGUGGAUGGCUCAAGGUUACCUUAAUGCACAAGAAGACGAAGAAAUGGAGAUGAUUGGAGAAGAGUAUUUCAACAUCUUAGCAACACGCUCUUUCUUUCAAGAGUUCGAAAAAGAUGAUGACGAUGAUGAUAUUAUGAGUUGUAAGAUGCAUGACAUAGUACAUGAUUUUGCCCAAUUUGUAAGUAGAAAAGAAUGUCUGUGGCUAGAAAUUAAUGGUACCAAAGAAUCAGUCAUAAACUCUUUUGGUGACAAAGUCCGUCACUUAGGGUUAAAUUUUCAAAUAGGAGCUUCAUUUUCUAUGUCCUUUUUUGAAUUUGAUAGAUUGCGUACCCUCCUAAUUUAUGACCAAAGUUUUGUCAUUCCGUCUCUUAAUAAUAGCAUCCUUCGGGAGUUAUUUAGUAAAUUGGCGUGUUUAAGGGCAUUAGUUAUAAGGCAAUUGUUCUUACCCUCACCUCACCUAAAUUUCAUUAGAGAAAUUCCAGAAAAUAUUGGAAAAUUGAUACAUUUAAAAUAUCUUAAUUUGUCUGGACUAUGUAUAGAGAGACUGCCUGAGACUUUGUGUGAAUUAUAUAAUUUACAAAAGCUAGAUAUUAGUUGGUGCCGAGAUCUUAGAGAAUUGCCUGCGGGGAUUGGGAAGUUGAAGAACAUGAGGAGUUUACUGAAUGGUGAAACUGAUUCGUUGAAGUACAUGCCAGUAGGGAUUUCCAAAUUAACCAGUCUUCGAACAUUAAAAAAGUUUGUUGUGGGUGGAGGUGUUGAUGGUAACAAUACGUGUAGGCUUGAAUCUCUGAAAAAUCUUCAACUCCUUCGUGAAUGUAGAGUAGAAGGGCUGAGUAAUGUAUCACAUGUAGAUGAGGCUGAGAGGUUACAACUUUACAAUAAGAAAAACCUCCUUCGUUUGCAUCUUGAGUUUGGUAGAGUCGUAGAUGGGGACGGCGAAGAAGGGAGGAGGAAGAAUGAGAAAGAUAAACAACUUCUUGAAGCCUUACAACCGCCUUUGAAUGUAGAGGAAUUAUGGAUUAUAUUCUACGGAGGCAACAUUUUGCCCAAAUGGUUGACUUCACUAACCAAUCUAAGGGAUUUAAAACUUGUCUUCUGCCAGAAUUGUGAGCAUUUGCCUCCAUUGGGAAAAUUGCCUCUGGAAAAGCUCGAACUACGCGACUUGAAAAGUGUAAAAAGAGUGGGUAAUGAGUUCUUGGGAAUAGAAGAAAUUAGUGAGGAUGACCCAUCUUCAUCUUCAUCAUCAUCAUCAGUUACUGCCUUCCCGAAAUUGAAAUCACUCGAAAUUUUGGAAUUGGAUGAAUUGGAAGAGUGGAAUUACAAGAUUACGAGGAAGGAAAACAUCUCCAUCAUGCCACGUCUUUCUUCCUUAAAAGUUGGUUAUUGCAACAAAUUAAAGGCGCUGCCGGAUUACCUUCUUCAAAUGACGGCACUGCAGGAACUGAGUAUUUAUAUUUGUAAAAAUUUGGAAGAACUGCCAAUUCUAGAAGAUCGCAGGACAACAGACAUACCACAUCUUUCUUCCUUGCGAAUUCAGUAUUGCCCCAAAUUAAAGGUGCUGCCGAAUUACCUCCUUCGAACGUCGACGCUGCAAGAAUUGACUAUUGAGGGAUGGCCUCUUCUGGAAAACCGUUAUAGAGAAGGAGAAGACUGGUAUAAGAUAUCCCACAUUCCUCGCAUCACGUGGUUUCCGCUGGUAAUUUCUCCUCCUCCUCUGAUUUACUUCGUUGUUGCUUGCAAUGAAAUUAAUAAAAAUAAUUAUAUUUUAAAUUAAAAUUCUAUAUAGAAUCAAUCAUGGUAUAAAUAUUUAUUGAAAGUGUAGUUUGUUGAAAUUUCUAUAUUACCACAUCAUAGAAAAUCCCAAUGUAAUUUAUUUUUUUGUGUACGAAAAUUUGUUAUGUGUAACUUGCUGAGAGACAAAAUCUCUGUGACACAUUUGCAGUAAUGCUAAAAACUAAAUUAUAAAUUUUAUCUUGUAUAAUGAUAAUAUUUUUUUAUAUAUAUAAUUUAUGUGACAUUAAUUCUUUAAAGUAAUUGUGUAAUUAUGUUCACCAGGGCUUGCAGGAAUUGUCCGUAUUAUAGCAUCUGGCAGUUCCAAGCCAAUUUGGUUCUAAUGAUGCAGGCAGGAGAGCAAGACUAUGAAAAUGAAAAGUUUAGCCAAAGGAUUGCUAAAAUGUUCUGCUGGUAAUUCACUUGCUUUAUUUUAUAGAAUUUCAUUUCCAUCUUCUUCUAUUGAUAUCUUGUUGUGAAUAAACAAGAACAGAGAAGUAAAGAUAUAUCAAAAUUUACUAUUACGAUGAUGCUAAAGCAAGCUCAAGCUCAAGCAUUGCAUUUUUAUUUUAUUUUAUUUAUAGAAUUUUCAUUUCCACCUGCAUUGCAUUUUUAUUUAUUUUUAGGUUGACUUUGAAUACUUCAUGGUGAACAUUGGGGUGACCAAGGAUUAGGCUGGCAGUGGAACUACUACCACUGUGGUUAUUGUGCGACUUUGAAGAAGAAAGUGAUGGCUGGGUCUGCUCUGUUUCUAUCUUUUUUCAUUCUUUGAUCAGUUUAUCCUAUAUACACAUAUGGAAUUAUGCUAAUAUUAUCAAAUUUUUCACCCAAUUUUCACUGUUGGUUGUGAUAACAAUUUCAGGCUCUCAAAAGCUACAAAGCAAAGCAUUUGUGGGCUGAUCAUAUGUUUCAAUUGAGGAAGGAGUUUGGUGUUGGCAAUAUUGUCCAGGUAACCACAACCGAUAAUUUCCACAAAUUUGCAUUGUCAGAAUACACUUUAAUGUUCAUUGUGUUCCUAUGUGUUAUCAGGUUAUCGUGGUAUGUAAAGUAUCAUCUUUAAGGAUUUGUAAGAGACUUCACAGUAACCUUAGUUGUCACAAGCUCGUGCAAUUGCUCAUUCAUUCAAGAGUACUUCAAAGUUAGAUUUUCAAGGUUUGUAUGUUUAUUUGCGAUUAAAAUGUUUAGUCACUCAUUCUUAAUCUUUUCUGAUUUUCAAGUUCUUUAGGGCCAUAAACAGUUUUCCAACUCAUUCUUAAUUUUUAGGUUGAUUUCGAGUACUCUGUUGAGCACAUUCCUGAGACCAAGGAUUAGGCUGGCGAAGGAACUACUACCUCUGUUGUUAUUGUGCAAGGUUUGAUCAUUGGGCCUUGAAAAAGAAUGCCUUACACGCAUUAUGUAAUUCAAGCAUUCUCUAAAGGAAAAGCGCAGUAGAAUGGAUAGUGAUGGCCGGAUAUGCUCUAUUUUAAUUGAAGAUCUCUGUGAUGUCGAUGAGCUUAAAGCAGUUGAUACUUCUUGAAAAUUUUUAUUACGGAUGAAUUGAUUCCUGAAGACUGGUAUCCAAAGGCGUAUUUUCAUAAACUUCCUUUUUUAACAAAUGUUCCAACGCUUGCUGUAGUAACAAUUUCAUAGCUUGCAUCUCUCGGGUGCAUCAUGUUCACGGGUUGGAAAAAGCAUUUGUGGUGAAGCUUCAAAGCUUGUAAAAUGGCUGUGAAAAGGCACAUUCAAUACGGUAUACUUUGGUGCGGUCUCCUAAUGCUAAUAUUAUAUUUUGUAUAGCAAUCUUAAUAUGCAAUAAAUCAUUGUGUCCAAAGUUUUCUAUUAAUUAUAUGGUGACUAAAAUUUUAAUUAUCAUAUCAAUCUUAAAAGUUUUUGUAACCCUAUUUUACUUUGCUUGUACAGAGUACCUGUUUUGGCUCAUGUCUAAUUCCUAGAAAUUCAUUUCCAUCGGUUUCCAUUGGUUUUAGCUCAAACAGAAACAGAGAGCCCUAGGAAAAAGUUUUACUUUUUGUGGUAUUAUGCCUUUGUUUCUUCAUUCAUGAUAUUUGUUUAGAAUUCAUGCUCUCAUUCAUAGAGUGUUUUUGAUAGAUUUUGGGGUAGGAAAAGCCAAACCAAUCUAGAACAAUGAAUUUGUACUUUUGGGGGAGUCAGGGUACCUCACUAGUUUUUGUGUGCGGUGCGGUGUAUCUGAAAUCCGAGGGAGGUGAGAAGGGGAGAAGGAGUGGUAACAAUGGUGAAAGGUCAAAAGCAAGAGAGAUAUCCUUUAAAAUGAGCUUCACGCCUGCAAAACAGUGAAAUAGAGGUUAGAGGUGAAGCCGGGGUACCCCGGCGUUCACACUCCGAUGCUCAAGUUAGCAAACUCAAGCUUUUAUGGCAAAGAGAGCUGGCUAGCCCUCUGUAAAUUAGGGUUUAAGGUUGAAGAAAACCUAUUUUUUGGAGUGUGAGUGUUAAUGGUGAGUGAGAGCAUGAUAGAGAAUGAAACCUAGGCACCUUUAUAUAUGGAGUACCUCAGCUGCCACGUGGCGUACCCUUUUUGGCUAACGUCCUUUACCUUUUUAUGAUUUUUGGGCCGUUAUGUGCAUGUUCGCAGCGUAUCUCAUCCUUUGGAGACGUGGCGCACGCUGGAGAGUGGUCCAGGGUACCUCUGCAGUUGCUGUCGGGUAGGCGGCUGAGGACCACUAUCCUUAGGACAAUGUCCUUCACUUUUGGCAGAGGUAGCAGGCGGCUAUCCCCCCCUUUUGGUACGAUGUUCUUGAUUCCUAAUUAUGACAAAAUCAAAUAAUAUCUUUUAAGAGGUGGAGACGUUUCUCAUGGCAGAUAUUUUCGGAGGAUUCUCUUGCAUCUGAUCUGCUGGGUACCUCAAGUUACGUGGGGUACCUCAAUUUAUGUGGGGUACCCCUAAUUGUGCGGGGUACCUCUAUUUGUGUGGGGUACCUCUAUUUGUGCAGGGUACCUCUAUUUGUGAGGGGUACCUCUAUUUGUGCGGGGUACCUCUAUUUGUGAGGGGUACCUCUAUUUGUGCGGGAUACCUCUAUUUGUGAAGGGUACCUCUAAUUGUGCGGGGUACCUCAAAUCAUGCCGGGUACCUCGGAUUGUGCGGGGUACCUCAGAUUGUGCUGGAGUCAUUCCAUUUGUCGACACGUGGCGCUUUACUGCCUUUCCUAUUUUUUCCUCAAACAACAUCCCCUUAGUUUCUUUUUGGCGAGAAAUAUUGGAGGCAAAAGAAACUCAUUGUAUGAGUGACACGUGGCGACGCAACUGGACCGGGGGUAGCAUGCUUAGUUUCUUCCCUUGACUAAACUUUGUGUACUGUCCAGCUAAAAAAUCUUCUCUUUGUCUUUUCCCUUUCCCGCCUCCUUUUUUUUUCCUCAACUGCUGAUGAGAAAGAACAAUUAUCUUUAUGUCUCUCUCCCGUUUUUCUUGGGAAAUGGCAGCCUUUUGCCACACAGUUUGAAUUUUAAAAAUAUCAAUCUCACACAAACAUCCCUAACCUCCUUUCUUGUGCAGCAUGUUCUGUCAGGUUGAAUUAAAAACUCCUGACGUAAAUGUCAAUCUCCUUUCAUUUAUUUUGAAAAUCCCCAAACGAUCUCCCAAAAGUUGAUUAUCUCCAGUGGCCUUCUUCUUUCAAAAUUUCGUCUUUUCUCCUGACUGCAUCAAUAUUGCUCACAGGUAAAAAAUUUCUUCUUUACUCUUUUUUUUUUUAGUUUAGCCUGGUCGUCUUCCCUAGGCUUAUUAUAUCUCUUCACUUCUCUUCAUUUUCUUUCUUUCUUCUCUUUUCUUUCUUCAUUUUUCUUUCUUUCUUCUUUCUCUUCCUCUCUCGGUCGGCGUUCUUCUUGAGUGUUUUCCGGCGUGUUUUCUCGGCUACUACAAUGGCGGUUUUUGCUCCAGAUCUGGUCGGUUCAAGGUGGGUUUUCGGCGGCUCACGGCGAGAUCCGAUCCGGUGGUAGAUACAGUAACCCCCUCCAUUGUGUCUUCAUUUUAUCCUUGCUUUCUCUUUCUUUUUUCUCCUUUUCUUCUCUUUUUCUUCUCUCUUUUUCUUUUUCUCUUUCGUUUCGGCCGGCGUUUUCCUUGGCGAUUUUCGGUGUCGGUUUGAUGUAUGUAGCCGUGGCAGCCAGCGUCGGUUCGGUGGCUGCAGUCCCCCCCUCUGUGUUGUCUUCUCCGUUCUUUGUUUUCUCUUCCCCCCCUUUUUUUUUUAAUUUUCGGUGGCGUUCUCCCUUGGUGGUUUCCGGUGUCCUUCUCGCGAUCUCCAGCGUCGGUUCCCGGUGGCUGCAGCCAUGACAGCCGAUGUCGGUUGUGUUUUUGGUUGCCUGCAGCUUUUUCGUUCUUCAUCAUUUUUUUUUUUGGCCAGCGUCCUCCUCUGUGAUUUCCGGCGUCGGUUUGGUGGUUUCAGCCAUGGCAGCCGGCGUUGGUUCGGUGGCUGUAGCUCUUCCCCCCCCUCGCGCAUCGGUUUGGUUUGGUGGCUGCAGCUUCUCCGUUUUUCAUUUUUUUAUUUCGGCCGGCAUCCUCCUUUGCAUUUUUCCGGUGUCGGUCUGGUGGUUGCAGCCAUGGCAGCAUGCCUCGGUUCGGUGGCUGCAGCUCUUCCCCCCGCGUCGGUUUGGUUUGGUGGCUGCAGCUUCUUCGUUUUUCUCUUUUUAUUUAUUUAUUUAUUUAUAAAUAGUUACAUAUAUUUAAGCUUAUUUUUGGUUUUUAUACUUGCAUAUUUUUACCUACUAUGUUUGGUUGCCUGCAGCUUCGUCUCCCCACGAUUAUCAAUCCCGAUCUAUCGAGUUGGUGAAUCACAAGUAUCCCUCCUCAUUUCUCCUCCUUUGGCGCAUUUACAGUAGCGCUAUUUUGCAUACUCUGAGAAAAAUUUAUUUUUGUUUUUGUUUUUUUUUAUUUUGUGGUUGGUGUUUGCAUUUGAUGGUUGUUGUUUGGGGAACUUGUGGCUUGUUCAAUGUGUUGUUGGGGGCUUGUGGAUGUGUUGUUGGGGAACUUGUGGCUUGUUGGAUGUGUUGUUGGGGGCUUGUGGAUGUGUUGUUGGGGGAAAGUAGAUGGGCAAGAAACAUUCGGGACUCGUGAGGAAGCGACAUCCAGUUGGGGCUAGUAUGGUUGACAGCCUUCCUACGGGUUCUCCUUCCCACAUCUCCAUUAGCGAGGGGGAUAGGUCCCCCCUGGUACCUCUAGCAGUUGUAACUCUCAUUCUGAGCUCCCUCCCCCUAUGAGUACUCCUCGUGUCAGCCCACGCUUUCCCAGUAAACGGCCAACCCCCUAUCCUCGAAAGAAGGGUGGGUAAUUCAAGCCUAAGGUUUCAGCUCGUUCCUCAUACCGGCCUCCCAAAUCUCCCCCUACCACACCUUCAAAAUCUGGCAACCUUUAUUCCCUAAGCACUAGGAGGGCUACUUUGGGGGACUUAGAACAAAUCAGAGCCAAAUACAAUAUUCCUCCCUCUGUCCAGCUUAGGGUACCCCAUGUGGAUGGGCGACCUGAGUGUCCGAAGUCUGGCGGGAUUGCUCUCCACAUUGACCUCUUUGAUCUAGGACUCCGCUUGCCCCUCCAGCCUUUCUAUAUGAGGAUGUUUAGUUAUUUGGGGGUAGCUCCUGGGCAUUUGUCCCUUCCAGGGUGGAGGACACUUACGGGCUUACAUGUAUUAUGGUUGGAGGUAUUGAGGUGCGACAUUUCUGUUCGGGAAUUGAGGGGCCUUUACCAAUUCAAAAAGCCUAAGGGUCCCGUUAUUACUUACUUCUCCGCUUGGGGUGAUCAUGGCCAUAUUGUUGAGGGGGACCCCGCCUUGAAGAAGGGUUACCGAAAGGGGUGGUUUGUUGCUGAGGGUAGGUGGGGGACAAAGACUCUAGGUGAAAAGGGCAACCCCGUGGAGGUUCCAAAUUCCUUCAAUGUACACUGUAAGUAUCUUCCUUGUUUACGGUUCUUUAUUGUAAUCUUUCGCAUGAAUGUUUCACUAACCUUGGGUUUUCCACGCUUUUGCAGGUGUGACAUGGGCUAAAGGAUCAUGCCCACUUCAAGAGGUGGGGAAAGAGGUGAAGGAGUUUGUGGAGAGGCUUCGAGAUGCACAGAGGGGUAGUGAUGUGUUAGAGGAGAGCCGAUUAUUGAGAGCGGGGCUGAUUGACCAAAGUCCUCCACCUGCUUCUGGGGGUGACUCAUGUAUGAUUCGGGUGUCGAGGGGUACCCUAUUAUUAUCUACGGGACUGGGGUACCUCGUUGUCACCGCAUUCUUUAUUUUGCUUCCCCGCUUUUUAUUUCCUAUUUUUGCUUUUGUAGUACUUAGUACUUGUCCGACUAACAUAACCUUUGUGCACUGGGUGCAGUUAUGGAGUCGCCAGGUGACGCUUUUGAUGCCUUUUUCCAAGUGGUAGUGGGUGGUGCUUCUGGAUCUCAGGAUUCGGCGAUACCCCAGAAGAGUUCCCGGCCACCUUGAGCUCCUGGACUAAAAGGGAAAUCCCAGGGUACCUCCCACAGUGGGUCGAAGAGUCCCUCUCGUUCAAAGAAGAGAAAAUUUGGGCUGGUUUCGGCUUUCCCCGAUGAGUUGCAUGAAGGUGACCUAGACCCGGCUUCCAACAAGGAGGUUUCGCACUUGGCUCGCUGCUUCUACUAUUCUGUCGAAAAUGUUACCUCCGAGGUCGCUGAAGAGACAAACAAGAUGAGUUUGAGCCAGCACUAUGGUCAAGCACUUAGGGCUACCCAAGAGGUAAGCUUUAAUGGGGUACCUCGGGUGUAUCCUCCAUUUUUAUUUAUUUACUCUUAUUGCCAUACACAUAUAUUUAACAUGUCUUUUACGACCUGCAGGCAUCCUAUCUUCUCAGCCACUGCCUUCCAGAUUUCGACUCCCUUGUUGUCGCCCAAUUGGAGGUUGACAAGUUAAGGGGUGAGCUCUGAAGUCAUCAGUCUCGCGAGGACGAGCUUGCUCGAGAAGUCAAGACUUUACAGGAAUGCAUUACUGGCCUUUCUGGAGAGAAAUCUCGGGUGGAGAAGGACUGCGACGAGUUGAGGGCCACAAACGAGGAUCUGUUAUCCCGACAAAAGACGAUGGCAGAUGAUGCAUUCUCACUCAUCAUGACGGAGGUGUGGAGCGUGGAUCCGGAACUGGAGGUACCUCGCGUGCAGAAAUUUGUCAACAAGGCCACGAUUCUGAAGACGAUUGCGGAGAGGAAGAAGUCUUCCCAUGCACGGUCGGGUACCCCUUCCGGGUCACCUAGGGUACCCUGCAUGCUUCAGUCAUUGCCUGCCUCAGAUGCCCCUACUUCAUUUGCUCAUAUUCCGGGUACCCCAAAGUCCUCUGCUGAUCACCCUCUGGAGACAGAAGGUAGGGAUGGUGUUCCACCCUCGGUGUAGCCGCUUCAUAGUGCUCUUGUCGUUUUGGAUCUAUCCACAUUUUGCUAUUUAGAACUUGUUUCUUUCUUUUUGGUUUCUUGAGAUAUUUUGUAUUAUUGGGACUUCUCUUUUGUUAUGAUUCCAUGCCACCGAGCUCUCUUGUAUUUUGCAUCCUUGUUAUCUAUAAAUGAAUGCUGGGCUAAACUGUUAUCUUGCAAAUUUCUAGAGUACCUCUCAUUUUGUUUUGAAAUGGGGUACCCCCGGUACCUUAACAAAUAUUCGACAUCAGGCAGAUUCUCCACAAAUUUAGUGCAUGUCCUUCUCGGAAACUAUAGCGGAUUCCCCACAAAUAAGUAAUCAAAAUAUCAUCGCGACAUCUUGAUCAAACGUUGAAAGCGCAAUUGGUCCAACCAAUCACUUUCUUAUUCUUUCGAAGUUCUCUUUGAAUUUUUUGAAUAGCUUACCCCCUACUUUGCUCAAGUAAGAGGACGGAGGUGUGGGUGUACUCAUACCUAAGCUGAACCUGGUGGCGCUAGGGUAUGCCGAUUUUACUCCACCCUCAGGUCCUCUUUGACCCUCCCUCUCUUUGUUUAGGUAGCUUUGUCAUGCUUCUGCAGAAAGGCUACCCCUGGGCUGUUCACUCCGUUGCCCAUCUUGGCUUUCCAUAGAUCAUCACGAUCUAGGCAUAUCAGGUACCCUGGCUGGUCCUGUGAUAGGUUAGUCAUAGUUGAUAAGCUUAUGGCGGGAAUUGCAUAUAACCAGAUGCGAUGGUAUAUUAAUGGCGAUAAAUGAAUAUAAUCCGCAUCCUAAGAUCGAAGUGGCGAAAGAUAAAGAAAGAACCCACAUCAUAUUUGUUGAGAAAGAAAAUGCAUUUAUAGAUAACGAAAGCGUUGAUCAAUACAUGACUUAGCUUUGUUACCCUGAGAAGAAUGGGAGACCGCAAAACCUCCUAUCAUUUUAAUUUGAAAAUUAAAGAAACUCUAAAGUUGCAACUGACCAACAUAGGGCAUUUAGGGUACCCCAUUUGGCCUACCACACAAGAAUAUUAAAGAAAGCAAAUAGCAGCAAAAGACUAAAGGUUAAGACACUGUCCUUUAGUAAUAUUUCCGUAGCAUUGUAGCAUUCCAGGGGUACCUCACGAUUAUCUUAUCCAUGUGGAGUAGCCUGUAUGCACCUGACCCAACGGGUUUGUCGAUGCGGUAAGGUCCUUCCCAAUUUGCCCCAAAAGUGCCUUCGCAGGGUACCCUAGUGUUCUGAGUUACCUUUCUCAAGAUCAACUCCCAUUUCUUAAAGGAUCGAGGGCGUACCCUUUUUUCAUAUAGACCCUAAAUGCGAUGCUGAUAGAUGGUUGUCCUCAAUUAUGCUCUAGCCCUUUUUUCGGUCACCAAAUCAAGGUUGGAAGCAAUCAAGGAGGUGUUCUCGACCUCAUCAAAGUAUUCAACCCUGUGAGAGGGUACCCCGAUUUCCGCUGGAAUCACUGCGUCAACGCCGAAUGCAAGGGAAAACGGGGUCUCCCAGGUGGAGGUGUUUUGAGUAGUCCGAUAGGCCCACAGAACCCCAGGUAGCUCGUCUACCCAUGCUCCCUUUCUUUCUUCUAGCUUCUUUUUUAGGAUACCUUUGAUGAUCUUGUUAACGGCUUUGACUUGCCCAUUAGAUUCGGGAUGAGCAGGGGUAGCAAAUCGGUUGGCUAUCCCAAGCUCCGAACAAAAACUUCAAAAUUUUCCAUUAUCGAAUUUCUUGCCAUUAUCACUAACAAUCGCAUAGGGGAUCCCAAAUUUGCAAAUGAGGUUCUUCUAAAUGAAUUCCGUGGUUUUCCUUUCUGUGAUGCUUGUUAGUGGCUCUGCUUCUGCCCACUUUGUGAAAUAAUCUACCGUCACGAUUACAUGUUUUGCUUGCCCCUUCCUGGUAGAUAACGGGCCAAUGAGGUCCACUCCCCAUAAUGCGAAGGGCCAAGAGGAAGAUAUAACUGUUAGCUUCUCUGGAGGUAGGUGGGGUACCCUGGCGAACCUUUGGCAUUUGUCACAGCUUCGUACCAUAUUCUUGGCAUCUUCCCGCAUAGUAGGCCAGUAGUACCCCUGACGGAGAGCUUUUUGCGCCAGUGAUUGUGCUCUAUAGUGAUUGCCACAAAUCCCCUCAUGUAUCUCCCUCAUAACAUACUCGGCCUUGUCACUUCCUAAGCAUUUAAGGUAAGGAAGAGUAAACCCUCUUCUGCAUAGGGUAUCCUGGAUCAGGCAAUACCGCCCAGCUUUAUACUUUAGUCUUCUUGCUUCACUUUUAUCUGAGGGGAGGUCUCCAUCCUUGAGGUACCUUAUGAUAAACUCCAUCCAAAGUACCUCGUUGGACAGUGAUCCUACUUCCAACAGCUCUAGGAGAUCAAUGCUGGGGGCGGGUAUGUGUUCUAUCAUGAUGGGGCCAGCUGACUGAGCUACACCAAGGGACGCCAUUUUUGCCAGGGUGUCGACUUUGCUGUUCUCCAAUCGGGGUACACUUUUAACCUCGUAAAAUUGGGACAUCAACUAUCUAGUUUUUUCGAGGUACCUUUCAUGUUUUCCUCUUUCGUUUGAUAUUGUACAGUAAUUUGGCUUACCACCAACUGGGAGUCGCUCUUGACAUUUACCCUCUUUGCUCCCAAAGCCUUCAACAUCCUCAACCCUACUAUGAUGGCCUCGUAUUCGGCUUCGUUGUAUGAAGCCUUGAAUCCAAAUUGCAAAGCGUAGCAUAUUUUCACCUUAUUCAGGUCGAUUAUAAUAACUCCCGCACCACUUCCGUGUGAGUUAGAGGAACCAUUUACAUAUAUUUUCCAGACCUGUCCCCCUUCGUCGGUGGAUGGGGUAUAUGACAGGUACCUCAUAUCACCUUCACCACUUGAGUCAUUGGUAAAUUCCGCAAUGAAAUCAGCGAUGGCUUGGGCCUUAAUCACCGAACGAGGCUUGAAGAUGAUGUCGAACUCGCUUAAUUCAAGGGACCAUCGGAGAAGCCUUCCGGAUAUGUCUAACUUCUGGAGGAUUUGCCGUGUUAAGAUACAUUGCCCACCAAAUGUGGAAUUCGAACAGUCACAACACAUGAACCACAUGCAGCCACAUGAGUCACGCACCAACAUGGAAAAAAUCAGCACACCAACUCAAUCCCACAUUAACAAGGCAAGUUGCAAACCGUUGGAAACAAAUAUGGCAAUCUGUAUUGCUCUUGCCAAAGGCUUGCAACAAUCAUCUCACACAAUCCCGUGACAUGCACACUCACCAAAGAAAGAUGGCCAGCCAUUAUUCAAGUCCAUAUUCUCUUCAUAUCUUAGCCAACGGCUAGUCAACGACUAAGUUUAGAAUUAAUCCCAUAAUUUCUGUAAAAUGUUUCUUCCAUAUAUAGUUCCUCUACUCGUGUAUAAAUACCCGAUCUUGUUCCUUAAAAAGGGAAGUGAAUAAAAACUUUUAAUCCUUUUCAAUACUCUUGAAUUUUAGCAUGGUAUCAGAGCUUAUGGCUUCUUCAUCCAAUAUCCAAACCGAGGCCAAACUCUCCCUGCAAACUAUCCACAAUGUGCCAAUCUAAUAUCUAUUAAACUCUCCAGCAACAACUAUCUCUUAUGGAGGUCCCAAGUCCUUCCCCUGAUCAGUAACCUAGGACUCAACAAUCACAUCUCUGAUGACUCACCACCCCAAACAAUUUCCAGUAAUGGAAAGUCUAUUGCCAACCCUGACUUUUCAGUUUGGGCACACAAUGAUGGGUUGCUUCUUACCUGGUUACGUGGAAUGAUGAUGGAAGACGUCCUUACACUGGUAGUUGGAGGACAAACAGUGAAAGAAGUUUGGCUCUCCAUUGAGGAAAAUAUGCUUCCAGCCACCAAGGAGCGAGAGUCUUGGCUUAAAGACAAUCUCUUCUCCUUAAAGAAAGGCUCCCUGAAGCUUGAUGACUUCUUGAACAAAUUUAGAGGACUGUGUGACAAUCUAGCUGCCAUUGGAAAGCCCUUGACGGACGAUGACAAAGUCUUUCAAUUGGCACGGGCACUAGGACCCAAGUAUGCCGACUUCAAAACGGCUAUGCUAACCAAGCCACCUUAUCCAAGUUUGAAACUAUUCCUGUCAGCCUUGCAGAAUCAUGAGCAGACUGUGAUCGCUCAGAAGAAUGAUGGCAAAGAAGCGGAUCCACAGCAAGCCUUCUUUGGGCAACGUGGACGUGGGAAAAGUUUUCAAGGACAAGGACAAGGACGCGGCUUCAACAACAAUCUUCCACUUUUCCCAGGACAAGGACGCAGCUUUAACAACAACUUUCGUGGAAGAGGAAAUUAUCCCUCUAACAAUGGGCACAACAAUAUAAAUCAAUCUUUUAAUAUGAAUCAAUCACCCUCUAACAACUCUCUGCCGCAACCAAGGUUCAAUAAUAAUGGCCCAAAUCCGCCACCUGCCCCAAAACACUACAGUACAGAACAUGUUGAUCAGCGAAAACACAAUUCCAAAUCAGGUAUAAUCUGUCAAAUUUGUGGUAAAACUAACCACAGUGCUGCAGUUUGUAGGCACAGGUAUGACUACUUUACCCCUGAAGAGGAAGCACCGCAAGCCCUCGCAGCCAUGAAUCUGCAAGACGAGAAUGACCCACAACUUUAUGCUGAUUCAGGUGCUACUGCCCACAUGGUAAAUAGCACUGGUAAGUUAAAGAAAUUUAUACCCUAUGGAGGUUCUGAUAAGAUUUUUGUAGGGAAUGGCCAAAGCUUACAUAUUUCUCAUAUCGGUGAUACCACACAUGGGAAAUUAAACUUGAAAGAUAUUUUGGUUGUUCCCAAACUUAAAAAGAACCUCCUGUCAGUAAGCAAACUUGUGGAUGAUAUAAAUUGUUCUAUGGAAUUUAAUGUUGAGUGUUAGAAAAUGCAUAUUUAUAAAGGAGAAAACCGUCAUUUUACAUUUUAAGUCUUACUAACAACCCUUACUUUUAUAUAUUUAACCUUCUUGUGAUUUAAUUACAUGUGUUUUAUUUUAAUUAAGUAUUUUAUGUAUUUUAGGGGCAUUAUAGUCAUUUCACAAUAAAUGAGAGAUCAGACGGCAAAACGGACAUCACUUUUGAACUCAGGACGGUCGAAAACCUUAGGAGGAGUAUAAAAGGAAAAAUGGCACUAUUCACAUGUACGGUACUAUUCACGUGUACGGUACUGUAUACGUUACUGUUCACGACACUGUUCACAUAGACGGAUGAUGACGUGGCAUUGACCGAUGAUGUGGCAUUGACUGAUGAGGUGUCACGAUCCUGUUGGACUAAAAUUCUUAUGUACUGUUGAUGGUGACGUGGCAGCAUAUUAGUGGACGAAAAAUCUCGCGUACGGUGCAUGCAUCACACAGGAUUAUUUUCAACCAAACCGCGUUACUGUUCAUCCGGGUCAAACCGCGUUACUGUUCAAAGUCGGGUCAAACCGUGUUACUGUUCAUCCGCGUGGUCAAACGUGGACUGUUGACUGAUGACGUGGCGCAAUCCUGAGCGUCCAAACUGUUUUUAAUCCGAUGGCCAUGAUUUACUCCAUGUAUCUAUAAAAAGGGGGCCUCCCCCCCCUAAUUUGAUAUCUCUGAAUCCAUUUUUGGGAUCCAUUUUCUGUAAUUCCUUCUCCAUCUUGUAUUUUCUUCGUAUUUUAAUAAAUUCCCAUUUUGCCCCUAGUUCAAUUAUGAGUGGCUAAUUUUCUUUCAAGCUUGGGUUGAAGGUGAAGUCUCAACAUGUAUCAUGGGCUUAAUUUGGUAAAUUUAUUUUCUCUUCCCCUCUAAUUUUUGUGGAUGUUUUGACUUCUCGUCGACAAAUAAUAAUAGUCUUGUCUAGAUACCGCCUUGGUUACACCGGCUCUCUAGUAUAAGGUUAUUAUUAUUUGGCACGAUAAGCCCUUAGCACCAUAUUGAUUAGAGCGUGGUUCAUGAGGUGUGGAUUCCCCCCUCAUGAUUUAAUUGACAUUAAUACGGAUUAUUUAGCCUAUGAUGCAUGUUGAUACGGAUCCAGAUACCCAAGUACGUCAAUUUAAUAGAUUUUCUCUUCAAUUUAUUCUCUCCAUUGCAAUUCCAGUUUUAGAAUUUAUUCUCGCCAUUUUAAUUUAAGUUUUAGCAUAUUCCAAAUCAUUUCCACCAUAAUUCCAACCACCCAUUUACAAAAUUAAUUCUAUAUAUAAUUAAAAUCCACCUCCUCGUGGGAUCGACACUCGUCACCAUUGCUCUACACUACAAUAGAUUCGUGCGCUUGCGAGUACAUUAAAAUUUGCACAACAAGUUUUUGGCGCCGUUGCCGGGGAGGUAAGUAAUUUUAAUUCAUAGAAUUAAUUUUUUUGAAUAAUUUCUUUUAUUUGUUUUCUUGUAUUUUUUUUUAUUAUUAAAAAAAAAAAGAAAAAAAAAGUGAAUCUACAUUUAAAGGUUAGUAUUUCUUUUCUUUUUCUCUUCUUUAAAAUUUUGUAAUUUAAUUUUCCAUUUAUUUUUCUUUGUAAUUUUUUUUGUUUAUCUUAUUAAUUUAAUUUUUAGUUAAUUUCUUUCACGUAUUUAUUUUUGUGUAUUUUUAUAGAAAGGUUGUAAUAGCGCAAUAAGGUUAGUAUCGUAAUUUCUCCCUCUUCUUUAUUUUUAUUUGUUUUGUUCCCAUCUUUAUUUUUUGUUUUGUUUGCAUCUUUAUUUUUAUUUUAUUUAUUUUGCAUGCAUGGUCGUAGGUCAUUAUUACCUAAUCUUGAACCUAUAGACCUUGAAUUAGAAAAAACACUUCGCACACACAAACACGUUAAAAAUAAAAUGGAUUUGCAACCACAAGAGAGGCCAUUUAAGGACUACUUCAGUCCCUUAGCUAAUUUGAGUACAUCAUGCAUAAGAUACCCAAAUGUAGCUGCUAGGAGUUUCGAAUUAAAACCUAGUGUGCUAAAUUGUCUCCCCACAUUUUAUGGCCUAGAAAAUGAGGAUCCAUAUAAUCAUCUGAAUGAUUUUCAUGCCAUUUGUCAAACUUUUAAAUAUGAAAAUUUUUCAGACGAUGAUGUCAAACUUAGACUAUUCCCAUUUUCUUUAAAGGAUAGAGCUCGUUCAUGGUUAAAUACUUUACCUGCCAAUAGCAUUUCAUCAUGGGAACAAAUGGUUACAAAAUUUUUAAAUAAAUAUUUCCCAGUGCAUAAAACCAAUGCUAUUCGCAGGGAAAUCUCGGAGUUUACCCAGAGAGAGGACGAGCAAUUUUUCGAAACAUGGGAGCGAUUCAAUGGGCUACUCUUGAAGUGUCCACAUCAUGGGUACGAGAAAUGGCACCAAUGCCAAUACUUUUUGGAGGGAUUAUUGCCAAAUGUGCAAGAAUGGCUAAUGGCGACAAGUGGAGGAGAGCUAAUGUCAAAAAGUGCAUCAGAGAUUUGGGAAUUCUUCCAGCGACAAGCGGAUAAUUCCCAACAACGGAGUCGAUCACUCAGGAAUACUAGACGAAUUAAGGGAGUAAAUGAGGUUCAAAUUGGCGAGUCAACUUCGGGAAUCAAAGAAGUUAAGGAGAUGGUUGAAGGUCUUGCUCGACAAAUAGCAUCGUUAUCGACUGCUAAAUCAACAGAACCACAUGACCAGGACUCAUACUCAGAUCAAGCCAAUGCCAUAGGUGUAAUGAGAAAGCCAUCAAAUUACAACCCAUACUCCAACACAUAUAACCCUGGAUGGAGAGACCACCCCAAUUUUUCAUGGUCUCAAGGAUUCCAACAGAAUGGACCAACAGCUCCAGCUCCACCAAUGCAACAAAUUCCUCAAGUUCCUCAAGCCUCUCAACCACCAUUUAGACCAUACAAUCAGAACCAGAACUACUCUCAACCCAGACCAUGGGAGGAUGCAUUCCAAAAUUUCAAGAAUGUUACUCACUCCACGAUUGAGCAACAGAAUCGCACCAUUGAUGGACUACGAAAUGAGUUGAGAGCAGGCUUCAAUUCACAAGCCCAAUCAGUUUCAAGCCUCGAGAAGAUGGUGGGACAACUUGCUUCUUCAGUUCAGACCUUGGCAAUGACCGUUGAGAAAGGUAAGUUUCCAAGUCAACCAGUGCCUAACCCUAAAGGAGUACAUGAAGCAAGUACCAGUUCACCACAGCAGCAUGGAGAGGUCAAAGCAGUAAUGACCUUGCGAAAAGGAAAGGAAGUCGACAACAAGGUGGAGAUGCCAGUGACAAAAGAAAAUCAAAUUGUACCUGUGAAUGUUGAUGACUCAUCACCGGAGGAGAAAGAAGAAACCAACCCACAAGAAUAUGUUCCCAAAGCUCCAUUUCCUCAGAGGUUAGCGAAAGGAAAAAAGGGAAAAUCCACAGGUGAGAUUCUUGAAAUCUUCAAACAGGUAAGUGUUAACAUCCCUUUGCUUGAUGCUAUUAAACAAGUUCCAUCUUAUGCCAAGUUUCUUAAAGACCUUUGUACUAAAAAGAGAAACAUGCAUGUUCAAAAGAAGGCAUUUUUAACAGAAAACGUUAGUUCUAUACUCCAACAUAAAAUUCCUUUAAAAUGCAAAGACCCAGGCUCCCCCACUAUCUCAUGUAGUAUAGGGAACCACACAAUUGAGAAUGCUUUGUUGGAUUUAGGAGCUAGUGUAAAUCUGUUACCUUAUUCAGUGUUUGUGAAACUUGGACUGGGAGAAUUACACCCAACUCCAGUGGUGUUACAACUUGCAGAUCGGUCCACAAAAAUACCUCGUGGUAUUGUGGAGGACGUGCUUAUCCAGGUAGACAAAUUUUAUUUUCCUGUUGACUUCAUUGUAAUUGACACUCAACCAAUACAGGAUUCAAGGAAGCACAUCCCCAUUAUUCUAGGCCGACCUUUCUUGGCAACUGCGGAUGCUCACAUUCAAUGUAGAACUGGAAAUAUGCAGUUGUCCUUCGGCAACAUGACUAUGGAGCUGAACAUCUUCAACAUUGCCAAACAACCUCACAGUGCAGAUGAUGGAAUUGUUGAUGUGGAUUUAAUCGAAGCAUUAGUUGAUGACACUUUUCUUUCAAACCUUAGUGAUGAUCAUUUACAAACAUGUUUAACUCACUUUGGUUUUGAUUUUGAUAUUGACAGAUCGGUUGAUGAGGUCAAUGCCUUGCUUGACUCAGCACCAUCUAUGGACACUAAUAAAUGGAAGUCAAGAGUUGAACAACUAGCGCCAUCAGAGAAGAAACUCAUCCCAUCAUCAGAAUCACCACCGAAACUCGAGCUCAAACCAUUACCCAACACUUUGGAAUAUGCAUUUUUGGGAGAAGAAAGUUCUCUGCCGGUAAUCAUCUCAUCAUCCCUCAAUGAUGGACAAAAAGGUAAGUUGUUGGAUGUUUUAAAAGAGCACAAAGGAGCAUUAGGAUGGACCAUAGCAGACAUAAAAGGUAUAAACCCAGUAGAUUGCAUGCAUUACAUUCACCUUGAUGAAAAUGCUAAAUCUACUAGGGAAAUGCAACGUCGGUUAAAUCCUAAUAUGAAAGAAGUGGUUAGAACUGAAGUCCUUAAGCUAUUAGAUGCAGGUAUCAUUUACCCAAUUUCUGAUAGUUCAUGGGUCAGUCCUGUACAAGUUGUCCCUAAAAAGUCAGGAGUCACAGUAGUUACCAAUGCUGAUAAUGAAUUGAUACCCACUAGAGUGACUACAGGAUGGCGUGAACNNNNNNNNNNNNNNNNNNNNNNNNNNNNNNNNNNNNNNNNNNNNNNNNNNNNNNNNNNNNNNNNNNNNNNNNNNNNNNNNNNNNNNNNNNNNNNNNNNNNNNNNNNNNNNNNNNNNNNNNNNNNNNNNNNNNNNNNNNNNNNNNNNNNNNNNNNNNNNNNNNNNNNNNNNNNNNNNNNNNNNNNNNNNNNNNNNNNNNNNNNNNNNNNNNNNNNNNNNNNNNNNNNNNNNNNNNNNNNNNNNNNNNNNNNNNNNNNNNNNNNNNNNNNNNNNNNNNNNNNNNNNNNNNNNNNNNNNNNNNNNNNNNNNNNNNNNNNNNNNNNNNNNNNNNNNNNNNNNNNNNNNNNNNNNNNNNNNNNNNNNNNNNNNNNNNNNNNNNNNNNNNNNNNNNNNNNNNNNNNNNNNNNNNNNNNNNNNNNNNNNNNNNNNNNNNNNNNNNNNNNNNNNNNNNNNNNNNNNNNNNNNNNNNNNNNNNNNNNNNNNNNNNNNNNNNNNNNNNNNNNNNNNNNNNNNNNNNNNNNNNNNNNNNNNNNNNNNNNNNNNNNNNNNNNNNNNNNNNNNNNNNNNNNNNNNNNNNNNNNNNNNNNNNNNNNNNNNNNNNNNNNNNNNNNNNNNNNNNNNNNNNNNNNNNNNNNNNNNNNNNNNNNNNNNNNNNNNNNNNNNNNNNNNNNNNNNNNNNNNNNNNNNNNNNNNNNNNNNNNNNNNNNNNNNNNNNNNNNNNNNNNNNNNNNNNNNNNNNNNNNNNNNNNNNNNNNNNNNNNNNNNNNNNNNNNNNNNNNNNNNNNNNNNNNNNNNNNNNNNNNNNNNNNNNNNNNNNNNNNNNNNNNNNNNNNNNNNNNNNNNNNNNNNNNNNNNNNNNNNNNNNNNNNNNNNNNNNNNNNNNNNNNNNNNNNNNNNNNNNNNNNNNNNNNNNNNNNNNNNNNNNNNNNNNNNNNNNNNNNNNNNNNNNNNNNNNNNNNNNNNNNNNNNNNNNNNNNNNNNNNNNNNNNNNNNNNNNNNNNNNNNNNNNNNNNNNNNNNNNNNNNNNNNNNNNNNNNNNNNNNNNNNNNNNNNNNNNNNNNNNNNNNNNNNNNNNNNNNNNNNNNNNNNNNNNNNNNNNNNNNNNNNNNNNNNNNNNNNNNNNNNNNNNNNNNNNNNNNNNNNNNNNNNNNNNNNNNNNNNNNNNNNNNNNNNNNNNNNNNNNNNNNNNNNNNNNNNNNNNNNNNNNNNNNNNNNNNNNNNNNNNNNNNNNNNNNNNNNNNNNNNNNNNNNNNNNNNNNNNNNNNNNNNNNNNNNNNNNNNNNNNNNNNNNNNNNNNNNNNNNNNNNNNNNNNNNNNNNNNNNNNNNNNNNNNNNNNNNNNNNNNNNNNNNNNNNNNNNNNNNNNNNNNNNNNNNNNNNNNNNNNNNNNNNNNNNNNNNNNNNNNNNNNNNNNNNNNNNNNNNNNNNNNNNNNNNNNNNNNNNNNNNNNNNNNNNNNNNNNNNNNNNNNNNNNNNNNNNNNNNNNNNNNNNNNNNNNNNNNNNNNNNNNNNNNNNNNNNNNNNNNNNNNNNNNNNNNNNNNNNNNNNNNNNNNNNNNNNNNNNNNNNNNNNNNNNNNNNNNNNNNNNNNNNNNNNNNNNNNNNNNNNNNNNNNNNNNNNNNNNNNNNNNNNNNNNNNNNNNNNNNNNNNNNNNNNNNNNNNNNNNNNNNNNNNNNNNNNNNNNNNNNNNNNNNNNNNNNNNNNNNNNNNNNNNNNNNNNNNNNNNNNNNNNNNNNNNNNNNNNNNNNNNNNNNNNNNNNNNNNNNNNNNNNNNNNNNNNNNNNNNNNNNNNNNNNNNNNNNNNNNNNNNNNNNNNNNNNNNNNNNNNNNNNNNNNNNNNNNNNNNNNNNNNNNNNNNNNNNNNNNNNNNNNNNNNNNNNNNNNNNNNNNNNNNNNNNNNNNNNNNNNNNNNNNNNNNNNNNNNNNNNNNNNNNNNNNNNNNNNNNNNNNNNNNNNNNNNNNNNNNNNNNNNNNNNNNNNNNNNNNNNNNNNNNNNNNNNNNNNNNNNNNNNNNNNNNNNNNNNNNNNNNNNNNNNNNNNNNNNNNNNNNNNNNNNNNNNNNNNNNNNNNNNNNNNNNNNNNNNNNNNNNNNNNNNNNNNNNNNNNNNNNNNNNNNNNNNNNNNNNNNNNNNNNNNNNNNNNNNNNNNNNNNNNNNNNNNNNNNNNNNNNNNNNNNNNNNNNNNNNNNNNNNNNNNNNNNNNNNNNNNNNNNNNNNNNNNNNNNNNNNNNNNNNNNNNNNNNNNNNNNNNNNNNNNNNNNNNNNNNNNNNNNNNNNNNNNNNNNNNNNNNNNNNNNNNNNNNNNNNNNNNNNNNNNNNNNNNNNNNNNNNNNNNNNNNNNNNNNNNNNNNNNNNNNNNNNNNNNNNNNNNNNNNNNNNNNNNNNNNNNNNNNNNNNNNNNNNNNNNNNNNNNNNNNNNNNNNNNNNNNNNNNNNNNNNNNNNNNNNNNNNNNNNNNNNNNNNNNNNNNNNNNNNNNNNNNNNNNNNNNNNNNNNNNNNNNNNNNNNNNNNNNNNNNNNNNNNNNNNNNNNNNNNNNNNNNNNNNNNNNNNNNNNNNNNNNNNNNNNNNNNNNNNNNNNNNNNNNNNNNNNNNNNNNNNNNNNNNNNNNNNNNNNNNNNNNNNNNNNNNNNNNNNNNNNNNNNNNNNNNNNNNNNNNNNNNNNNNNNNNNNNNNNNNNNNNNNNNNNNNNNNNNNNNNNNNNNNNNNNNNNNNNNNNNNNNNNNNNNNNNNNNNNNNNNNNNNNNNNNNNNNNNNNNNNNNNNNNNNNNNNNNNNNNNNNNNNNNNNNNNNNNNNNNNNNNNNNNNNNNNNNNNNNNNNNNNNNNNNNNNNNNNNNNNNNNNNNNNNNNNNNNNNNNNNNNNNNNNNNNNNNNNNNNNNNNNNNNNNNNNNNNNNNNNNNNNNNNNNNNNNNNNNNNNNNNNNNNNNNNNNNNNNNNNNNNNNNNNNNNNNNNNNNNNNNNNNNNNNNNNNNNNNNNNNNNNNNNNNNNNNNNNNNNNNNNNNNNNNNNNNNNNNNNNNNNNNNNNNNNNNNNNNNNNNNNNNNNNNNNNNNNNNNNNNNNNNNNNNNNNNNNNNNNNNNNNNNNNNNNNNNNNNNNNNNNNNNNNNNNNNNNNNNNNNNNNNNNNNNNNNNNNNNNNNNNNNNNNNNNNNNNNNNNNNNNNNNNNNNNNNNNNNNNNNNNNNNNNNNNNNNNNNNNNNNNNNNNNNNNNNNNNNNNNNNNNNNNNNNNNNNNNNNNNNNNNNNNNNNNNNNNNNNNNNNNNNNNNNNNNNNNNNNNNNNNNNNNNNNNNNNNNNNNNNNNNNNNNNNNNNNNNNNNNNNNNNNNNNNNNNNNNNNNNNNNNNNNNNNNNNNNNNNNNNNNNNNNNNNNNNNNNNNNNNNNNNNNNNNNNNNNNNNNNNNNNNNNNNNNNNNNNNNNNNNNNNNNNNNNNNNNNNNNNNNNNNNNNNNNNNNNNNNNNNNNNNNNNNNNNNNNNNNNNNNNNNNNNNNNNNNNNNNNNNNNNNNNNNNNNNNNNNNNNNNNNNNNNNNNNNNNNNNNNNNNNNNNNNNNNNNNNNNNNNNNNNNNNNNNNNNNNNNNNNNNNNNNNNNNNNNNNNNNNNNNNNNNNNNNNNNNNNNNNNNNNNNNNNNNNNNNNNNNNNNNNNNNNNNNNNNNNNNNNNNNNNNNNNNNNNNNNNNNNNNNNNNNNNNNNNNNNNNNNNNNNNNNNNNNNNNNNNNNNNNNNNNNNNNNNNNNNNNNNNNNNNNNNNNNNNNNNNNNNNNNNNNNNNNNNNNNNNNNNNNNNNNNNNNNNNNNNNNNNNNNNNNNNNNNNNNNNNNNNNNNNNNNNNNNNNNNNNNNNNNNNNNNNNNNNNNNNNNNNNNNNNNNNNNNNNNNNNNNNNNNNNNNNNNNNNNNNNNNNNNNNNNNNNNNNNNNNNNNNNNNNNNNNNNNNNNNNNNNNNNNNNNNNNNNNNNNNNNNNNNNNNNNNNNNNNNNNNNNNNNNNNNNNNNNNNNNNNNNNNNNNNNNNNNNNNNNNNNNNNNNNNNNNNNNNNNNNNNNNNNNNNNNNNNNNNNNNNNNNNNNNNNNNNNNNNNNNNNNNNNNNNNNNNNNNNNNNNNNNNNNNNNNNNNNNNNNNNNNNNNNNNNNNNNNNNNNNNNNNNNNNNNNNNNNNNNNNNNNNNNNNNNNNNNNNNNNNNNNNNNNNNNNNNNNNNNNNNNNNNNNNNNNNNNNNNNNNNNNNNNNNNNNNNNNNNNNNNNNNNNNNNNNNNNNNNNNNNNNNNNNNNNNNNNNNNNNNNNNNNNNNNNNNNNNNNNNNNNNNNNNNNNNNNNNNNNNNNNNNNNNNNNNNNNNNNNNNNNNNNNNNNNNNNNNNNNNNNNNNNNNNNNNNNNNNNNNNNNNNNNNNNNNNNNNNNNNNNNNNNNNNNNNNNNNNNNNNNNNNNNNNNNNNNNNNNNNNNNNNNNNNNNNNNNNNNNNNNNNNNNNNNNNNNNNNNNNNNNNNNNNNNNNNNNNNNNNNNNNNNNNNNNNNNNNNNNNNNNNNNNNNNNNNNNNNNNNNNNNNNNNNNNNNNNNNNNNNNNNNNNNNNNNNNNNNNNNNNNNNNNNNNNNNNNNNNNNNNNNNNNNNNNNNNNNNNNNNNNNNNNNNNNNNNNNNNNNNNNNNNNNNNNNNNNNNNNNNNNNNNNNNNNNNNNNNNNNNNNNNNNNNNNNNNNNNNNNNNNNNNNNNNNNNNNNNNNNNNNNNNNNNNNNNNNNNNNNNNNNNNNNNNNNNNNNNNNNNNNNNNNNNNNNNNNNNNNNNNNNNNNNNNNNNNNNNNNNNNNNNNNNNNNNNNNNNNNNNNNNNNNNNNNNNNNNNNNNNNNNNNNNNNNNNNNNNNNNNNNNNNNNNNNNNNNNNNNNNNNNNNNNNNNNNNNNNNNNNNNNNNNNNNNNNNNNNNNNNNNNNNNNNNNNNNNNNNNNNNNNNNNNNNNNNNNNNNNNNNNNNNNNNNNNNNNNNNNNNNNNNNNNNNNNNNNNNNNNNNNNNNNNNNNNNNNNNNNNNNNNNNNNNNNNNNNNNNNNNNNNNNNNNNNNNNNNNNNNNNNNNNNNNNNNNNNNNNNNNNNNNNNNNNNNNNNNNNNNNNNNNNNNNNNNNNNNNNNNNNNNNNNNNNNNNNNNNNNNNNNNNNNNNNNNNNNNNNNNNNNNNNNNNNNNNNNNNNNNNNNNNNNNNNNNNNNNNNNNNNNNNNNNNNNNNNNNNNNNNNNNNNNNNNNNNNNNNNNNNNNNNNNNNNNNNNNNNNNNNNNNNNNNNNNNNNNNNNNNNNNNNNNNNNNNNNNNNNNNNNNNNNNNNNNNNNNNNNNNNNNNNNNNNNNNNNNNNNNNNNNNNNNNNNNNNNNNNNNNNNNNNNNNNNNNNNNNNNNNNNNNNNNNNNNNNNNNNNNNNNNNNNNNNNNNNNNNNNNNNNNNNNNNNNNNNNNNNNNNNNNNNNNNNNNNNNNNNNNNNNNNNNNNNNNNNNNNNNNNNNNNNNNNNNNNNNNNNNNNNNNNNNNNNNNNNNNNNNNNNNNNNNNNNNNNNNNNNNNNNNNNNNNNNNNNNNNNNNNNNNNNNNNNNNNNNNNNNNNNNNNNNNNNNNNNNNNNNNNNNNNNNNNNNNNNNNNNNNNNNNNNNNNNNNNNNNNNNNNNNNNNNNNNNNNNNNNNNNNNNNNNNNNNNNNNNNNNNNNNNNNNNNNNNNNNNNNNNNNNNNNNNNNNNNNNNNNNNNNNNNNNNNNNNNNNNNNNNNNNNNNNNNNNNNNNNNNNNNNNNNNNNNNNNNNNNNNNNNNNNNNNNNNNNNNNNNNNNNNNNNNNNNNNNNNNNNNNNNNNNNNNNNNNNNNNNNNNNNNNNNNNNNNNNNNNNNNNNNNNNNNNNNNNNNNNNNNNNNNNNNNNNNNNNNNNNNNNNNNNNNNNNNNNNNNNNNNNNNNNNNNNNNNNNNNNNNNNNNNNNNNNNNNNNNNNNNNNNNNNNNNNNNNNNNNNNNNNNNNNNNNNNNNNNNNNNNNNNNNNNNNNNNNNNNNNNNNNNNNNNNNNNNNNNNNNNNNNNNNNNNNNNNNNNNNNNNNNNNNNNNNNNNNNNNNNNNNNNNNNNNNNNNNNNNNNNNNNNNNNNNNNNNNNNNNNNNNNNNNNNNNNNNNNNNNNNNNNNNNNNNNNNNNNNNNNNNNNNNNNNNNNNNNNNNNNNNNNNNNNNNNNNNNNNNNNNNNNNNNNNNNNNNNNNNNNNNNNNNNNNNNNNNNNNNNNNNNNNNNNNNNNNNNNNNNNNNNNNNNNNNNNNNNNNNNNNNNNNNNNNNNNNNNNNNNNNNNNNNNNNNNNNNNNNNNNNNNNNNNNNNNNNNNNNNNNNNNNNNNNNNNNNNNNNNNNNNNNNNNNNNNNNNNNNNNNNNNNNNNNNNNNNNNNNNNNNNNNNNNNNNNNNNNNNNNNNNNNNNNNNNNNNNNNNNNNNNNNNNNNNNNNNNNNNNNNNNNNNNNNNNNNNNNNNNNNNNNNNNNNNNNNNNNNNNNNNNNNNNNNNNNNNNNNNNNNNNNNNNNNNNNNNNNNNNNNNNNNNNNNNNNNNNNNNNNNNNNNNNNNNNNNNNNNNNNNNNNNNNNNNNNNNNNNNNNNNNNNNNNNNNNNNNNNNNNNNNNNNNNNNNNNNNNNNNNNNNNNNNNNNNNNNNNNNNNNNNNNNNNNNNNNNNNNNNNNNNNNNNNNNNNNNNNNNNNNNNNNNNNNNNNNNNNNNNNNNNNNNNNNNNNNNNNNNNNNNNNNNNNNNNNNNNNNNNNNNNNNNNNNNNNNNNNNNNNNNNNNNNNNNNNNNNNNNNNNNNNNNNNNNNNNNNNNNNNNNNNNNNNNNNNNNNNNNNNNNNNNNNNNNNNNNNNNNNNNNNNNNNNNNNNNNNNNNNNNNNNNNNNNNNNNNNNNNNNNNNNNNNNNNNNNNNNNNNNNNNNNNNNNNNNNNNNNNNNNNNNNNNNNNNNNNNNNNNNNNNNNNNNNNNNNNNNNNNNNNNNNNNNNNNNNNNNNNNNNNNNNNNNNNNNNNNNNNNNNNNNNNNNNNNNNNNNNNNNNNNNNNNNNNNNNNNNNNNNNNNNNNNNNNNNNNNNNNNNNNNNNNNNNNNNNNNNNNNNNNNNNNNNNNNNNNNNNNNNNNNNNNNNNNNNNNNNNNNNNNNNNNNNNNNNNNNNNNNNNNNNNNNNNNNNNNNNNNNNNNNNNNNNNNNNNNNNNNNNNNNNNNNNNNNNNNNNNNNNNNNNNNNNNNNNNNNNNNNNNNNNNNNNNNNNNNNNNNNNNNNNNNNNNNNNNNNNNNNNNNNNNNNNNNNNNNNNNNNNNNNNNNNNNNNNNNNNNNNNNNNNNNNNNNNNNNNNNNNNNNNNNNNNNNNNNNNNNNNNNNNNNNNNNNNNNNNNNNNNNNNNNNNNNNNNNNNNNNNNNNNNNNNNNNNNNNNNNNNNNNNNNNNNNNNNNNNNNNNNNNNNNNNNNNNNNNNNNNNNNNNNNNNNNNNNNNNNNNNNNNNNNNNNNNNNNNNNNNNNNNNNNNNNNNNNNNNNNNNNNNNNNNNNNNNNNNNNNNNNNNNNNNNNNNNNNNNNNNNNNNNNNNNNNNNNNNNNNNNNNNNNNNNNNNNNNNNNNNNNNNNNNNNNNNNNNNNNNNNNNNNNNNNNNNNNNNNNNNNNNNNNNNNNNNNNNNNNNNNNNNNNNNNNNNNNNNNNNNNNNNNNNNNNNNNNNNNNNNNNNNNNNNNNNNNNNNNNNNNNNNNNNNNNNNNNNNNNNNNNNNNNNNNNNNNNNNNNNNNNNNNNNNNNNNNNNNNNNNNNNNNNNNNNNNNNNNNNNNNNNNNNNNNNNNNNNNNNNNNNNNNNNNNNNNNNNNNNNNNNNNNNNNNNNNNNNNNNNNNNNNNNNNNNNNNNNNNNNNNNNNNNNNNNNNNNNNNNNNNNNNNNNNNNNNNNNNNNNNNNNNNNNNNNNNNNNNNNNNNNNNNNNNNNNNNNNNNNNNNNNNNNNNNNNNNNNNNNNNNNNNNNNNNNNNNNNNNNNNNNNNNNNNNNNNNNNNNNNNNNNNNNNNNNNNNNNNNNNNNNNNNNNNNNNNNNNNNNNNNNNNNNNNNNNNNNNNNNNNNNNNNNNNNNNNNNNNNNNNNNNNNNNNNNNNNNNNNNNNNNNNNNNNNNNNNNNNNNNNNNNNNNNNNNNNNNNNNNNNNNNNNNNNNNNNNNNNNNNNNNNNNNNNNNNNNNNNNNNNNNNNNNNNNNNNNNNNNNNNNNNNNNNNNNNNNNNNNNNNNNNNNNNNNNNNNNNNNNNNNNNNNNNNNNNNNNNNNNNNNNNNNNNNNNNNNNNNNNNNNNNNNNNNNNNNNNNNNNNNNNNNNNNNNNNNNNNNNNNNNNNNNNNNNNNNNNNNNNNNNNNNNNNNNNNNNNNNNNNNNNNNNNNNNNNNNNNNNNNNNNNNNNNNNNNNNNNNNNNNNNNNNNNNNNNNNNNNNNNNNNNNNNNNNNNNNNNNNNNNNNNNNNNNNNNNNNNNNNNNNNNNNNNNNNNNNNNNNNNNNNNNNNNNNNNNNNNNNNNNNNNNNNNNNNNNNNNNNNNNNNNNNNNNNNNNNNNNNNNNNNNNNNNNNNNNNNNNNNNNNNNNNNNNNNNNNNNNNNNNNNNNNNNNNNNNNNNNNNNNNNNNNNNNNNNNNNNNNNNNNNNNNNNNNNNNNNNNNNNNNNNNNNNNNNNNNNNNNNNNNNNNNNNNNNNNNNNNNNNNNNNNNNNNNNNNNNNNNNNNNNNNNNNNNNNNNNNNNNNNNNNNNNNNNNNNNNNNNNNNNNNNNNNNNNNNNNNNNNNNNNNNNNNNNNNNNNNNNNNNNNNNNNNNNNNNNNNNNNNNNNNNNNNNNNNNNNNNNNNNNNNNNNNNNNNNNNNNNNNNNNNNNNNNNNNNNNNNNNNNNNNNNNNNNNNNNNNNNNNNNNNNNNNNNNNNNNNNNNNNNNNNNNNNNNNNNNNNNNNNNNNNNNNNNNNNNNNNNNNNNNNNNNNNNNNNNNNNNNNNNNNNNNNNNNNNNNNNNNNNNNNNNNNNNNNNNNNNNNNNNNNNNNNNNNNNNNNNNNNNNNNNNNNNNNNNNNNNNNNNNNNNNNNNNNNNNNNNNNNNNNNNNNNNNNNNNNNNNNNNNNNNNNNNNNNNNNNNNNNNNNNNNNNNNNNNNNNNNNNNNNNNNNNNNNNNNNNNNNNNNNNNNNNNNNNNNNNNNNNNNNNNNNNNNNNNNNNNNNNNNNNNNNNNNNNNNNNNNNNNNNNNNNNNNNNNNNNNNNNNNNNNNNNNNNNNNNNNNNNNNNNNNNNNNNNNNNNNNNNNNNNNNNNNNNNNNNNNNNNNNNNNNNNNNNNNNNNNNNNNNNNNNNNNNNNNNNNNNNNNNNNNNNNNNNNNNNNNNNNNNNNNNNNNNNNNNNNNNNNNNNNNNNNNNNNNNNNNNNNNNNNNNNNNNNNNNNNNNNNNNNNNNNNNNNNNNNNNNNNNNNNNNNNNNNNNNNNNNNNNNNNNNNNNNNNNNNNNNNNNNNNNNNNNNNNNNNNNNNNNNNNNNNNNNNNNNNNNNNNNNNNNNNNNNNNNNNNNNNNNNNNNNNNNNNNNNNNNNNNNNNNNNNNNNNNNNNNNNNNNNNNNNNNNNNNNNNNNNNNNNNNNNNNNNNNNNNNNNNNNNNNNNNNNNNNNNNNNNNNNNNNNNNNNNNNNNNNNNNNNNNNNNNNNNNNNNNNNNNNNNNNNNNNNNNNNNNNNNNNNNNNNNNNNNNNNNNNNNNNNNNNNNNNNNNNNNNNNNNNNNNNNNNNNNNNNNNNNNNNNNNNNNNNNNNNNNNNNNNNNNNNNNNNNNNNNNNNNNNNNNNNNNNNNNNNNNNNNNNNNNNNNNNNNNNNNNNNNNNNNNNNNNNNNNNNNNNNNNNNNNNNNNNNNNNNNNNNNNNNNNNNNNNNNNNNNNNNNNNNNNNNNNNNNNNNNNNNNNNNNNNNNNNNNNNNNNNNNNNNNNNNNNNNNNNNNNNNNNNNNNNNNNNNNNNNNNNNNNNNNNNNNNNNNNNNNNNNNNNNNNNNNNNNNNNNNNNNNNNNNNGAAGUAGCAAGAAUGUUUGUGGCUAGAAAUUAAUGGUACCAAAGAAUCAGUCAUAAACUCUUUUGGUGGGAAAGUCCGUCCCUUAGGUUAAAGUUUAAAGGAGGCGCUUUAUUUCCUAUGUCCAUUCAUGGACUUAAUAGAUCGCGUACCCUCCUAAUUGAUUAUGAAAGUCCUUCCAAUUCGUCUCUUGAUAGUAGCAUCCUUCCUGAGUUAUUUAGUAAAUUGGCAUGUUUAAGAGCAUUAGUUAUAAGGCAAUCAUUCUUGCUUUGUCGUCCUGACCCAAAUUUGAUUAGAGAAAUUCCAGAAGAUGUCGGGAAAUUGAUGCUUUUAAAAUAUCUUAAUUUGUCUGAAUUACACAUAGAGAGACUGCCUGAGACUUUGUGUGAAUUAUAUAAUUUACAAAAGCUAGAUAUUAGGGGGUGCCGAAAUCUAAGAGAAUUGCCUGCAGGGAUUGGGAAGUUAAAGAACAUGAGGAGUUUGCUAAAUGGUCUUACUUGUUCGUUGAAGUACAUGCCAAUAGGAUUUUCCAAAUUAACCAAUCUUCGAACAUUAGACAAGUUUGCUGUGGGUGGAGGUGUUGAUGGUGGCAGUACGUGGAGGCUUGAAUGUCUGAAAAAUCUUCAACUCCUUCGAGAAUGUGGAAUAGAAGGGCUGAGUAAUUUGUCACAUGUAGAUGAGGCUGAGAGAUUAGAACUCAAAAAUAUGGAAAACCUCCUUCGUUUGUAUCUUUUGUUUGAAGUUGUAGAUUGGGAAGAUAAAGAAGAGGAUGAAGAUGAAGGUGGGGAAGAUGAAGGUGAGGAUGGGGGAUAUGAAGAAGAAGAAGGAGGUGAAGUUGUAAAUGGGGAAGAUGAAGAAAGGAGCAGGAAGAAUGAGAAAGAUGAACAACUUCUUGAAGCCUUACAGCCGCCUUUGAAUGUAGAGGAAUUAUGGAUUUUAUUAUAUGGAGGCAACAUUUUUCCCAAAUGGUUGACUUCGCUAACCAAUAUAAGGAAUUUAUUUCUUCACAGGUGUCUUAACUGUGAGCAUUUGCCUCCUCUGGGAAAAUUGCCUCUGGAAAAACUCGCCCUGCAAAAUUUGAAUAGUGUAAAAAGAGUGGGUAAUGAGGUUUUGGGAAUAGAGGAAAGUAGUGAUGAUGACCCGUCUUCAUCUUCAUCAUCAUCAUCAGUUAUUGCCUUCCCCAAAUUGAAAUCACUCAAAAUUUGGGACAUGGAAGAAUUGGAAGAGUGGGAUUACACGGUUACGAGGAAGGAAAACAUCUCCAUCAUGCCACGUCUUUCUUCCUUGGAAAUUGAUUGUUGCCCCAAAUUAAAGGUGUUGCCAGAUGACCUUCUUCAAACGUCGACACUGCAGGAAUUGAGUAUUGGGGGAUGUCCUAUUCUAGAAGACUGGCAUAAGAUAUCUCACAUUCCCCACAUCGAGUUUUAAAUUCUCGAACGGUUGCAAUUACUAUAACCCGCCGGUAAUUUCUCCUCCUCCUCUGUUUUGCUUCAUUGUUACUUGUAAUGAAAUUAAUAAUAAUAAUGAUAAUAAUUAAAUUUUGAAUUAAAUUUCUAUAUUUUGCCAAUGUCUCAUAGGAAUGUGCAAUAUUUUCUAAUAUUUUGAUUUUUGUAUUGAAUAUAACUAUUUACUUCAGUGUACGAUAAUUUGUUACGUGAAACUUCUUGAGAGACUGAAUUUCUGGGGUACUUUGUAGUAAUGUUGAAAACUAAGUGAUGGCUGGGUCUGCUCUGUUUCAGUUGAGGAUGGAUUGCUGCCUGGAAGACAUGCUGAUUAUUAUUGCAUGAUAUUAAGGUGCUGAGAUCAUCAUUUCUAUCUUGUUUCUUUCUUUGAACGGUUUAUCCUCUAUAAGCAUAUGGAAUUAUGUUAGUAUUAUCACUUCUUCACCCAAUUUUCACUGUUGGUUGUAAUAACCAUUUCAGGUUCUCAAAAGCUACAAAGCAAAGCAUCUUUGGGCUGAUCAUAUAUUUCAAUUGACGAAGGAAUUCGAUGUUGGCACUAUUAUGCAGGUAACCAGAGUUGAUAAUUUGUACAAAUUUGCAUUGUCAGAAUACCCUUCAUAUUCACCGUGUUUCUUUGUGUAGGUAUGUAGAGUAUCAUCUUCAAGGGUUGUAAGAGCCUUUGCAGUAAAUUUAGCUGCUAGUGCAAUUGCUCAUUCAUCGAAGUACAAUUUUGGAUUUUCAAGGUUUGUAUGCUCAGUUGUAAUUAAAAUGCUUAGUCACUUAUUCCUAAUCUUUCUGAUUUUCAAGUUAUUUUAGGUCCAUAAACAGUUUUCACACAUGUUUCAAUGCUUCUUGUAAUGACAAUUUCAUAUCUUGCAUCUCUAAUGUGCAUCAUGUUUGAAACAGCUUUCGCGGUAAAGUCUUCGAUGCUUGUACAAUGGCUGUGAAGAGGCACACUAAAUUCGGUACAUUUUGGUACGGCCUCCUAAUGCUGGUAUAAUGUUGUGUAUAUUUAGUUUGCAAUUAAAACUUAGGUAUACAAAUCUUAAUCUGCAAUAGAUCAUAGUGUACAAAGUUUCUAUUAAUGAUAUGGUGACUGAAAGUUUAAUUAUCUUAAAAUUUUUCUAUGACUCUCUUUUACUUUCUUUGUACAGAGUACUUGUUUUGGCUGAUGUGUCUAAUUCAUAGAAAUUCAUUUCCAUCGGUUUCCAUUGGUUUGAGCACAAACAGAAACAGAGGUCUGAGGAGAAGUUUCACUUCUUGCGGUAUUAUGCCUUUGUUUCUUUAUUCACCAUAUUUGUUCGAAUUCAUGCCCUCAUUAAGAAUUUAAAGCCUUUUCCAGGCAGCUUUGUAGCCAAAUUUUGAUGCCAUAAAUGCAUGAUUGUCAUUUAGAUUUUCCGAAUAUUUGUUAUUUGGAGAAAUAUUGUUAAAAGGGCAUUUGAUUAGCUACUUACCCUAUGAAUUUAGUUGCCAAUAAUAGAUUGAAAUUGAGUAGGCUAAUGGUUGAGGAAAGUUAUUGUCUUAAUUAAAUUACAGGUGAUAAGAUGUUGCUUGAAAUCAGCAUGUUGUAUUGCGAUGAUUUUGCCCACAUGAGAUGCUGUGAUUCUUGACAUUGGGAUAACUCAGGUCAAUUUUUAGCAUAAACAGAUAUCAUCUUCUUUACUGCUAUAGUGCUAUGCCUUUAAAGAAUAAACUUUAGUAAAGUUGUUUUUGUUUGUGCAAUUUAUCAGGUUAAGGAUGCUAAGCGGCUUAUUAAGGCAAAUGUUAGAAUGAAGAUUGCUCACUACUCCUGGCAUGUAUGAUGGCGAGGAGGAUUAAUUGUUCACAAGCCAGUUUGAUGAGUGUUAGAUUUUUGGCUUUAUAUAUUAUUGGAGCUCUCCCUUUUGAGAGAUAUCUCAUCAAAUUUGAGUAGAGCUCUCCCAAUAAUUAUAAGCUCUCAUUUGUUUGUAAAAUCAUCUUCUUGUAUUGAUUGUGUUUCCUUGUGUUAUCAGGUAGAGUAUCAUCUUCAUGGGUUUCAAGAAGUCUUUGCAGUAAAGUUUCAACCACAUUCAUUUGAGUAAUUCAGUUUCAGAUUUUCAAGGUGUGCAUGUUUAAGUAGUCUCGAUUAAGAUAUUUUAGUCACUCAUUCUGAAUCUUUUCUAAUUUUCAAGUUCCUUAGGGCCACGACUAGUUUUUCAAGUCUGCAUGUGGCUGCAAAUGAUUGAUGGUCAUAAAAUUAUCUUGAGCCUUGAGGCAUUGCGUUUGAGCGCACACAGAAAUAGAGCUAAAGGAAAAGAACUUGACAGUAGAAGAUGCUCUAAAUAUAACAAAAGUAUAUUUCUACUUCUUGUGGUUAUUUUACGUUUGUCUCUUCGGUCAUCAUAUUUGAUUAAUUGUUCGAAUUCACACUCUCACUUAUUAUUUAAAACCAUUUUUAUGUGGCUUGCAAGCUAAUUAAGUUAGAGCAGAAACAAUACUGUAGACGAAGAUGAGCAAAUUGAAGGUGAUAAGUGCAUAUAUAGUGGCCAAGUCGCUUAUUAUACUUCAUCUCUCAACUAACAUGAUUCUGAAUUUGAAUUUCCAUGAAUAAUUGUUGGGCUGGUGCACUUAUUCUUGAAAGGGCGUUAAGCUACCUUAUGAAAUUGGAAAUUGCGAAGGCUUUCCCCACAUGAUGAGAUGUUGUGAUUGUUACCGGACCCUUAAUUAUUUAACUCAGGUUUUUAUCAUCAACCGCAUCAUCUUAUUCACCAUUUUGGAUAUAUAUAAAGAUUAAAAUUUCCAACAGUUGUUUCGGAUUCUUGUGUAAUCAGAUAAAUGGGGCAAAUGUCAGAACAAAGAUUGUUCAGUGCUGUUGGUAGGGCAAGGAUGAUGAUGGUGAGGAAGAUUGUUCACAAGCCAAGUAGAGCCCUCCAUUUUGAGAAAUAUCAUCCUCAAAUUUGAAUUGUUGAGCAUAUGAAGUGAUGCUAAAGCCUUAAUAUUAAGUCUUUCUGAAAGUUUCAUUUGAAUGAAUUUUCGGAGAUUGAAUGUUCUUAGAGUGAGUAAGAAAAUUAAGCACAUAUCUGCGAUUUGGGUCGUCGGUGAAUGUUUUUCUUUAAUAUUUGUACACACCCAUUUCUUAGUAAAAUUUUCUUCAUGUCUAUUACUAUGACAUAGGCUAAUAGCCGUACCAUAUAACAUUAUCUUCUUAUUUCUUUAUGCUUGGUUUUGCUACAUAUCAUUUCUGUACAUUCAAGAAUGCAAUUUUGUAACUACUUAACUCUGCUUCGGCAAAGUUAAGUAGUUACAAAAUUCUUUUCUUUUUUUUUUCCUUUUUCUUUCUCCGCAAAUGGAAGCGAUUGGCUUGAUUUUUGCUUCGGUAAAAAGUGGUGGGAGCAAUGUCUUGUGUACCCGCAAGUUAUAAAUCGUCAUAGUUUAAAUGAAGAAUCCCGAGUUGCAAAUUAAGUAGUUCAUUACAAAUGAUAUAUUUUGAGUUGCUAAUUAUUAAGUAUUUCAUUCAAAAAUGUUCUCGUUCCCACAAUUCCUAAUAUUUAAAGUGCAUCAUUGCUCUACUUCCGUCAUAACAGCAUAAGAGAAUUUAAUAUAAUACUGAGAAAAUGAUUAUUUUACCCUAAAUGCAAAUGAUUAUUCUACCCUUAACGUAAAAUAACUAAUGUGCCCUAAUUUAAUAACGAAAAAAAAUAGAUGACUGCAAUAUAGAUAUUAAAUAAUAAAUAAAAUAAAAAAUCAGAAUUAAAACUAAAAUAAUUAAAAGAGAGCUCAAGAGAAAACGCACUUUAAUCUGGUACAUGUACCCGUGGAUCAUGGCGAUGGCGGAUUGGGGCUUAUUAUCAAGUCGUUUAAGAAUUUUAAACUUUCAAUUUUUUUUUAAACCUUGAAUUUUUUAGUUUAUUGGUUAACUGAUAAAAUUUGGUGGUAGUUUGAUACUGUGUUGUAUGUCGUGUUAUUUUAGCUUUGUUAUUUUGGGGCAAUCGUUGGAUUUUUCAAUAAAUUAUAGGACCGCAGCGAAAACAAAUGUGGCGGUUUGCCUGCUUUGGCCCCUGAUGCUGAUAAUCAUUCACUCGUUGAUUUUAGUAAAGAAAUCGACGAUCCCAACCGAAGGAGAAAAAUGACUGGCACAGCAGGUUGUCCGUUACUAGUUAUGUCUUGUCAUUGUAGAAAGUUUCAAGCAGAUGGGAUUAUAUAAUUCUUCUUUAAAUACGACGUCGUUUUUGUCCGUUAAGAGUCCAAUGACAAGUUUAUCAUUCUGACAUGAGUAAAAUUCUAACGGCGUGAUGACAAUAGUGUAGAAAUGAUACAGUUUGUAAUCAUCAGGUGGAAUUGUUAUAAAAAAAAUGUGGUCGUGUAUUUUUUAUAAAGUCUAAAACAUCAAGUGAUUAGAGAAUAUUUGUGUGAGGUGGUCUUGGGCUUAUCUCAACCUCAAAAGUCAAAAGCUAGCUCAAUAAGUGAGAUUUUUUUCUCACACUUAUGAAAUCACCACGAGCUCCUCCCACAACCAAUGUGGGAUAAUCCCAACAAUCUCCCCUCACUCAUCGGGCCUUGGGUUGGAAGCAUAAACAUCCAUUCUCCCUAUUAGAUUGUUGGUUGAGUUGUUGGUGAACUUGAGCUUUGAUACUAAUGUUAGAUGGUCUUGGGCUUCUCUCGACUUCAAAAGCUAGCUCAAAGAGAGAGAUAUUCCCUCACAUUUAUGAGGUCAUUAUCAGCCUCUUCCACAAUCGAUGUCGGCUAACCCGACGUUUCUCUCUCUAUAUAAUACAUAAGUUGGAUAACAAAUUUAUAUCUCAAUCUAGGUAUAAACAUUAAUUUUAUUUCUUUUUAUCAAUCAUUAUCCUAUUGGGUCUAUCGACUCACCGCACAAAAAUGUUGUAAAACUUCCCCGCCGAAGAGACUUUGGUAGCUUUGAGUUUGUAAAUCAAGUUCCUAUCCGUCGUCCCUCCUAAUCCAUUCUUCGGCGAAGUACGCCUGACAUUCUUGUACCUUUUUUUUUUUUGAUUACAUGAGACUAUUGCUCAGAUUACAACUCAUAUUACAUGAGAAUAUAACUGAUAUGUACAAAUCAGAUUAUAACUGGGACCAACAUACAUCAAAGCUAAUGGAGCGCUGCCCAGAUUUUAACCCUCUCAAAUAUUCGAGGGAUGUCUACUCCUCACACUGGGGCAAGUAGCAGAUUGCCUUCACUCAAUUUUAUUUGAGGAAGGAAACGCCCCCACAUGCAUUGUGGGGGUUCGAACUGCUGCUCUCCAACCACUCGGCCAAAAGCCGAGUGGCUGACAUUCUUGUACCUUACAACGUCAUAUUUGGCACAAAAUUCAUGAAACUUAAACCAAACACGAAACUAUUAUUAGUUCUCAACAUUUAUAUGAUUCGACGUUUUGUGUCAGAAUAAAUUUUUUUAUCUUUGAACUUCUCAAGCACUUAUUCAUGGCUUAUUUCUCAACUCACUAUAGAUUAAUGAUGCUGAUGAAAUUGUGGAUUAACCAGACAAUAUUGUAAUUAUUACACAUACACACAAGCACACGUACAUACGUGCAAAAGCAUAUAGGAGUUGACCUUGCUCAGGAUUUAAAAAAAAUGAAUAAAAUUUUCCAAUAAUUAAUUGAGAUAAAAAAGAUCAUUAAAACCCGAGUACCCCUCGCAAUUGUGUCACAUGAAUUUCUGUAUUUAUGCACAUAUAAUAUUUUAAAUGAAUCUAUAAUGAUGUUAAUUUUUUAAUGAGCUUAAUCUUAAAUUAAAAUUUUCUUUUGAAAAAAAAUGAAGAAAUCUUAAAAUAUUAUAAAAUAUAGAUCAGUUGGAAAACUAUUCCUAGAAAUGCAUCUUAGUUUUAUUCUUGGAAAAUGUUUCCUUUCGCACUUGCGAGGAAUUAGAAAUUGAACAAUAAUUUUUAGACUUUUCAUUGUCUUUGUGGUUAUAUGGUUGUCUUUAAUAUAAAUAUAUGAUCCCGGAGGCCAAAUGUCUAAUUCACAUGCAUUUACCUAAUACUUUUUUUCUUUUUUCUUUGUUUUUCGGAUAGGGCAAUUACUUAAUACCUUGAAGAAAGAGAGAUAAAAUAUAAUUCAUGCCAAUUUGUUGCAACAAAGCUUUCAUAUCAAGCGUUGGCAUAAAUUAUUAUGCCAAUUUGUUCAAGACAAUAUCUUUAGUUGGCAUGUAAUUUUCAUUAGCCGGCGUCUACUCUUAAUUUAUGUCAAAUUAAGUAAUCGCUCGGCCCCAAUAAUGUUGCCUUUGAUCUCUCAGCCCCAGUAAAAGAAUUGGCUGAAAGAGAAUGUUGGUCACUGUUUAAGCAAGUAUGCUUUUGGCGGUCCUUUGAGGAUCUUCAAAAUUUAGAACCAAUAACCAAUCAAAUGAAAAAUUGCAUACAAGUGUAAAGGCUUACCCCUUAAUGCACAGGUAAUAGGAAUUCUCUUGCUGAACAUAUACACCCUUUUCUUUAUAAUCUUUUACUUUUGCUCUUAAGCUAAAGCAUUAAAAGGCCCAAUAUCCACUCUUUAUUUAUAGUAGUUUCUGGUCCAGGAUCAUAAAGUGCGGGAAAUGUUCAGAAAAAUUUUAAAAUCGUGGGGUUUUAAAUGGUUAAAACUUAAAGUGGUUAAACUGAACGGUUAAUGCGUUUUCCCAGACGUUCCCACAUUUUAAAAUUCCGGACUGUAACAUUUCUCUCUCUCUCUCUCUCUCUCUCUCUCUCUCUCUCUCUCUCUCUAUAUAUAUAUAUAUAUAUAUAUAUAUAUAGGAUCGAAGGAAAUAGGAUCGAAGGAUGGAUGUGCUUUCGUUGGAUUUCAAUAUUAAAAACUCAAAUUAAACAAAUGACGGAUCGGCUUUUCCAAAUUUUAAAUUAAAUUACCAAUUUUGAAAUUAAGUAGAUUUGCUUUGGAACGCGGUUGGUCAGAUUUUAUAUUUAUUAAAUUAGUACGUGGCGUUGUUAAACCUGAUCGACACAGAAGGAAAUCUACCUUUGGACCCAGAUCUGACUUAGUACAGAUCAAUAGCCCGCACGUUCGGGUUUCCAGCCGAUAUACCAACUUAAUUUUGCUUUACCAGAUAGUAAUUAAGUUCUUUAAACGCGGUUGUCCAAUUUUAAAUAAUUUGCCAAAUAAUUAUUAGGUUCUUUUGCAAGCCUAGCAACACAUACAUCUAAAGGCUAGGGUGCAUACACAGUACCAGAUCCGGUUCCCGGAAAUGGUGCUCUGAAGAAAUGGAGGGAGAAGAGAAGAUUUACAACUGAGGAUCGAGAUCUGGUCUCUUUGCCUCAGAGGAACGUUCUGAUAGAGAUCAGUCUGCAAACAUGCUUUGUAAAAUAAAAAUGCUUUAAAAGUAAAGUGCUAAAAUUUAAAUUACAUAAAUUAAAUUACAUAAAGUAAAUUGCAGAAAUUUAAAAUGCUUUAAAGUAAAUUGCGGAAAUUUAAAUUACAUUAAACUUUAAAAUUUAAAGGACUGAAAUUUAAACAUACAUCUUUGUUUUGGUUGGCUUUUACAAUUUUUCAAAUCUUUCCAGAAGGGAAGAUUGAAAGACGGGAAGAUUGAAGGUAAAGAACUAGUCUGAUCACCCAAAGCUCUAUGUUAGAACUAUUGUGUAAACAGAAAAUUUCUUUUGGAACCCUUCGGAGAGAGAGAGAGAUUUUUUAGAGAGAAGGAAGAGAAGAAGAGAGAGAAGUGAAAACUCAAAAAUAAAAAACCUGAGGAGUCUUAGUCUUCCUCUUGGUUUAUAUACAAGACUUUCAAACUGUUCACUGUAGCGGGAUUUUAAGUGCACAGUAACAUCUGGCAAACUGCACUGUUCACUGUAGCGGGAUUUUAAGUGCACAGUAACAAUUGGAUCGUAUCUUUGAAUAGUAGAAUCUUUGUAGAGAAAUACAAUACGGGUGAAGAGACAUGUGCGCUCUCACUUGUGUCCAAGGGACCACCCGAAAAAUAAAAUUUAAUUUCUUUUUCCUUUUUUUUUUUUAAGUAAAUAAUCAAAUAAUUAUUUACAAUGCUUUAUCGGAGAGAAAAUGCCGAAACAGUCAUCUUCAUUAUCAUCUCCGAGAGAAAUGAAAGGUUCUUCAACAUCAUCAUCGUCUUCAUCUUCAUCUUCAGAGGAAUCUGCAACUGAGGAUUUUGAUCGAGAGGCGAGGAGCUGUUCCUAGCUUUGAAAUACUCAUCUUCAGUUUUGGCGCCUGCCAAAAGAGACUGGGCUUUGGAUUUUUGGGUCAAAAAGGUUUGUUGGGCUUUAGAGGUGGUUAAGGUUGGUUGAAGGAGGCCUUUAGAGGAGAGCCAAUCUUUGAUCAUAUCAACAGUCAGUUUGGACUGUUCAUCAAAUUUUGACCACCAUUUGACUUUAAAGGUUCUUUGAAUGAUGACUUGGGAAUCUUGGGUUUGGAAACGGAGGUUCCAUGAACAGACCCAAGGUAGAAAAAACUUUGCACAAAAACAAAGAAAGGGGGGAAAUCUUUUUUCUGAGUCAGAAGGUAGGUAAUGGGCUUUAAAAAGGUUUAGGCAAUUUGUGGCGUUGGGUGUUAGAAUUUGUGGAAUUGGGCCAAAAAGAUUCCACCAGUGAUGAAACCAGUUUGGGAGACUUUGGACGGUUAUUUUCGUAUUAAAGAAAAAUAACCAUGAGUGGGAUUUUUUAGGGUUUUGGAUAAAAAAGGUGUUAUACCAUGCUUGUUGGUAAUCCCAAUAGGAAAAAGUCCGACAAUGUGGUAAACGGGUUUCAAAGUUUAAAGGGAAAGUUUUGUAAUUGUGGAGUAGGUCACCCCACUGGUUUGGGCUCAACACUUUUAGGAUUGUGGCUGUGGAAUAAGCCGGUUCUGGAUGGGCUUUGUCAAGAAAGAAAUGUUUGAAUUUAACUGAUUCAGUUAUUUCCAAAAUGCUUUGAUAGUAAGACUGGAGUUUUGUUAAAUCCCAAGGUUUGAAAAACCAGCCUUUGGGGAAAAAUUUUGAAAUGCUUUGAAAAGGAUCAGUAUGGUAAAAUCCAUCUUCCAUAGAAAUAAUGUUUUGAAAAUGGGUUUUAUCAAACCAAUCGGAGGUUUUCUUUGAAGGUGUUGGCUGAGAAAGCACAAUUUGAGAAGAUGAGCUUUCAGCAGAGACAACAAUAUUUUGGGAAGAAGGUUUUGUAAUUUCUUUUUCAAUUUCCUCUUUAGGAGAAAUUUGGCUUUGAGAAAGGCUUUGAAGAGCGAGCAUGAGCUCAGGGGAUUUUGUAAUGGAACUCAUCCAUUGCUUUACUUGGUCCUCAGAAGAAAUGGAUUUGUAUUGGGAACCAUGUUCUUCAACCAGGUCAAUCCAUGAUUUGAUGGGCAUGGCAGAAGAAAGUAAUUUGUCUUUAGAAGGGGUUGACUGGGGUUCUUUGGAAGGUUCUUUAGGACAAGAAGCUUUGAGAACAGCUUUACCUUUAUCCUUCUUCUGUUUUGGCGGCAUUAUCUGUUUUGAAGAAAUUCCCGAGUUAGAAAAUCAGGAACAGAAUUUUUGUCACCUUUAAUAAAUUCAAUAUCAAAAUCAAAAACACUUAAAAUAGCUUGCCAUCGUGCAAAAAUCUGUUUUGAUGCAAUGUUUUGAACAUCUUUUUCUAAAACAUGUUUUGCAGCUUUGCAAUCAAUCCUAAGUAAAAAUUUUUGAUUUAAUAAAUCACUUUGGAAUUUAGAUAUGCAUAAAACAAUAGAAAGAAUUUCUUUUUUGAUAGUAGAAUAAUUUUUCUGGCAAUCAUUCCAAUGUGCAGAAACAUAUUGUACUAUCUGUUCUUUGUCAUUUUCUUUUUGUUUCAAUAUACCUCCAUAACCUAUAUCAGAUGCAUCAGUUUCAACAAUCUUAGGCAAUGCAGGAUUUGCAAGAAAUAAACAUGGAAUACUUUUAACAGAUUGCUUUAUUAAUCUAACAACUUUAGUAUGUUCUUCUGACCAUGCAACAGGAUUCUUUUUUAACCUAUCAUGCAAAGGUUUAGACAUCCUAUUGAUGUUAGGGCAGAAAUCAAGAACAUAAUUUAGACUACCAAGAAAUCUUUGUAAUUGGGUUUUGUCCAAAAUUUUAUCUGGGAAUUUAUCCGCAAAUAAAAGUGACCUUUCAAUAGGAGUGAUAGUUCCUUUGGAAAUAUGAUGACCUAGGAACCGAACUUUUGUUUGGAAUAAAGAGAUUUUUGAACUAGAAAGGGCUAACCCAGCCUUUCUUGUAACAAGAUGAAAAGUCUUUAAAUGUUUGAAGUGUUGAUCAAUUGAAUUUGAAAAUAUUAAUACGUCAUCAAUAUAAACAAUACAAAAAUCAGAAUAAGGAUUAUAAAUAUCAUUCAUAAUUCUUUGAAAUUCUGAGGGUGCAUUCUUUAAACCAAAGGGCAUAACAGUCCAUUCAUACUGUCCAAAUGGAACAGUAAAAGCAGUUUUAUAACGGUCUUUUGGAUGAAUUUGAAUUUGCCAAAAACCAGACUUCAUGUCAAAUUUUGAAAAAAUAAGAGCAGAACACAAUUUUUGGAGCAAAUCCUUUUUAUUAGGUAUGGGGUACCUAAUCCAUUUUAAGGCUUUAUUUAAGGGCUUAUAAUUUAUCACAAGUCUAGGUACACUUCUUUCAAUUUCAGAAUUUUUAUUUACAUAAAAAGCGGCGCAAGACCAUGGGGACCUUGACUUGACAAUGAGUCCCUUUGACUCCAAAUCAUUGAUUUCUUUUUUGCAAUGUUGCUCCAAUUCCAUGUUCAUUUGGAUUGGACGUGCUCUGGUGGGUAUUUGUUUUUCAUCAAAAGAACUUUCAUAAGGCAAAUCUACUAAAUGCUGUUUUCGAUUCCAAAAAGCAGAAGGUAAAUCGGCACAUAUUUCUUUUUCAAUAAGGCUUUUAAAAUCGGAAAUUUUUCUUUGAAUAAAAUUACUUUGUAAUUGACUCUCAAUUCUUUGGAAGUUUAAAUCCUUUUGUAAACAAAACAAAUCAUCUUGUUUGGAUUUAAGAAUGGCAUUGAUUUUGUGCUGAUAAACAGAACAAGCUUUAACAAUGUUUAGAUUCCUAGUUUUUGGUUUUUCAAUAAAUGGGAAAACAAGUUCUUUAGAUUUUGCUUUGAAAUAUAUACCAUCAUAAUUGACAGCAUAAGGAGUUAUGAGAUUUAUAAAAGGAGUGCCUAAAAUGAUAGCAUGAUGAAUAUCAUUUGUAAGGACAAAAGAAGUUUUAAAUUCAAUUUGAUUAUUAUAAAUCGAGGCUUCAACUUUGGAGCUAACAUUCAAUUUUGAAUUAUUAGCGGCAGAAAGUUUUUCUUUUGUCUUUUCAUGAAAUCUUUUGGGACAAUAUCUUCUCUAAUGCAAUUUAAAUCGGCGCCAGUAUCAAAAAGGGCAAUGGCGUCCAUAGCAAAAUCAUCAGAAAAGAUGAGAGUGACUUUAAUCAAAUACUUUCUUGUGGUGAUUUGUUUUAAAACAAACAGAAAAUCAUUGGGUACCGACUCAAUAUUUUCUACUUUAAUAUCAUCACCAUCAUCAUCAGGAUUAGAUUCAUUGUCUGAAUUAUCCUGUAAUUGUUUUUGUAAAAGAAGUUGAAUAGUAUCAGAAUCACUCUUUUGUUUUUCUUUUAAAUCCUUGAUUUCAAGCUUAAUUUGCUUGAUUUCGUUUUGAAGAUCUUGGAUAGUGGGUGUUGACUUUUUUGUUUUCUUUUUGUCCAAAAUCUGAGUAAGAUCAUAAGAAUUCUUUUUAACAAUUGGGACUUUAGAAGUCUCGGCUUUGUUAAAAUCCAAAGUUUUCAAAAGUUUAUCAAGAUAUUCUUUUUGAAGAUUUGGAUCAGAAAUAUGCUUUACAAGUUCAAGAAAAGUUUCUUGGUCUUUGGUCAAAACAUUGAUUUUCUUUAAAAAUGAAUCGGAUUCAGAUUCACUACUGCUAGAUGCAGAGUCAUCUGAGUCAAAAAGCUCAUCAACUUGGUAAGGAUCAUUAUCUCCCGACAUGGAAGAUUCAGAAUCAGAAGAUUCAAUAAGGAGGGGAGCUAAUUUGGAAAGAAUGUCUUCAUCGAGGUCAAGUUCAUGAAGUCUUUUGUUCAUUCUGCAAAAUUUUGCAGUAUGACCUUUCAUGCCACAUUUGAAACAUGUAGCAUCUUUGAAAUUGAAUGGGGUUAUAGGUUUGGCUUUAAGUUCUUUCUUUUUAGAGAAACUUUGUCUCUUAUAAGGCCUCGAAGGUUUCUUAUAAGGAAGUUUCCUAAAAUCACGAAAAGGUUUUCUAAAGUGUUUAGAUUUGUAAUGUUUCCUGCGAGGUUUAGAAGAACACUCACCAUUACAAUCUUUGGAAAUAGAAGUUUUAAAGGGGUCAUAAUUGAAUUGUUUACAGAAACCGCCUAAUUCUUGUUUAGACUUCUUAAGCUCCCACUUAAGUCGUUUCUGUAAUUUCAAAUCUUGACAAAUCUUUAAACCUUCUUUGUUGACAAAACUGACAAGUUCACCAUAGGUGAGCUCAUCAUAAGGAAUACGGUUGUCAUAAAGGGCUUUGAUUGAAUUUCUUACUUUUUCACCUAAAAGGGUAGGUAAACCCGCAAGAAAUUUUUCUUUCCAAGUAGUAUGAUUUGCAUCAUCUCUCAGAAAUAGCCUGGUGAAAAAGGAGGUUUUGUAGCUUUGAAACUCACUAAGUUUCCUACAUCUCAAGUUAUGUAGUAACUCAGCGUUCUUAUCCCGAAGGUGUGAAGGGUCACCAAUGAAAUGGAGGGAAAUGGUUAAGAUAAGAGUAGCAACAGCAUCCUGAAUAGGAUUGUUGAACUCAUCAAGAAUAGGAGCUCCAUUUUCAUCGCUUUGAAUGGAAUUUAGAAUGUCUAAUUGUUGCUUAUUAGUGAGAAGAUGAUCCCACCAACCUUUCAGUUGACCAGUAAAACCGACAAUUAGGAUUUCUGAUAUAGCACGAUCAGAGGUUCCUGCUUGGGUUUUAUAGGCAUUGGCUGCCAUUGUCAUUUGUUGCAACAAUCCUAGGAUAUUGUAUUCGGACAUACCGUCAAUAUUCCACUCAUAGACUGAAGAUGCAUUAUAUCGGGAUUGAUUUAAUGCACUUGGCCUAUUAUCUAUUGCUAGAUCAGGUGGAGUCUUGACAGUGGGAAGGGCUAAUUCCCAAUGGAUUUUGUUUGCUUUAGGAGUGGAUUCCUCUUGGAAGGCUUCAACAUCCGAAGAGGCUAUAGAAGUUUGGUCAUCUUUUUCUAAUACUCCAAUUUUGCUAGAUUGAGGAGUAUCAGGAGCUAUCUGGACUUUGCUAGAUGAGGAAGAAGCAGCUUCUAUCCUAUCUAGUUGUUCUCUAAUGGCUUUAGCAAAAUCUGAUUUUGACUCUUGAACAAGCUUUUGGCUAGUUUUCGAAACCUGGAAGGGUUUGAAAAUAGGUUCCUUAAGCUUUUUGUCAGAAUCUGAUUUUGUUGGAAUAGGAGAAAUUGGUGGAACAGUAAUGGUUGACUUCUGGAUUUGGUUCUCUAUCCUAGUCAACUGCUUUCCGAUAGUAUUUAAGUUAGUAUUACAGAAAUUAUUUUGUUGAAUAAUACUACUUAAAUUUGCCUCAGAAUCAUUUGGUUUUGGAAUUUUGUAAGGUGAAGCACGAAUUUGGAUAGGAGGUUCACCAUGGUCAAUGGUUACACUCCGAAGAGGUGGAUGUUCAGACUCUAUAGUUCUAUCACUAUCAAGAAGUUUCCAUUCAGGAAUUUUCUUCCUAACAGUAAUAGGGUUUGACUCUUUAAAAGGAUAAGGGAUGUUGUUCUCAGAAGAAUAUAUUUCGAACCAAUAAAAAAACAAUAUAUGAACUUUAUGAAGAUUCACAAAUUCAUAAUAAGCUUGUUGGAUUUCUUUUCUUUGAUUUAAAAAGUGUUUAAAAAACCAAAGUCUUUUUUCUUUGUUUAAAUCAGAAUAGAAAUCUUCAUGCAGAAAAGUCUUAUCUAAUUCAAAUUCUUUUUCAAUGACAUUAAUGACAUUUUCUGUAACAGCAGAAAACGUAGGGGAAGUUGGAGGAGAAGGUUCCUUCUCUUCCUGACUUUGCACAUGUUGGUUACUAGUGUAGAUCGGAUGAGGCACACUAGUAGUGUAAUCUACUGAUCUAAUGGAUGUGCUAGGUAUAUCUGAAGUAGAAAACCUAGGUUGACUUUGAAAAGGAAGAUUUAUGACAGAAGGGACUUUUGUGAAUUUCCUUUCCAAUGAAGGAAUACUUGAGCACGAAGCUUUAUCAGAAAAUCUGGAUGAGGUAGAUCUUCUGAAUGAUAGUUUGACUUUACCAUCAGAAUACUGAGUCACAUUUUGCAACUCUGUAUUUGGCUCAAGUUGUUUCGGAAUUGCUGGUGGAGCAGCUCCUUCAAGAAUCCAUUCCUCUGGAAGAUGGACAUCUUUCCAUUGGAUAGGUUUUGGAAUGACCAUGUUUGCUUUAGACAAAUCAGUCUGCAAGAGAAGAGUCUCAUCUCUUUUCGACUGGUAUUUAUGCUGUGUGCAAAAUGCAGAAACCAUGGCUUUGUAAGAAAUUUUAAAAAUCAAUGCAACGGGGAUAGAUCCCUUAAUCAUAUGAUAAUUAUAGGUCUUAAUUUGUAAAAUCAUGCUUUUUAAAAUAUUUUUGUCUUUAAGAGAAAUUGUUAUAUUUGGAUAACAAUCAAAAGAUAUGGGACCUUUACACAGACUAGAUUCGAUACUACUUAGUAAAGAAUCAUCAAAAGAGAUGAAUCGCCCAUCUCUAAGGACAGCAAGGAUAGAAGUAUCCAAGCCUUCUUUGGUCAAAGGUUUUAUUCCUACUUGGAUUAAACCAAUGUGAAUAUAUUUGAAAUUCUUUUCUUUUAAUUUCUUUAAAGAUUUUUCUGAAAACAAAUAAAUUGUUUCAAAAGGUUCCGAAAGAGUUAUAUCACGUUCUUCAGUUUUUAUAAUAUAAUCAUGUUUUAAAAGAUCAAGCAUUUUUGUUUUGUAAAUCUUUUCUUUGGAAAUUUUUGGAAGUUCCCAACAAUCAAUUGCUUUAUCAAAGUUCUCAAUAAUGAAUUCUUCUGAACUCACAAAAUGCUUUGACUCACUAGUCUUCCCGGAAGAAGAGCUAGAAAAGGACGAUGUUCUACAGAUCGGAGGAUCCAUGAUCAAGACCUUAUGGUCUAUUUUUGGUUUGGUCAAAAUGGCUACAGGUAUGGAUUUACAGCCCUCAGCGGAUUCCUUAUCCUAAAACGGGACUUACAACCAGUAAAGAUUCACCACAAAGACUAAACUUCGAAAUAAAACACAAGAUUUUAAACAUGAAAUUCUUCACUGCUUUACACUAUCCUCCCCUUGGCUCUGAUACCAGAAGGAAAUAGGAUCGAAGGAUGGAUGUGCUUUCGUUGGAUUUCAAUAUUAAAAACUCAAAUUAAACAAAUGACGGAUCGGCUUUUCCAAAUUUUAAAUUAAAUUACCAAUUUUGAAAUUAAGUAGAUUUACACUAUCACCACAAAGACUAUUUCCUUCUGGUAUCAGAGCCAAGGGGAGGAUAGUGUAAAGCAGUGAAGAAUUUCGUGUUUAAAAUCUUGUGUUUUAUUUCGAAGUUUAGUCUUUGUGGUGAAUCUUUACUGGUUGUAAGUCACAAAUUAGGAUAGGGAUAUCAUGAGGGCUGUAAAUCCAUACCUGUAGCCAUUUUGACCAAACCAAAAAUAGACCAUAAGGUCUUGAUCAUGGAUCCUCCGAUCUGUAGAACAUCGUCCUUUUCUAGCUCUUCUUCCGGGAAGACUAGUGAGUCAAAGCAUUUUGUGAGUUCAGAAGAAUUCAUUAUUGAGAACUUUGAUAAAGCAAUUGAUUGUUGGGAACUUCCAAAAAUUUCCAAAGAAAAGAUUUACAAAACAAAAAUGCUUGAUCUUUUAAAACAUGAUUAUAUUAUAAAAACUGAAGAACGUGAUAUAACUCUUUCGGAACCUUUUGAAACAAUUUAUUUGUUUUCAGAAAAAUCUUUAAAGAAAUUAAAAGAAAAGAAUUUCAAAUAUAUUCACAUUGGUUUAAUCCAAGUAGGAAUAAAACCUUUGACCAAAGAAGGCUUGGAUACUUCUAUCCUUGCUGUCCUUAGAGAUGGGCGAUUCAUCUCUUUUGAUGAUUCUUUACUAAGUAGUAUCGAAUCUAGUCUGUGUAAAGGUCCCAUAUCUUUUGAUUGUUAUCCAAAUAUAACAAUUUCUCUUAAAGACAAAAAUAUUUUAAAAAGCAUGAUUUUACAAAUUAAGACCUAUAAUUAUCAUAUGAUUAAGGGAUCUAUCCCCGUUGCAUUGAUUUUUAAAAUUUCUUACAAAGCCAUGGUUUCUGCAUUUUGCACACAGCAUAAAUACCAGUCGAAAAGAGAUGAGACUCUUCUCUUGCAGACUGAUUUGUCUAAAGCAAACAUGGUCAUUCCAAAACCUAUCCAAUGGAAAGAUGUCCAUCUUCCAGAGGAAUGGAUUCUUGAAGGAGCUGCUCCACCAGCAAUUCCGAAACAACUUGAGCCAAAUACAGAGUUGCAAAAUGUGACUCAGUAUUCUGAUGGUAAAGUCAAACUAUCAUUCAGAAGAUCUACCUCAUCCAGAUUUUCUGAUAAAGCUUCGUGCUCAAGCAUUCCUUCAUUGGAAAGGAAAUUCACAAAAGUCCCUUCUGUCAUAAAUCUUCCUUUUCAAAGUCAACCUAGGUUUUCUACUUCAGAUAUACCUAGCACAUCCAUUAGAUCAGUAGAUUACACUACUAGUGUGCCUCAUCUGAUCUACACUAGUAACCAACAUGUGCAAAGUCAGGAAGAGAAGGAACCUUCUCCUCCAACUUCCCCUACGUUUUCUGCUGUUACAGAAAAUGUCAUUAAUGUCAUUGAAAAAGAAUUUGAAUUAGAUAAGACUUUUCUGCAUGAAGAUUUCUAUUCUGAUUUAAACAAAGAAAAAAGACUUUGGUUUUUUAAACACUUUUUAAAUCAAAGAAAAGAAAUCCAACAAGCUUAUUAUGAAUUUGUGAAUCUUCAUAAAGUUCAUAUAUUGUUUUUUGAUUGGUUCGAAAUAUAUUCUUCUGAGAACAACAUCCCUUAUCCUUUUAAAGAGUCAAACCCUAUUACUGUUAGGAAGAAAAUUCCUGAAUGGAAACUUCUUGAUAGUGAUAGAACUAUAGAGUCUGAACAUCCACCUCUUCGGAGUGUAACCAUUGACCAUGGUGAACCUCCUAUCCAAAUUCGUGCUUCACCUUACAAAAUUCCAAAACCAAAUGAUUCUGAGGCAAAUUUAAGUAGUAUUAUUCAACAAAAUAAUUUCUGUAAUACUAACUUAAAUACUAUCGGAAAGCAGUUGACUAGGAUAGAGAACCAAAUCCAGAAGUCAACCAUUACUGUUCCAUCAAUUUCUCCUAUUCCAACAAAAUCAGAUUCUGACAAAAAGCUUAAGGAACCUAUUUUCAAACCCUUCCAGGUUUCGAAAACUAGCCAAAAGCUUGUUCAAGAGUCAAAAUCAGAUUUUGCUAAAGCCAUUAGAGAACAACUAGAUAGGAUAGAAGCUGCUUCUUCCUCAUCUAGCAAAGUCCAGAUAGCUCCUGAUACUCCUCAAUCUAGCAAAAUUGGAGUAUUAGAAAAAGAUGACCAAACUUCUAUAGCCUCUUCGGAUGUUGAAGCCUUCCAAGAGGAAUCCACUCCUAAAGCAAACAAAAUCCAUUGGGAAUUAGCCCUUCCCACUGUCAAGACUCCACCUGAUCUAGCAAUAGAUAAUAGGCCAAGUGCAUUAAAUCAAUCCCGAUAUAAUGCAUCUUCAGUCUAUGAGUGGGAUAUUGACGGUAUGUCCGAAUACAUAUCCUAGGAUUGUUGCAACAAAUGACAAUGGCAGCCAAUGCCUAUAAAACCCAAGCAGGAACCUCUGAUCGUGCUAUAUCAGAAAUCCUAAUUGUCGGUUUUACUGGUCAACUGAAAGGUUGGUGGGAUCAUCUUCUCACUAAUAAGCAACAAUUAGACAUUCUAAAUUCCAUUCAAAGCGAUGAAAAUGGAGCUCCUAUUCUUGAUGAGUUCAACAAUCCUAUUCAGGAUGCUGUUGCUACUCUUAUCUUAACCAUUUCCCUCCAUUUCAUUGGUGACCCUUCACACCUUCGGGAUAAGAACGCUGAGUUACUACAUAACUUGAGAUGUAGGAAACUUAGUGAGUUUCAAAGCUACAAAACCUCCUUUUUCACCAGGCUAUUUCUGAGAGAUGAUGCAAAUCAUACUACUUGGAAAGAAAAAUUUCUUGCGGGUUUACCUACCCUUUUAGGUGAAAAAGUAAGAAAUUCAAUCAAAGCCCUUUAUGACAACCGUAUUCCUUAUGAUGAGCUCACCUAUGGUGAACUUGUCAGUUUUGUCAACAAAGAAGGUUUAAAGAUUUGUCAAGAUUUGAAAUUACAGAAACGACUUAAGUGGGAGCUUAAGAAGUCUAAACAAGAAUUAGGCGGUUUCUGUAAACAAUUCAAUUAUGACCCCUUUAAAACUUCUAUUUCCAAAGAUUGUAAUGGUGAGUGUUCUUCUAAACCUCGCAGGAAACAUUACAAAUCUAAACACUUUAGAAAACCUUUUCGUGAUUUUAGGAAACUUCCUUAUAAGAAACCUUCGAGGCCUUAUAAGAGACAAAGUUUCUCUAAAAAGAAAGAGCUUAAAGCCAAACCUAUGACCCCAUUCAAUUUCAAAGACGCUACAUGUUUCAAAUGUGGCAUGAAAGGUCAUACUGCAAAAUUUUGCAGAAUGAACAAAAGACUUCAUGAGCUUGACCUCGAUGAAGACAUUCUUUCCAAAUUAGCUCCCCUCCUUAUUGAAUUUUCUGAUUCUGAAUCUUCCAUGUCGGGAGAUAAUGAUCCUUACCAAGUUGAUGAGCUUUUUGACUCAGAUGACUCUGCAUCUAGCAGUAGUGAAUCUGAAUCCGAUUCAUUUUUAAAGAAAAUCAAUGUUUUGACCAAAGACCAAGAAACUUUUCUUGAACUUGUAAAGCAUAUUUCUGAUCCAAAUCUUCAAAAAGAAUAUCUUGAUAAACUUUUGAAAACUUUGGAUUUUAACAAAGCCGAGACUUCUAAAGUCCCAAUUGUUAAAAAAAAUUCUUAUGAUCUUACUCAGAUUUUGGACAAAAAGAAAACAAAAAAGUCAACACCCACUAUCCAAGAUCUUCAAAACGAAAUCAAGCAGAUUAAGCUUGAAAUCAAGGAUUUAAAAGAAAAACAAAAAAAUGAUUCUGAUACUAUUCAACUCCUUUUACAAAAACAAUUACAGGAUAAUUCAGACAAUGAAUCUAAUCCUGAUGAUGAUGGUGAUGAUAUUAAAGUAGAAAAUAUUGAGUCGGUACCCAAUGAUUUUCUGUUUGUUUUAAAACAAAUCACCACAAGAAAGUAUUUGAUUAAAGUCACUCUCAUCUUUUCUGAUGAUUUUGCUAUGGACGCCAUUGCCCUUUUUGAUACUGGCGCCGAUUUAAAUUGCAUUAGAGAAGAUAUUGUCCCCAAAAGAUUUCAUGAAAAGACAAAAGAAAAACUUUCUGCCGCUAAUAAUUCAAAAUUGAAUGUUAGCUCCAAAGUUGAAGCCUCGAUUUAUAAUAAUCAAAUUGAAUUUAAAACUUCUUUUGUCCUUACAAAUGAUAUUCAUCAUGCUAUCAUUUUAGGCACUCCUUUUAUAAAUCUCAUAACUCCUUAUGCUGUCAAUUAUGAUGGUAUAUAUUUCAAAGCAAAAUCUAAAGAACUUGUUUUCCCAUUUAUUGAAAAACCAAAAACUAGGAAUCUAAACAUUGUUAAAGCUUGUUCUGUUUAUCAGCACAAAAUCAAUGCCAUUCUUAAAUCCAAACAAGAUGAUUUGUUUUGUUUACAAAAGGAUUUAAACUUCCAAAGAAUUGAGAGUCAAUUACAAAGUAAUUUUAUUCAAAGAAAAAUUUCCGAUUUUAAAAGCCUUAUUGAAAAAGAAAUAUGUGCCGAUUUACCUUCUGCUUUUUGGAAUCGAAAACAGCAUUUAGUAGAUUUGCCUUAUGAAAGUUCUUUUGAUGAAAAACAAAUACCCACCAGAGCACGUCCAAUCCAAAUGAACAUGGAAUUGGAGCAACAUUGCAAAAAAGAAAUCAAUGAUUUGGAGUCAAAGGGACUCAUUGUCAAGUCAAGGUCCCCAUGGUCUUGCGCCGCUUUUUAUGUAAAUAAAAAUUCUGAAAUUGAAAGAGGUGUACCUAGACUUGUGAUAAAUUAUAAGCCCUUAAAUAAAGCCUUAAAAUGGAUUAGNNNNNNNNNNNNNNNNNNNNNNNNNNNNNNNNNNNNNNNNNNNNNNNNNNNNNNNNNNNNNNNNNNNNNNNNNNNNNNNNNNNNNNNNNNNNNNNNNNNNUAAUAAAAGGGAUUUGCUCCAAAAAUUGUGUUCUGCUCUUAUUUUUUCAAAAUUUGACACGAAGUCUGGUUUUUGGCAAAUACAAAUCCAUCCUAAAGAUCGUUAUAAAACAGCUUUUACUGUUCCCUUUGGACAAUACGAAUGGACAGUAAUGCCUUUUGGUUUAAAAAUUGCACCCUCAGAAUUUCAAAGAAUCAUGAAUGAUAUUUAUAAUCCCUAUUCUGAGUUUUGCAUUGUUUACAUAGAUGAUGUGUUGAUUUUUUCUCAAAGUAUUGAUCAACAUUUCAAACAUCUAAAGACUUUUCAUCUUGUUACUAAAAAAGCUGGAUUAGCCCUUUCUAGUUCAAAGAUUUCUUUAUUCCAAACAAAAGUCCGAUUUUUAGGACAUCAUAUUUCUAAAGGAACCAUCACUCCUAUAGAAAGGUCACUUUUGUUUGCGGAUAAAUUCCCGGACAAGAUUUUGGACAAAACCCAAUUACAAAGAUUCCUUGGUAGUUUAAAUUAUGUUCUUGAUUUCUGCCCUAACAUCAAUAGGAUGUCUAAACCUUUGCAUGAUAGGUUAAAAAAGAAUCCUGUUGCAUGGACAGAAGAACAUACCAAAGUGGUUAGAUUAAUAAAGCAAUCUGUAAAAAAUAUUCCUUGUUUAUUUCUUGCAAAUCCUGCUUUACCUAAAAUUGUUGAAACUGAUGCAUCUGACAUAGGUUAUGGAGGAAUAUUAAAACAAAGGGAUAAUGAUAAAGAGGUUGUCAUAAAGGGCUUUGAUAGAAUUUCUUACCUUUUCACCCAAAAGGGUAGGUAAUCCAGCAAGAAAUUUUUCUUUCCAAGUNNNNNNNNNNNNNNNNNNNNNNNNNNNNNNNNNNNNNNNNNNNNNNNNNNNNNNNNNNNNNNNNNNNNNNNNNNNNNNNNNNNNNNNNNNNNNNNNNNNNUCCUGCAUUGCCUAAGAUUGUUGAACUGAUGCAUCUGAUAUAGGUUAUGGAGGUAUAUUGAAACAAAAAGAAAAUGACAAAGAACAGAUAGUACAAUAUGUUUCUGCACAUUGGAAUGAUUGCUAGAAAAAUUAUUCUACUAUCAAAAAAGAAAUUCUUUCUACUGUUUUAUGCAUAUCUAAAUUCCAAAGUGAUUUAUUAAAUCAAAAAUUUUUACUUAGGAUUGAUUGCAAAGCUGCAAAACAUGUUUUAGAAAAAGAUGUUCAAAACAUUGCAUCAAAACAGAUUUUUGCACGAUGGCAAGCUAUUUUAAGUGUUUUUGAUUUUGAUAUUGAAUUUAUUAAAGGUGACAAAAAUUCUGUUCCUGAUUUUCUAACUCGGGAAUUUCUUCAAAACAGAUAAUGCCGCCAAAACAGAAGAAGGAUAAAGGUAAAGCUGUUCUCAAAGCUUCUUGUCCUAAAGAACCUUCCAAAGAACCCCAGUCAACCCCUUCUAAAGACAAAUUACUUUCUUCUGCCAUGCCCAUCAAAUCAUGGAUUGACCUGGUUGAAGAACAUGGUUCCCAAUACAAAUCCAUUUCUUCUGAGGACCAAGUAAAGCAAUGGAUGAGUUCCAUUACAAAAUCCCCUGAGCUCAUGCUCGCUCUUCAAAGCCUUUCUCAAAGCCAAAUUUCUCCUAAAGAGGAAAUUGAAAAAGAAAUUACAAAACCUUCUUCCCAAAAUAUUGUUGUCUCUGCUGAAAGCUCAUCUUCUCAAAUUGUGCUUUCUCAGCCAACACCUUCAAAGAAAACCUCCGAUUGGUUUGAUAAAACCCAUUUUCAAAACAUUAUUUCUAUGGAAGAUGGAUUUUACCAUACUGAUCCUUUUCAAAGCAUUUCAAAAUUUUUCCCCAAAGGCUGGUUUUUCAAACCUUGGGAUUUAACAAAACCCCAGUCUUACUAUCAAAGCAUUUUGGAAAUAACUGAAUCAGUUAAAUUCAAACAUUUCUUUCUUGACAAAGCCCAUCCAGAACCGGCUUAUUCCACAGCCACAAUCCUAAAAGUGUUGAGCCCAAACCAGUGGGGUGACCUACUCCACAAUUACAAAACUUUCCCUUUAAACUUUGAAACCCGUUUACCACAUUGUCGGACUUUUUCCUAUUGGGAUUACCAACAAGCAUGGUAUAACACCUUUUUUAUCCAAAACCCUAAAAAAUCCCACUCAUGGUUAUUUUUCUUUAAUACGAAAAUAACCGUCCAAAGUCUCCCAAACUGGUUUCAUCACUGGUGGAAUCUUUUUGGCCCAAUUCCACAAAUUCUAACACCCAACGCCACAAAUUGCCUAAACCUUUUUAAAGCCCAUUACCUACCUUCUGACUCAGAAAAAAGAUUUCCCCCUUUUCUUUGUUUUUGUGCAAAGUUUUUUCUACCUUGGGUCUGUUCAUGGAACCUCCGUUUCCAAACCCAAGAUUCCCAAGUCAUCAUUCAAAGAACCUUUAAAGUCAAAUGGUGGUCAAAAUUUGAUGAACAGUCCAAACUGACUGUUGAUAUGAUCAAAGAUUGGCUCUCCUCUAAAGGCCUCCUUCAACCAACCUUAACCACCUCUAAAGCCCAACAAACCUUUUUGACCCAAAAAUCCAAAGCCCAGUCUCUUUUGGCAGGCGCCAAAACUGAAGAUGAGUAUUUCAAAGCUAUGGAACAGCUCCUCGCCUCUCGAUCAAAAUCCUCAGUUGCAGAUUCCUCUGAAGAUGAAGAUGAAGACGAUGAUGAUGUUGAAGAACCUUUCAUUUCUCUCGGAGAUGAUAAUGAAGAUGACUGUUUCGGCAUUUUCUCUCCGAUAAAGCAUUGUAAAUAAUUAUUUGAUUAUUUACUUAAAAAAAAAAAAGGAAAAAGAAAUUAAAUUUUAUUUUUCGGGUGGUCCCUUGGACACAAGUGAGAGCGCACAUGUCUCUUCACCCGUAUUGUAUUUCUCUACAAAGAUUCUACUAUUCAAAGAUACGAUCCAAUUGUUACUGUGCACUUAAAAUCCCGCUACAGUGAACAGUGCAGUUUGCCAGAUGUUACUGUGCACUUAAAAUCCCGCUACAGUGAACAGUUUGAAAGUCUUGUAUAUAAACCAAGAGGAAGACUAAGACUCCUCAAGUUUUUUAUUUUUGAGUUUUCACUUCUCUCUCUUCUUCUCUUCCUUCUCUCUAAAAAAUCUCUCUCUCUCUCCGAAGGGUUCCAAAAGAAAUUUUCUGUUUACACAAUAGUUCUAACAUAGAGCUUUGGGUGAUCAGACUAGUUCUUUACCUUCAAUCUUCCCGUCUUUCAAUCUUCCCUUCUGGAAAGAUCUGAAAAAUUGUAAAAGCCAACCAAAACAAAGAUGUAUGUUAAAUUUCAGUCCUUNNNNNNNNNNNNNNNNNNNNNNNNNNNNNNNNNNNNNNNNNNNNNNNNNNNNNNNNNNNNNNNNNNNNNNNNNNNNNNNNNNNNNNNNNNNNNNNNNNNNNNNNNNNNNNNNNNNNNNNNNNNNNNNNNNNNNNNNNNNNNNNNNNNNNNNNNNNNNNNNNNNNNNNNNNNNNNNNNNNNNNNNNNNNNNNNNNNNNNNNNNNNNNNNNNNNNNNNNNNNNNNNNNNNNNNNNNNNNNNNNNNNNNNNNNNNNNNNNNNNNNNNNNNNNNNNNNNNNNNNNNNNNNNNNNNNNNNNNNNNNNNNNNNNNNNNNNNNNNNNNNNNNNNNNNNNNNNNNNNNNNNNNNNNNNNNNNNNNNNNNNNNNNNNNNNNNNNNNNNNNNNNNNNNNNNNNNNNNNNNNNNNNNNNNNNNNNNNNNNNNNNNNNNNNNNNNNNNNNNNNNNNNNNNNNNNNNNNNNNNNNNNNNNNNNNNNNNNNNNNNNNNNNNNNNNNNNNNNNNNNNNNNNNNNNNNNNNNNNNNNNNNNNNNNNNNNNNNNNNNNNCGGGAACCGGAUCUGGUACUGUGUAUGCACCCUAGCCUUUAGAUGUAUGUGUUGCUAGGCUCGCAAAAGAACCUAAUAAUUAUUUGGCAAAUUAUUUAAAAUUGGACAACCGCGUUUAAAGAACUUAAUUACUAUCUGGUAAAGCAAAAUUAAGUUGGUAUAUCGGCUGGAAACCCGAACGUGCGGGCUAUUGAUCUGUACUAAGUCAGAUCUGGGUCCAAAGGUAGAUUUCCUUCUGUGUCGAUCAGGUUUAACAACGCCACGUACUAAUUUAAUAAAUAUAAAAUCUGACCAACCGCGUUCCAAAGCAAAUCUACUUAAUUUCAAAAUUGGUAAUUUAAUUUAAAAUUUGGAAAAGCCGAUCCGUCAUUUGUUUAAUUUGAGUUUUUAAUAUUGAAAUCCAACGAAAGCACAUCCAUCCUUCGAUCCUAUUUCCUUCUGGUAUAUAUAUAUAUAUAUAUAUAUAUAUAUAUAUAUAUAUAUAUAGGGAGAAUGCCAAUUUCCUCCCAUAUUGUAAUCAAUUUAUAUCAUUUAUGUCCUACUCUUAUAUAAUAGCCAAUAACUCCUGGAUAGCAUAAUAUAACAAUAUUAUCUUUAAUUUUAAAUACACUUUUAUUUAUAUUUAUUAUAAAUUAAAUAAAACAUGUGAAUGAAAACUAAAAUAAAAAUUAAAUAUUAAAAACAAUAAAUAUAUGUUUUGAUGUGAAUAAAAAAUUAAUAGUAAAAUAUUUUUCUUGUACUUCUUUGAUUUACAAACAUUUUCUAAUAAUACAUAUAUAAGAAAAUUAUUAUAAAUUAAUAUAAAUUAAUAUAAAUUAAUAAUAAAAUAUUAUAAAAUACAAAAAAUUAUUAUAAAAUUAAUAAUAAAAUAUUUUUCUUGUACUUUUGUAUUUUAUAUAUUUAUUAUAAGAAAAUGUUUAUAAAACAAAAAAUACAAAAAAAAAUUAUUAAUUUUUUUAUUCACAUCAAGACGUAUAUUUCUUGUUUUUAAUAAUUUUUUUUUUACCAUUCAAUAUGAUUUGUUUAAUGUAUAAUAAAUAUGAAUAAAGGUGUAUUUGAAAAUAAAAAUAAUAUUGUAGGAAACAUUUACCAUUUUCUAAGAGAAGCUUAAGAGUGAGUAAAGGCUUGUUUAAACCAUAUAUUUUGAGCCAUAUAUUUUAAAAUACCUCAAGGCACCCUCAUUGUUAAAUAUGCUAUAUUUCUACUCUUACUUUUUCUUUCCUUUUAUAAUAUUACCCUUGCAACAAUAUUCUAACCUUUUUGAGGAUAUCAAUGAAAAGAAAAGAAAAAUUAAUUUAUCAAAUUUGCCUUAAAAGUAACAUAAAAAAUUCCACAAAUUUUUAUGUUAUUAUUUUACUUUUAGGAUUAAUUUGGUAAAUUAAUUUUUUAUAAAAUAACUAUUAGUAAAAUUGUUGCAAAUAUAUUAAACAUUUCUUUAAGUUGGAUAAUAUUGAUUUAUUUAUAAAUAAAUUAUUGGCAAUUAGUUCUUUCAUACUGAAAUUUAUUAGUUAAUUUGCUAAUCAAUAAUUAUUGGUUAAUUCGCUAAUUAAACUUUUAUAGAUAAAUUAAUUAAUGUCAAGAAUAUUAUUGCAAGGUAUUAUUAUAAAAGCAAAUAGAAACUAAGUGCAAGAAUGUAAUAUAUUUAAUUAUAAAGGUAUUUUGAGAUAUUUUUGAAAUUAUAAGAACUAAACAAGCAUUUACAGAAGAUGAAAUGGGAAAAAUUCAAGGGUUAGGAUAUAUGAUGAGUUAAGGAUUAGGUCUUGUAAAAUCUUGAUUUGGGGAGAUGAUUUUGGAGUGUUUCAACCCUAAAUUCAUUUGGGAAGACUCAUUGACGUACAAAUUAAAGGUGGAAAGUGUAGAGAGAGAGAGAGAGAAGGAGAAAGUGUGUGUUUAGAGUGAGAGAUGUGUAAUUCAAGUAAACAAGUUGGAUACUUGGAUUUCUCACUAAAUAGAGUAAGAUUUCCAUCAUUCUAUCAUUAUUUAUGCUAAAUUUAAUUUAAAGAUUUGUUUAUUUUAUUUAAAUUAAUGUUUCCAACAUAUGGUAAAGUGGUACGAAGAUAAAUUUUGUAAUUUGUGGAUUACUUUAGGUGCACAAGAGCACCAACAAGGCAUUGUAGAGCCAAAAAGACUUAGCACUUGAUGUUUCUGGUUCGAUAUAUAAAUAGCUAAUAAUUGUGUAUUAUGUUUAUGUAGUUUAUGGUUAGUAAUUUGGUGGUAAUGUAGCUCUAUAAUUAACUAUUUAUUUCCAAAACUAAGGAAUUUCAUAUCGUAUUUUCUUCCAAAACUAAGGAGCUUCAUAUCAUGUAUUUCAUUAAAAAAUAGUCUUACUCUUAGACUUUAUGAGUUGCUGUGAAAAAUAAAUGAUGAUAAAUUUUCAUACAAAUUUAUUUUUAUAAAUUGAUACGACAUUAGUUCAUUGGUUGCAUGAAAUAUAAAAGCAGGUAGCAGUUGGUCCUUUGAGGAUCAUAAAAUUUAGAGCCAAUCGGUCUAAAAAUUGCAUGCAAGUGCAAAGGCCUGCUCUUGUUGCAAAGGUAAUAGAGAAUCUCUUAUUCUCUAAAAGAGUAGUAGAAGAAUAGAAAAGAAUUCUAGAUGGUGAUAUGUGGAAGCUAGAAGAGAUAAGGAAAGGUCUUUUGGCUCCUUUAUUGUUGAGUUAUAUUGCUUUGCCAUCCGUGGUAAAAUGAUUUUUCUCAUAUUGUGCUGUCUUUUCAAAAGACUACAACAUGUAUAAAGAGGAACUAAUUACCCUAUGGAUGACUUAAAGUUACCUUAGUAUAGGAGAAGGCAAAGAAAUGGUGAUCCAAUCCGAUCUGAUAGUAGUAGUUUAUUUUAAAUUUUGUUCAUUUGAUUUCAUAGUAGUAGUUUUCAUUUUUUUUAAAAUUAGUAAAAACGAACUAAAAUGAGAUAAUUUUAAAAAAGAAUCAAAACAUAAAAAGGCUCAAAAUUACCUUUGUUCCGAACAUUAUCUGUAUCCAUCAUAAUUGACCCGAAUUCGAUUUUAGCUCAAAUCCAAUCUUGGCCGCAUAUAAUUAUAACUUGAUUUGAUCCAAACUCAACCCCAAACUUUUGAUUUGAUCUAAUCCAAUUAGAAUAUUCUAAGCCAAUCAACCCGAAACCCAAUCAGGUUGAUCUAAACACAAAUUUGUGCACUCCUAAAGGGGACCAUCACCCUAUAGGCUUUGAAAAACUUUUGAGGUUUUUAAAUGAAAUAUUAAAAAUUAGAUAUAAAAAGACUGAUUUGACCCUUAAAUACUCGAUAUAUAAACUUAUAUAUAUAAUGAAACUUUAAUUCUAUAUUUUGUGAAAUAAAGUCAAAGUAACCUGAUUGUUUGAUUUUUGUUUUGUUAAUUAUUUUUUUCAUUUUGUUUUCACUUGCAAUAGCGUUUCAAUUAUCAAUCACAAAAUUCUCAAAUUUUGGAAUACCUAACAACUAUAUACUAGCUAUAAAUAGAAAAAAUUGUCUAAAAUUAAUUCCCAGCUAACACUUGAAAUUUGAACUUGGGCCUCAUGAAGACUUACCUUGAGCUCUGCCCCUGGAUAUGAAACAAAAUAUUAGAUUUGCUAGUGAAAUUGCCAACUAUGUUUUUCUUUUGUAUUUUCCGCUCAAGGAAGAAGAAAUUUCCUACAACUUUUGUGGUGAAUAUCUUGCGAAUAUAAGACAGUUUAAUCUUUAGUUGCCACUUGUUUAAAAUAAAAAAGGGAAAAGGAUAUUUAUUUUGUUCCCUUGGAGAAAUAGUAACCAAUACUCCCAGGUUUCCUAAAAAGGACACCAAAACUCUCUUUUGAACAUUAUACCCUUUACCUUUAGUAUCCCAAAAAAGUUAACUUGUAAAUUUUUAAUAAACACAAAUAUUAUAUAAAUAAUGUAAUCUACGUAGUAGAUUAAUAAUAUUAAAAUAUUUAAUAUUUAAAUAAAUUUAAAUAUGUAAAUUAUUAUAGUAUAAUUAUUUUAAUAAUAUAUUUGUAUUUAUUGUAGAGAUUUUAAAUAAAUAUUUGCUUUAAAUACAUUUUACAAUUAAAAAAGUCUCAUGUUAAAAUUAUUAUUUUACAUAAUAAUUUUAAUUUUAAUACAUUUAUUUUAAUAUUAUGUUUAUAUUUAUCAUAAAAUUUACUUUAACAUAAUAAAAUAUAUUAAUAGAUUGUAAAAUAUUAAAAUAUUUUUAAAUAUUGAAGUUAUUUUAAAAUGUAUAUAUUAUUACAUUUAUUUUAAUAUUAUAUUUCUAUUUAUUAUAAAAAAAUUAAAGUUAAUUUUUGGGAUAAUAAAGGUAAAGGGUAUUGUAAUAAAAAAUGAGUCUUAGUGUCUCUUUUUGAAAACUUGGGAAUGUUGGUACCAUUUUUCAAAACUUUGGGGAUAUAGAUAUCCUUUUCCUGACAAAACAAAAUGACAUUUUUGAUAGGAGAUAUAAUAAGCUUUGUUCCUUAGAAAAAUCCAUCAGAUAUAUUAUGCCCCCGGUUGCUAUUGUUAAAAAUAAGUAAUUAUUUCUUUCCGUAUAUUAAAAUAGUAAAAGGGUGGAUAAUAUUUAAAAUAAUUUUUUAACAUUUUAUCUUUUCUGACAUUCGAAUUUUAAACUUGAGAAGUGAAGCAAAUAAACUUCUUGAGAGGUUAACUAAAUCCUUAGUAAUUUGAUAUAAUUUCAUUUCAUUAGAACAGUUCUCUAAAGCAAUUUAGUUAUCUUUCCCAUAUUUUCUUUGUAAUAUGAGGUAAGGGCAUCUCCAAUGCUUAACACCAUUUUGGUGUAACACCAACAUCAAAAAUGUAUUUUUUUCACACCAAAUUACUAUUUCAUCUCCAACCCAUUUACACCAAAAAAAAUAUUCUUCUUUUUAUUCUUUUAAUUAUCAAGAAUUAAUUCAAUUAACACAAUAAAUAUUACUAUUAAUAUAGAUAAUUAAGUCAUAAAUAAUUUUAUAUCGAUUAACAAAAAAAAUAUAGAAAAUUAUUAAAUUUGGCAUUUUAUUUUUAUUAUUAAUUUUUGUGUUGAAUAUUUUUUUAUUUAAAAUUUAGUAUAAUAUUCAAAAAUUAAAAAAUGAAAUAAAAAUAAUAAUAACUUAAAAUAUUAUAUAAAAUAGAACAUAUAUGUAAAUAAGAAAAAGUAAUAAGAAUAUUUGAGACUUUUUUUUCCUAGCACUAAAUAAAUAGUGUUGCACCAUAUUUGGUGCAAUACUAUUCAUAACACUAUUUUGGUGUUGGUUUUAGUGUUACAUUAGAAAAGCAUUUUAUACUAAAAAUGAUACAAAAGGUGAUUUGGUGUUAGAUUUAGUGUCAUAUUGGAGAUGGCCUAAGUACGUGGACCAUAGUAUGAUAUUUAUUAAAAUUAUUAUGGGACUGAUUUUAUUCUUUUUGUUUUCUCAACAAAGUAUCCGACUGUAGAUAUAAUAAAUUACUAAUUAAAAUUAUUCGAGUCACACUCUAAAUUAGAUCUUGAAGUUUGUCAUGACAUAAUAAAGUUAUAUAUUGACACUGGACUGAAACAGAGCCACAACUUUUUCAAAUGACCAAAUGAAUUAAUGAGACAAUUUUGCCAAAAAAUUGUCGGCCAUAAUCCAUAUAGACCAAAAAAUGGUCCAUACGUUAACGUUAAAUUGAAAAAUAUAAUAAAUAAAUUUCAUUUGUGAUGAUAUUUAUUGUAAUUUUAUUACUUAGUUAUCUUUCACAUAUUCUCUUUGUAAUAUCAGACAAGUCAUAGAUCACAGCAUGAUAUUUAUUGUAAUUAAAAUCAUUAUAAAACUGAUUUUAUUUUUUUCUCAAACAAAGUAUCCAUCUAACUGCAGAUGUAAUAAAUUACUAAUUACCAUUAUUUGAGUCGCUCUCUAAAUUAGAUCCUUGGAGUUUUUCACGGCAUAAUAGAGUUACAUUCUCAAAUGACCAAAUCAAUUAAUGAGAUAAUGGCUUUUGCUUUUGCCUACCUGACAAAAAGAUGUUGUCGGCCAGUUGAAAAAUAUAAUAAAAAAAUUUCACUUGCACGGUCCAGACCACAUGCAAAUUUGUGCUGAAAUUCAUAAUGGAUUAAUUUGAUUGGGCGAAAUUACUCCAUAUAAUUUCAUCAAUAUCUAUUAAACGAUAAAAAAUUUAUUGAUAUUUUAUAAUUAAAAAAAUCUAUCCACUAAGAUUAUUCUAGAUCAACAGUUAAUAUAUUAUAUAUAACUUCAGAAGGUUCAUCGGUGGAUUGAUCUAAGCCUUUUGUUGUAGUUUGUAACUAUUUUGUUGCUUAUAAUGUAAGAAAUUUUACGGGAGCUGAUGCUAGUAGUCUGAAUAAGAAAAUUAAUUAUAUUGUAAGAUAUUGGGUAUUCAUGAUAAAAUAAAUAAAUAAAAAAUGAAUAAAAAUUUAAAUCCUUAAUUAAUUUUUGUCAAAUUCUUAUCAAAUAUUUAAAAAAGUAUAUAAAAUCAAUUAAUUGAUGGUAUUAUUAAUUUUUAUGAUUAUUUUUAAUAUUAUAUUAGUGAUUAUUAAAUUUAAUACAAUCAAUAAUGCAAGAAAUUAUUAAAUGGUUAAUUUUAUUGGCAAAUUAUCAAAGACGCAAGUAAUGAAAAAUUAAUCUCAAGAGUUAGUUGAAGUAAAGUUCCAAUUUAAUCAAACGAUAGAUAAUAGAUAAAUAUAAAUUUUAAGUAAAUUGUAAAUUAAAAAAUAAAUAAAUAAAUAUUAAGCAUAAAUAAACGAUAAUGAUGUAAAUUAAAGUCUCAUAAAUAGAUAAUUUUUUUUCUUUAAUUUUAUCCCAACUAAAGCUAUGCGUAAAUUAGGAUUAUCAAUUCCAUAAUUUUAGGAUUAAAUUUAAAUUUAGUUCCUAAAUCCAAUUCAAUUAAACUUACCAAAUAUGAGAUAAAUAUAUAAUCAUAAAAUUAGUCCAAUUCCGUACUUACUCCUAAUAUCCGAACAUGGCCUGAUAAAAUAAUUUAGGUAAUAUACUUCUAUGACUCACAAUUUAAAUAAAUCUAAGAAUUUAUAUAGGGGAUGGAAAAUUCACAAUAAUCAUAACUUAUGCUAUCUUUUCUUCCUUUUCUUAAUUAAAUAAAAGAAAAAAAUAAUUACUGUUUAAAAUGAUCCGAUAUCGAUGAAGUCGCAAUCGCCUACCAAACAUUGCGCAAUCAAAUUAAUUUGAGAAUGUUAUCUUUUCUUCCUUUUCCAACUUUUGUUUUAUUUUUUCUCUUUUCCACUACAAAUUAAUUUGAGAAUGUUAUAUUUUUCCAAUUCUCUUUUUGUCGUGACCUAAUAGACUAAAACGGAAUCACAUACUUUUUCAAAUGUCCAAAUGGCUUUGGCCUACCUGAUAAUAAAAGGAAUGGAUCCAUACGUUAAAGCUAAAUUGAAAAAUAUAAUAAAUAAAUUGUCAGGAGAUGAUUUUAUCAAAAAUUUCACUCGCACGGUCCCGACCAAAUACAAAUUUGUGAUGAUAUUAAUAAUGAAUUUAUACAAUUAGGCGAAAUUACUCUAUAUAGUUUCAUCGAUAUAUAUUAUACCAUUAAAAAUAUACUAAUAUUUAUAAUAAAAAAUUUGUGACUAUUUUAAAUCGACUGUAUUAAAUGUGAAUUCACAAGAUUCAUAGAUAGAUUGCACUGAGCUUUUUGUUGCAGUUUACAAAUAUUUUGUUACUAAUUAUCUUAAGAGCAGCAAGUAACUAAAUACAAAUGUAAGAAGUUUUACAAGUGCUGAUAGUUGGAAUUUGAGGAUCAAGGGAAAAAGAUGAAGAUCUGGAACUGUUUUAUUAUCACAACAACUAAUUACAGAAAUGAGCUUAGCUCAGUAUUUAUAGUAGAAUCUAAUGCUUGCUAAUCACGUCAGUUACAGCUAAGCAAUCUAACUACUAAAAUAAUAAUUGCUGAUGUAACUAAUCUUGAACACAAUUAACAAGAGCUAAUUUGUUAACUAAUUCCAGCCACAUCUAACAGCAUGGGAAUCUCUUCAUAACAGUUUUGCCAUCUGGAGUUUUCCAGCUUCUCACGUGCACCUUUCACUUUCACUCCUAGACUAGCUACUGGAUUUACAGCUGGCUUGAUUCCAGCUGGCACUCCAACGUGAGUUGCAUGAGGUUCAGCUUCAUCAGUUAAUUCAACACCCCUUCUCAAACUUAAGUCUUUUGGGAAGACUUUAAGUUUGCUUCUGAAGAAGCUGAACUUGGGAUAAGUAAGAGGUUUAGUUAAUAUAUCAGCAACUUGAUCAUUUGUAGACACAAAUGCAAUUUCAACUUCUUUCCUUUCGACUUUGUCUCUUACAAAGUGAAUGUCUAUUUCAAUGUGUUUUGUCUUAGAAUGCAUUACUGGAUUUGUAGCUAUAGCUGCUGCACUUGUGCUAUCACUUAGCAGCAGUGGAGUGUUCUGAAAUCUGAUGUCCAGUUCUUUAAGAAUUGAGCAGAUCCAAGUUAAUUCUGAACAAGCCAGUGCCAUAGCUCUGUAUUCUGAUUCUGCUGACGAUUUGGAAAUUAUGCUCUGCUUCUUUGAACUCCAGCUGAUCAAGUUAUCACCUAAGAAUACACAAUAGCCACUAGUAGAUCUCCUGUCAUCAAUAUCACUUCCCCAGUCUGCAUCAGUAUAUAUCACAAGGUCGACAAAAUCAGAUCUCUUGAAAGUCAAACCAUAGUUUAUGGUUUCCUUAAGAUAUCUCAGUACACGUUUACAAGCAAUCCAAUGAGGUUGUAAAGGAUUUGCCAUGAAUUGACUUAACUUGUUUACAGCAUAUGCUAUUUCGGGCCUUGUUAAGACUGCAUAUUGUAAUCCUCCAAUAGCUUUUCUGUAUUGAGUUGCAUCAGUGAAGACUUCACCCAUGUUUUUGCUCAGUUUUUCUGUUGUGGCCAGAGGAGUAUCAGUUCCCUUGCAUUCUUUCAAAUCAAACUUGGCAAGGAGAUCUUUUAUAUACUUUGACUGGGAUAAUACCAAAGUUUCAUCAUUUCUAAUAACUUCAAUACCAAGAAAGAAAUUGAGAUUUCCCAAAUCCUUAAGAGCAAAUGUGCUGCUGAGGUUGCUGAUAAGCUGUUCUAUUUCAGCAUUAUUAUUUCCAGUCACUAUUAUAUCAUCUACAUAAAUCAGCAACAUGAUCAUAUCAUUUCCACUUCUCUUAAAGAAUAAGGAUGUGUCUGACCUGGUUCUAGUAAACUGCCAAGACUCAAGAACUGAUCUGAGUUUAUCAAACCAAGCUCUUGGUGCUUGCUUCAAUCCAUAGAGGGCCUUCUUCAGCUUGCAUACAUAGUUAGGAUGUUCUGAAUUUUCAAACCCUUCUGGCUGAGGCAUGUAAACAGUUUCACUGAGCUCUCCAUUGAGAAAUGCAUUGUUGAUAUCUACUUGUCUCAGCUUCCAGUUGUUUAUAACAGCUAGACUUAGUACAAUCCUUAUUGUUGCUGCUUUAACAACUGGACUGAAGGUUUCUUGGUAAUCAACCCCUUCUGUUUGUAGAAACCCCUUAGCUACCAACCGAGCUUUGUAUUUGUUGAUUGAUCCAUCUGAAUUCUGUUUGACUCGAUAAAUCCAUUUGUUCCCAACAAGCUUUAUAUUUUGUUCUGGAGGAACUAAGUACCAAGUCUGAUUUCUCAUCAAGGCAUUGAACUCUUCCUGCAUUGCUUGUUUCCAUUUGUGGUUAUUCAAAGCAUCAGCUACACUUGAAGGUGUGUCAAGGGACAGGGACUUUUCAGUGUUGUAAACUUUUGGUUUGAAUAUGCCAUUUUUAGCUCGAGUUGUCAUAGGAUGUGAAGGUCUAGGUUGAUGUGUAGGCUGAGAUGAUUCUGGAAUUUGGUUGUUUGGUUCAGAAAGAAAAGAGGUUUGAGUAUAUUCAUGUGUGUUGUUUUCACUUUCAUAUAUUGAAUUUAUUUGAUCAAUGUUGUUGUCAGGAUUAUGUUCAUUAGGAAGAUUAUCUGAGCUAGUUGUGUCAUCCAAUGAACUUGUACUUGCUGCUGUUGCCUCAUGAUUUUGGGUUGCUGCAGGAAAUGAUAUUGAAAGGAACUUACUAAAUGUGUUUAUUGGUUCUGGUGUAUGAGUGGACUCAGGGGUCAUGAAAUUUGAAUCAUUUUUGAAAGGAAAAGAAUCCUCAUUGAAGUUAACAUGAGCAGCAAUAUAAAUUCUGCCAUUUGGAUUCAAACACAAGUAACCCUUGUGCAGUUUACUGACACCUAAAUUAACACAUUUAGAAGUAUGAAAAUCAAGCUUAUGUUUGUUGUAUGGCCUUAAGAAAGGGUAACACUCACAACCAAAUAUCUUGAUUUGAGAGUAGCUUGGUUUCUUGGAAUAAAGAGCCUCAAAAGGUGUUUUAUGAUUCAAUGUAGGUGUACUGAUACGGUUGAUAAGAUAAGUAGCAUUGUAGAAUGCUUCCCACCAAAACCUAAGAGGUAUAUCAGCCUGAGCAAGAAGUGUGAGUCCAGUUUCAACAAGGUGUCUGUGUUUUCUCUCAGCUUUCCCAUUUUGGUGGUGUGUAUAAGGGCAGGAAUAUCUUAUAGCUAUCCCUUCAUUUCUGAGGUAAGGUUCAAAAGCUUUGUAUUCUCCCCCCAUGUCACACUGAAUUGUUUUGAUUUUCAGCUCUAAACUUUUCUCAAUUUGGUUUUUAAAAGCAAUGAAGGCUGACAGUGCUUGAGACUUAUUAGCUAACCCAUAAAUCCAGGUGUAGUUUGUUUUGUCAUCAAUGAAAGCAAUAUAAUAUUUGAACCCCUGAUUUGAGAUGGUUGGUGCUGGACCCCAAAGAUCACUAUGAAUUAUCUCAAGGGCAGUAGAUGAUUUUGAUUCACUACUUUUAAAGGAUAAUCUGUGCAUCUUUCCAUAUUGACAAGCUUUGCAAAAAGACAACUCAGGCAUUUUAUUCCCAAAUGAAAUAUUACAAGCUGACAGGGUUUUUCUAAGAUCAGAAGAAUUUGGAUGACCUAAUCUCAUGUGCCAAAGAUCAAGAGUUUUGUUGAUUCUUUGAUAUUUACAGCUUGUACAGAGUUCUUUAGAAACAAUUGACAUCAUAGACUCUGGUUUAUUUAUCUUACAAAUAGAAAACAAACUAGAACAUGAAUUAGAAGACAACAUAAUAGACUUGACUUGAGAGUGAUUUAGAGGCAAGUUCAGCAGCUUGUACAGUCCAUCUUUAGCCACACCUUUCAUGAGAACAAUCCCCCUUCUCUUGUCCUUAACAACACAAUAUGUUUUGUUAAAUUCAAUACAUAUAUUGUUAUCAUACAAGAGUUUUGAUAUGCUGAUGAGAUUCUUGGUUAUUUGCGGUACAUAGAGAAUGUGGUUUAGUUUAAUGUGUUUCUGGAUAUCAGGUUCAAGUGUGCCAAGCAAUGUAUAACCAACAGAAACAAUUUCAAGCUUAGAGCCAUUACCUACUGCAAGCUGAUGAUUACCUUUGUAUUCAGAACUUAUGCUUAAGUUGUUGAGAUCAUUGGUGACAUGAUCUGUAGCUCCACUGUCAAGAUACCAGCCUCCACUUUUAGCUUCUGCACCUUCAGCCACAUAAGCACUCCUUUUGUUUCCUGCAAAAUUAGGCACAUAGUUUUUCUUAAACCUAUACCAGCAGGUUACAGCAGUAUGAUUCUUCCUGGAGCAUAUCUGACAUGGUCCUUUAGGUAUUUCUUCAUCAGCUGGAGCUUUCCCUUUCAUCUUCUCUUGAGUUGGAUUAAAGUUUCCACCACCAGAAUUAGUUCCAUAUUGCCUUCCACUCUGAUAAGAAGCAUUUCCAGAGUUGUUGAAAUUCGAUUGCCAAUUCCUCCUCUGGUUUCCUCUGUAAUAAGCAAUGUUUGCUUGAUAAUCUGAACCACUGACAGAGUUCUGAUGUUCAAUCCUAUUUUCUUGACUCAACAGCAUGCCAUAAACCUCUGAUGGAGUUAUGCUUUCUGACUUAGCAUUGAUUGUAGCAACAAUUGAGUCAUACUCGGGUCCAAGACCAGCAAGUAGACACAAUACAAAGUCAUCAUUACUCAUAUGAUUACCAGCAGCUCUAAGUGCAUCUAAAUUCAUCUUCAUCUUAGUAUAAUACUCAUGAACAUUUAAAGAUCCCUUUCUAGUUGUCUGGAUCUGAGUUCUUAAGUGAAGAACUCUUGAUCGAGACCUGGCACCAAACUGUCCAGAAAGUGUUUGCCAUACCUCUAGAGAUGAGCUUGCUCCAACAACUGCACUUAACACUUCUUCACUCAGAGUUGAAAGCAGCCAGCUCAUGAGUUGUUGAUCAACUUUUCUCCAGAUCUGGAACUGUGGAUUGACCACGGUGAUCACAGUUUGGUCAUUAUCGACAUUUACAACCAUUCGGCUUGGAGGAUUCUUAGUGUUGUCAAUUAGAUCUUCCAGUUCGUUUGCAUUGAUUGUGGCAAUAACUUGAGAUCGCCAUAGCAGGUAAUUGUUGUUUGUGAGCUUGAUUGGAGUGUUGAAGAUCAAAGAGUUAAUCGAUGAGUUGUUGAUUGAGUUUGUGAUUGGAUUUGCAGUUGAGCUCGAAGCUCGAGUGCUUGUAGUUUGAAAUUCAUUGCUAGCCAUUGUAUCAACUAGCUCUGAUACCAAGUUGGAAUUUGAGGAUCAAGGGAAAAAGAUGAAGAUCUGGAACUGUUUUAUUAUCACAACAACUAAUUACAGAAAUGAGCUUAGCUCAGUAUUUAUAGUAGAAUCUAAUGCUUGCUAAUCACGUCAGUUACAGCUAAGCAAUCUAACUACUAAAAUAAUAAUUGCUGAUGUAACUAAUCUUGAACACAAUUAACAAGAGCUAAUUUGUUAACUAAUUCCAGCCACAUCUAACAGCAUGGGAAUCUCUUCAUAACAGUUUUGCCAUCUGGAGUUUUCCAGCUUCUCACGUGCACCUUUCACUUUCACUCCUAGACUAGCUACUGGAUUUACAGCUGGCUUGAUUCCAGCUGGCACUCCAACGUGAGUUGCAUGAGGUUCAGCUUCAUCAGUUAAUUCAACACUGAUGCUGUGUCAUCCGAAGAAAGCUAGCCCACAACGGUGACUCCUGUGGGGACUCCUUCAAUUUGCAGCACAAAAUUAAAUAACUCCUAUGGUAUAAGAAGAAUGCAAACAUGCUUGAAUGAACAUUCUCACAGAAUACAUAAAACCUACUUUCCUCUGAGCAUUUUAGCACCAAGAAAAGCAAUUGCAUCAUUUACCAUUUGAUCUAAUAUCAGAAUGGCUCAUGCGCUCGUUUCCUCUCUCCUGGACCAGCUGAAAUCCAUUGCUCAAGAUCAGGUGAAAGAAAAGUGGAGGCUUGUGACGGAUGUCGAACAAGAAGUGGGAAAGCUUACCACCAAUCUUCAAGCCAUUCAAGCUGUGCUGGAAGAUGCAGAGCAGAGGCAAAUGAAGCAGGACAAAGCUGUUACUUUUUGGCUGGAUCAGCUCAGAGACGCAUCCUACGACAUGGAAGAUGUGUUGGAAGAGUGGAUCACUGAAACACGGAAAUUGCAGCUUGAUGAGGGCGGCGAUGAUGAUGAUGAUGAUAACGACAGUGCUUUUGUUACUUUUUUGACGAAGGUAUGUUCCUUCUUUCCUGCUGCCUCAAACUGCUUUGGUUGUUUCAAAAAACUCAGUCUUCGUCAUGAUAUUGCUGUCAAGAUUAGAGAAAUCAGUAAAAGGCUAGAUGAUAUUGCCAGACAAAAAGAUAGUUUCAAAUUUGUUGAGAAUGUGAGUAACAAUGUUAAGAAACCAGAGCGAGUGCGAACCACCUCCUUGAUUGAUGAGAGGAAGGUUUUUGGUAGAGAUGAUGAGAAAAAUAAGCUCUUAAGCAAGUUGUUGUGUGAAAGUAGUGAACAACAAGAAGGCCUUCAUGUCAUCUCACUAGUUGGGUUAGGGGGUAUAGGUAAAACCACUCUUGCACAACUGGCCUAUAAUAAUGAUGAGGUGAAAAGAAAUUUUGAAAAAGUUAUAUGGGUGUGUGUAUCAGACACUUUUGAGGAGAUUAGGGUCGCCAAAGCAAUCAUUGAAGGUCUAGGCGUGUCAGCUUCUAGUUUAAGUGAAUUCCAAUCUCUUAUGAAACAGAUUCAGGAAUAUAUUACGGGGAAGAAAUUUUUUCUUGUUUUAGAUGAUGUGUGGGAUGGAGAUUACAAAAAAUGGGACCCAUUCUUUUCUUGUCUAAAGAAUGGCCACCAUGAAAGUAAAAUUCUAAUUACCACACGUGAUAGGUCAGUUGCACUACAGUUGGGAUCAAUAGAUAUUAUCCCUGUCAAGGAGUUGGCUGAAGAGGAAUGCUGGUCGUUGCUCGAGCGGUUAGCAUUCUUCCGUCGUUCUGUUGAUGAUCAUGAAAAAUUAGAACCAAUCGGGCGACAAAUUGCAUGCAAGUGCAAAGGCCUGCCUCUUGCUGCAAAGGUAAUAGGGAAUCUCUUGCGCUCUAAAAUUACAGUAAAAGAGUCGCAAAGAAUGUUAGAUAGUGAAAUGUGGAAAUUAGAAGAGAUUGGGCAAGGUCUUUUAGCUCCUUUGUUGUUGAGUUAUAACGAUUUACCCUCCAAUUCUAUGGUAAAACGGUGUUUCUCAUAUUGUGCUGUCUUUCCAAAAGACUACAAUAUGAAUAAAAGGGAAUUGAUUAAUCUAUGGAUGGCUCAAGGUUACCUUAAUGCAGAUGAAGACGAAGAAAUGGAGAUGAUUGGAGAAGAGUAUUUCAACAUCUUAGCAACACGCUCUUUCUUUCAAGAGUUUGAAAAAGAUGAUGACGAUGAGGAUAUUAUGAGUUGCAAGAUGCAUGACAUAGUACAUGAUUUUGCUCAAUUUGUAAGUAGCAAAGAAUGUUUGUGGCUAGAAAUUGAUGAUAACAAAGAAUCAGUCAUAAACUCUUUUGGUGGGAAAGUCCGUCACUUAGGGUUAAAUUUUCAAGGAGGAGCUUCAUUUCCUACGUCCUUUUUUGAAUUUGAUAGAUUGCGUACCAUCCUAAUUAAUGAUGAAAGUCCUUCCAAUCCGUCUCUUAAUAGUAGCGUCCUUCUGGAGUUAUUUAGUAAAUUGGCGUGUUUAAGGGCAUUAGUUAUAAGCCAAUCGUCCUACUCAAAUUUGAUUAGAGAAAUUCCAGAAAAUAUUGGAAAAUUGAUACAUUUAAAAUAUGUUAAUUUGUCUGAAUUAGGCAUAGAGAGUCUACCUGAGACUUUGUGUGAAUUAUAUAAUUUACAAAAGUUAGAUAUUAGGGGGUGCGAAUAUCUUAGAGAAUUGCCUGCGGGGAUUGGGAAGUUAAUGAACAUGAGAAGUUUACUUAAUGAUAGAACUUAUUCGUUGGAGUACAUGCCAAUAGGAAUUUCCAGAUUGACCAAUCUUCGAACAUUAGAAAAGUUUGUUGUGGGUGGAGGUGUUGAUGGCGGCAGCACGUGUAGGCUUGAAUCUCUGAAAAAUCUUCAACUCCUUCGUGAAUGUAGAGUAGAAGGGCUGAGUAAUGUAUCGCAUGUAGAUGAGGCUGAGAGGCCACAACUUUACAAUAAGAAAAACCUCCUUCGUUUGCAUCUUGAGUUUCGUUUGGGUCUUCAGUUUGGUGGAGAAGAGGAUGAAGAUGGAGGUGGGGAAGGCGAAGAAGGGAGGAGGAAGAAUGAGAAAGAUGAACAACUUCUUGAAGCCUUACAACCGCCUGUGAAUUUAGAGAAAUUAGAGAUUGAAUCCUACUGAGGCAACAUUUUUCCCAAAUGGUUGACUUCACUAACCAAUCUAAGGAAUUUAUAUCUUUCCUCGUGUUUUAACUGUGAGCAUUUGCCUCCUUUGGGAAAAUUGCCUCUGGAAAAACUCCAACUAAGGUACUUGAAAAGUGUAAAAAGAGUGGGUAAUGAGUUUUUGGGAAUAGAAGAAAGCAGUGAGGAUGAGCCGUCUUCAUCUUCAGCAUCAUCAUCAGUUACUGCCUUCCCCAAAUUGAAAUCUCUCAAAAUUUGGGACAUGGAAGAAUUGGAAGAGUGGAAUUACAGGAUUACGAGGAAGGAAAACAUCUCCAUCAUGCCACGUCUUUCUUCCUUGACGAUUUGGUCUUGCCCCAGAUUAAAGGUGCUGCCGAAUUGCCUUCUUCAAACGACGGCACUGCAGGAACUGAGUAUUUGUUAUUGUGAUCUUCUAGAAGAACUGCCCAUUCUAGAAGAUCGCAGGAGAACAGACAUACCACGUCUUUCUUCCUUGGAAAUUGAGUAUUGCCCCAAAUUAAAGGUGCUGCCGGAUUACCUCCUUCAAACAACGACGCUGCAGGAAUUGACUAUUGACAGAUGUCCUCUUCUGGAAAACCGUUAUAGAGAGGGGAAAGGAGAAGACUGGCAUAAGAUAUCUCACAUUCCCCACAUCGAGUGGUAAAUUCUCGAAUGGUUGCAAUUACUAUCACCCACCGGUAAUUUCUCUCCUCUAUUCCAAACCACACUACUUAUUAAUUCAAUAGGAAGUCUCACAAGUAAUCAAAACUAAAAAACCAUCAAUCAACCUUUAUUUCUUCAUUCAUCAUAUUUGUUUUCCUUAAUCAAUAGGAAGUCUCACAAGUAAUCAAAACUAAAAAACCACACAAGAUGCUGCUUCAAUUUUGCAAGCAUCUUGUAUAUUUAGUUUGAAAUUAAAACUUAGGUAUACAAUCUUAAUCUCCAAUAAAUCAUUGUGUACAAAGUUUUCUAUUAAUUAUAUGGUGAUUAAAAGUUUAAUUAUCUUAACAUUUUUUGUAACUCUCUUUUACUUUGCUUGUACAGAGCACCUGUUUUGAAUUAAAAUUCUAUAUAGAAUCAAUCAUGGUAUAAAUACGUAAAACUUCCUAGUUAUCAAAUCUGUUAAACUUGUUUUCUAAAGAUUAAAUAAAAAAAAAUACAAGUGUAGUUUGUUGAAAUUUCUAUAUUUAUUUACUUUUAAAAAAUAUGUGCUCUUUUGUAAAAUUUCAUGCAAUGUAAUUUAUUUUUUUAUGUACGAAAAUUUGUUAUGUGUAACAAAAUCUCUGUGAUACGUUUGCAGUAAUGUUGAAAACUAAAUUGUCAAUUUUAUCUUAUAUAAUGAUAAUAGUAUUUUUUUAUAUAUAAUAUACGUGACAUUAAUUCUUUAAAGUAAUUGUGUAAUUGUUUUUAGUAGUACAUUAGCCCACUUUGUUUUAUUUCAUACGAGUGUAAUUAUGUUCACCAGGGAUUUGAGGAAAUGUCAGAACUACACUAGUAAUUCGCAGGUCCAAUCUAAUUUGGUUUUAAUGAUGCAGGCAGGAGAGUAUGCUAAGAAAAUGAAAAGUGUAGCCAAAGGAUUGCUAAAAUGUUCUGUUGGUAAUUCACUUGCUUUAUUUUAUAGAAUUUCAUUUCCAUCUUCUUCUAUUCAUAUCUUGUUGUGAAUAAACAAGAACAGAGAAGUAAAGAUAUAUCAAAAUUUACUAUUACGAUGAUGCUAAAGCAAGCUCAAGCUCAAGCAUUGCAUUUUUAUUUUAUUUAAUUUAUAGAAUUUUCAUUUCCACCUGCAUUGCAUUUUUAUUUAUUUUUAGGUUGACUUUGAAUACUUCAUGGUGAACAUUGGGGUGACCAAGGAUUAGGCUGGCAGUGGAACGACUACCACUGUGGUUAUUGUGCGACUUUGAAGAAGAAAGUGAUGGCUGGGUCUGCUCUGUUUCUAUCUUUUUUCAUUCUUUGAUCGGUUUAUCCUAUAUAAACAUAUGGAAUUAUGCUAAUAUUAUCAAUUUUUUCACCCAAUUUUCACUGUUGGUUGUGAUAACAAUUUCAGGCUCUCAAAAGCUACAAAGCAAAGCAUUUGUGGGCUGAUCAUAUGUUUCAAUUGAGGAAGGAGUUUGGUGUUGGCAAUAUUGUCCAGGUAACCACAGCCGAUAAUUUCCACAAAUUUGCAUUGUCAUAAUACACUUUAAUGUUUAUUGUGUUCCUAUGUGUUAUCAGGUUAUCGUGGCAUGUAAAGUAUCAUCUUUAAGGAUUUGUAAGAGACUUCACAGUAACCUUAGUUGUCACCAGCUCUUGCAAUUGCUCAUUCAUUCAAGAGUACUUCAAAGUUAGAUUUUCAAGGUUUGUAUGUUUAGUUGCGAUUAAAAUGUUUAGUCACUCAUUCUUAAUCUUUUCUGAUUUUCAAGUUCUUUAGGGCCAUAAACAGUUUUCCAACUCAUUCUUAAUUUUUAGGUUGAUUUCGACUACUCUGUUGAGGACAUUCCUGAGACCAAGGAUUUGGCUGGUGAAGAAACUACUACCUCUGUUGUUAUAGUGCAAGGUUUGAUCAUUGGACCUUGAGUAAGAAUGCCUUACACGCAUUCUGUAAUUCAAUCAUUCUCUAAAGGAAAAGAGCAGUAGAAGGGAUAGUGAUGGCCGGAUCUGCUCUAUUUUAGUUGAAGAUCUUUGUGAUGUCGAUGAGCUUAAAGCAGUUGAUACUUCUUGAAAAUUGUUAUUACGGAUGAAUUGAUUCCUGAAGACUGGUAUCCAAAGGCGUAUUUUCAUAAACUUCCUUUUUUAACAAAUGUUCCAACGCUUGCCGUAGUAACAAUUUCAUAGCUUGCAUCUCUCGGGUGCACCAUGUUCACGGGUUGGAAAAAGCAUUUGUGGUGAAGCUUCAAAGCUUGUAAAAUGGCUGUGAAAAGGCACAUUCAAUUCGGUAUGCUUUGGUGCGGUCUCCUAAUACUAAUAUUAUAUUUUAUAUAGCAAUCUUAAUAUGCAAUAAAUCAUUGUGUCCAAAGUUUUCUAUUAAUUAUAUGGUGACUGAAAUUUUAAUUAUCAUAUCAAUCUUAAAAUUUUUUGUAACCCUAUUUUACUUUGCUUGUACAGAGUACCUGUUUUGGCUGAUAUGUCGAAUUCCUAGAAAUUCAUUUCCAUCGGUUUCCAUUGGUUUUAGUUCAAACAGAAACAGAGAGCCCUGGGAAAAAGUUUUACUUUUUGUGGUAUUAUGCCUUUGUUUCUUCAUUCAUGAUAUUUGUUUCGAAUUCAUGCUCUCAUUCAGAGAGUAAAGCCUUUUCCAGGCUGCUUUGUAGCCAAAUUUUGAUGCCAUCGAUGCAUGAUUGUAAUUUAGAUUUUCCAAAUAAUUGUUAGAUUGGAGAAGAAUUAGAAUAUAUUGUUCAAAGGCUAUUUAAUUAGCACCCUCUGAAUUUAGUUGCCAAUAAUGCAUUGAAAUGGUUGGGGAAAGUUAUUGUCUUAAUUAAAUUACAGGUGAUAAGAUGCUGCUUCAAUUUUGCAAGCAUCUUGUACUGCAAAGAUUCUACCCACAUGAGAUGCUGUGAUUCUUGACGUCAGGAUAACACAGGUCAAAUUUUAGUAGCAAUAUAUAUCAUCUUCUUUACUGUUCUGCCUCUAAAUAUUAAACUUUAAUCAAGUUGUUUUUGUUUGUGUAAGUUAUCAGGUUAAGGAUACUAAGCCGCUUAUUAAGGCAAAUGUCAGAAUGAAGAUUGCUCACCACAGCUGGUAUGCAUGAUCGCCAGGAAGAUUAAUUGUUCACAAGCCAAUUUGAUCAGUGUUAGAUUUUUUGCCUCCUUUCGAGGGACAUCAUCAUCAAAUUUGAGUAGAGAAUCUUUGAAGGGAAUUUUGUUGUAAGAGUUUCACAGUAGUGAAUUCUGGGAGCUCGAACUCACUUGAGUGAGAUAUUAGGGAGUGUUGGGGAUUUGGGUUAUGAGUAAUCAUUAUCCUUCCAAUAUGUGUAAGCACUCACUUGUUAGUAAAAUCAUCUUCGUAUAUUGACUGUGUUUCUUUGUUAUCAGGUAGAGUGUGAUCUUCAAGGGUUUGAGAAAGUCCUUGCAGUAAAGUUUCCACCACAAGCAAUUGCUGCGAAGAGGCAUAUACAUUUGAGAAGUUCAGUUUCAGAUUUUCUAGGCGUGUAUGUUUAAUUAGUUUCGAUGAUAAUAUUUAGUCACUCAUUCUGAAUCUUUUCUAAUUUUCAAGUUCCUUAGGGCCACGACCUGUUUUUCAAGUCUGCAUGUGGCUGCAAAAAGAUUGAUGGUCAUAAAAUUAUCUUGACCCUUGAGCCAUUGUGUUUGAGCACAAACAGAAACAGAGCUAAAGGAAAAGAACUUGACGCAAGAAGAUGCUCUGAAUAUAACAAAAGUAUAUUUCUACUUCUUGUGGUUAUUUACUUUUGUUUCUCCUGUCAGCAUAUUUGAUUAAUUCGUUCGAAUUCACACUCUCACACAUUAUUUAAAACCAUUUGUAGGUGGCUUGCAAGCUAAUUAAGUUAAUGCAGAAGCAAUACUCUAGACAAAAAUGAGCAAAUUGAAGGUGAUAAAUGCAUAUAUGGCGGCCAAAUCGCUUAUUAUAUUUCAUCUCUCAAUCUAAUAUGAUUCUGAAUUUUAAUUUCCAUGAAUAAUUGUUAGGCUGGUACAAAUGUUCUUAAAAGGGCCAUUAAACUACCUUGUGAAAUUGGAAAGUUGCUAUUGCUUGAAUGAAAGCACCAUCUUCUGUUGCCAAGGCAAUCCCCACAUGAUGAGAUUAUGUGAUUGUUACCGGCUUCUUAAUUAUUUGUUAAAUCAGGUUUUUCUUAUCAAGUACAUCAUCUUAUUCACCAUUUUGGCUAUAUCAGAAUUUGCUAAUACCAUGAUGUCAAAGCAAGCUCAAGCACUAGAUCCCUAAUAAUAAUGCAUUGCAUUUUCAUUUUAUUUUUAGGUUGACUUUGAAGACCCUAUGGAGAACAUUGGGGUAAUCAAAGAUUAGGCUGGUGAUGGAACUACUUCCACUGUGGUGUUGUGUGCAACGUUCAGUUGCUGGACUUUGAAGAAGAAAGUGAUGGCCAGGUCUGCUCUGUUUCAAUUGAGGAUGGAUAGCUGCCUGGAAGGCAUGGUGAUUUUUAUUGCAUGAUAUUAAGGUACUAAGAUAAUCAUUUCUAUCUUGUUUUUUUCUUUGAUCGGUUUAUCCUCUAUAAGCAAAUUCAAUUAUGCUAAUAUUACCAUUUUUUCACCCAAUUUUCACCGUUGGUUGUAAUAACAAUUUCAGGUACUCAAAAGCUACAGAGCAAAGCACAUGUGGGCUGAUCAUAUGCUUCCAUGGAGGAAGGAAUUCGGUAUUAACACUAUUAUGCAGGUAACCGCAGUUGUUAAUUUGCACAAAUUUGCAUUAUCAUAAUGCCCUUUAAUAUUCACUGUGUUUCUUUUUGUUAGUCAAGUUACCAUGGUAUGUAGAGUAUCAUCUUUGAGGGUUUGUAAGAGCCUUUGCAGUAAAUUUACCUGCUCGAGCAAUUGCACAUUCAUCGAGUACAAUUUUGGAUUUUCAAGGUUUGUAUGUUUAGUUGCGAUUAGCAGGCUUAGUCACUCAUUCCUAAUCUUUUCUGAUUUUCAAGUUAUUUAGGUCCAUUAACAGUUUUCGCACAUGUUUCAAUGCUAGUUGUACUAACAAUUUCUCAUCUUGCAUCUCUAAGAUGCAUCACGUUUGAAACAGCUUUUGCGGUAAACUUUCAAUGCAUGUACAAUGGCCGUUAAGAGGUACAUUCAAUUCGGUACGUUUUGGUGCAGUCUUCUAAUGCUAAUAUCAUGUUGUGUAUAUUUAGUUUGCAAUUAAAACUUAGGUAUACAAUCUUAAUCUCAUAUAAAUCAUUGUGUACAAAGUUUUCUAUUAAUUAUAUGGUGACUAAAAGUUUAAUUAUCUUAAAUUUUUUGUAACUCUCUUUUACUUUGCUUGUACAGAGUACCUGUUUUGGCUGACAUGUCUAAUUCGUUGAAAUUCAUUUCCAUGGGUUUCCAUUGGUUUGAGCACAUACAGAAACAGAGCUUUACUUCUUGAGGUGUUAUGCCUUUGCUCUUCAUUCACCAUAUUUGUUCGAAUACGUUGUCUCAUUAAGAAUUUAAAGCCUUUUUCUAGGCAGCUUUGUUGCCAAUUUUUUAUGCCAUCAAUGCAUGAUUGUCAUUUAGAUUUUCCAAAUAAUUGUUAGGUGGGGAAGAUGUUGUUAAAAUGGCAUUUAAUUAGCUACAUCCCCUAUGAAUUUAGUUGCCAAUAAUACAUUGAAAUUGAGAAGGCUAAUAGUUGAGGAAAGUUAUUGUCUUAAUUAAAUUACAGGUGAUGAGAUGUUGCUUGAAUUCAGCAUCUUAUAUUGCGAUGAUUUUGCCCACACGAGGUUCUGUGAUUCUUGACAUCAGGAUAACUCAGGUCAAUUUUUUGUAUCAGCAUAUAUCAUCUUGUUUACUGUUUUGCCUUUAAAGAAUAAACUUUAGUGAAGUUGUUUUUGUUUGUGUAAGUUAUCAGGUUAAGGAUACUAAGCAGCUUAUUAAGGCAAAUGUCAGAAUGAAGAUUGUUCACCACACCUGGCAUUUAUGAUGGCAAGGAAGAUUAAUUGUUCACAAGCCAAUUUGAUGAGUGUUAGAUUUUUGGCUUUAUAUAUUAUUAGAGCUCUCCCUUCUGAGAGAUAUCUCAUUAAAUUUGAGUAGAGCUCUCCCAAUAAUCGCAAGCUUUCAUUUGUUUGUAAAAUCAUCUUCUUAUAUUGAUUGUGUUUCCUUGUGUUAUCAGGUAGAGUAUCAUCUUCAAGGGUUUCAAAAAGUCUUUGCAGUAAAGUUUCAACCAAUUGCUGUGAAGAGGCAUAUUCAUUUGAGUAAUUCAGUUUCAGAUUUUCAGGGCAUGUAUGUUUAAUUAGUUUUGGUUAAAAUAUUUAGUCACUCAUUCUGAAUCUUUUCGAAUUUUCAAGUUCCUUAGGGCCACAACCAGUUUUUCAGGUCUGCAGAAACUAUCUUGAGCGUUGAGGAAUUGCGUUUGAGCACACACAGAAACAAGGCUAAUGGAAAAGAACUUGACAGACGAAUUAUGCUCUAAAUCUAACAAAAGUAUAUUUCUACUUCUUGUGGUUAUUUGACCUGAAAAACUGGUUGUGGCCCUAAGGAACUUGAAAAUUCGAAAAGAUUCAGAAUGAGUGACUAAAUAUUUUAACCAACGCUAAUUAAGUUAACGCAGAAGCAAUACUCUAGACAAAGAUGAGCAAAUUGAAGAUGAUAAAUGCAUAUAUAGUGGCCAAGUCGCUCAUUACAUUUCAUCUCUCAUACGAACAUGAUUCUGAAUUUGAAUUUCCAUCAAUAAUUAUCAGGCUGGAGCAGAUAUUCUUAAAAGGGCAUUAAGCUACCUUAUGAAUUUGGAAAGUUAUCAUUGCUUGAAUGAAAGCACCAUCUUCUGUUGUCAAGGCUUUCCCCACACGAUGGGAAUCUGUGCUUGUUAUCGGCCGCUUAAUAUUUAUUAAAUCAGGUUUUUGUUAUCAAGUACAUCAUCUUAUUCACCAUUUUGGCUAUAUAUAAAGAUUAAAAUUUCUAACAGUUGUUUCGGAUUCUUGUGUACUCAGAUAAUUGGGGCAAAUGUCAGAAUGAGGAUUGUUCAGUGCUACUGGUACGGCAAUGAUGGUGAUGGUGAGAAAGAUUGUUCACAAGCCAAAUAGAGCCCUCCAUUUUGUGAAAUAACAUCCUCAAAUUUGAAUUGUUGAGCAUAUGAAGUGAUGCUAAAGCCUUAAUAAUAGGACCUUCCAAUGAAAGUUUCAUUUGAGUGAAUUAUGGGAGAAUGAAAGUUCUUGGAGUGAGUGAGAAAUUAAGCAUAUAUCAGCGAUUAGUGAAUGUUUUUCUUUAACAUUAGUACUCUCUUAUUUCUUAGUAAAAUUUUCUUCACGUCUUUGACUGUGACGUAGACCAAAAGCUGAACAAUGUAAAAUUAUAUUGUUAUUUCCUUAUGCUUGUUUUGCUAUAUAUCAUUUCUGUGCAAUCAAGAAUGUAAUUUUGUAAUUAUUCAACUCUGCUUCCACGAACAUGCGGUAUCUUGCAGAUUUUUUUUCUCCCUUUUUCUUUUUGCGUUAAAACUGCAACAAAUGGAAGUGACUGGCUUGCAUUUAGCUCCUGUAAAAAAGUGCUUGGGGCAAUGUCUUUUGUAUCAG
rnacentral:lncRNA from 1 species